rnacentral:lncRNA from 1 species
CAGGUCUCCUUCCAACAGCCUCUGCAACAAUAUCCAUUAGGCCAGGGCUCCUUCCGGCCAUCUCAGCAAAACCCACAGGCCCGGGGCUCUGUCCAGCCUCAACAACUGCCCCAGUUCGAGGAAAUAAGGAACCUAGCGCUACAGACGCUACCCGCAAUGUGCAAUGUCUACAUCCCUCCAUAUUGCACCAUCGCGCCAUUUGGCAUCUUCGGUACUAACUGAGAAGAAAAUAACUCUAGUACUAGAUAUAUGAAACACCGUUUUCUCAGUCCAUGGUUUGGUCGUUGUAGCGGUGAAAAAAUAAUGUGACAUGCACUAUCAGGUAAGAACCCGAACUAUACUAGUUCAAACUUGGGAAUAAAAGACAAACACAGGUCUUGUCUACAUAUUUAUGUUGCAUCUAUUUAUAUAUUAAAAGUAAUAUAAGGUGAACCAGGAGCAAGGUAAAUAUGCUAGAAAAUUGCACGUUAAUUAGAAAUUACUAGCCCUCGAUCUGAUAAAUCUUAACGAACAUAUAUAAUGCUCUGGGCCUCCAACGACUGUACGUGACACAUCUGAACGAACAUAUGUUAAAGAAAAUAUAUUUGGUAAAUGGUGGGCUUCUUUAAAAAGAGAACUCACGUACAUGCACCAACUAAGAAAAACACAUACAUGUAAACGGGAAAAGGAUGAGAUUUUCUCACGUACGUGCUCCCUGGCUCCACCCCGUUGAAAAAAUAUACAUCUGGAGGCCACUUUGUUUCCUCAUCAAAAAAACUUACGUUAAAAAGAUUGCAUGCAUCCCAGGGAAAAUAGUCAAGAAGAAGUCGGACUUUUCCUUACAAAAACAAGGAACGUGUUAAGUUGACUUCAAAGAAAAAAGGAACAUGUUAAGUUAAAAAAAAACAAGAAACCUGUUAAGUUAGAAAAAAAACAAGGAACGUGUUGUCCAAGGAAAGAGGAAGAAGAAAGUUGGUUUCAGUGAGUCAUGUGAAUUGUAGAAGAAAUAGGUAAACAAGGCUAGCUCCCCUGGGGGUUGUCAUAUUACAAUCAUUUGUAUUACUUUCCUACCAAUCCUGAACUAGCUAUGACCCUUAUAGCGAGCCUCACUUUACCGUUUCAGAUAGAAACAUAUGGCAGUACUGUACGUACUCGAGAGAAGUUGCUCCCUUCCAUGACAAGGACUAGUUAAGUUUCACUAUCUCCUUUCUCAACUCACUAUAUCCCAGCGGCGGAUUAAUAUAUAUACGUUGAAAAGCAAGGGGAUAAAUUGAACGAAAUGAAGAGCAAUCCAGAAUCCUAUUUUGUAUAUGUGUCAAAUCUUACAAAAAAAAAAGAAUACACACACGUACGUUCAUGCACUUGGAAAAUAGAAAAAAAAGGAACAUCACGUAUGUAUACACUUCGGAAACUCAUUACAUGACCAUGUCUGAUAUACUCCUCUAAUGCUUCAUAUUAGUGCCUAAUAAUUUAUAUUUAAAAUUCAAUUUACUGAUCAAAUAUCCCCACUGUUUAAAUUUUAAUUUGGCACAUUGUUUGGCUAUAGUAUGAACCUAAAUUUCCUCUUAUUAUUAUAUAUCAUGGUAAUAAUCCAAAGGCGACUAAUCUGCGCCGGCGCACCGGCGCAAUCAAUUCCGCUGGACACAGCGCGGCCGUUUGAUUAGAUUGCAUUUAACCGUCAGAUCUGGAAUCGUUUUCUUUCCAAUUAAACAGAUUCAACCAAACAGCAGAGGGGAAAACAAAGCAGCGCCGCCGCCAACACUAGCCAUGGACGACCGAUGUAGCAAAACCUUGAAGAACCGCCGCCGGUCGCCACCCUCGCUGCUGGUCGCCGCCCUCGCCGUCGGUCACCGCCGGUCGCCGCCCUCGCCGCACUCGUGGUUGCAGGCUUGCAUCUCCGCCUCCGGGGGACAUGGCCGCAUGUCCGGUAGCGCCGGCCGCCGGCCGGUGCACCUGUCGUUGUGGUCGCGCUGUACCUCGCCGUGUGCCCUCCCGUGGCUCUUGCUGGUUCCAACAAAAAACGAUACCGGUUGUAGCAAAAAAAUAUCGCUUCCAGCAAAAAAGCUUACCGCUACAGCCCGCCAUCGUCAUUGUAGCAAAAAUGUUAACCCGAUGUAGCUUCUGUGGUUGCCGACUGCAGCAAAAAAUGACAUGGUUGUAGCAAAACACAAAAGAAAAACGCCGGCCGGCCUCUGUGUAUGGUGGUAACAAACCCCAUAGCCGGUGGUAGCGAAAAACUUCAUAGUGCGCAGCAAAAAAAUGUUGUCACCCGUCGUCGAGGUUGCAUCAUCUUCAUGAAUUAUGUCGCAAAAAAACGUUGUCGCCGGUAGUAGCAAAUGAAGCCGCCGGUAGUAGCAAAACAAGACACUGGUUCCAGCCAAAAAAAAUCAGCGACAGAACCUUUGGUUGGUUCCAACAAAAAAACUUGUCGGUCGUAACAUCCCUCGCCGCCGGAUGUAGCAUCUCCCGGGGCUGGUUGCAACACUCCAUAAAAAAAAGUUGUCUAUGAGCGCAUCCAUGGUGACUGCUGCACCGUCAGCAACGAGGGGAAGAGGAGGCAAUGAAAAUCGUUCGAGUCAUAGCUCCACAGGACGCGGCUGCAGCAUGGGGAGUCCAAAAAUCUGUCACAAGCAACAUGCGCCUCGCCAUCCUCCUGCGCAGGAGAGAGAAGAAAAAGGAAUAAGAGGAAGAAGAAAGAAAACGGGAGAAAGAAAAAAGAAACGAUUGGUGGUUGGCUCAGGCAAUUAGUCAAGCGAGGGGCACGCGGGGCGCAGGAUACAGCGCAAUCGAACGAAGCGCGCGCGUCCGGCGAAGACUCGGCCGGACUGCCGGCUGGAAACGUUUCCCUAAUCCAAAGGCUUUAUCUGAAUGACAACUCGUCUGGGUUACCGGCUAACUAGAAAAAAGAUAAAUAUGCUAGAGAAUUUCAUAAUAAUUAGAAAUAUCUAGCCUUUAAUUAUGUAAAUCAGAAAAUCACAACCGUUGGAUUUACUUUAAAGGUAAAUUUCUCUAAAUUCCCACCAUUGCCAGUAUGUAGAAACAUGUGCUGCUUCAAUUCUCCCAUAAUCACCAAUCAAUCAACAACACAAAACAUACCUCAGUUAAAAAAACUGAACAAAAAAAAAGAAAAAAGAAGAAAGGACAAGAUACACGCAUGUACACGACAGCCUUGGCUUGAAACACAUCAGUAGAUCAAGUGUCCGCCUCCCUUACACAGAAUAAACUCAUAGGGAAGAAAAUAAUUGUGCAACCUAACCUUAUACGUACUAUUCUAUCCUCACGUCCCAUGAGGUUUACUAGCCUACCGCCGCCGCAUCAUGCCAUCCCCUCCUUUCAGCUCCCAUGCUUUCCAGCACCCUCAUUGCCGCGCCACUACUUGCCUAGGGAUAUUGCUGCUCAGACCGUGGAGCUUAACCUGCUUCUUCUUCAGCAAAUAUGGUACUGCUUUAGGAUCCUUCUCACAUCAGCACGUAUGGGCCUCAUUAUACUGCAGCUCCUGGACCUCCUACAAUUGGUUGGCUAUGGCCAGUUGAUCGAUGUGCCGAAGUCCAGGUCUGUUUGCUGGCACAUAUGCUUUGGAAAUAGGCCACUAUGUUUGUACUUCAAAAUUGUUUCUGUAUUCUUGAGUGGUACAUCCUUUUAAGCGCCAGUUUUUUAUGUCAAUUCAUGCUGACAACACUUAACCUAGCCUUUCAUCUUCACGUACUAAAUACAGGAGCAAGUAAAAACAACAGACCACCUAAUUGCUCUGCAUGUACUACAUAGGAAAAUUUGUCAUGUUCUACGAUCGCACCAUCCCACACUUCUCUCUUGGUAUGGGCGCCAAUUGAGGGAUUGAUAAAACUGAAACGAAGACGUCACGGGGCUGGAAGUACCGCUAGCCUGGUUUGCACUGCAACCUACUCAACGCCAUCAGAAACUAGCAACUGAGGCAGUUGUUGAUCGAUUCUCUCAAAUUGCUCUCAUGUAAGUACUACCCCUUGCAUGUGCGUACAUACCUUUGUUCCAUUCUCAAACAGAUAGAACAUUUAUGAUCGGUGCAUGGCUAUUUUUCAUCACAUGACAUCCAGAUAACAAGCAUGAAAGGACUACAUUGGAGAUCAAAAAAUAUUGGUUCCUGGCUAGAGGACCACUACCUAUGGACUUGUCUCCAUAGAAUUUGUUCCCAAGAUGUUAUUUUAAUUAACCUCUUUAGCUUUCUUCCAUUGCAAACGGUGAUGUGCAUCUUGGUAUAUACGUGACCAUCUUGCACAUGUAUACACAAGAGGCUCAGACGGAGGUGCUGGAUUCUGGACGAGGGAAUAUGAAGCAGCAGUGAGCGAAGAGUAAAUAAUGGUGGGAGUACCGAUUGGUGUUAUGAAGAAAAAUGCCAUCCAAAGAUUGAUUAGUGUCAUGGAAGAUUAAUUUCUGAAUGCGAAUAUAUAUGUUACAUUGGUUUGGAUCUUUUUGAGAUAAUUGCACAUAAAUUAGGUUCUUUCUUAUUUCAUAUGUAUACCUUAUUUCAGUAAAAGUUCACAACGAACUUAGUAGGACAAAUAUAAUUUUGUUUGUUCUUUCUGUUGUCCGCCACCAAAGCUCAAUUUGAACUCUCUAGAAAUGGACAAUGAUUUAUGCAUUCUAUAUCUUCUUGAUUCAUUAGCCAUGACAAGGAAAUAAAAGGAUUGACUGAUAUAGCAUAACUUUGGAACGAUCUGUUCGUAGAGGUUACUACAAAUUAGAGUAGUGUCUGCUGGAAUUUUGCCAGUAGGUCUUUGGCCCAAAGCCCAACUAAAAUUCUGAAAUUCUCUUGGCUCAUUUAUGCACACAUGUGAGUUGAGUGAGUGAGACUAAAGUUUAGUCCCACCCCGGAGUUGAGAGAGAGUUGCACCUCUUUAUAAGGUGAGCUCUUCUACCACUUGUAUGAGCAUGAGAAGAGGAGACCUACACGCGCGCUCCUCCUCCUCGCUCGCCACGCCUCGCCGCGCCGCGCCGCGGGUUGCGGGAUUGAGCCGAGCCGAGGACGUUGUCUAUAUUUUUGCUGCUCGGGAAAAAUUAAUGAGUCAUUAAUUAAUAAUUAAUGGACGCAUUAAUUACUGAACCGUUUCCGAUUUUUUUGGAUCGUGACGAAUCGGACGCGGGGUUUACUCCCAGGACCUACCCGGCCCGCACUAUAUAGUCAGGCAGACGUCUACCCUAGCCGCCGCCGCUUCAUAUGGUUUCUCACCAUCGUUACAGAUCAUUGCGCCACCAAGCAAGUUUUCUCCAUCCCUCCUUUCGGCGUGCACCGGGAGAAGGGAUAGCAGACCUCCGGAACCCCGCCUCUCGUGAUCCUGUACGGGAGAGGGGCGAUCAGGCUUUUGGGGAGCACACUCGCACUACUGUUGGCAGCGACGACUUCGCAAACGAGGACUUCUUCCCCGACCUCGGCAACCUCAUCCUCGACGACAUGGGCGACAACGUCAACGCCGGCGGUGCUACACCCACUGCACCGUAUGUUAUUCUCUCCUUCUUGUUCGAGGUCGUGGUAGAAUUCAAAGUAUAUGUGCCCUAGAUGUGAUCUGUUCAUCUACUAUGGUAGUUCGCAUGAUUAGUUUAAUCUCUGCUAUUGCUGUCAUGAUCUAUUUCCUAUUUAUUCGGAUUAAAUCUCGUAGUAAUUUGCUCAUUUUUCCAACAAUCCAAAAACCUGAUUAAUGGAAAUUUACUCCGAGUGGUUUUGCUGCGCAUCUGAAAGCCGCUUGCCUUUAAGGGGGCGCAAUAUAAGAGGUGGCUCACAAGAGUAGUCUACUGGUUUCAGAUCAUGGGCUGCUAUGACGCCACCAAGGGCAAGCCUGAGGGCGAUCUUAAUCCAGCACAGCUGGAUGCUAUGACAACGGCAAGAACACGUGGGCUACGCUCGAGGCCAAGUUUGGUGCCUCGGACGCCGGCAGCGAGUUGUACGUCAUGGAGCAAUUCUAUGACUCCAAGAUGACUGAUGAGCGCCCUGUUGUACAGCAGGCUCAUGAGAUACAGUUGCUCGCAAAAGAACUUGAGUACUUCAUGUUGGGGAACGUAGUAAUUUCAAAAAAAUUCCUACGCACACGCAAGAUCAUGGUGAUGCAUAGCAACGAGGGGGAGAGUCUGAUCUACGUACCCUUGUAGAUCGCAACGGAAGUGUUGACACAGCGUAGAGGAAGUAGUCGUACGUCUUCUUCCCGAUCCGACCGAUCCAAGCACCGUUACUCCGGCACCUCCGAGUUCUUAGCACACGUUCAGCUCGAUGACGAUCCCCGGGCUCCGAUCCAGCAAAGCUUCGGGGAGGAGUUCCGUCAGCACGACGGCGUGGUGACGAUCUUGAUGUUCUACCGACGCAGGGCUUCACCUAAGCACUACAACGGUAUGAUCGAGGUGGAAUAUGGUGGCAGGGGGCACCGCACACGGCUAAGGAACGAUCUCAAUGAUCAACUUGUGUGUCUAGAGGUGCCCCCUGCCCCCGUAUAUAAAGGUUGCCAGGGGGAGGGCUGGCCGGCCAAGCUAUGGAGGCGCAGGAGGAGUCCUACUCCUACCGGGAGUAGGACUCCCCCCAAUCCUAUUCCUAAUAGGACUCCCAAGUGGAAAGAGAGGGAGAGAGGUGGCCGGCCACCUCUCCUAGUCCUAAUAGGACUAGGGGAGGGGGGAGGCGUGCAGCCCACCUUGGGCUGCCCCUUUCACCUUGCCACUAAGGCCCAAUAAGGCCCAUUUGGUUCCCGGGGGGUUCCGGUAACCUCCCGGUACUCCGGUAAAAUCCCGAUUUCUCCCGAAACACUUCCGAUGUCCAAACAUAGGCUUCCAAUAUAUCAAUCUUGAUGUCUCGACCAUUUCGAGACUCCUCAUGAUGUCCGCGAUCACAUCCGGGACUCCGAACAACCUUCGGUACAUCAAAAUGCAUAAACUCAUAAUAACUGUCAUCGUAACGUUAAGCGUGCGGACCCUACGGUUCGAGAACAAUGUAGACAUGACCGAGACACGUCUCCGGUCAAUAACCAAUAGCGGGACCUGGAUGCCCAUAUUGGCUCCUACAUAUUCUACGAAGAUCUUUAUCGGUCAGACCGCAUAACAACAUACGUUGUUCCCUUUGUCAUCGGUAUGUUACUUGCCCGAGAUUCGAUCAUCGGUAUCCAAUACCUAGUUCAAUCUCGUUACCGGCAAGUCUCUUUACUCGUUCUGUAAUACAUCAUCCCGCAACUAACUCAUUAGUUGCAAUGCUUGCAAGGGUUGUAUAAUGUGCAUUACCGAGAGGGCCCAGAGGUACCUCUCCGACAAUCGGAGUGACAAAUCCUAUUCUCGAAAUACGCCAACCCAACAUCUACCAUUGGAAACACCUGUAGUACUCCUUUAUAAUCACCCAGUUACGUUGUGACGUUUGGUAGCACCCAAAGUGUUCCUCCGGCAAACGGGAGUUGCAUAAUCUCAUAGUCAUAGGAACAUGUAUAAGUCAUGAAGAAAGCAAUAGCAACAUACUAAACGAUCGGGUGCUAAGCUAAAGGAAUGGGUCAUGUCAAUCAGAUCAUUCAUCUAAUGAUGUGAUCCCAUUAAUCAAAUAACAACUCUUUGUCCAUGGUUCGGAAACAUAACCAUCUUUGAUUAACGAGCUAGUCAAGUAGAGGCAUACUAGUGACACUCUGUUUGUCUAUGUAUUCACACAUGUAUUAUGUUUCCGGUUAAUACAAUUCUAGCAUGAAUAAUAAAUAUUUAUCAUGAUAUAAGGAAAUAAAUAAUAACUUUAUUAUUGCCUCUAGGGCAUAUUUCCUUCAGUCUCCCACUUGCACUAGAGUCAAUAAUCUAGAUCACAUCACCAUGUGAUUAACAUCGAUAGUUCACAUCAUCAUGUGAUUAACACCCAUAGUUCACAUCGCCAUGUGACCAACACCCAAAGGGUUUACUAGAUUCAGUAAUCUAGUUCACAUUGCUAUGUGAUUAACACCCAAAGAGUACUAAGGUGUGAUCAUGUUUUGCUUGUGAGAGAAUCUUAGUCAACGGGUCUGCCACAUUCAGAUCCACAUGUAUUUUGCAAAUUUCUAUGUCAACAAUGCUCUGCAUGGAGCUACUUUAGCUAAUUGCUCCCACUUUCAAUAUGUAUCUAGACCGAGACUUAGAGUCAUCUAGAUUAGUGUCAAAACUUGCAUCGGCGUAACCCUUUACGACGAAUCUUUUUAUCACGUCCAUAAUCGAGAAACAUAUCCUUAUUUCACUAAGGAUAAUUCUGACCGAUGUCCAGUGAUCUACUCCUAGAUCACUAUUGUACUCCCUUGCCAAAUCAGUGCCGGGUAUACAAUAGAUUUGGUAUACAGCAUGUCAUACUUUAUAGAACCUAUGGCCAAGGCAUAGGGAAUGACUUUCAUUCUCUUUCUAUCUUCUGCCGUGGUUGGGCUUUGAGUCUUACUCAACUUCACACCUUAUAAUACAGGCAAGAACUCUUUCUUUGACUGCUCCAUUUUGAACUACUUCAAAAUCUUGUCAAGGUAUGUACUCAUUGAAAAAACUUAUCAAGCGUCUUGAUCUAUCUCUAUAGAUCUUGAAGCUCAAUAUGUAAGCAGCUUCACCGAAGUCUUUCUUUGAAAAACUCCUUUCAAACACUCCUUUAUGCUUUAUAGAAUAAUUCUACAUUAUUUCCGAUUAACAAUAUGUCAUUCACAUAUACUUAUCAGAAAUGUUGUAGUGCUACCACUCACUUUCUUGUAAAUACAGGCUUCACCGCAAGUCUGUAUAAAACUAUAUGCUUUGAUCAACUCAUCAAAGCAUAUAUUCCAACUCCGAGAUGCUUGCACCAGUCCACAGAUGGAUCGCUGGAGCUUGCACAUUUUGUUAGCACCUUUCGGAUUGACAAAACCUUCUGUUGCAUCAUGUACAACUCUUCUUUAAUAAAUCCAUUAAGGAAUGCAGUUUUGUUUAUCCCUUUGCCAGAUUUCAUAAAAUGCGGCAAUUACUAACAUGAUUCGGACAGACUCAAGCAUAGAUACGAGUGAGAAGCUCUCAUCGUAGUCAUCACCUUGAACUUGUCGAAAAACUUUUGCGACAAUUCUAGCUUUGUAGAUAGUAACACUACUAUCAGCGUCCGUCUUCCUCUUGAAGAUCCAUUUAUUCUCAAUUGCUUGCCGAUCAUCGGGCAAGUCAACCAAAGUCCAAACUUUGUUCUCAUACAUGGAUCAUAUCUCAGAUUUCAUGGCCUCAAACCAUUUCGCGGAAUCUGGGCUCAUCAUCGCUUCCUCAUAGUUCGUAGGUUCGUCAUGGUCAAGUAACAUGACCUCCAGAACAGAAUUACCGUACCACUCUGGUGCGGAUCUCACUCUAGUUUACCUACGAGAUUCCGUAGUAACUUGAUCUGAAGUUACAUGAUCAUCAUCAUUAGCUUCCUCACUAAUUUGUGUAGUAGUCACAAGAACAGAUUUUUGUGAUGAACUACUUUCCAAUAAGGUAGAAGGUACAAUUACCUUAUCAAGUUUUCUACUUUCCUCCCACUUACUUCUUUCAAGAGAAACUCCUUCUCUAGAAAGGAUCCAUUAUAAGCAACGAAUGUCUUGCCUUAGGAUCUGUGAUAGAAGGUGUACCCAACAGUCUCCUUUGGGUAUCCUAUGAAGACAUAUUUCUCCGAUUUGGGUUUGAGCUUAUCAGGAUGAAACUUUUUCUCAUAAGCAUCGCAACCCCAAACUUCAAGAAACGACAACUUUGGUUUCGUGCCAAACCAUAGUUCAUAAGGCGUCGUCUCGACGGAUAUAGAUGGUGCCCCUUUUUUUAACGUGAAUGCAGCUGUCUCUAAUGCAUGACCCCAAAAACGAUAGUGGUAAAUCGGUAAGAAACAUCAUAGAUUGCACUAUAUCCAAUAAAGUACGGUUAUGGCGUUCGGACACACCAUUAUGCUGUGGUGUUCCAGGUGGCGUGAGUAGUGAAACUAUUUCACAUUGUUUUAACUGAAGACCAAACUUGUAACUGAAAUACUCUUUUCCACGAUCAGAUCGUAGAAACUUUAUUUUCUUGUUACGAUGAUUUUCCACUUCACUCUGAAAUUCUUUGAACUUUUCAAAUGUUUCCGACUUAUGUUUUAUCAAAUAGAUAUACUCAUAUCUGCUCAAAUCAUCUGUGAAGAUCAGAAAAUAAUGAUACCUAUCGCGAGCCUCAAUAUUCAUCGGACCACAUACAUCAGUAUGUAUGAUUUCCAACAAAUCUGUUGCUCGCUCCAUUGUUCAGAAGAACAAAGUCUUAGUCAUCUUGCCCAAAAGGCAUGGUUCGCAAGCAUCAAGUGAUUCCGAAAGCCCAUCAGCAUGGAGCGCUUUAUACCAAUAUGACCUAAACGGCAGUGCCACAAAUAAGUUGCACUAUCAUUAUUAACUCUGCAUCCUUUGGUUUCAAUAUUAUGAAUAUGUGUAUCACUACGAUCGAGAUCCAACGAACUUGUUUCAUUGGGUGUAUGACCAUCGAAGGUUUUAUUCAUGUAAACAGAACAACAAUUAUUCUCUGACUUUAAUGAAUAACCGUAUUGCAAUAAAUAUGAUCAAAUCAUAUUCAUGCUCAACGCAAAAACCAAAUAACACUUAUUUAAGUUCAACACUAAUCCCGAAAGUAUAGGGGAGUGUGCGAUGAUGAUCAUAUCAAUCUUGGAACUACUUCCAACACACAUCGUCACUUCACCCUUAACUAGUCUCUAUUUAUUCUGCAACUCCUGUUUUGAGUUACUACUCUUAGCAACUGAACCAAUAUCAAAUACUAAGGGGUUGCUAUAAACACUAGUAAAGCACACAUCAAUAACAUGUAUAUCAAAUAUACUUUUGUUCACUUUGCCAUCCUUCUUAUCCGCCAAUCACUUGGGGUAGUUCCGCUUCUAGUGACCAGUCCCUUUGCAGUAGAAGCACUUAGUCUCAGGCUUAGGAUCAGACUUGGGCCUCUUCACUUGAGCAGCAACUUGCUUGCCGUUCUUCUUGAAGUUCCCCUUCUUCCCUUUGCCCUUUUCUUGAAACUAGUGGUCUUGUCAACCAUCAACACUUGAUGUUUUUCUUGAUUUCUACCUUCGUUUAUUUCAGCAUCACGAAGAGCUUGGGAGUUGUUUCUGUUAUCCCUUGCAUAUUAUAGUUCAUCACGAAGUUCUACUAACUUGGUGAUGGUGACUAGAGAAUUCUGUCAAUCACUAUCUUAUCUGGAAGAUUAACUCCCACUUGAUUCAAGCGAUUUUAGUACCCAGACAAUCUGAGCACAUGCUCACUAGUUGAGCGAUUCUCCUCCAUCUUUUAGCCAUAGAACUUGCUGGAAACUUCAUAUCUCUCAACUCGGGUAUUUGCUUGAAAUAUUAACUUCAACUCUUGGAACAUCUCAUAUGGUCUAUGACGUUCAAAACGUCUUUGAAGUCCCGAUUCUAAGCCAUUAAGCAUGGUGCACUAAACUAUCAAGUAGUCAUCAUAUUGAGCUAGCCAAACGUUCAUAACGUCUGCAUCUGCUCCUGCAAUAGGUUUGUCACCUAGCGGUGCAUCAAGGACAUAAUUCUUCUGUGCAGCAAUGAGGAUAAAACUCAGAUCACGGAUCCAAUCCGCAUCAUUGCUACUAACAUCUUUCAACACAAUUUUCUCUAGGAACAUAUCAAAAUAAACACAGGGAAGCAACAACGCGAGCUAUUGAUCUAUAACAUGAUUUACAAAAUACUACCAGGACUAAGUUCAUGAUAAAUUUAAGCUCAAUUAAUCAUGUUACUUAAGAACUCCCACUUAGAUAGACAUCCCUCUAAUCCUCUAAGUGAUCACGUGAUCCAAAUCAACUAAACCAUAACCGAUCAUCACGUGAAAUGGAUUAGUUUUCAAUGGUGAACAUCAUUAUGUUGAUGAUAUCUACUAUAUGAUUCACGCUCGACCUUUCGGUCUCCGUGUUCCGAGGCCAUAUCUUUAUAUGCUAGGCUCGUCAAGUUUAACCUGAGUAUUCUGCGUGUGCAAAACUGGCUUGCACCAGUUGUAGAUGGACGUAGAGCUUAUCACACCCGAUCAUCACGUGGUGUCUGGGCACGACGAACUUUGGCAACGGUGCAUACUCAGGGAGAACACUUCUUGAUAAUUUAGUGAGAGAUCAUCUUAUAAUGCUACCGUCAAUCAAAGCAAGAUAAGAUGCAUAAAAAGAUAAACAUCACAUGCAAUCAAUAUAAGUGAUAUGAUAUGGCCAUCAUCAUCUUGUGCUUGUGAUCUCCAUCUCCGAAGCACCGUCAUGAUCACCAUCGUCACCGGCGCGACACCUUGAUCUCCAUCGUAGCAUCGUUGUCGUCUCGCCAAUCUUAUGCUUCCACGACUAUCGCUACCGCUUAGUGAUAAAGUAAAGCAUUACAUCGCGAUUGCAUUGCAUACAAUAAAGCGACAACCAUAUGGCUCCUGCCAGUUGCCGAUAACUCGGUUACAAAACAUGAUCAUCUCAUACAAUAAAAUUUAGCAUCAUGCCUUGACCAUAUCACAUCACAACAUGCCCUGCAAAAACAAGUUAGACGUCCUCUACUUUGUUGUUGCAAGUUUUACGUGGCUGCUACGGGCUUAAGCAAGAACUCAUCUCACCUACGCAUCAAAACCACAACGAUAGUUUGUCAAAUAGAUUCCGUUUUAACCUUCUCAAGGACCGGGCGUAGCCACACUUGGUUCAACUAAAGUUGGAGAGACAGUCGCCCGCAAGCCAUCUAUGUGCAAAGCACGUCGAGGGAACCGGUCUCGCGUAAGCGUACGCGUAAGGUUGGUCCGGGUCGUCUCGUCCAACAAUACCGCCGAACCAAAGUAUGACAUGCUGGUAGGCAGUAUGACUUGUAUCGCCCACAACUCACUUGUGUUCUACUCGUGCAAAUAAUAUCAAACCAUAAAACCUAGGCUCGGAUGCCACUGUUGGGGAACGUAGUAAUUUCAAAAAAUUUCCUACGCACACGCAAGAUCAUGGUGAUGCAUAGCAACGAGGGGGAGAGUCUGAUCUACGUACCCUUGUAGAUCGCAACGGAAGCGUUGACACAACGUAGAGGAAGUAGUCGUACGUCUUCUUCCCGAUCCGACCGAUCCAUGCACCGUUACUCCGGCACCUCUGAGUUCUUAGCACACGUUCAGCUCGAUGACGAUCCCCGGGCUCCGAUCCAGCAAAGCUUCGGGGAGGAGUUCCGUCAGCAUGACAGCGUGGUGACGAUCUUGAUGUUCUACCGACGCAGGGCUUCGGCUAAGCACUACAACGGUAUGGUCGAGGUGGAAUAUGGUGGCAGGGGGCACUGGACACGGCUAAGGAACGAUCUCAAUGAUCAACUUGUGUGUCUAGAGGUGCCCCUACCCUCGUAUAUAAAGGUUGCCAGGGGAGGGCUGGCCGGCCAAGCUAUGGAGGCGCAGGAGGAGUCAAACUCCUACCGGGAGUAGGACUCCCCCCCCCCAAUCUUAUUCCUAAUAGGACUCCCAAGGGGAAAGAGAGGGAGAGAGGUGGCCGGCCACCUCUCCUAGUCCUAAUAGGACUAGGGGAGGGGGGAGGCGCGCAGGCCACCUUGGGCUGCCCCUUUCACCUUUCCACUAAGGCCCAAUAAGGCCCAUUUGGUUCCCGGGGGUUCCGGUAACCUCCCGGUACUCCGGUAAAAUCCCGAUUUCUCCCGGAACACUUCCGAUGUCCAAACAUAGGCUUCCAAUAUAUCAAUCUUUAUGUAUCGACCAUUUCGAGACUCCCCGUCAUGUCCAGGAUCACAUCCGGGACUCCGAACAACCUUCGGUACAUCAAAAUGCAUAAACUCAUAAUAACUGUCAUCGUAACGUUAAGCGUGCGGACCCUACGGUUCGAGAACAAUGUAGACAUGACCGAGACACGUCUCCGGUCAAUAACCAAUAGCGGGACCUAGAUGCCCAUAUUGGCUCCUACAUAUUCUACGAAGAUCUUUAUCGGUCAGACCGCAUAACAACAUACGUUGUUCCCUUUGUCAUCGGUAUGUUACUUGCCUGAGAUUCGAUCGUCGGUAUCCAAUACCUAGUUCAAUCUCGUUACCGGCAAGUCUCUUUACUCAUUCUGUAAUACAUCAUCUCGCAACUAACUCAUUAGUUGCAAUGCUUGCAAGGCUUGUAUAAUGUGCAUUACCGAGAGGGCCCAGAGGUACCUCUCCGACAAUCGGAGUGACAAAUCCUAUUCUCGAAAUACGCCAACCCAACAUCUACCAUUGGAAACACCUGUAGUACUCCUUUAUAAUCACCCAGUUACAUUGUGAUGUUUGGUAGCACCCAAAGUGUUCCUCCGGCAAACGGGAGUUGCAUAAUCUCAUAGUCAUAGGAACAUGUAUAAGUCAUGAAGAAAGCAAUAGCAACAUACUAAACGAUCGGGUGCUAAGCUAAUGGAAUGGGUCAUGUCAAUCAGAUCAUUCAUCUAAUGAUGUGAUCCCAUUAAUCAAAUAACAACACUUUGUCCAUGGUUAGGAAACAUAACCAUCUUUGAUUAACGAGCUAGUCAAGUAGAGGCAUACUAGUGACACUCUGUUUGUCUAUGUAUUCACACAUGUAUUAUGUUUCUGGUUAAUACAAUUCUAGCAUGAAUAAUAAAUAUUUAUCAUGAUAUAAGGAAAUAAAUAAUAACUUUAUUAUUGCCUGUAGGGCAUAUUUCCUUCACUUCAAGUGUGUGUUGCCGAACAAAUUUGUUGCCGGAGGCAUCAUUGCCAAGCUUCCACCUUCGUGGAACAAUUUUGCUACUUCCCUGAAACACAAGAGACAGGAGUUUUUCGUUGCGGAUCUCAUUGGUACUCUUGAUGUUGAAGAGAAGGCGAGAGCAAAGGAUACACGUGCUCGAGUUGCUGAGGGAGGUUCUAGUGCCCACAUGGUACAGAAGAAGAUCUUCCAGCCCAACAAGUUCAAAAACAACAAGAACAAAACUUAGGGCAAAGGCAAGUUUGAUACAAAGAACAAGCCAUCACAUUCUACCAACUUCAAGAAGAACUCUCAUAAGAAGGGGAAGGGACUUUGCCAUGUCUGCGGUGAUCCUAAUCACUGGGCUCCGAAGUGUCCUAACCGCUUUGAGGAGCGCGAACAUGAGAAGAGCGGCAAGUCUGCUAAUGUUGUCAUCGGUGAUACUGAUAUGAAGGAAUCAGGGUACGGUAUUUUUCCUACCAUCCUUUCAGUAUUCCAAAUCCCUGAUUGGUUAAUUGACAUCGGUGCCAAUGUACAUGUUUGUGCUGAUGCCUCCAUGUUUUCUUCUUACCAGGCCACUUGGACUUCUCCUGUGCUGAUGGGGAACGGGUCACAUGCCAUCGUUCGAGGUGUUGGUGCGGUCAAUCUGAAGUUUACUUCGGGGAAGACCGUGCGUCUGAAGAACGUUCAUCAUGAGCCGUCCAUCAAUAAAAAUCUCGUUAGCGGUUCCCGUUUAUGUCGAGAUGGUUUUAAGUUGGUUUUCGAAUCCAAUAAAGUUAUAAUUUCUAAGUAUGGACAAUUUGUUGGAAAAGGCUAUGAGAGCGGAGGCUUGUUUCGCCUGUCUUUGUCAGAUAUUUGCACUAAAGUUAUUAAUAAUGUUUGCCACAACAAUGAGUCUGAUAUUUGGCAUUCACGACUUUGUCACAUUAACUUUGGUUGCAUGACCCGGCUAGCCAAUAUGAAUUUAAUUCCGAAAUCUCUACUGUCAAAGGCUCUAAGUGCCAAGUAUGUGUGAAAGCUAAGCAACCUCGCAAAUCCCAUAAGACUGCAGAGGCGACAGACUUGGCGCCACUAGAGCUUAUACAUUCUGAUAUUUGUGAGAUGAAUGGCGUGUGGACAAAAGGUGGAAAGAGAUACUUCAUGACGUUGAUUGAUGACUCCACUAGAUAUUGUUAUGUGUAUCUUAUGAAAUCAAAAGAUGAGGCUUUGGCUUUCUUCAAAAACUAUAAAGCUGAGGCAGAGAACCAACUUGAUCGAAAAAUUAAACGGCUUAGGUCCGAUCAUGGUGGAGAGUAUUUUUCCAAUGAAUUUGAUCUAUUUUGUGCGGAACAUGGUAUAAUCCAUGAGAGGAUGCCUCCCUACUCACCCCAGUCAGAUGCGGUAGCCGAAAGAAAGAACCAAACUCUAACUGAUAUGGUUAACACCAUGUUAGACACUUCGGGUCUAUCCAAGGAAUGGUGGGGGGAGGCGCUAAUGACUGCGUGUCAUGUCCUAAACCGAGUUCCCACAAAGCAUAAGACCAUGACUCCAUUUGAGGAAUGUUAAAGGAAAAGGUUGAAACUCUCUUACCUACGUACUUGGGGUUGUUUGGCGAAAGUCAAUAUACCAAUUCCCAAGAAGCGCAAGCUUGGACCAAAAACCGUGGGUUGUGUUCUUCUUGGGUAUGCUUUUCAUAGCAUCGGCUAUAGAUUUUUGAUAAUAAAAUCUGAGGUAUCCGACAUGCAUGUUGGUACGAUUAUGGAGUCGAAUGAUGCAACUUUCUUUGAGGACAUAUUUCCUAUGAAGGAUAUGUUGAGUUCAUCAAAUCAGGAGACACCUACUCCACCUAGUGAGGAAUUCACUGUAAUUCCUGAACCCACCAUUGCGAUGGAACACAUAGAGAAUCCUGUUGAGGGUGACAAUGGAACUCCUGUGAGGAGUAAGAGACAUAGGACUACAAAGUCCUUUGGUGAUGAUUUCAUUGUGUACCUCGUGGAUGACACACCCAGGACUAUUUCAGAAGCCUGUGCAUCUCUUGAUGCUGACUACUGGAAGGAAGCUGUACAUAGCGAGAUGGAUUCCAUCUUAGGUAACAGAACCUGGGAGAUCACUGACCGUCCUUAUGGGUGAAAACCUGUAGGAUGUAAGUGGGUGUUCAAGAAGAAGCUUAGACCUGAUGGUACGAUUGAAAAGUACAAGGCACGGCUUGUGGCCAAGGGUUAUACCCAGAAAGAAGGUGAAGACUUCUUUGAUACUUACUCACCCGUGGCUAGAAUGACCACAAUUUGGGUGCUACUAUCACUUGUUGCCUCACAUGGUCUUCUCGUUCAUCAAAUGGACGUUAAGACAGCUUUCCUCAAUGGAGAGUUGAAGGAGGAAAUUUACAUGGAUCAGCCAGAUGGUUUUGUAGUACCUGGUUAGUAAGGAAAGUUGUGCAAGUUAUUAAAGUCUUUAUAUGGCCUUAAACAAGCUCCUAAAGAGUGGCAUGAGUAGUUUGAAAGAACAUUAACUGCUGCCGGCUUUGUAGUAAACGAUGGUGACAAGUGCGUGUACUAUCGCUAUGGUGGUGGCGAAGGAGUUAUUCUUUGUCUGUAUGUCGACGACAUAUUGAUCUUUGGAACGAAACUUGAUUUAAUCAAGGAGGUUAAGGAUUUCUUAUCUCGCUAUUUUGAGAUGAAGGAUCUAGGAGUAGUUGAUGUUAUCUUAAACAUCAAGCUGUUGAGAGAUGAGAAUGAUGGGAUCACACUGCUUCAGUCUCACUAUGUGGAAAAGGUCUUGAGUCGUUUUGGGUAUAGCGACUGCACACCUUCUCCAACUACAUAUGAUGCUAGCAUGUUGCAUCGAAAGAAUCGACGGAUUGCUAGAGAUCAACUGAGGUAUUCUCAUAUUAUUGGCUCGCUUAUGAUUUGGCGAGUGCCACGAGGCCAAACAUCUCGUUUGCUGUUAGCAAGCUGAGUCGAUUUGUGUCAAAACUAGGAGAUGAUUAUUGGCAUGCGCUUGAGAGAGUUAUGCGCUAUUUGAAAGGCACCGCGAGCUAUGGGAUUCACUACACCGGGUAUCCAAGGGUACUGGAGGGUUAUAGUGACUCAAACUGGAUAUCUGAUGCUAAUGAGAUUAAGGCCACAAGUGGUUAUGUUUUUACACUUGGUGGUGGCGCUGUUUCUUGGAAGUCCUGCAAGCAGACCAUCUUAAUGAGGUCAACUAUGGAAGCAGAACUCACAACAUUAGAAACUGCUACUGUUGAAGCAGUGUGGCUUCGUGAGCUCUUGAUGGACUUUCCUAUGGUUGAAAAACCAAUACCCCCUAUCCCAAUGAACUGUGAUAAUCAAACUGUGAUCGUCAAGAUAAACAGUUCUAAGGACAAUAUGAAGUCCUCAAGGCAUGUGAAGAGGAGACUGAAAUCUGUUAGAAAAUUGAGGAACUCCGGAGUUAUUACGUUGGAUUAUAUCCAAACGUCAAAAAAAUUGGCAGAUCCCUUCACAAAGGGUCUAUCACGUAAUGUGAUAGAUAAUGCAUCGAUGGAGAUGGGUUUGAGACCCACCGCAUGAGUUGUCCAUAGUGGUAACCCACUCUUUGUGAUCGGAGAUCCCGUGAAGUAGAAGUGGGAGACAAGCUGUUGGUCAGCUGGGAGGAGAGUAUCCCUAUAUUACCUGUCCCACUCCAUGAAGAUGCAACACUCUCCUAAUCUGCAUGGCAGGUUGAUACUUAUCUUAAUGUGUUCCAAGUGGCUUAUUCGGGUAAGCAGAGAUGUUGUCCUGCGGAACAUCUUCUGAGGAACACACCUAUAUGAAUUUGAUUGUUAACGUCGCAGUCUGUGAGAAUUGGGUGUUCUCUAAUAAAUUCAUGAAAAGGCCCUGGAGUAUGACGUAUAAGCUCCACCCGCAGGGAAGCCUUGCGGCAGCCCAGUAUCGGUCAAGAAUUUGUGUGAAACUAGUCUCGCAGAAAAUUUGUAGUUCAAGGCAUAGUCCACUAUUCAAGUUGUGAUCUAGUGUAGCAUAAAUCUCUAAGUGGAAGUUCAACUUCAAAGUCUCCACUAAGCCCCGGUAUAUAAACAAUGUUUUGGAACUAAAUGAUGAGAUGUGCCAAUGAGACUUUGUGGGGGAUUGUUGGAAUUUUGCUAGUAUGCCUUUGGCCCAAAGCCCAACUAAAAUUCUGAAAUUCUCUUCGCCCAUUCAUGCACACAUGUGAGUGGAGUGAGUGAGACUAAAGUUUAGUCCCACCCCGGAAGUUGAGAGAGAGCACCUCUUUAUAAGGUGAGCUCUUCUACCACUUGUAUGAGCAUGAGAGUAGGAGACCUACACACGCGCUGCUCCUCCUCGCUCACCACGCCACGCCUGGUCACGACGCGCCGCGGGUUGCGGGAUUGAGCCGAGCCGAGGUCAGAGCUAUGCACGUUGUCUAUUUUUUGCUACCCCGGAAAAUUAAUGAGUCAUUAAUUAAUAAUUAAUGGACGUGUUAAUUACUAAACCGUUUCCGAUUCUUUUGGAUCAUGACGACUCGGACGUGGGGUUUACUCCCACGACCUACCAGGCCCGCACUAUAUAGUCCGGCAGACGUGUACCCUAGCUGUCGCCGCUUCGUAUGGUUUCUCACCACCGUUCCAGAUCAUUGCGUCGCCAAGCAAGUCUUCUCCAUCCCUCCUUUCGGCGUGCACCGGGAGAAGGGACAGCAGGCCUCCGGAACCCCGCCUCUCGUGAUCCUGUAUGGGAGAGGGGCGAUCAGGUUUUUGGGGAGCGCACUCGCGCGACUUCUGGCAGCGACGACUUCGCGAAUGACGACUUCUUCCCUGACCUCGGCAACCUCAUCCUCGACGACAUGGGCGACAACGUCAACGCCGGCGGUCCUGCACCCGCUGCACCGUAUGUUAUUCUAUCCUUCUUGUUCGAGAUCGUGGUAGAAUUCAGGUUUCUAGUAUAUGCCCUAGAUGUGAUCUGUUCAUCUACUAUGCUAGUUCGCAUGAUUAGUUUAAUCUCUGCUAUUGCUGUCAUGAUCUAUUUCCUAUUUAUUCGGAUUAAAUCUCGUAGUAAUUUGCUCAUUUUUCCAAUAGUACCAUCUAAUAGAUGAUGUAAAUCUCCUCUAGUUUGACGUUGUUGAGCUAAUUUACAAAAAAAAAACCUCAUCAUUAUUGGACGUCCUUAACAGCUCAAGAACAAGUUGGGGUCGAACUAAUGGAUUUUACACUUUUACAUUAAAGGUUUAGCUAAAGCUAGCAGGUGUUUUUAAACCUGAAUUUUUUUUUCCUCCUGAAUUUCUUUGUAUUUUCUUAUUGACACUAUUUAUACAAUCAUCUGACAAAGAUUAGCUAAAGAUGUUUGUAGAUACGUUGAAACCUGAAAAGCUUCUUUGGUUAUCCUUUUAAUAGUUCUACGUUUAAUUUCUCAUAGGUCAUAAUUCUUAUGUAAUACCAAGAUGCAUUGUGGUAGUGUACAUGUGUUCAAUUCAGGUUGUUAUUCACAAUUUGCGACAAAAUUUAGCUCACGCUACAUUUAAAUAUGUUGAAAUGUGAAUGCUCUUUUUCUUCUCCUUUCUACACCUUGCAUCGGAUUGCAUCCCUUUAGUUAUCCAACAUUUUGUACAACAUGUAGAGAUUAGGAAGUUCAUCAUAGUUUGUCUAUUUCCGUGCUAAUAAAUGUAUGAAAUCUGCAUUUCCAAGCUACUAGGACAAGUAAAAAAUAAUAAUUUUACUAUAGGAUUCAAAAACAGCAGUUCUGAAGUGCACUUUAUUUAUUUUUGAAAGUGAUCACAUUUUGUUUCAUUUUUCUAUAGACAAAUCUACUAAUACAUACUCACGAUAAAACUAUAAAAAUUCUAGUCCGCACAUUGGGCGGGCCACCCGGCUAGUUAGUCUAAAGAUAACAAAAUGAGUCUGGAAUUUGAAUUAAAUUGAAGUAUUUUCUUGGACUUUCAAAUUAAGUUUUAUUAAAGUAGUAAGGACUAUCCACAUCCUUGGCUUGCCCCUGAUCAAUUAUUUCCAGAGAAGCAUUCGAUUCAUCAAUCAAUUACAUUGAUUUUAGUGGCUGGUACUUCUCCUCAACAUCAGUAUAUUCACCGUGGCCACUCCAAAUCGGCAAGAAUGAGGUACCAGUGCUCUGCAGCAGUGCAAGCUAAUUGCUUCUCAUGUGAAGGGGUGCGGGCGCAGGAGAGGUAUUUCUGGUGGGCCAAGGGACUAAGAAGCGACUGUGGCAGCGGUAUAGAUGCCCGCAAAGCCCCAUAGUUUGUUUUUCGUUUACAGGAAAAAUGCACAUCCAUACCAACCUUGGGAAUAUAGGACCGUAUUGGAUGGAAAACCAUGUCCGGAUGGUUGCGAGCGGUUUGAGGGUUAGCUUUUGUAACGCCCGGUUAGUUAUGCUAUAGCAAUUCCCUGCUAAUGAUGUCACGUCACCACGAUUACUAUUGUUAACCUCACAAUGAUUCAAUCCCCUUCAAAUUCAAAUUUAAAAUAAAGGUAAACAUCAAAAGUUUUCAAACAUUAAAACUAAAAUCUUUGAGAGGUGACAAAUAAUGCAUAAGUAAUUAUGGUGGAGAAACCACACUUUAAUCAAAUGUUUAAAUACUCUAAAAUGAAAAAAACAGUUGCUUAAACUAUUAUUUAAAUGCUUUUAAAAUAGUAAAAAUCUUCUAACUAAAUUAUUUGGGUACCAAACUUUUGGUGGCAGUGGUAUAUUUAGUAGAAUUAAUUUAGAUGCUAAUUAUAUAAUUUACAAAAUUAGAGUAAAUUGAAAAAUAGGAUAAAACGGAAAAGGAAAGACAAAACAAAUAAAAGCAAAAGGGGCCAACCCCUCGCUGGGCCUCGACCUAGCUGCCACUAGGCUAGCUAGGCUGGCCCCGGCGCCUCCCUUAACCCCCCCCCCCACUCCCCAUCGAACCCAAGCCCGAUCGCCCCACUUCCCCCACACCCCCUCGCCAGCCUCCCCACCUCUUGAUCCCAUCUGGAUCGGGGAGGGUAUUGCCCCCAUCGACCCCGUUGCCGUCGCCGGAUUGCCCGCCGAUGUCGCCAGGCCUCCUCCCCGCCGCCCGUCUCCGGCUCGCCUCCCCUCUCGCUCCUCUUCCCCGACCCGAUCUAGAUCGUGAACGAGCAAUGAGCUCGAAGCCCCCUUCACCGGCGCCAUCACCGUGCGCCACCACCACCGCCUGAGGACCUCACCGUCGCCGAAUCUAGCGUCGCCUCCUCGUAUCCCUCCCCUACUCGCGUCCUCAAGCCAGGACGAGCCCCUUCUCGGCAACGCUGUGAGACGCCCCCGUUUCCCUCCUCUUUCCACCGCGUUCAUCGCGCCGCCCGCCGUGCCCCUCGCCGUGCGCACGCCCACCACCGCACCAGCCCCCGCUCCGCGCACGACCCUACCCGCGCCCGCGCCAUGAUCCCCUUUUCCGCCCUACCUUCCUGCGCUCGCCGCGGUCCCGAUGCUCCCCCGCGCCCUCUUUCGGGGGCGCCGACCUCCCCUGUCCCGCUGCUCGGCGCCGUGCCUCGCAAUCGCUCUACUGCUAAGUUACUACUGCGCUGCGGCCGUCGCCUCUUCCUUCUGCUCCGCUAGCGCCGAAGCUCCCGAUUGGCUCCACCACUUCUCACGUUAAACCGCCGGCCUAAAUGGCCUAACCCCGGGCUAAUGAACCCCCACUAACCCACUGACACCGGGACCCACAUUCCCUAAUUAACCAUUUAAUAAAUUAAAACUCUUAAAUUAACAUUAGUGUAUGACAUGUGCGUCCCCUAUUAAUUAAUAAUUUUACUGCUAGUUUUCUUAGUUUCUGUUUUUCUGCAUAUUUCUUUUGUAUUUGAACAGGCUUUAUACAAUAAUAUUUAGCGUCUCAUACACAUACAAAUGUAAUUAUAGCAUAUACAUACAAAUAGUCUCAUCAAAUCAUGUGAUCAUCAUAAUCAUCAUCCAUCACAAAGUGAUCUCUCGUCAUCAUCUCGAAAAUAGCGAUACUAGUCUCGAUUACUUGCAACUACAUCGUCAUCCAUCUAAACAAUGAUAUACGCGAGAAGAGCUAUCACUAUGAGUGAGAGCGGAACUAUGCAGUACAUGAGUUUGUAUCCCUCUCUCACAUUAGCGUGAACCUAAACUAACUACUGGCUGUUGCUCGGAAACCGGAAAACGGUACACCUGGGCCUGACACUCCGGCCACUCGUCGUAUACUCCUGGCGUAGCACUUCUUCGCCAUCGAUGAUCUAUGCACCUGCAUCGUCACAUGAGUCGAUGAUAUGCAACAUAUAUAGUUGAGCAACAGAAAGAGACAGACGUGGCAAAAGUAGAAGCAACAUAUCAUAAGCAUAAAUAACAAAGCUCAUCGUACGCAAAAUGCCCUAACUAGAGUGAUCUGCGCUAGUCAAGGAGGACGGUUUAAUUACAUCACAAAUAAUGUUUCGUCGUGCAUUACUCAAAGUUCCGUCAUACAGAAAGUAUGAACUAAAUGGACACAUUGUCAUAUUUCGAAAAUCACUCCCACAUGUCGUGCCAUCCAUCCAAGUCAAGGAGAUAGUGCCCGAGCUUAGUGAAAGGCUUUAGGUCAAGAUGCUGAGUGGCUACGCGUGUUCGGACGUCUUCCCACGACAUUUGUCCUUCUUCAUAGAACAUCCCUGUUUUUUCGACGACCUCCUUCAUCACUAGAAGAAAAAGGGCCUGUUGUCCCGGUUCUGGAACCGGGACUAAAGGGUCGGUACUAAUGCCCUGUCCCUUUAGUCCCGGUUCAAUCCAGAACCGGGACAGAUGGGCCUCCACGUGGCCUGUGCGCGGAGCCCAGGCAGGAGACCCUUUGGUCCCGGUUGGUGGCACCAACCGGGAACAAUAGGCAUCCACGCGUCAGCAUUUCUGUGGUUGGGGUUUUUGUUNNNNNNNNNNNNNNNNNNNNNNNNNNNNNNNNNNNNNNNNNNNNNNNNNNNNNNNNNNNNNNNNNNNNNNNNNNNNNNNNNNNNNNNNNNNNNNNNNNNNNNNNNNNNNNNNNNNNNNNNNNNNNNNNNNNNNNNNNNNNNNNNNNNNNNNNNNNNNNNNNNNNNNNNNNNNNNNNNNNNNNNNNNNNNNNNNNNNNUGGUGUUUCAUAUAUUGUGUUAGCUAGCUAUAAUUAAUAGAGAAAAGUGUCCUCUCUUAUGUCCGUGCUUGGUCGACGCUACGUACUAUACAUACGUAUAGAGAGGACUAGACACGCUAGCUAGCUAGUAAGCAAACGAAGGAAACAGAAGAUCGUCAUGAACAUAUAUGCAUACAGGACUAGACACGCUAGCUAGCUAGUAACCAAACGAAGUUCAACUAGUAAUGGCGCACCACUCCCACGGUGCGCCAUUAGUAGUUUUGAAAAAAAUUAAUUUUUUUUUUUACUAAUGGCGCACUGUGGAUGUGGUGCGCCAUUAGUAUUUGGACACUAAUGGCGUACCAACACAUGGUGCGCCAUUAGUAUAUAGUAAUGGCGCACCACAGGUCUGGUGCGCCAUUAGUGUCAAUUCCAUCUAUAGCCCUUUUCCUAGUAGUGUUAGGGACGGUCUCAAUGAAACAACCCACCAUGUACUCCUGCAUGGCCUCUCAUCGAUACCUUUACCGAAACAUGUGCAACACAUUCCUCAUAUUACCGACAUAAUCAUAUCACCCUAGCCCAUCACCCAGAUGAACCAGACCUGACACAACUAUAAGCAUAGCAGGCAUAGCAAGGUAGGAAUCACAUACAUGGCUCAAUCAACUCCUACACAUGCUAGUGGGUUUCAUCUAGUUACUGUGGCAAUGACAGGUCAUGGAGAGGAUAAGGGUUCAACUACCGUAGCACACAGCAGUUUGAAUGGCGUUGUCUUAAUGCAGUAAACAAGAGCAGAGGCGAGAACAUGGGUUGUAUCGGAAUGAUCAAUGGGUUGCUUGACUGAUGGAGUGGUAGUGGGAUACUACCCUUCAGUUGGAUACUCGUGAAUAUCCUCGGAGGCAGAACCUACCACGAAGAACACAUCGGAACACAAUCAACACAUGACGAUAUGCAACACUAUGAUGCAUGCUAUGACAUGGCAUUAUGAAUGUGUCUUGGCCUAAUGCAAGCUAAAAUAGAAAGGGAUGAACUCAUUUGAAUCAAAGAUUCAAAUAUUAGCUCAUUAAACAUGGCCUUAGUAGUGCAUUUCCUUAUUCUGCUUAAACAGCAAGGUAAACUUGUUUUGUCAUACAUGAAACCAUUACAGAUGGAUGUAUUGAAUUUUUCUGAUAAUUUUUCAUAUAUAAAUUAUUUCAUUUGGAGUUACGGUUGAAUUUCUAUGAUUUUUAGAAGUUUUAAACAUUUUCUGGAAUUUCCUGAAUAAAAAUAAAUCCAGAAAAUGCAUUACUGCGUCAGUAUUGCAUCAUGCUGACCUCAGCAGGUCAAAGGCGCCAGCCCAGGUCAAAACUGACUGGUGGGCCCCUUCUGUCAGUCUCUCAGUUAAAUAAUAGGAUUAGAUUAACACUAAUUAGCUGUCAGUGGGGCCUGGGCCCACAUGUCACUGACUGAUUAAAAUAAAAUUAGUUAAAACUAAUCCUUGAUUAGUUAGCAGACCGGCCCCUCCUGUCAUAGACUCAGGGGGGUCUACCUGGGCCCACCCAGGGUCAAACUGGGUCAAACUCGCCGGCGUUGAGCCGCCGGCGAGACCCGAGACGGUGGCGCAGCUCGGAAAACGCCUACAGGGCACGAGCGAGGCCGUUCUUGGGCUCGUUGGAGAGCUCUUGCAGCCGCGCAUCUAGUGGUGGUGGGGGCCGGAGACGACGACGGCGAGCUCCAAGGCGGCGGCUGGAGUUCGGCCAUGUGCGGGGUGUGGGCUGUGGCGUGCAAACGUGGAAACUGAAGCGCUAGCGAGGCACUACGCGAUGCGGCAAGCACGUUGCAUAGCACGGGAUGAUCCAAUGGUCGCCGGAGCGGCGCCGGCGACAAGCUCGAGCCGAGACGAGCUUCGGCCAUGGUGGAACUAUGGCCUAGAGGGUGCAAACGCGUGGAAAAGAAGAGGGGAAAGGUGGCGGAGCUCACAGGGAGGUCGAUGAGCAGCUCAAUGGGCUCGGGGGUCACCGGAGUGAGGCGAAUCGAUGAGCGGCGUCCGGCGGGUACCGAGGUUGAAGACGAUCCGAUGGCGGCGAUGCAGGGACUCCGGCGAUGCGUGGCUCAGUGGGGAGGGCGAGGGCGUCACAGCGGAGCUUCUGGACAGGUCAGAGAGGCGAGGGGGUGACGGAGGGCGCGACUACGGCGGUGAGACGGCGACGGGUGCGUCGGCCAUUGCGGGAGAGGGAGAGGGAGACAAGUGGGAGAGUGAGAGAGGAUGAGAGGGGGACGUGGGGGUCGCGUGGCAUUCCCUGGACGUCUCCCAGCAUCGGCGGAAGCAGGAGGUGGCCGGCGUGUGGCCGCGGGCGCCGGCCACGCGCUCCACGUCCUUCUGGCGUGAGGAGGACGACGACUGGCAGCGCCAGUAGGCUGGGCCGAGCCAGGGGGCUGGCCAGCACAGGUAAGGCCCAGGUGGGCAUCUCCCUCUUUUUUUUAAUUUGUUUCUGUUUUCUAUUUAACUGUAACUGUUGGGCUUUAUUUAAAAUACUAAAACAUUUCCAAAAAUCCUGAAAAUAAUUGUGGGCUCUGUUUGGAUUAUUUCCAACAGCAGACAUUUAUUUCCAGAAUUAUUUGAGCAUUUAAAUGCCCAAAUUCAAAUACUUAUGAUUUAAAUCAAUGACCUUCUAUUGACCUCGAAAAGUUGUGCACCAAUUUUGCCAGAGGUUCUAACCCAAGACAAAGAGGGUGAACUUUUUAGAAGGGCAUUUCAGGUUCAUUGAAAAUAAUUUUAGUAAUCCCUAGUUGUUUCCAGGGGGGUGUUGGGGGUUUCUGCCUUCCCCAAUUCAAAUUUAAGAGGAAUUUAAACAUGAUGCACAUUCUAAUGCUUGAUCUAGCUAGGGUGUGACAACUCACCCCCACUCAAAAGAAUCUCAUCCCGAGAUUUAGGAUCCUCUGGAAAGAAGGUGGGGUACUCGAGUCGAAGACGAUCCUCCCUUUCCCAAGUGGCUUCUUUCUCGGAAUGGUGUGACCAUUGAACCAUGAGAAACUUGAUAUUAUGACGUCGAGUAGUAUGCUCGGCUUGAUCAAGGAUACGAACGGGAUAUUCCUGAUAAGAGAGGUUAUCUUGUAGAUCAAGCGUUUCGUGGUCCACUCCACGGAUAGGAUCCGCGAAGCAACGCCUGAGUUGUGAAACGUGGAAGACAUCAGGAACUCUGGAAAGAUGCGGAGGUAGUUCCAAUUGGUAGGCAACUUCUCCUUGUUUGGCAAGAAUGCGAACGGGUCCAAUGUAACGAGGAGCCAAUUUGCCUUUGAUACCGAAACGAUGGGUUCCUUUUAACGGGGUAACCCGAAGGUAAGCCUUCUCAUCGACUUCAUAAGUCAUAGAGUUAUGUUUAUGAUCAUAUUGACUCUUUUCACGAGAUUGGGCUGUUUUCAAUUUCUCACGAAUAACGCGAACCUGCUCUUCCGCUUCCUGAAUCAUAUCCGGGCCAAAGAGUUGUCUUUCCCUGGUUUCUGACCAGUUAAGGGGUGUUCGAUAUUUUCGUCCAUAGAGAACUUUGAAAGGAGCUUUGCCCAAGCUAGCUUGAUAACUAUUGUUAUAAGCAAACUCUGCGAAUGGGAGGCAUUUCUCCCAACUCAUUCUGAAUGAGAUAACAGAAGCUCAGAGCAUAUGUUCCAGAAUUUGAUUGACUCGCUCUACUUGACCACUUGACUGAGGAUGGAAGGCGGUACUAAAAGAGAGACGAGUUCCCAUAGCAUUUUGGAAACUUUCCCAAAAUCGAGAGGUGAAGAGACUCCCACGCUCUGAGUUAUUUUCCAAUGGGACACCAUGGAGAGACACUAUUCGGGAGAUGUAUAAAUCGGCUAGCUGGCUAGCAGUGAUACUCUCACGAACAGGUAGGAAAUGGGCUACUUUGGAAAGACGGUCGAUGAUGACGAAGAUGGCAUUAUUCCCUCUCUUGGUCCUGGGAAACCCAGUAAUGAAAUCCAUACUGAUUUUAUCCCAUUUCCAUUCAGGAAUAGCCAAAGGUUGAAGGGUGCCAGUAGGCCGUUGAUGCUCUGCUUUAACACGAAUACAGACGUCACAGCUAGCAAUGUAUCGAGCAAUUUCUCUCUUCAUCCUAGUACACCAAAACCUCUCGCGUAGGUCUUGAUACAUUUUUGUGCUACCGGGAUGAAUGGUGAGAGGGGAUUCAUGAGCUUCCUUAAGGAUCAAUUGGCGUAGAUGUUGUUUCUUGGGAACCACCAAACGGUUCUCAAAGAAGACAGCACCCCGCUUAUCCAUGGAAAAACAUUUAGCAACUCCGCUAGCAAUGUUUUCCUUAAUCCGGGAUAUGCCCUUAUCAUACCGCUGGGCAGUUAUGAUCUGAUCCAUAAGGUUAGGUUUCGCCACCAGGGUGGAUAGGAAUCCUCGAGGAACAAUGUGAAGAUUAAGCUUACGGAAUUCCUCAUGGAGAAGUGGUUGACUUUGUUGUAACAUCAGGUUGUUACAACAGGAUUUACGGCUUAGCGCAGCAGCCAUGACAUUGGCUUUGCCCGGUGUGUAGGUUAUUCCUAAGUCGUAAUCCGAGAUCAACUCAACCCAACGUCUUUGCCUGAGAUUCAAAUCUGGUUGGGUGAAGAUAUAUUUCAAGCUUUGGUGAUCGGUGAAGAUCUCGCAACGAUUACCGAGGAGGUAAUGUCGCGAAGUUUUAAGUGCAUGGACUACAGCUACCAGCUCUAGAUCAUAUGUGGGAUAAUUUUCCUCAUGUGGGUGUAAUUGCCAUGAAGCGUAGGCAAUUACCUGAGGAUCUUGCAUGAGUAUGCAACCUAGUCCUUGUCGCAGAUGUCAGGCGUCUUUUCAGUUCCUGAAAGCUGAACUCGCACUGUGGAGUCCACUCGAACUUUUUAUCUUUCUUGAGGAGUUCAAUUAGAGGUUUAGCAACCUUGGAGAAACUCUCGCCGAAGCGGCGGCAAUAGCUCGCUAAGCCAAGGAAGCUCCAAACUUGCUUGACCGUCUCAGGUGGAGUCCAAUCAAGGACCGCUUGAACUCGCUCGGGAUUGACGGCAAUACCCUUACCAGAGAUUACAUGGCCUAGAUAGGUUACUUCUGGCAACCAAAAUUCACACUUGGAGAACUUGGCAUAAAGGCGAUGCUCUCGAAGUUUCAUCAAUACCAGCCUUAGAUGUUCGGCAUGUUCCUCUUCAUUCUUGGAGUAGAUGAGUAUGUCAUCGAGGUAUACUACGACGAAUUUAUCCAAGUACUCCAUGAAAACCGAGUUCAUUAACCGGGAGAAGGUAGCCGGGGCAUUGGUUAAACCGAAGGACAUAACGGUGUACUCGUAUUGGCCAUAACGAGUAACAAAGGCCGUUUUGGGAAUGUCCCCGUUUCUGAUUUAGAUUUGAUGGUAGCCCAACCUCAAAUCCAUCUUGGAAAAGACUGAGGAUCCAGCGAGCUGAUCAUACAGAUCGUUGAUCCUGGGAAGUGGGUAUUUGUUCUUGAUGGUGACAAAGUUGACAGGUCGGUAAUCCACAACCAUUCGAUCUGUUCCAUCCUUCUUCUUGACGAAGAGGAUGGGGCAAGCCCAAGGAGAGGAACUAGGACGGAUGAAACCCUUUUUCAAGGACUCAUCGAGUUGGUUCUUAAGCUCGGCUAGUUCUAAGGGUGCCAUCUUGUAGGGUCUUCUAGAAAUUGGAACGGUUCCUGGAACAAGGUCUAUCACAAACUCGACAUCCCUGUCAGGUGGAACACCUGGCAGUUCUUCUGGAAAGACAUCCGGAAAGUCUCGGACUACCGGAACAUCCUCAAGGUCUGGAAGGGGGUUGGCAUUUAGGGAGUAAAGUUGGCGCUUGGCCACUCGAGUUAAGACAUUAACUGUCUUGCCCAAUGGGUGAGUAAGUUGAACGGUUCUAGUGGCACAGUCAAGCUUAGCAUAAUGAGCUGACAUCCACUCCAUACCUAAGAUGAUGUUUAUGUCCGAGGACUUGAGAGCUAUUAAGGAUACAAGGAAGACAAGUCUAUCGACAAGAAUUUCGUUCCCAUGGCUUACUCUAGAAGUUUGCCAUCUAGAGCUAGGGGUUUGAAUUUCCAUGGUAGAGGGCAUGUCACAGAAUGUCGUGUUGUGCAAUCGAGCAUAGUUCUCGGAUAUGAAUGGAUGAGAUGCUCUAGUAUCGAAAAGAACAGAUGUCGGAUGGCAGUUAACAAGGAGCGUACCAAGGACGAGGUUGGGAUCCUCAUGAGCCUCCUCGGCUGAAACAUAGUUGACAUGGCCACGUGCAGUGGUGGCUGGCUUGGCGUAGAAUGUUUUCCCCGCGGGCUUACCACGGCCAACGGACUUUCCAGUUUGAUUGGGGUUGUUGUUCUGGGGACACUCUCGGCUAUAGUGACCCGGCUCUCCACACUUAAAGCAUGUCACCACAUUGGGGCGUGGAGCAGCAUUAGCAGUAGGGCCACCAUAGGGCUUGGGCGGUGCAAAUUGCUGGUUGGGACGUGGUGCCUCAAAGGAUGGCCUCGGGAUGAACCUGGGUGGCAGUGCCGUGCUUGGAAUCCACACCCGGCGCUUCUGAGCUCUAGAGCCGGAUGAAGAGCCAAAAUCACGGGAGUGCUUGCAUGAAGCGUCAUAAUCAGUCUGGCCUUUCUCAGCACUGAUGGCUUUAUUGACCAACUUCUGAAAGGAGGUGCACUCGGGCAGACGAAGAUCGCGGUGAAGCUCAGGGCUAAGUCCCUUGCGGAACCUUGCCUGCUUCUUAGCAUCAAUAGAUACCUCUUUAGGGGCAUAACGUGCCAGAUUCCGAAAUUCACGACCGUAAGCAUCCACAGUCAGUCUUCCUUGGGUGAAGUUGCAGAACUCCUCCCUCUUGCGAUCCAUGAGACCUUCCAGAAUGUGAUGCUCACCGAAAGCCUCACAGAAUUCAGCCCAAGUAGUGAUUUGGCCGACCGGGCGCAUAGCUUCGAAGUUUUCCCACCAAAGGCUAGCAGGGCCUUCGAGGUGAUAGGCAGCAUAAGUAACCUUGUCGGCUGCGGCUGCGUUGGCAGAACGUAGCUUGUGGGUGAUGCUGUGAAGCCAGUCAUCCACAUCGAGGUACUCGACGGAAUGGUUAAACUUUGGUGGGUAUAGCUUGAUAAAGUCAUUGAUUGACACCAAUCAUUUCGUGGGUGGCGUGCAGUGUUCUGCUCAAUCCGCUCCAACAGGCGGUUGGUCUGACGCUUCUUUAUUUCCGCCUCCAGCAUUACUUCGGCCAGAGAAGGCGGGUGAGGCAGAUUUUCACCUCUAGCAGCACUGGCUUCCCCCUGCUCCAGGGCAGCAGGGUUGCUGCGGGUGUUGACCAUCCUAGGAGAAAACAAGACAACGGUUUAGACAAGGAUGUCUCAAAUUAGCAAGGAUGUGCAGAAUGUAAUGGAUAACACGGAAUGCAGAGAUGUUCAUCCGUAUGUCAUGGUAAUAUAAAACUGCCAUAUAUAUACCAACGGUCAUACACAUCAUACAUAGUUUAGUACAAGCCCAGGCUACAAUACAACUAUGAUGAAAGACGUUACAUCUCAUCGGAGGCAUUCCAAGCUCCUAUACAUUAUUGUCUACACCUCCAAAAUUGAUUACACGCAAAGUCAUAUUCCAAAAGUCACGCAGGACAGUGGAGAUACAGCUACUACAAUACUAGUGGUACUACUACUAACUCAGACAGCUCCGUAGUAGUCCUCAUAGAAGUCACCUCCAUAGCCUGGAAGUUCAACGGGACCAUCCGGGAACAGACGGUCCUGAGGAGCCUGUGGACCAUAGGGGCUAGGAUGGUGUCUUGGACCAACAAACGGUGGCCUGCGGGAACCACGGGGUGGGGUGAUGCCUCCCACAUCACGCCAAUCCACCACGUCUGGCAAAGCAGACCUCACAGGAUACAGAUCCCUUGUAUCCAUACAUCUAGCUUGCACCGCAGGUGCAAACCGAGCCAAUGUGGCCCAAUGAUCAGCACGGGUAUUAAAAAGCUCCAGCCUCAAGGCCCGAUUCUCUCGGUCCUUAUCUUCGAGCAUCUCAGCAGUGGUACGAGUUAAUGAAUCCUCCUGAGUGGAGACAGCAUAGAUAGCCUGAAGAUACCCUUGCGCUCCCGGAAGUGAAGCUGGCAUGUAUCGGAAGUCGGUGUUCCGAAGCAGGCCAGUCCGGACUCGCAUGAUGGUCAUCAUGUAAUAGGCAGCAUCCUGCACAGCAAUCUCAACAGUAACCCCGAGUCCAUAGGAAUAGUGAAGGGGCUCGGUAGAUCCAGGAUAAGAAGGAAAUAUCCUGACAGUGCAGAAAUACUGGCUUUGAUUAAAGUCUCGGAAUUGCUCUUCGACGGUGUAUUCGAGAUACCAACGGUAACCCGUCUCGAUCAUGACCCGGACUAACAUAGCAGUAUGACCGGGCACGUCGAGCCACCGGGUUAGGCGAACCACUUGGUUUUGAGCACGGUUGGCCAUCUGAAAGCACAACCACAAUGCAAAGACAUCAGAAUUUCUAGGGAAAAUUGGACAGCAUAACAGCUGUAAAUGCUCAGAAAAAGAUUUGAGACAUCCACAACAGUUCGCAAUACCACUCAAUAACAUCAUAUCAAGGUUCUGAUCCAAAUAGCAACAUACUAAAAAUAGUAGAAACUGAACUGGGGCUUGUAACAACAAUCCUAUAAGCUACUACGGAUUAGUAACACGUGAACCUGAUAGAAGAAGAGAGCCUAGUCCUUAACCCACGUUGAAUGAGAAGGGAAUGACUCAGAUAAGAGGCAUAGGGUAAAGGAGUAAAAGAGACUUACGUUCCCUCCCACAAUCAAUUCCCCUACAUAUAACUAAAGCAUUUCCAGACUCGACAUCGACCAGUUUGGCUCAACGAACCUACAAGCAGUCUGGCUCUGAUGCCAACGCUGUCAGGACCCCGAUUCCAAGCCACAUCGAUCUAGCCGGUAACACCUCAUAUCACUUUGCGGCCUCACGCACGAUAUUCCACGGGUGUCGCCUUACCAUGGCCCGGGACCGUUUGCGCCUUUUGGCUCACGUAUAUGAUAGUGUUGUUAGCAUCCAUAUGACAGAGAACCUGGGCCGACAUGGCUAGUCGUGAACCCAAAGCGGCACAGACCUAUGGAGACAGGCAUACAUGAAUCACAUCGAGCAUGUCGGUCAUCAGCGAGUGAUUCCGGGCUGUAGCACUGGGCUAACAGGACUCCGGGGAACCCGGGCUGUAGCAGGCUAGGCAGGACUCCGGAAGUCACCGCGUGACAUUUCCCCGAAGGGACAGACAUAGGAACGAAGUGAAUCACAUGCCGGCCAUUCAAGUGUCCUAAGUAGUAGUGCUGGGCUAGCAGGACUCCGGUGAACCAGGCUGUAGCGGACUACUAUGGCUCGAGGAACACUAGACUACAUUUCCCCAUAAGGAAGGCUGCCAAGGAUAAACAACUAGAUUGUUGGAUCCCACUCAUACCAAGCAUUUCAAUCAUACACACAAUAUGCCCGAUAUGAGUACAUACAACAUGGCAUCACAACAAAACUCUACAACUCAAGUACUUUAUUUAAAUGCUCCAGAGAGCCAUACAUAACAUGUUCAUACAGAUAGGGGUCACAUGACCCGACACUCAAGUCAUACAAUCAUACAAGCACAUGCGGAAGCAACCGGUCUGAGUACAGACACUAGAAAGAAAGAAGGCUCCUCGAGGCCUGUCUAUCUACAUAGGGCCCUCCAUGGCCAGGAUCACCACCUGGGUGGCUAGUCACUCGUCGAUGUCAAGGUCUACAUAGAACCCAUAGGAGGGGGCGGUGUUGUCGUCUGAAAACGGUAAUUAAGCAAACAUGAGUACAAAGGUACUCAGCAAGUCUUACAACAGAACCUACUAUACAUGCUUAUUCUCAAGAAGGUGGUGGGGAUAUUGCAGCAAGCCAGCUUUGACUCUUGGCUAAACUAUCCUACGGAACAUCUCUAGUAAAAUAGUUUUCGCACACGAGUCCACUACUCACCAACACAAUACUCCACCGGGGAUCCUCCCUCGUCAUCCUAUGAGAGGGUGUCGGGGGUGUCUGAUCCCUCGCACACCUAUGGGGAUCAGCGGACCGAGCCCCUUUUGGUUCGGUAGGGGGCGGUGGAUGCACAAAGAGUAGAUCGAGGCGAAACACAUGAGCGAGACAAUCGAUUUACCCAGGUUCGGGCCACACGGAUGCGUAAAACCCUACUCCUGCUUUGGUGGUUGUAUUGAGUUUUUUCUCGGGAGCAGCUGGCGAGACCGAGCGUGAGAAUGGCUGUCCCCCCCCUGUUGCGCAUGGGCCUCCUUUUAUAUGUCUAAGGGGUCACCGACACGUGGCAACAGAGGUAAGGGUAAAAAUGUAAAAGGGGUGGUAGUUGGCUCCACCGCCUACAUGUCGCAUCCUACCUAACUCUGACGGCAGGGGACAAGGGCAUUAAAUGCCCGUCUGUGUCACCUUGACGGCCCAGAGAGGGACCACUAGGAACGCCACCGUUUGCCACGACGGUUCCUUGUCAGCGUCUGCUUGCCAUUGCAUGCCCCCGGCUGCACAGCCUCCCGCCACGUACGCCAGGAAUGGCCCCAGGGCGACACGUUGGUGGGUGAGCUGGAGCGCGGGCUGCGGGGUAGUGGCUUGCCGCGGCAAGUGCCUUGCCGCGGGUGUUGUCUUGUCACGUCCGGGAGCUUGCCGCUCACCGGGUCUUGUCGGGGCACGCGGUGCGCCGCAGCGAGUCUCUUGAGAUGCUUUGGUUGUCUUCCCGGCAAGCUCCUCUUGCCGGGGUCUCGUCUCCUUCCCGGCAAGCUCCUCUUGCCGGGGCCUUGUUCCCUUCCCGGCAAGCUCCUCUUGCCGGGGCCUUGUUUGGAUCUUGGAUACUUUGUUCUUGAAUGGCUCCAGAGGAACCAUGGAGGGUCUUGGCGGUCGCCCGGCAAGCCUUGCCGCGGGUCGCUGCGACUACCCAUGCACAAGUUCGGGGUACUAAGGUACCCGUACUUUAGCACACCGACAGGAGCCCCCAGGCCUGGGCCAUACACGGUGCCGAGCGCUGUUGGGCCAGGCCCAAAACAGUGCAAGGGCACGCGCGGCCUGGGUCACGCCAUAACUGAUUCCGUAUCCACCGCGCUCUCCCCAAACGGCACGCGUCAAACGCGGCAUCGUGGGAGAGAUCGUGGGCGGUUUUCGAGGUGCCCACUCCCCACGAUCACGGGGUGGGGAGAGACCGCCCCAUCCGUCGCCUCGGUUCUGCACGCCUGCCACGCGGUUCCCGUGCACUUGGGGUCGCGGGCGGCGGAAGCGGGAAACGGGGCCGUCGUGGGUCGAGGGAGUGGGUCGGCCCCGGCUCCCCGCGUCUUGAUUCGCUGAGCGGGGCGGCCGAGCCCCCACCUUGCUCCUUUAUAAAGAGCGGGAGGGGAGGACGGGAGCCUGCAUCCUCCCAUCUUCUCCUUCCUUCAGCUCCUGCUCCCCUCCCCCCAUUCGCCAUGGAGAGAGGGAACCCUGGUCCUUCGUCAGUGGCGGCAAGGGUUGCCGCCAGGCAGCGCAUCCCUCCCUCUCCCGCACCCGUGGCGGCGGAGCCAGCCAUAAGGGGAAGAGGGAGGGGGCGAAGUCGUGGACGAGGCCGUGGCGCUCGGGGAAGAGGUGGGCGAGGCGGCGCGUCGGCUUCGCCUCCGCCGGCGGCUCUUCUUCCCGCGGUGGCCCAUGCCGGGGACGACCCUUGCGAGUUAUUCGUCAGGCUGCGCCGGGCGCCCCGCCGUCGCCUCUGACUCCCGGAUCCGUUUGCGGAAGUGGUGGAGUUGGACCCGCCCGAGACGCUGAGGCUGCAGAUGAGGGCUGUGGGAUCAGCGGCACGCGGGUCCGCGCCGAAUUCCCAGCCCCCGGCGUGAUUUAUCUUGGCCGAGGGUGGAAGACGUUCGCCCGCAUCCACAGCUUGACACCGGGGCUGACCCUCCACUUCAAGUUGGUGGAGGGUGAUCUCCUCUCCGUCAAGGUCUUCGGGUGCUUCAGCGUCCGGGCCCGGUGCUGCGUGGAAAGCUCCUCCGAUAGCGAAGGCUCCUCCUCGAGCAAGAGUGACGAGGAGGGAACGACAGCGGCGACGAGGGGAGCGGGCGGCAGGAUGGCGGGUCCGACUAGGUGUCGGGCGCCGCUCCGCGCGGCACCAGCAACCCCAUCAUCCGGGUCGCCGGCUCCUUGAACUCCCCGGGGGCGUCUCCUUGGGCGGCUGGCGUAGGGAGGCUGCGAAAGAGGAAGAGGGCAGGCGGCAAGGCCGUCAGGUCGGAGUACGAUGGCGUGGUGCCCUCGACAGCGUGCUGACGUCCUGCCGCCUCGUCUUCGAGCCCCCCUUCCGGCGCUGCCAUCACCAUCCAGCCUUGAAGGCCCCCGGGAUGUUCUCUUGGUGUCUUCUGGCACCCGUAGUUCCCCUAGGCACUCCUUUUGCCCUUCUCGCCUCCUUGACCUACCUCCUGAAAAGAGGGGCAGGAAAGAGAUUACGGGCAUCUUAUCUUUUUGAUUUGUAAGCCCUCGGGCCUUAGUUGCAUCUAAAACUUGUAAUCCUCUCUUUCAUGUUUUCCAUUCUCCAUGUACUGUACCUGCGUGGAAUGUUUUAAUGAAAAGGGGAUGCUUGCCAGGUUACUCGUCUCGCGGGUAGAACCCAUGCCAAGGAGCAAAUCCUUGGUAUCUCACAGAUAGACACUCCCUCCCCAGCAACAGGCCCUGCCACAUACCCACGUCGCUCGACCUUUCUCACGCUCUUGACGGAGGCAGAGACGAGGCGGGUGCGGCCCCUCGUUUCAUCCCUUUCCCGCCGCGACUGCGACCAAAGCUUGGCCCUGGGGCCCCAGGGACCAAAGCUAAGGGAGCACGGUGGCUUUCGGGAAGAAGCGAGGUUUUGUAUUCCCAGUCCAAAAGAGAAUGCACGAAGAGGGAUGAAAGACUUAUCUGAGACUGCAGCCCCCGGCAACUCUGGCUUGCCGUGGGGUGAACCUUGGUACUUGCAGCCUCCAGCAACUCUGGCUUGCCGGGGUUCGGAUGCCGGCACGUCCUUCUUCUCCCUUUCGUCCUCACGCGGUCCGACAAGGAUAUGCAAGCCCUGCGAACCAAAGGAAACAAAGGAAGGACAAAGGGACGCACACUAGACCUCUAAGUUAGGGGUUAGCUGCUGUUAGGCACUAUCAACCCUAACCGAGGACUCGACUCGACCUAGCAUGCAUGCUGUAACUCUGGGCGCCAGCGCUUCAUUAUCUUGUGCUCAAGGUCUGUGCCUGGCUUUGUACAAAGGAUUACAUGCAACAGCGUCAAGACUUGUACAAAAGGGUGGUUGCCGGACAGGGUCCGACAACCGCGCCUUACGGGUAAAACUUACAAAGAAGCUUGAUAUUCCAGGAGUUGCUCACUAGUACGCCAUCUUCGGUCUCCAGGCGGACAGUGCCAGGCCUGGUGACUCGUUUCACCCGGUAAGGGCCUUCCCACUUCGGCGUCAACUUGUUGGAAUUCUUGGCGGACUGAACGCGCCGAAGAACAAGGUCGCCUUCCUCGAGGCUCCUAGCAUUAACUUUGCGGCUAUGAUAGCGGCGCAAAGCUUGCUGGUAGCGAGCGGCUCGCACAGCAGCCUGGAGACGAUCUUCCUCAAGGAGCAGCGCGUCAUCUUGCCGCAGCUGCUCUUGCUCAAGCUCAUCAUAGCACUCGAGGUGACCCGUAUACGAGUUCCAUGGGGAUAACUGCCUCCGCUCCAUAGACUAGAGCGAAGGGUGUCUGCCCGGUGGCUCGAUUUGGCGUCGUCCUGAUCGACCAAAGAACCACCGGCAGCUCCUUGAUCCAGUUGCGUCCGCGCUUGUGCAGCCUGUCAAAUGUUCUGGUCUUGAGCCCGUGCAGCACUUCAGCAUUCGCCCUCUUAGCUUGGCCGUUGCUUCUCGGGUGAGCGACAGAAGCAAAGCAGAACUUGGCGCCAAGAUCUUGGACGUACUGCAUGAAGGCGCGGCUUGUAAAUUGUGUACCGUUGUCGGUGAUUAUCCUGUUAGGGAUUCCGAAACGGCAAACAAUCGACCUGAAGAAUUUGAUCGCGGACUGCGCCGUCACCUUCCUCACUGGUUCCACUUCCGGCCACUUUGUGAACUUGUCGAUUGCAACGUACAAGUACUCAAAGCCCCCGACGGAUCGGGGGAAGGGGCCGAGGAUAUCGAGCCCCCAGACCGAAAAUGGCCAGGAUAAAGGGAUCGUCUGGAGAGCUUGAGCUGGCUGGUGUAUCUGCUUGGAAUGGAACUGGCACGCUUCACACUUGGUUACUUGUGCAGUUGCAUCCUGGAGGGCUGUCGGCUAGAAGAAGCCUUGUCGGAAUGCUUUUCCGACAAGAGCUCUUGCGCCAAUGUGGUGACCACAUAUGCCUCCAUGUAUCUCUGCCAACAGCUUCUGUCCAUCUUCCCGAGGAAUACACUUCAAUUUCACACCGUUGAGUCUUCUUCUGCACAGUGUGUUGUCAACAAACUGGUACAUACUGGACUGCCGGGCUACUCUUUCUGCUUCUUCUGGUUCCUCGGGAAGCUCUCCUGUCUGAAGGAAACGGACGGUCUGCUACGCCCAUGUUGGAGCCUGUGGCUCGACAACAAGGACUAAAGGCACAUCUGCUGCUGUGGGAACGCCUACUUCUACGGCAGGAGCCUGCGACUCUGCCGGAGCUUGACAUUCCCCGACAAGCUUGCCGGAGCAGAGCUUGCCGGGAGUGUCUGCUGCAAUGGAACAAACCCUGGGGCUUGCCGGAGUAGACUGCUCCUCAGCACUCUUGGCGUCGAUCUUGGGGACCUUCUUGGCGGCGUCUUCGGGGAGCUUUGCCGGGAGAUAGUCACCAGAGAUCAACUUCCUCUUCUUGCUCUGUCCACUUGAUGGUGCCACGGAUGGCUGAGUUAGCUUGAGCACAAAGGUCCCUGGUUCCACAGGUAACUUAAGUGCUGCGCACUUUGACAGGCGAUCGGCAAUGUCAUUCUCAGCUCUUGGAACAUGUUCCAUUUGCAGGCUGUCAAAGCGCUCUUCCAGCUUCCUCACUUCAUCAACGUAAGCUUCUAUCAAUGGACUUUGGUAAUCUUUGUUCACUUGGCGGACGACAAGCUGCGAGUCACCCCUAACAAUGAGCUUCUUAAUCCCAAGUUCUGCCGCGAUCCUGAGACCGGCAAGCAAGCCUUCUUACUCUGCAGUAUUGUUUGUCGCUUGCUCCUUGGGAAAGUGCAUCUGGACUAUGUACUUGAGGUGCUCCCUGGUGGGUGCGACAAGCAGUACACCAGCACCGGCGCCUUGCAGCGAGAAAGCACCGUGAAAGUACAUGAGCCACUCUUUGCUUGCUUCCUUGGCGGGGAUGCUCGUCUCCGGAAUUUCUUCGUCUGGAGUUGGCGUCCACUCUGCUAUUAACUCUGCCAAUGCUCCGCUCUGGAUUGUUGAUGUACUCUCAAACUUGAGGCCAAAGCUUGACAGUUCCAGUGCCCACUCGACAAUCCUGAAUGUUGCUUCUGGAUUUUGCAAUAUCCUUUUCAGCGGAAAGCGAGUGACAACUGUGAUCUCGUGUGCUUGGAAGUAAUGACGUAGCUUUCUCGAGGCCAUGAGGAGGCCGAAAAGCAGCUUCUGCACACUAGAGUACCUUGACCUAGCCCCCUGUAAAAGGGAGCUGACAAAGUAAACUGGGUGCUGCACCAUUUUCUUCUGUAUCUCCUCUUGUAUCUGCGCAGAUCCUUGGUUGUCGGGACCAGAGCUUGUCGGGGAAGCCCCCUGCUUGUCGCUGGAUGUGCUUGCCGCGGCCGCUGGCUCGUCGUCGGCCUCCCUUUCCGCUACUAACGCAGCACUAACCACUUGAUUGGUUGCCGCUAUGUACAGGAGCAACUUCUCUUGUGGUUUAGGCGCGACAAGUGUUCGGGUGGACGACAGGUAUCUCUUCAAGUCUUGCAGCGCAGCCUCCGCUUCCGGAGUCCAUCUCAUUGGACCUGCCUUUUUCAAAAUUUGAAAAAGGGCAGGGCGCGCUCAGCAGACCAAGGGAUAAACCUGCUAAGAGCAGCUACGCAGCCGGCAAGCUUCCGUACAUCCGUGACGCGCUUUGGUGCUUCGAUCUGCUCAAUGGCCCUGAUCUUGUCGGGGUUGGCUUCGAUUCCCCGCUGAGACACGAAGAACCCGAGAAGCUUGCCGAAAGGGACUCCAAACACACACUUCUCGGGGUUGAGCUUGAGGUUGAUCUUGCGCAGAUAUGCAAAAGUCUCUUCUAAGCCUUGGAUCAGAGUUGCCCUGUCUUUGCUUUUGACCACUAUAUCAUCCAUGUAAGCUUCUACAUUUCUGUGUAUCUAUGGCUUCAAAGCAAUAUGGACUACUCUGGCAAAUGUUGAACCAGCAUUCUUUAAUCCGAAAGGCAUCCGUACGAAACAGUACGUGCCACAUCGAGUAAUGAAUGCGGUUUUCUCCUCAUCCUCUUCCGCCAUGAAGAUCUAAUGGUAUCCUGAGUAUGCAUCAAGAAAUGAAAGCAACUCACAUCCGGCCGUGGAGUCAACAAUCUGGUCAAUGCGCGGCAAGGGAAAUGGAUCUUUUGGACAAGCUUUAUUAACAUCAGUAAAGUCAAUACAAAGCCUCCAUUUCCCAUUCGCCUUGCGCACUACAACCGGAUUGGCCAACCACAUGGGAUGGAGCACCCCUCUAACGAGGCCUGCUGCUUCCAAUUUCUUGAUUUCUUCGGCUAUGAAUUCUUGGCGCUCCACCGCCUGUUUCCUGACCUUCUGCUUGACGGGCCGCGCAUGAGGACAAACUGCAAGGUGGUGCUCAAUUACCUCCCUGGGAACACCGGGGAUGUCAGACGGUUGCCAUGCAAACACGUCGACAUUCGCCCGCGGGAAAGUAACGAGUGCGCUUUCCUAUUUAGGGUCAAGCGUGGCACUGAUGGUGAAGGUACCACCAGUGCCGUCCUCCUUGGCGGGCACCUUCUUGGUAAGUGGUGGAGCGGCCAUCGUCUUCUUACUCUUGCAGCCGGAGCUCGAUGGUGCGUCCUCGACGGCAGCGCAGCACUCCGAAGAGGUGCGCCUGCCGGAGUAGGCAUCAGAGCACUCGCCGGGCUUGGUCUUCUUCUUGCCGGUGGAGCUCGAUGGUGCGUCCUCGACGGUAGCGCAGCACUCCGAAGAGGCGCGCUUGCUGGAGUGGGUACUAGAGCUCUUGCCGGACUUGGUCUUCUUCCCCCUGGGAGCUUCAGCGGCAAGUGUCUCGCGGUCUGUCGCGGCGGCAGCUUCCCGGUAGAUCUUGUCGGCGCAGAUAAGGGCGUCCUUCUUGUCGCCAGGGACAGAGAUGACGCUUAUCGGGCCCGGCAUCUUGAGCAUGUUGUAGGCAUAGUGAUAGGCUGCCAUUAACUUGGCGAGCGCGGGACGGCCAAGUAUCCCAUUGUAGGGCAAUGGGAAAUCGGCAACGUCGAAGGUGACCCUCUCAGUCCUGAAGUUCAUCUCACUGCCGAAUGUCACCGGCAGCGCGACUUUUCCCUUCGGCUUGCUCCUUCCCGGGUUAAUUCCUUGGAAUGUACCGGUUUCUUCGAGCUCACUGUCUGGGAUCUGGAGUUUCUGGAGCACAGCGGAGGAGAUCAGAUUCAGGCCGGCCCCGCCGUCAACUAGCAUCUUGGUGACCUUGAGGUUGCGGAUUGUUGGGGAAACCAACAACGGCAAGCACCCGACCGCAGUCGUGCGAUCAGGGUGGUCCUCAAUGUCAAAGAUGAUCGGCGUGCUGGACCACUUCAGAAGCUUGCGUGAUUCGACAGGUGGCUCUGCCGCAUUAACUUCCCGGAGCCACUGUUUGAGUUGGCGGUGGGAAGUGUGCAGAGAAGCGCCACCGUCAACACACAAGACUUCUGUAGCCUUCUGAAACUCCUGCUCGCUGUUCUCAACAUCAUCCAUGUCUUCGUCGUCGUCUUCGUCUUCGUCCUUAUCGCGGCCGCGAGGAGGUCUGUCUCCUUGCCGCUGCUUGGCCUUGCCACGGCUCCCUCCCGGGCCAGCGCGGUUCUUGCCGGCUUCUCCAUCGCCUCCUUGGGCUCUCUCCUUGUCGCGCCGCUCGUACUCACCUCUUUGUUGCUGGACAAGCUGCUCGACCCUCUUGCAGUUCUGGAGAUCAUGGCCCUUGGUGCGGUGGAUCUUGCAGUACUGCUUGUCGGAGCUGCCCUGCUUGUCGGCGGCCGCCACAGCCUGGCAGUUGGUACACGCGGCAACCUCUUUGCCGGAGCUGACAACUUUGGCUUGCUUGGCGGGGCCGUCAUCGCUGGACUGCUCAACGACCAGUACCUCUUUGCCGCUCUUCUUCUUGUUGGGCCUCCGGUUUUUGCUUGCCGGGGCGGCAUCCUCACUGUCAGAUAUCCCUGCUCUAGCAUCCUCUCCGGGGAGUUUCCUCCCUUCUUCAGCGCGUGCGCACUUGUCGGCCAGGGCGUACAGCUCGCUGACGUCCUUGAUCCUGCUCAUCGCCAUCUCCUCCCGCAUCCUGCAAUUACGCAUGUUCUGAUGGAACGCGCUGAUAACCGCGGUAGGGUGGAUGUCUGGGAUGUUGCGCUGCACGCGGCUGAAUCUCUGGAUAUACUUGCGCAAAGGUUCUCCUUCCUUCUGGGCAAGCAGGUGGAGGUCACUCUCUUGGCCGUGUGGUUUGUGGCCGCCUGUAAAGGCGCCGACAAACUGGUGGCACAAAUCCGCCCAAGAGGAUAUGGAGUUGUCCGGCAAGUGCAUGAGCUAGGAUCUGACUUCGGGCUUGAGCACGAGCGGGAAGUAGUUGGCAAGGACCUUGUCGUCUCGUCCCCGGCAGCUUGCACCGCAAUGGUGUAGAUGCUGAGGAACUCCGACGGGUGUGACUUGCCGUCGUACUUCUCCGGCACGUCUGGCUUGAAAUGCUUCUGGUUGGGCCACUGGACUUGCCGCAGCUCAUGGGUGAACGCGGGACAACCCGCCGCGUACGGCAAGUUACCUGGCUCUCCGGGUGCAUGCAUGUCAACAGAGGGCCCAGCGCACAGGUCAGAUUGACGCCGCGCUUCCCUUCGGCGCUCGAUGCAUGUUCAAGUGUCUUCUUGCUGUCUCUGAUGAAGAACUUGGCGUUGAUCGCGGUGAGCUCGCGGAUCUGACGACGCGGUGGAGUAGCCGUCGAGGUGGAUCCGGUGAGUCGGCGAUCUCGGCCUUCGGGGCGGAGAGUGCACAGUGGUUGCACCCUCACCGGUCUUGUCGCCACCGGCUCGCGCCUGGCUGACUUGCCGCGGCAGCGAUGCGCUCUGCUGCCGUGGGUUGUCACCAUUGGCGCAGCCGAUGAUGCUCUGAAUAGUGGCCCUCCAGUCAUCGAUCUUCUCUAGUGCUGGAGGGUAGUCUAGGAGCAGCUGGGCACGCGCCAACGGUUCCGUCGGAGUGGUGGGCGGCGGCAGCGAACGGUGCGAGGAGCGAGAUAUGCUCGGACUCCUAACCACGUUAGAAGGAGCAACAUCCCGUCCAAGCGACCGCGCCGCGCUCGCGCCAGCACGUUGGCGUGCCUGCUGAUCCUGAGCACUUCGGGAUCCGCCAGCUUGAUCUUGGCCCAGCAGGCGUAUGGUACAGUGGGUACCAUGACGCUACUGGUCCCGCGCCUCCUGGGAUGGGCGCGGUGCGUGUACGGACACCGAGGUCUCGGAGUGCGCGCGGUCGUCGUGGGAGGCGACCGCGCUACCGACGUGCGCCGCAGCCAGGCACUUGGACCUGGCAGUGCCAUGAGUCUCCCCGUCGGCGCCCGCCCUUCCGCCGGCGCCUACUUCACCCGCCGUUCGCUCCGGCGAUGGCGGGCUCGACGCGGACGGAGCGGCUACCUCCGAAGCCUUCUUCUUCGGCGGCAUGUUGAUGAAGACGAUGAAGAUUCGGCUCGCGCGAACGCCGGAUCAGGUUCGCACUACCUCGACGCACCCCCUACCUGGCGCGCCAAAGAUGUCGGGGGUGUCUGAUCCCUCGCACACCUAUGGGGAUCGGCGGACCAAGCCCAUUUUGGUUCGAUAGGGGGCGGUGGAUGCACAAAGAGCAGAUCAAGGCGAAACACACGAGCAAGACGAUUGAUUUACCCAGGUUCGGGCCGCACGGAUGCGUAAAACCCUACUCCUGCUUUGGUGGUUGUAUUGAGUUUUUGCUCGGGAGCGGCGAGUGCUACAGUACACUCAAGCAGCUGGCGAGACCGAGCGUGAGAAUGGCUGUCCCCCUCCCCCUGUUGCGCAUGGGCCUCCUUUUAUAUGUCUAAGGGGUCACCGAUACGUAGCAACAGAGGUAAGGGUAAAAAUGUAAAAGGGGUGGUAGUUGGCUCCACCGCCUACAUGUCGCAUCCUACCUAACUCUGAUGGCAGGGGACAAGGGCAUUAAAUGCCCGUCUGUGUCACCUUGACGGCCCAGAGAGGGACCGCUAGGAACGCCACUGUUUGCCACAACGGUUCCUUGUCAGCGUCUGCUUGCCACCGCAUGCCCCCGGCUGCACAGCCUCCCGCCACGUACGCCAGGAAUGGCCCCAGGGUGACACGUUGGUGCGUGAGCUGGAGCGCGGGCUGCGGGGUAGUGGCUUGCCGCGGUAAGUGCCUUGCCGCGGGUGUUGUCUUGUCGCGUUCGGGAGCUUGCCGCUCACUGGGUCUUGUCGGGGCGUGCGGUGCGCCGCAGCGAGUCUCUUGAGAUGCUUUGGUUGUCUUCCCGGCAAGCUCCUCUUGCCGGGGUCUCGUCUCCUUCCCGACAAGCUCCUCUUACCGGGGCCUUGUUCCCUUCCCGGCAAGCUCCUCUUGCAGGGGCCUUGUUUUUCUCUUGGAUACUUUGUACUUGAAUGGCUCCAGAGGAACCAUGGAGGGUCUUGGCGGUCGCCCGGCAAGCCUUGCCGCGGGUCGCUGCGACUGCCCGUGCACAAGUUCGGGGUACUAAGGUACCCCUACUUUAGUACACCAACAGAGGGCCAUCCUCGGUACUCACACUUAUCUUGAGUAUUUAGUAGUAUCCAUUUACUUGUCUAUGAACUGUAUAGGCAACCAAGUAGUCCUUUACCGCGGACGUGGCUAUUCGAAUAGUUUUAUACCCUGCAGGGGUGUACUUCGUCAUACACGCUUUCACCACUUAUCGCCGUUUACACGACAUGUACUCGGCAACCUUCAAGCGGAAGCCCAGCGAGGGUGUCGGCCACGGCCUACCUAAACACUUAAGUCUCUAGUCCAGGUUUAUCGCCUAUCCAGGUUCCAUCGGCAGGGAGUGCGGCCGAGGUUUCCACAUACGGCCCCGAACGAUGUGAACAGGGUUCCGAGAUGCCAAACGGGCGCCCGGCAUACCCGGCCAGGUGUAUCUACCGCAACAUAGCCCACCCCUAGGGUCAGCGCUACGCACGGCCGCCAACACAUAACCUACAAACCCAGAAACUAUAUGCAACUCCUGGACAGAGUACAAGGGUGAUUAAGAAGCCGAGAGGGUCAAUUAAGGAUCCCAAUGCGUGGUAGUAGCUGAAUCUUAAAUCAACAUACAGAUCUCAGUUCUUAGGGACGGUCUCAAUGAAACAACCCACCAUGUACUCCUACAUGGCCUCUCAUCGAUACCUUUACCAAAACAUGUUCAACACAUUCCUCAUAUUACCGACAUAAUCAUAUCACCCUAGCCCAUCACCCAGAUGAACCAGACCUGACACAACUCUAAGCAUAGCAGGCAUAGCAAGGUAGGAAUCACAUACAUGGCUCAAUCAAAUCAUACACAUGCUAGUGGGUUUCAUCUAGUUAUUGUGGCAAUGACAGGCCAUGUAGAGGAUAAGGGUUCAACUACCGUAGCACACAACAGUUUGAAUCGCGUUGUCUUAAUGAAGUAAACAAGAGCAGAGGCGAGAACAUGGGUUGUAUCGGAAUGAUCAAUGGGUUGCUUGCUUGAUGGAGUGGUAGUGGGAUACUGCCCUUCAGUUGGAUACUCGUGAAUAUCCUCGGAGGUAGAACCUACCACGAAGAACACAUCGGAACACAAUCAACACAUGACGAUAUGCAACAAUAUGAUGCAUGCUAUGACGUGUCUUGGCCUAAUGCAAGCUAAAAUAGAAAGGGAUGAACUCAUUUGAAUCAAAGAUUCAAAUAUUAGCUCACUAAACAUGGCCUUAGUAGUGCAUUUCCUUAUUCUGCUUAAACAGCAAGGUAAACUUGUUUUGUCAUGCAUGAAACCAUUACAGAUGGAUAGAUUGAAUUUUUCUGAUAAUUUUUCAUAUAUAAAUUAUUUCAUUUGGAGUUACGGUUGAAUUUCUAUGAUUUCUAGAAGUUUUAAACAUUUUCUGGAAAUUCCUGAAUAAAAAUAAAUCCAGAAAAUGCAUUACUACGUCAGCAUUGCGUCAUGCUGGCCUCGGCAGGUCAAAGGCGCCAGCCCAGGUCAAACCUGACUGGUGGGCCCCUUCUGUCAGUCUCUCAGUUAAAUAACAGGAUUAGAUUAACACUAAUUAGCUGUCAGUGGGGCCUGGGCCCACAUGUCAGUGACUAAUUAAAAUCAAAUUAGUUAAAACUAAACCUAGAUUAGUUAGCAGACUGGCCCCACCUGUCAUAGACUCAGGGGGGGUCUACCUGGGCCCACCCAGGGUCAAACUCGCCGGCGUUGAGCCGCCGGCGAGACCCGAGACGGUGGCGCAGCUCGAAAAACGCCUACAGGGCACGAGCGAGGCCGUUCAUGGGCUCGUUGGAGAGCUCUUGCAGUCGCGCAUCUAGUGGUGGUGGUGGCCGGGCCUACGGUGGCCGGAGACGACGACGGCGAGCUCCAAGGCGGCGGCCGGAGUUCGGCCAUGUGCGGGGUGUGGGCUGUGGCGUGCAAACGUGGAAACUGAGGCACUAGCGAGGCACUACGCGAUGCGGCAAGCACGUUGCGUAGCACGGGAUGACCAAAUGGUCGCCGGAGCGGCGCCGGCGACAAGCUCGAGCGGAGACGAGCUUCGGCCAUGGUGGCACUAUGGCCUAGAGGGUGCAAACGCGUGGAAAAGAAGAGGGGAAAGGUGGCGGAGCUCACAGGCAGGUCGAUGAGCAGCUCAGUGGGCUCGGGGGCGACCGGAGUGAGGCGAAUCGAUGAGCGGCGUCCGGCGGGUACCGAGGUUGAAGACAAUCCGAUGGCGGCGAUGCAGGGCCUCCGGCGAUGCGUGGCUCGGUGGGGAGGGCGGGGGCGUCACGGCGCAGCUUCUGGACAGGUCAGAGAGGCGAGGGGGUGACGGAGGGCGCGACUACGGCGGUGAGACGGCGAUUAGAAAGAAAGAUUUGGUUCACUCGUACGUGAAAAAAGGAACAAGCGCUUGAUGCCUUCCUUUGCAUCGAUGCCAGACGCGGUGCUGGGAAUCGACAAGAUAACCGCCAAUCUACCAGGAUUAAAUUCCUAGCGCCUCCUUCUAGCGCCUCCCACUGAAAAUGCCCUAACGAUUUUUGAGGGAUUUUUUUACUGUGUCCUACUUCACGAAUCACGAGGCAAAUCAAGUAGGCGGCAUGGCCUGGCCGGUGAGUGCCAUUGCACUUACUUGCCCCAGCAAUUUUCCGCGUGCAUUGUAGAAUUCUUUCUCCGAGUCCUGUGAAUUAAAGAUGGUGCAGACAAAAGUAUAUCCUGUAUGCGUACAUGUGCAUGAUCAGAACAUGUUUUUACGUGCGUCUACUAUAAAUCAUGACCAUUUUUAACACAAAUCAUGACCAUUCAUGAUUAGUGAAUCAUACUGUCUUAACUUAUGUGAAAUCAUGUGGAGUAAUAUAAUAUAAUAUAAUAGAUAGAUAGAUCCAUGUUGUAUUAUUUUUUGUUUACAAAAAAUAUCUGUCAUUACACAUUUUGAUUUAUGCAUUUGUUUACAAAAAAAACAGUAACAUUUCAUGGUGGAAAGUUUGUAUUGUUUCAUACUGAACACCAAUGUUUUCCUGUAAAAGAAAAUAAUGCCUACGCAUAUGCUUUUAUAUUAUUAUUAUUCUUUCAAACUUAUUCAUACAGUAUUUUUGAUUGUGCAACCAUAAUUUUUAUUGUCUCUCUCGUUCCACUACAUGCUCUUACUCAAUGAUUUUUUUUAUAACGGGUGUUUUUAUUAACUCAAAAUAUAGUAUCAAGCGGAUACAAAACAUAAUGAGCCACACCUGGUCUCUGCAUAACUAAGAUGCAUACAGCUAAAAGCAGAUGUCUGACAAAAAUAAGAUAAGAAAAUCGACAUAUCGACAACAGUGAGUCAUAUAGUUCCGACACUAUGCCUCUGUUGAAGGACGGGGUGGAGCGAUCUGAAGAUUAUGCUGCCCUCCAUGUUGAGUAAAUACCUCCCUGGCCACUUGUUCCAACCGCAUAGACGCCGCCACGAAUAAUGGUCGGUACUCUGUUCGGUGUAGCAUACACCAUGUAGGAAGUGAGUGCUCACUUCUAGUUACUAAAUUAUGUACACACUAAUAGAAAAAGGGCCAUUUGUCCCGGUUCGUAAGGCCCAUUUGUCCCAGUUGGGGAACCGGGACUAAAGGGUCGGUACUAAAGCCCUACACAUUUAGUCCCGGUUCUUACACCAUCCGAGACAGAUGGGGCUCCACGUGGCCGCUACAGCUUGCCGUGGCAGGGGGGCCUUUUGUCCCGGUUGGUAGCACCAACCGGGACCAAUAAGCUACCACGCGUCAGCAUUUGAGGGCUAGGUUUUUUGUUUUUUUUCNNNNNNNNNNNNNNNNNNNNNNNNNNNNNNNNNNNNNNNNNNNNNNNNNNNNNNNNNNNNNNNNNNNNNNNNNNNNNNNNNNNNNNNNNNNNNNNNNNNNNNNNNNNNNNNNNNNNNNNNNNNNNNNNNNNNNNNNNNNNNNNNNNNNNNNNNNNNNNNNNNNNNNNNNNNNNNNNNNNNNNNNNNNNNNNNNNNNNNNNNNNNNNNNNNNNNNNNNNNNNNNNNNNNNNNNNNNNNNNNNNNNNNNNNNNNNNNNNNNNNNNNNNNNNNNNNNNNNNNNNNNNNNNNNNNNNNNNNNNNNNNNNNNNNCAAAUGAAGUAAACCAUUAAGUACAGAAGUUCGUCAUGAACAUAUGCAUACAAACAUAAGUGAUAUCGACCUCUCCUUCUCCGACAGAUAGGUCGAACAACAAGUUUCCGUAUAUCUAUCCGGCGCUACUAGCUACAUAUAUACAAUAUUAAGAUCUCUUACAAUAUAAUCCCCUAAUUAUAAAUGAACUCAGCUUCGAGAUGGUAUUCUCCGGCUUUAUUGAUGACGUGGUCAAGAAAGAAUCCCUCCAAUUCCUCUUGAAUUGCUUUGAUGCGAUCUUGUGGUAGGAGUUCAUCCCGCAUCUGCCACAUCUAAUUUGAAGAAGGGGGUCAAUCACCAGUAGAAUAACAGCCAUUUGUCCUGGUUCAUAAGGUUAAUUUGUCCCGGUUGGGGAACCGAGACUAAAGGGUCGUUACUAAAGCCCUACACCUUUAGUCCUGGUUCUUACACCAACUGGGACAGAUGGGCCUCCAUGUGGCUGCUGCGGCGAGCCCAGGCCGGAGGUCCUUUGGUCCCGGUUAGUGGCACUGAUACGUCUCCAACGUAUCUAUAAUUUUUGAUUGCUCCAUGCUAUUAUGUUAUCUAUUUUGGAUGUUAAUGGGCUUUAUUUUACACCUUUAUAUCAUUUUUGGGACUAACCUACUAAUCGGAGGCCCAACCCAAAUUGCUGUUUUCUGCCUAUUUUAGGUUUUCGAAGAAAAGGAAUAUCAAACGGAGUCCAAACGGAAUGAAACCUUCGAGAACGUGAUUUUCUCAACGAACAUGAUUCAGGAGACUUGGAGUGUGCGCCAAGAAACAAGGGAGGAAGGCACGAGGCAGGGGGGGCGCGGCUACCCUCUUGGGCACGCCCUCCACCCUCGUGGGCCCUCCGCUGCUCCACCGACGUACUUCUUCCUCCUAUAUAUAUCCACGUACCCCCAAACAUCCAGGAGCACCACGAAAACCUAAUUCCACCGCUGCAACCUUCUGUACCCAAGAGAACCCAUCUUGGGGCCUUUUCUGGAGGUCCACCGGAGGGGGCAUCGAUCAGGGAGGGCCUCUACAUCAACUCCAUGGCCUCUCCGGUAAUGUGUGAGUAGUUUACUUCAGACCUACGGGUCUAUAGUUAUUAGCUAGAUGGCUUCUUCUUCUCUCUUUGGAUCUCAAUAAAAAGUUCUCCUCGAUUUUCUUGGAGAUCUAUUCGAUGUAACCUUCUUUUGCAGUGUGUUUGUCGAGAUCCGAUGAAUUGUGGGUUUAUGAUCCAGAUUAUCUAUGAACAAUAUUUGAUUCUCCUAUGAAUUCUAUUAUGUAUGACUGGUUUAUCUUUGCAAGUCUCUUCGAAUUAUCAGUUCGGUUUGGCCUACUAGAUUGAUUUCUUGCAAUGGGAGAAGUGCUUAGCUUUGGGUUCAAUCUUGUGGUGUUUGAUCCCAGUGACAGAAAGGGAACCAAUACGUAUUGUAUUGUUGCCAUCGAGGAUAAAAAGAUGGGGUUUAUAUCAUAUCGCAUGAGUUUAUCCCUCUACAUCAUGUCAUCUUCCUUAAAGCAUUACUAUGUUCUCUUGAACUUAAUACUCUAGAUGCAUGCUAGAUAGCGGUCCAUGUGUCGAGUAAUAGUAGUAGAUGCAGAAUCGUUUCGGUCUACUUGUCUAGGACGUGAUGCCUAUAUACAUGAUCAUACCUAGAUAUUCUCAUAACUAUGCUCAAUUCUGUACAAUAUGGUGCACGGGGUUACAUCGGCCUGUAAAGACAUUUAUGCGAUGUGAGACAUCCGAAAAGCAACGAAAACGGGAGAUUAUACAUUUAUUGAAGAGGGCCGGUGUGACAGAUACCGUGAGGGCGUCGAGCUCAGCCAAAGACGACGGACAGCUGAGCACGGCCUGUGUCAGAGCCGGUGCGGGAGCAAGUGCAGGUGCAGGUGCUGGUGCAACGCUAGUCGAGCUGCUCCUGAAGAAGUCAACAAUGGGAAAGUCCGCUGCAUUUUUUCUGCAUUUUGCGUGCUCCAAUUGAAAAUGGCUGGAACCAAGACAGUAGACAUAUCUGCAACCACCUGUUUUCCAGCAGCUACCGCUGUCGCGACUGUCUCAGAUGAUUUCUUCUCAACCGCAAUCUCAACCUUCUUGUCGAUGUUUUAUUCGGUUAACCUCCAUCUUUCCUUUCUCUCCUCUGUGGUCUCACGGUAGUACUUCUUCCACGUGGCCCCGUCUCCGACACCGUGAACGCGUCCAUACGACGACCGAGUCUCCACCGGGAGUCCUUUCAAUAUGUUCAAUGCCCGGUUGAAUGGAGUGUCCCACUUGGGCCUUGCCAAUGCCUCAGACGGCGAGUCGCUUUCGGCCGCAAUCUUGUGCUGCUCUCUUUACAAAAGGAACACGGAUCAUUUACAAAUAUGACUAAACGUGCAGUCAAAUUGAUCAGAAACUAAAAUUACCGGCAGUCUCAUGAACUCCGUCGUGAUCGGGUCCGUCUUGAAAACCUUCUUGACUUAGUCCCAAUGGUGCCGUGCCUUGAGGACGUCAUCCUCCUACGGGAUGGUGAAGUCCGCCAAGGGGUCUGGGAUGCCAGAUUUUCGCAUUCCGUGUCCUCCUUGGCCCAUAUGGACCUCUUCCUGCCGUAACCACUGCUUCCGAGGUGGUGGCGCCCCAUGUUCCUUUGUGGAAGCCCCUUCAUGUACUUCGACUUUGUUUUGGCAGCUUCGGCCUCGCAAGCCGCCUUGAAUAUUUCAAAGUGCUCUCCCAUGAUUGUCAGAUUAUCCUUUACAAUCUCGGAGUAGGGUUGAUACGUCUCCAACGUAUCUAUUAUUUUUGAUUGCUCCAUGCUAUAUUAUCUCCUAUUUUGGACAAUAUUGGGCUUUAUAAUCGACUUUUAUAUUAUUUUUGGGACUAACCUAUUAACCGGAGGCCCAGCCUAGAAUUGUUGUCUUUUGCCUGUUUUAGGGUUUCGAAGAAAAGGAAUAUCAAACGGAGUCCAAACGGAAUGAAACCUUCGGGAACGUGAUUUUCUGAACGAACAAGACCCAGGAGACUUGGACCCUAUGUCAAGACACAAAAGAGGAGGACACGAGGUAGGGGGCGCACCUACCCCCCCCCCCCCCUCGAGGCACGCCCUCCACCCUCGUGGGGCCCCUGUUGCUCCACCGAUGUACUCCUUCCUCCUAUAUAUACCUACGUACCCCCAAACGAUCAGAUACAGAGCCAAAACCCUAAUUCCACUACCGCAACUUUCUGUAUCCACGUGAUCCCAUCUUGGGGCCUGUUCCGGAGCUCCGCCAGAGGGGGCAUCGAUCACGGUGGGCUUCUACAUCAACACCAUAGCCUCUCCGAUGAAGUGUGAGUAGUUCACCUCAGACGUACGGGUCCAUAGUUAUUACCUAGAUGGCUUCUUCUCUCUUUUUGGAUCUCAAUACAAUGUUCUCCCCCUCUCUUGUGGAGAACUAUUCGAUGUAAUCUUCUUUUUGCGGUGUGUUUAUUGAGACCGAUGAAUUGUGGGUUUAUGAUGAAGUCUAUCUAUGAAUAAUAUUUGAAUCUUCUCUGAAUUCUUUUAUGUAUGAUUGUUUAUCUUUGCAAGUCUCUUUGAAUUAUCAGUUUGGUUUGGCCUACUAGAUUGAUCUUUCUUACAAUGGGAGAAGUACUUAGCUUCGGGUUCAAUCUUGCGGUGUCCUUUCCCAAUGACAGUAGGGGCAGCAAGGCAUGUAUUGUAUUGUUGCCAUCGAGGACAACAAGAUGGGGUUUUCAUCAUAUUGCAUGAGUCUAUCCCUCUACAUCAUGUCAUCUUGCUUAAGGCGUUACUCUGUUUUUAACUUAAUACUCUAGAUGCAUGCUGGAUAGCGGUCGAUGAGUGGAGUAAUAGUAGUAGAUGCAGGGAGGAGUCGGUCUACUUGUCUCAAACGUGAUGCCUAUAUACAUGAUCAUACCUAGAUAUUCUCAUAACUAUGCUCAAUUCUGUCAAUUGCUCAACAGUAAUUUGUUCACCCACCAUAGAAUAAUUAUGCUCUUGAGAGAAGCCACUAGUGAAACCUAUGGCCCCUGGGUCUAUCUUUAUCAUAUUAAUCUCCUAUUACUUAGUUAUUUCCUUUGCUUUUUCCUUUGCCUUUAUUUUACUUUUCAUCUUUAUCACAAAAAUACCAAACAUAUUAUCUUUAUCAUACCUAUCAGAUCUCACUCUCGUAAGUGGCUGUGUAGGGAUUGACAACCCCUAUUCGCGUUGGUUGCGAGGAUUUAUUUCUUUUGUGCAAGUACGAGGGACUCGCGCGUAGCCUCCUACUGGAUUGAUACCUUGGUUCUCAAAAACUGAGGGAAAUACUUACGCUACUUUGCUGCAUCAUCCCUUCCUCUUCGGGGAAAACCAACGUAGUUCUCAAGAGCUGGCAAGAUGGAUUUCUGGCGCCGUUGCCGCGGAGGUCUACGCAAAAGUCAACAUACCAAGUACCCAUCACAUACCCUUAUCUCCCUCAUUACAUUAUUUGCCAUUUGCUUCUCGUUUUCCUCUUCCCCACUUCACCCUUGCCUUUUUAUUCGCCCUCUCUCUCUAUCCUCCCUCUCUUUCUCUAUUUGCCUCUUUUUCCCUACUUGCUUUCUGUUUGCUUGUGUGUUAGUUGCUUGCUUGUCACGAUGGCUCAAGAUAAUACUAAAUUACGUGACUUCACCAAUACCAACAACAAUGAUUUUAUUAGCACUCCGAUUUCUCCUCUUACCGAUGCUGAAUCUUGAGAAAUUAAUACUGCUUUGCUGAAUCUUGUCAUGAAAGAUCUGUUUUCCUGCCUUCCUAGUGAAGAUGCCGCUACCCACAUAAAUAGAUUCGUUGAUUUGUGUGACAUGCAAAAGAAGAAAGGUGUGGAUAAUGAUAUUGUUAAAUUGAAGCUAUUUCCUUUUUCGCUUAGAGAUCGUGCUAAAGCUUGGUUUUCGUCUUUGCCUAAAAAUAGUAUUGAUUCAUGGAAUAAGUGCAAAGAUGCUUUUAUCUCUAAGUAUUUUCCUCCUGCUAAGAUCAUCUCUCUUAGAAAUGAUAUUAUGAAUUUUAAGCAACUUGAUCAUGAACAUGUUGCACAAGCUUGGGAGAGAAUGAAACUAAUGAUACGUAAUUGACCUGCCCAUGGUUUAAAUUUGUGGAUGAUUAUACCAAAUUUUUAUGCCGGAUUGAACUUUGCUUCUAGAAAUCUUUUAGAUUAGGCCGCAGGAGGCACUAUUAUGGAAAUCACUUUAGGAGAAGCUACUAAACUCCUAGAUAAUAUUAUGGUUAAUUAUUCUCAACGGCAUACCGAAAGUUCUACUAAUAAAAAGGUGCAUGCGAUAGAAGAAAUUAAUGUUUUGAGUGGAAAGAUGGAUGAACUUCUGAAAUUAUUUGCUAAUAAGAGUAUUUCUUCUGAUCCUAAUGAUAUGCCCUUGUCUACUUUGAUUGAGAAUAAUAAUGAAUCUAUGGAUGUGGAUUUUGUUGGUAGGAACAAUUUUGGUAACAACGCGUAUAGAGGAAAUUUCAACCCUAGGCCUUAUCCUAGUAAUCUCUCUAAUAAUUAUGGUAAUUCCUACAGCAAUUCUUAUGGAAAUUAUAAUAAGAUGCAUACUGAUUUUGAAUCUAAUAUUAGAGAAUUUAUUACUUUGCAAAAGAAUUUCAAUGCUUUGAUUGAAGAAAAAUUGCUUAAGAUUGAUGAUUUGGCUAGGAACAUUGAUAGAAUUACUCUUGAUGUUGAUUCUUUGAAACUUAGAUCUAUUCCACCUAAGCAUGAUGUCAAUGAGUCUCUCAAAGCCAUGAGAAUUUCCAUUGAUGAGUGCAAAGAAAGAACCACUAGGAUGCGUGCUAAGAAAGAUGCCUUUAUAAGAGCGUGUUCUUCUAGUUCCUAUGAAAAUAAUGAUGAAGAUCAAAAAGUUAUUGAUGUGCUCCCUAUUAAAUCUUUGUUUUGCAAUACGAAUCUUGAUAAUCAUGGGACUGAAUAUGAUCCACCUUUACCUAGAAGGCGUUCCAAGAAUUCAGAAUUUGUUGAUCUUGAUGGUAAAACUGAUAAAGGUGGGAUUGAAGAAAUUAAAACCCUAGAUGUUGCUAAACCCACUAUUAUGGAUUUCAAGGAACUUAACUAUCAAAACUGCCCUUUGAUUGAUUGUAUAUCCUUGUUACAAUCCGUGCUAAAUUCUCCUCAUGCUUAUAGUCAAAAUAAAGCAUUUACUAAACAUAUCGUUGAUGCCUUGAUGCAAUCUUAUGAAGAAAAACUUGAAUUGGAAGUUUCUAUCCCUAUAAAGCUUUAUGAUGAGUGGGAACCAACUAUUAAAAUUAAAAUUAAAUAUCAUGAAUGCUAUGCUUUAUGUGAUUUUGUGUGCUAGUGUUUCCACGAUUCCAAAGACUUUGUGUGAUUUGUUAGGUUUCCAUGAUUUUGAUGAUUGCUCUUUAAACUUGCACCUUGCGGAUUCCACUAUUAAGAAACCUAUGGGAAGAAUUAAUGAUGUUCUUAUUGUUGCAAAUAGCAAUUAUGUUCCCGUAGAUUUUAUUGUUCUUGACAUAGAUUGCAAUCUUUCAUGUCCUAUUAUUCUUGGUAGACCUUUCCUUAGAACGACUGGUGCAAUUAUUGAUAUGAAGGAAGGAAAUAUUAGAUUCCAAUUUCCAUUAAGGAAAGGCAUGGAACACUUUCCUAGAAAGUAAAUUAAAUUACCUUAUGAAUCUAUUAUGAUAGCCACUUAUGGAUUGCCUACCAAAGAUGGCAAUACCUAGAUCUAUCCUUGCUUGUUAUGCCUAGCUAGGGGCGUUAAACGAUAGCGCUUGUAGGGAGGCAACCCAAUUUUAUUUUUACUCCUUGAUUUUUGCUCCUGUUUAGUAAUAAAUAAUUUAUAUAGCCUCUGUUUUGCUUGUGUUCUUUGUGUUUAAUUAGUGUUUGUGCCAAGUAGAACCGUUAGGAAGACUUGGGGAAAGUCAUGUUACACUUGCUGUAAAAAACUGAAACUUCAGCGCUCACGAGAACUGCUGCCGUUUUUAUUUGGAAAGUGCUAUUUAGUUAAUUAUUUUUUCAGAUAAAUUCCUCACAUCCAGAAAUUUAUUUUAGAAUUUUUGGGGUUCCAGCUCUUGAGCUAGCUACAGAGUACUACCGACUGUUCUGUUUUUGAAAGAUUCUGUUUUUCGUGUGUUGUUUGCUUAUUUUGAUGAAGCUAUGGCUAGUAAAAUAUUUUAUAAACCAUAGAGAAGUUGGAAUACAGUAGGUAUAACACCAAUAUAAAUAAAUAAUGAGUUCAUUACAGUACCUUGAAGUGGUCUUUUAUUUUCUUUCGCUAACGGAGCUCAUGAGAUAUUCUACUUUAAGUUUUGUGUUGUGAAGUUUUCAAGUUUUGGGUAAAGAUUUGAUGCAUUAUGGAACAAGGAGUGACAAGAGCCUAAGCUUGGGGAUGCCCAUGGCACCCCCAAGAUAAUCUAAGUACACCUAAAAGCCAAAGCUUGGGGAUGCGCCGGAAGUCAUCCCCUCUUUCAUCUACUUCUAUCGGUAACUUUACUUGGAGCUAUAUUUUUAUUCGCCACAUGAUAUGUGUUUUGCUUGGAGCGUCUUGUAUUAUUUGAGUCUUUAUUUGUUAGUUUACCACAAUCAUCCUUGCUGUACACACCUUUUGAGAGAGUCAUACAUGACUUGGAAUUUGUUAGAAUACACUAUGUGUUUCGCUUAUAUCUUUUGAGUUAUAUAGUUUUGCUCUAGUACUUCACUUCUAUCGUUUAGAGCACGGUGGUGGAUUUGUUUUAUAGAAACUAUUGAUCUCUCAUGCUUCACUUAGAUUAUUUUGAGAUUCUUAAUAGCAUGUUAAUUUGCUUAAAAUCCUAAUAUGCUAGGUAUUCAAAGUUAGUAAAAUUUUCUUAAGAGUGUUUUGAAUACUAAGAGAAGUUUGAUGCUUGAUGAUUGUUUUGAGAUAUGGAGGUAAUAAUAUCAAAGUCAUUCUACUUGAGUAGUUGUGAAAUUGAGAAAUACUAGUGUUGAAGUUUGCAUGUCCCGUAGCACGCACGUAUGGUAAACGUUGUGUAACAAAUUUGAAACAUGAGGUGUUAUUUGAUUGUCUUCCUUGUGAGUGGCGGUCGGGGACAAGCUAUGGUCUUUUCCUACCAAUCUAUCCCCCUAGGAGCAUGCGCGUAGUACCAAGGUUUUUGAUGACUUGUAGAUUUUUGCAGUAAGUAUGUGAGUUCUUUAUGACCAAUGUUGAGUCCUUGAAUUAUACGCACUCUCACCCUUCCAUCCUUGCUAGCCUCUUCGGUACCGUGCAUUGCCCUUUCCCACAUUGAGAGUUGGAGCAAACUUCGCCAGUGCAUCCAAACCCCGUGAUAUGAUACGCUCUUUAACACAUAAACCUCCUUAUAUCUUCCUCAAAAUAGCCACCAUACCUACCUAGUAUGGCAUUUCCAUAGCCAUUCCGACAUAUAUUGCCAUGCAACUUUCCACCAUUCCGUUCAUCAUGACACAUUCAUCAUUGUCAUAUUGCUUAGCAUAAUCAUGUUGUUGACAUAGUAUUUGUGGCAAGGCCACCGUUCAUAAUUCUUUCAUACAUGUCACUCUUGGUCCAUUGCAUGUCCCGGUACACCGCCGGAGGCAUUCAUAUAGAGUCCUACUUUGUUCUAGUAUCGAGUAGUAAUUAUUGAUUCGUAAAUAAAUAGAAGUGUGAUGAUCAUCAUUAAUAGAGCAUGGUCCCAAAAAGAAAAAAAGGAAGUGCCAAAAAAGGCCAAAUAAAAAAAUAUAAAAAAGGGGGGCAAUGCUACUAUCCUUUUUUUCCACACUUGUGCUUCAAAGUAGCACCGUAAUCUUCAAGAUAGAGAGUCUCUUGAUUUGUCACUUUCAUAUACUAGUGGGAAUUUUUCAUUAUAGAACUUGGCUUGUAUAUUCCAAUAAUGGGCCUCCUCAAGUGCCCUAGGUCUUCGUGAGCAAGCAAGUUGGAUGCACACCCACUUAGUUUCUUUUGUUGAGCUCUCAUACAUUUAUAGCUCUAGUGCAUCCGUUGCAUGGCAAUCCCUACUCAUUGCAUUAACAUCAAUUAAUGGGCAUCUCCAUAGCCCAUUGAUUAGCCUCGUUGAUGUGAGACUUUCUCCUUUUUGUCUUCUCCACAUAACCCCACUCAUUAUAUUCUAUUCCACCCAUAGUGUUAUGUCCAUGGCUUGCAAUCAUAUAUUGCAUGAAAGUUUAUAGGUUUGAGAUCACUAAAGUAUGAAACAAUUGCUUGGCUUGUCAUCGGGGUUGUGCAUGAUGAGAGCAUUCUUGUGUGACGAAAAUGAAGCAUGACUAAACUAUAUGAUUUUGUAGGGCUGAACUUUCUUUGGCCGUGUUAUUUUGAGAAGACAUAAUUGCUCAGUUAGUAUGCUUGAAGUAUUAUAAUUUUAUGUCAAUAUGAACUUUUGUCUUGAAUGUUUCAGAUCUGAAUAUUCAUACCACAAUUAAAAAGAAUUACAUUAAAAUCAUGCCAUGUAGCACUCCGCAUCAAAAAUUCUGUUUUUAUCAUUUACCUACUCGAGGACGAGCAGGAAUUAAGCUUGGUGAUGCUUGAUACGUCUCCAACGUAUCUAUAAUUUUUGAUUGCUCCAUGUAUAUUAUCUAUUGUUUUGGACAAUAUUGGGCUUUAUUAUCCACUUUUAUAUUAUUUUUGGGACUAACCUAUUAACCGGAGGCCCAGCCCAGAAUUGUUGUUUUUUGCCUGUUUUAGGGUUUCGAAGAAAAGGAAUAUCAAACGGAGUCCAAACGGAAUGAAACCUUCGGGAACGUGAUUUUCUCAACGAACAAGACCUAGGAGACUUGGACCCUCCAUCAAGACAUAAAAGAGGAGGCCACGAGGUAGGGGGCGUGCCUACCCCCCCCCCCCCCGGCGCGCCCUCCACCCUCGUGGGCCCCCCUGUUGCUCCACCGACGUACUCCUUCCUCCUAUAUAUACCUACUAUUGGGGAACGUAGCAGAAUUUUAAAAUUUUCUAUGCAAGAUCAAUCUAUGGAGUCAUCUAGCAACGAGGGAGAGAGGAGUGCAUCUACAUACCCUUGUAGAUCGCGCGCGGAAGCGUUCAAGAGAACGGGGUUGAUGGAGUCGUACUCGUCGUGAUCCAAAUCACCGAUGACCAAGUGCCGAACGGAUAGCACCUCCGCGUUCAACACACGUACGGUUGGGAAGACGUCUCCUCCUUCUUGAUCCAGCAAGGGGGAAGGAGAGGUUGAUGAAGAUCCAGCAGCACGAUGGCAUGGUGGUGGAUGCAGCAGGAUCCCGGCAGGGCUUCGCCAAGUGCAAGCGGGGAGGAGAGGUGUUACGGAAGGAGAGGGAGGCGCCAAGAGAAAGGGUGCGGCUACCCUCCCUCCCCCCCUCUUUAUAUAGGGGCCUUGGGGGGCGCCGGCCCUAGGAGAUGGAUCUCCAAGGGGGGCGAAGGCCAAGGGGUGGCUUCCCCCCCAAGCCAAGUGGGGGGCGCCCCCACCCCUAGGGUUUCCCAACCCUAGGUGCAGGGGAGGCCCAAGGGGGGCGCACCAGCCCACUAGGGGCUGGUUCUGCUCCCAAUUCAGCCCAUGGGGCCCUCCGGGAUGGGUGGCCCCACCCGGUGGACCCCCGGGACCCUUCCGGUGGUCCUGGUACUAUACCGGUGACCCCCGAAACCUUUCCGAUGGCCGAAACUGUACUUCCUAUAUAUAAAUCUUUACCUCCGGACCAUUCCGGAACUCCUCGUGAUGUCCGGGAUCUCCUCCGGGACUCCGAACAUAUCCUGGGUUACUACAUACUAAUAUCUCUACAACCCUAGCGUCACCGAACCUUAAGUGUGUAGACCCUACGGGUUCGGGAGACAUGCAGACAUGACCGAGACGCCUCUCCGGUCAAUAACCAACAGCGGGAUCUGGAUACCCAUGUUGGCUUCCACAUGCUCCAUGAUGAUCUCAUCGGAUGAACCACGAUGUCGAGGAUUCAAUCAAUCUGUAUACAAUUCCCUCUGUCAAUCGGUAGGUUACUUGCCCGAGACUCGAUCGUCGGUAUCCCAAUACCUCGUUCAAUCUCGUUACCAGCAAGUCACUUUACUCGUGCCGUAAUGCAUGAUCCCAUGAUCAACCACUUGGUCACAAUGAGCUCAUUAUGAUGAUGCAUUACCGAGUGGGCCCAGAGAUACCUCUCCGUCAUACGGAGUGACAAAUCCCAGUCUCGAUUCGUGCCAACCCAACAGACACUUUCAGAGAUACCUGUAAUGUUCCUUUAUAGUCACCCAGUUACGUUGUGACAUUUGGCACACCCAAGGCACUCCUACGGUAUCCGGGAGUUGCCCAAUCUCAUGGUCUAAGGAAAUGAUACUUGACAUUCGGAAAAGCUACAGCAAACGAACUACACGAUCUUUGAGCUAUGCUUAGGAUUGGGUCUUGUCCAUCACAUCAUUCUCCUAAUGAUGUGAACCCGUUAUCAAUAACAUCCAAUGUCCAUAGUCAGGAAACCAUGACUAUCUUUUGAUCAACGAGCUAGUCAACUAGAGGCUCACUAGGGACGUGUUGUCUUCUAUGUAUUCACACAUGUAUUACGAUUUCCGGAUAACACAAUUAUAGCAUGAACAAUAGACAAUUAUCAUGAACAAAGAAAUAUAAUAAUAACCAUUUUAUUAUUGCCUCUAGGGCAUAUUUCCAACAGUCUCCCACUUGCACUAGAGUCAAUGUCUAGUUACAUUGUGAUGAAUCGAACACCCUUGAAGUUCUGGAGUUGAUCAUAUUUUUCUCUAGGGAGAGGUUUAGUCAAUGGAUCUGCCACAUUCAGGUCCGUAUGUACUUUACAAAUCUCUAUGUCUCCAUUUUGAACAACUUCACGAAUGGAGUUGAAGUGACGCUUGAUAUGCCUGGUCUUCCUGUGAAACCUGGGCUCCUUGGCAAGUGCAAUAGCUCCAGUGUUGUCACAGAAUAGAGUCAUCGGGCACGGUGCAUUGGGUAUGACUCCUAGGUCGGUAAUGAACUCCUUCACCCAGACUGCUUCUUGUCCUGCCUCCGAGGCUACCAUGUACUCCGCUUCACAUGUAGAUCCCGCCACAACGCUUUGCUUGCAACUCCACCAGCUUAUUGCCCCACCAUUCAAAAUAUACACGUAUCCGGUUUCCGACUUAGAGUCAUCCAGAUCUGUGUCGAAGCUAGCAUCGACGUAACCCUUUACGACGAGCUCUUCGUCACCUACAUAAACGAGAAACAUAUCCUUACUCCUUUUUAGGUACUUGAGGAUAUUCUUGACCGCUGUCCAUGUUAGGGAACGUUGUAAUUUCAAAAAAAUUCCUACGCACACGCAAGAUCAUGGUGAUGCAUAGCAACGAGGGGAGAGUCUGAUCUACGUACCCUUGUAGAUCGCAACGGAAGCGUUGACACAACGUAGGGGAAGUAGUCGUACGUCUUCUUCCCGAUCCGACCGAUCCAAGCACCAUUACUCCGGCACCUCCGAGUUCUUAGCACACGUUCAGCUCGAUGACGAUCCUCGGGCUCCGAUCCAGCAAAGUGUCGAGGAAGAGUUCCGUCAGCACGACGGCGUGGCGACAAUCUUAAUGUACUACCGACGCAGGGCUUCGCCUAAGCACUACAACAGUAUGAUCGAGGUGGAAUUUGGUGGCAGGGGGCACCGAACACGGCUAAGGAACGAUCUCAAUGAUCAACUUGUGUGUCUAGAGGUGCCCCCUGCCCCCGUAUAUAAAGGUUGCCAGGGGGUGGGCUGGCCGGCCAAAGGAGGAGGGCGCAGGAGGAGUCCUACUCCUACCGGGAGUAGGACUCCCCCCCCCAAUCCUAUUCCUAAUAGGACUCCUCGAGAGAGAGAGAGGGAGAAGGGGGCCGGCCACCUCUCCUAGUCCUAAUAGGACUAGGGGAGGGGGGAGGCGCGCAGCCCACCUUGGGCUGCCCCUUUCGCCUUUCCACUAAGGCCCAAUAAGGCCCAUUUGGUUCCCGGGGGGUUCCGGUAACCUCCCUAUACUCCGGUAAAAUUCCCGAUUUCACCCGGAACACUUCCGAUGUCCAAACAUAGGCUUCCAAUAUAUCAAUCUUUAUGUCUCGACCAUUUCGAGACUCCUCGUCAUGUCCGUGAUCACAUCCGGGACUCCGAACAACCUUCGGUACAUCAAAAUGCAUAAACUCAUAAUAACUGUCAUCGUAACGUUAAGCGUGCGGACCCUACGGUUCGAGAACAAUGUAGACAUGACCGAGACACGUCUCCGGUCAAUAACCAAUAGCGGGACCUGGAUGCCCAUAUUUGCUCCUACAUAUUCUACAAAGAUCUUUAUCGGUCAGACCGCAUAACAACAUACGUUGUUCCCUUUGUCAUCGGUAUGUUACUUGCCCGAGAUUCGAUCGUCGGUAUCCAAUACCUAGUUCAAUCUCGUUACUGGCAAGUCUAUUUACUCGUUCCGUAAUACAUCAUCUCACAACUAACAUCUUAGUUAUAAUGCUUGCAAGGCUUCUGUGAUGUGUCUUACCGAGAGGGCCCAGAGAUACCUCUCCGACAAUCGGAGUGACAAACCCUAAUCUCGAAAUACGCCAACCCAACAUCUACCAUUGGAGACACCUGUAGUACUCCUCUAUAAUCACCCAGUUAUGUUGUGACGUUUGGUAGUACCCUAAGUGUUCCUCCGGCAAACGGGAGUUGCAUAAUCUCAUAGUCAUAGGAACAUGUAUAAGUCAUGAAGAAAGCAAUAGCAACAUACUAAACGAUUGGGUGCUAAGCUAAUGAAAUGGGUCAUGUCAAUCAGAUCAUUCAACUAAUGAUGUGACCUCGUUAAUCAAAUAACAACUCUUUGUUCAUGGUUAGGAAACGUAACCAUCUUUGAUUAACGAGCUAGUCAAGUAAAGGCAUACUAGUGACACUCUGUUUGUCUAUGUAUUCACACAUGUAUUAUGUUUCCGGUUAAUACAAUUCUAGCAUGAAUAAUAAACAUUUAUCAUGAUAUAAGGAAAUAAAUAAUAACUUUAUUAUUGCCUCUAGGGCAUAUUUCCUUCAGUCUCCCACUUGCACUAGAGUCAAUUAUCUAGAUUACACAGUAAUGAUUCUAACACCCAUGGAGCCUUGGUGCUGAUCAUGUUUUGCUCAUGGAAGAUGCUUAGUCAACGGGUCUGCAACAUACAGAUCCGUAUGUAUCUUGCAAAUCUCUAUGUCUCCCACCUGGACUAGAUCCCGGAUGGAGUUGAAGCGUCUCUUGAUGUGUUUGGUCCUUUUGUGUAAUCUGGAUUCCUUUGCUAAAGCAAUUGCACCAGUAUUGUCACAAAAGAUUUUCAUUGGACCCGAUGCACUAGGUAUGACACCUAGAUCGGAUAUGAACUCCUUCAUCCAGACUCCUUCGUUCGCUGCUUCCGAAGCAGCUAUGUACUCCGCUUCACAUGUAGAUCCCGCUACGACGCUUGUUUAGAACUGCACCAAUUGACAGCUCCACCGUUUAAAGUAAACACCUAUCCGAUUUGCAAUUUAGAAUCGUCCGGAUCAGUGUCAAAGCUUGCAUCAACGUAACCUCUUACGGUGAGCUCUUUGUCACCUCCAUAUACGAGAAACAUAUCCUUAGUCCUUUUCAGGUACUUCAGGAUGUUCUUGACCGUUGUCCAGUGAUCCACUCCUGGAUUACUUUGGUACCUCCCUGCUAAACUUAUAGCAAGGCACACAUCAGGUCUGGUACACAGCAUUGCAUACAUGAUAGAGCCUAUGGCUGAAGCAUAGGGAACAUCUUUCAUUUUCUCUCUAUCUUCUGCAGUGGUCGGGCAUUGAGUCUGACUCAACUUCACACCUUGUAACACAGGCAAGAACCCUUUCUUUGCUUGAUCCAUUUUGAACUAAUUCAAAAUCUUGUCAAGGUAUGUGCUUUGUGAAAGUCCAAUUAAGCGUCUUGAUCUAUCUCUAUAGAUCUUUAUGCCUAAUAUGUAAGCGGCUUCCCCGAGGUCUUUCAUCGAAAAACUUUUAUUCAAGUAUCCCUUUAUGCUAUCCAGAAAUUCUAUAUCAUUUCCAAUCAGCAAUAUGUCAUCCACAUAUAAUAUCAGAAAUGCUACAGAGCUCCCACUCACUUUCUUGUAAAUACAGGCUUCUCCAAAAGUCUGUAUAAAGCCAAAUGCUUUGAUCACACUAUCAAAGCGUUUAUUCAAACUCCGAGAGGCUUGCACCAGUCCAUAAAUGGAUCGCUGGAGCUUGCACACUUUGUUAGCUCCCUUUGGAUCGAUAAAACCUUCUGGUUGCAUCAUAUACAACUCUUCUUCCAGAAAUCCAUUCAGGAAUGCAGUUUUGACAUCCAUCUGCCAAAUUUCAUAAUCAUAAAAUGCGGCAAUUGCUAACAUGAUUCUGACAGACUUAAGCAUCGCUACGGGUGAGAAGGUCUCAUCGUAGUCAACCCCUUGAACUUGUCGAAAAACUUUUGCGACAAGUCGAGCUUUAUAGACAGUAAUAUUACCGUCAGCGUCAGUCUUUUUCUUGAAGAUCCAUUUAUUCUCAUUUGCUUGCCGAUCAUCAGGCAAGUCAACCAAAGUCCAUACUUUGUUCUCAUAUAUGGAUCCCAUCUCAGAUUUCAUGGCUUCAAGCCACUUUGCGGAAUCUGGGCUCACCAUCGCUUCUUCAUAGUUCGUAGGUUCAUCAUGAUCUAGUAGCAUGACUUCCAGAAUUGGAUUACCGUACCACUCUAGUGCGGAUCUCACUCUGGUUGAUCUAUGUGGUUCAGUAGUAUCUUGUCCUAAAGUUUCAUGAUCAUCAUCAUUAGCUUCCUCACUAAUUGGUAUAGGUGUCGCAGAAACAGUUUUCUGUGAUGUACUAUUUUCCAAUAAGGGAGCAGGUACAGUUACCUCGUCAAGUUCUACUUUCCUCCCACUCACUUCUUUCGAGAGAAACUCCUUCUCUAGAAAUGAUCCAUUCUUAGCAACGAAUGUCUUGCCUUCGGAUCUGUGAUAGAAGGUGUACCCAACAGUCUCCUUUGGGUAUCCUAUGAAGACACAUUUCUCCGCUUUGGGUUCGAGCUUAUCAGGUUGAAGCUUUUUCACAUAAGCAUCGCAGCCCCAAACUUUAAGAAACGACAACUUUGGUUUCUUGCCAACACUACAGGAAUCGGCUACUUUGCCAUGUGCCACGGCGGACGGCAAAGGCCCGAACGGCGGACGGCAAAGGCCUUUGCCGUCAGCGGCGGACGGCAAAAGGCUCCGGCAAAGUAGGCUUCGGUAAACAGGUUCUUUGCCGUCUACUAUUGACGGCAAAGUCUUUGCCGUCUGCGGCGGACGGCAAAGAGAGAGCAGCAGACGGCAAAGACGGCGGACGGCAAUAAUUGCGCUGUCAGUCCGUUAAGUGGCUAACGGAAGGCCUUUGCCGUCCGCCGCUGACGGCAAAAUUUCUAGGGUCUUUGCCGUCCGCCGUAUGAUGUCAUCUACACGUCACUACGUGGCAGGUUCUUUGCCGUCUGCCACUGACGGCAAAGUCUUUGCUGUCUGCCACUGUAGGCAAACUGACCAAAUGGGUCAGCUCCCAGGAAGCACAGGUGGACGCCACGUGGCUUCUUUGCCAUCCGCGGCAGACGGCAAAGAGCCCGUUGCCGUCGGUGGUAGACGGCAAAGAGCCUGCAUAUUGGCUCUUUUUUCUGUUUUUUCAUAUACCCAACCAUUUUCACAGCAAAUAGAUGAUACAUAUAUAUUUUUCACAUGGCAAGUUCACAGCAAACAUAUGAGAUAUCCAACACAUAUAAUUGCAUCAUACAUGCAUAGUUCCAUCAACCAUACAUAGCAAGUUCGACAUACAUGCAUCCAACCAUACAUAUUACAAUAGUGUCAUCCUACCAUACAUGCAUAGUUCAUAGAUACAAAGGAAACAUAGUUCAUCCAAACAAGCACUCCAUCUAUGCAAGCUUCCGUGAAGUGAAUGAAUUCUGCAAAAUGGGAAAUAAGAAAGUUAGAAGAAGAAGAUUGGAAGAAGAAGAAGUAGAAGAAGAAUAUAUAUAUAUAUAUGACAUUUAUGCGCUAAUUUAGGUGAAAUUGAUCAUUUGUGAGCUAACUUAGGUGAAAUGGAUCGUUUAUGAGCUAACCUAGGUGCAAUGGAUCGCUUAUGAGCAAACUUAAGUAAAAUGCAUCAUUUUAGAGGUAACCUAGGUAAGAUGGAUCAUUUUGGAGCUAACCUAGGUAAAAUGGGUCAUUUUAGAGCUAACUUCGGUAGAAUGGAUCAUUUAUGAGCUAGGUAAGGUUAAAUGGAUCAUUUUAGAACUAACUUAGGUAAAAUGGAUCGUUUAUGAGCUAACUUAGGUAAAAUGGAUCGUUUUUGAGCUAACUAAGGUGAAAUGAAUCGUUUUUGAGCUAACUAAGGUGAAGGGCAUCAUUUUUGAGCUAACUAAGGUGAAAUGGAUCGUUUUUGAGCUAACUAAGGUGAAAUGAAUCGUUUUUGAGCUAACUAAGGUAAAAUGGAUCGUUUUUGAGCUAACUUAGGUGAAAUGGAUCGUUUUUGAGCAAACUUAGGUGAAAUGGNNNNNNNNNNNNNNNNNNNNNNNNNNNNNNNNNNNNNNNNNNNNNNNNNNNNNNNNNNNNNNNNNNNNNNNNNNNNNNNNNNNNNNNNNNNNNNNNNNNNNNNNNNNNNNNNNNNNNNNNNNNNNNNNNNNNNNNNNNNNNNNNNNNNNNNNNNNNNNNNNNNNNNNNNNNNNNNNNNNNNNNNNNNNNNNNNNNNNNNNNNNNNNNNNNNNNNGGAUCGUUUUUGAGCUAACUAAGGUGAAAUGGAUCAUUUUUUAGCUAACUAAGGUGAAAUGGAUCGUUUUUGAGCAAACUUAGGUGAAAUGGAUCAUUUAAGAGCUAAUUUAGGUGAAAUGGAUUGUUUUUGAGCUAACUAAGGUGAAAUGGAUCGUUUUUGAGCAAACUUAGGUGAAAUGGAUCAUUUAAGAGCUAAUUUAGGUGAAAUGGAUCGUUUUUGAGCAAACUUAGGUGAAAUGGAUCAUUUAAGAGCUAAUUUAGGUGAAAUGGAUCGUUUUUAGCUAACUUAGGUGAAAUGGAUCGUUUAGGAGCUACUCUAGGUAAAUUGGGUCAUUUUAGAGCUAACUUGGAUAAACUAGAUCACUUAUAAGCUAACCUAGGUAAGAUGGGUCAUUUUGGAGCUAACUUAGGUAAAAUGGAUCGUCUAUGAGCUAACUAAGCUAAUUAUGCAAUUUUUGACAUAAGUAAGCUAAGUAUAGAUUGUUUUAGAGCUAACUUAGGUAAAAUGGAUGGUUUUGGAGGUCAGUAAGCUUAUUUAGUCAUUUUGGAGGAGAAGAAGCUAAGUCUACGUCAUUAUGGUAAGCAUUGGAGGAAAUAAAGCUAAGUCUAGGUCUUUAUGCAUGUGUUAAGCAAAACACUAGAUAAACUUACCAAGAUCCAGGAGGUGUAGGAGUGGGGUGGCUCGUGUCGGUAGCUGGAGAAGGAUCGUGCGAUGCUUGUCUGGAGUUACGCUGCACCAAAGAUCAUUUCCAAUGUCUUGUUAGCAUGAUGACACUCAAAUGUUAAGACUAGUAAGUAAUGUCCAUUCAAAUAAAACUCACCGUGGUCCCAGGAGCAAUCACUGGCAUCGGCGGAGCGGUCUGACCUGUCUUCUCGCACACAGACUGCACAUUUGGUUUUGACGACUCAGUCAUACUAGUUAGUAAUGAGACAAACACUACAUGAAUGUUUUGGCUAAUCUGCAGAUGAAACUUACCACAAGGAGCUCGUACAUGGCCCUUGCCUGCAUGUCAUUCCGUGCCCUCUCCUCCUCCACCAUCUUUGUCGUCCUCUCCUCCAACUCCCGCUGCCUCUCCGCCGCCUCCGCCAGAAGUUUCUCCGUUCUAUCUCUCUCACUCUGUAUGGCAGCCUGCAACACCACUCACAUGACAAUUUGUAAUCAUUGAUGGAAGCGCACACAAUGUAAUGGAGAAAGAUAACUGAGUAUGUAUCACUAACCUUGAUGGCGACUUGCACUGGCCGUUCACGAGGCCUUAUCUUAGGAGCGGAGCUCGACUGGCGCGCCUUGAUCUCCGAGAGAGUGCUAGGACAACGGAUAAGUCCAUCUCCAAUGGCUAUGGAGCCAUGGGACCUCCCGUCACCAGAUAUCAUCAACAGCUCUGGAUCAAUGGGACCCUGGCUCGGGUUAAAGUCCUCCCCUUUCCUCGCCUUCCCCUCAUCUCUAUAUCUCACGAGCUUGUUGUGGGAGGAGAUGUUGGUGAAGUUGUUUGCAUCAUCGAGGUCAGACUGAGAGAAAGCCUUGACUUUCUUGAAAGAGGCAGUGUGGGCCAUGGCAUACAGGUCGUACACCUCUGGCACCUUAUCCGCCUUAUUAUAGCAUGCCUGAAAGAGAGAAACAAUGAAAAUUAGUAAUUAAAGGGCUCAAGCUAGCAUGAUGAAUGAAUUGCAUGAAUCAUGAAGCAAACCACAUACCCAGUUGCGCCCGAACUGAUAUAAGUUGGAGCUGCCUUGAUGGUGUGGCACACCUUCCAUUUUUGCACGUUUGUCCUUGGCCUCCUUGUGGGGGGCUAGCCAUCGUUGUGAGCACCACUCAUCGACCAACACCUCCCAACAAUCCAUCCGAUCCGCACACCAUCUCGGAGGCGCCUAAGUUAGCAAAUAGAAACUUGAGCGCUACGGCUAAGAAUUACUAAAUGAAGGAACUUAAGUAGAGAAGGCCUUGAGAAUUACCUUCAUGUAAUGCUCCUUACUCAGGAACUUAUCGCAGCAUGCCGGCUUGGUCUUCUUGAUACCACGCAAGGCGUAGUAGUCUCGAACAGCCUGCACCCGAGCCUCGUGCCGUAAGUUCUGGAGUAGGCGCUUGCAGACGUUCUCGAUAACAUGUGCCGCGUCCUCCUCGUAUCCCUCCUCACACCUGUAGAAUGUCUGCAAUCAAAUGAGACAAUGUUGAUUAGUACAAUUAAUAACUAGCUAGUUGAAGAUUUUUAAAUGUGUAAAGGAGAAAUUACCCAGAACUUUCUGAUCACCAUGUCUGCCCUCGUGUCACACACGACACCGUCGAUAAUCUCAUUUGGCAGGGCCGGGGCAGCCACGUAGUGCUCCCAGCUCAAUCCAAGCUCUGGAAGCCGACCCUCACCAGGCAACGUGACAAACCCCGGGAAGUUUUGCCGGCAAAGAACUCCAAGGACGGAGUUGGGCCGGCGGACACUAUGAUGGUGGUCCCAACCCCUGCAGCAUGACAAGGCCAACGCAUUAGUUAUUUGAAAAAAUGUGAAUGCACAAGGUACAAAAAUAUUAAAUGCACUUACGUACCUCUCCCCAUCAGGGAAAAUCAACCACCUCUGCUCGCGGGUCACCGGCACGGACGGGAGCCGUGUAGCACCACGCUGGUAGACGGUGCCCCCCUCCUCCUCAAGAUCAGUCGGCUCCCCGCCAUCAUCAGCAUGACCACUCGGCUCCUUGGGCUGAUCCGGCCAGGUACCCCAUCCGGACGUGUGCUCCUCCGGGGUCAUGUGGGCCGAACUCUCGUGGGCUGAAGACCCGUGGACCGGAGGCUCAUGGACCGGAGUUCGUGUAGCCUCCUCCUCGGACGAGUCCACCCUAGCAGUCACGUGCUUGGGUGAAACGGUUGGGGGUGGCGGCGAGGAAGGCACCGUAGCAGUCACCCUACCUCCUCUCCCAGGACCACGUGCCCCACCUCCUCUCUUCCUACCUCGUCCCCUGCUGGGCACCAUGGUCGACGAAGAAGGGCCCGGCGGUGUGGCCAUACUGUCCAGCAACGCUCGGCGGAGAGGUGCGUCUGGAAUGGAAGACCUCAGACCACGCUCCCGACCAGUGCCCACCAUCUUUCAACACCUGCCAUGACAAACAGUAAAUGAAAUUAGUACAACAUAAAAAAGGACCGACAUGAAUAAUAAUAUGUGUAUCACUUAAGUGUAUCAUCAUCAAGUACAACAUAAAAAAAUGUAAUACCGGACACUACUAAUAAUCUCGAUCAGUAUCAUCAAUAAAUGCAUAAUCAUCAUCAUCACUAUAAUCAAUGACGGGCUCAUAGGGUUCAUUGGCAUCAACAUGUGCAAGGCCACCUUGACGUAAUCGGUCAAGCAUUGACAGGUCAUCCGCAGCAGUAACCUCUUCUUGUUCCGGCUCUUCUUGUUCCUCCUCUGGGGUGAUGUCGGAUUCAUUGUCGCUGUCUACUUCAAUGUUUUGGGGUGAAGUAUAGCGGUUCUUGAAACGCUUUUUGGAAAGACGUGUCUCUUGGAAGAAUUCUCCUUCAUAUGUGUCUGGGUUAAUGUGAGGUUCAUAAUCCUCUUCCUUUGCGGGAGAAAGUCUAGCACGUGGCGGCACUUCAUAAACGACAUCCCAACCUUUCAGAUUUGGAUUAGUUUGGCAGGCCCACGGUAGAUAGAAUACUUGGGUCGCCUGUUGAGCCAUAAUAUAGACAUCAAGAACAUCUAAACGAGUGCUUUGGUUGAUUUCAACUAGCCCUACAUGUUCAUGAGUCCUUCUAGUCUCGUUUGGCUGAAACCAAUAACAUUUGAAGACUACGACAUUUUGUGGGUUUUCACCAUAGAACAGAAGUUCAUAAAUUGCUUCAACUCUCCCAUAAUACUCGGUACCUCCUUUGCCGAUAGCAGAUACACAACAAUUUGUUGACUUUGGGUCCGCCAUAGAUAGCUCUUUGCCAUAGGUACGAAAGCGAUACCCGUUGAUGUCGUACUUGUCAAAUGAACGGACCUUAUAGUCAAAACCAUUAGCGACUUGUCUCAAUUCGGCGUCCAUAGAGUCUGGAUUAGCCUACAGGUUUAAUAUGAAAGGAUUGUUGCAUUAUGCACAAAUUAGCGAAUGAAAUGAAAUUGUCUAAUAGAAAUUACCGUUUGUUUGAACCAAGAGAUGAAACCGGGAUAGCCACCUCCUUGCUUUGCGAGAAGCUCAUACUCUUCGACAGAAUCCUUUUGGAUCUCCGCUCCAUACGAGAAUAUGGUGACGUAUCGACUGUAUGACAUAUCCAGGAAUAAGAGUAGUUCAAAGGAAAUAGAAGUUGCGAAACAAUGUAUCGAGAACUUACUCGAUGUACGGCCGCACUUCUAUCAGGUUGUUGAAGAUAUACAAUGAAAUGGUCCGCCAUUCUUUGUUAUCCAAAGAUACUGGAUGUGAAACACCAGCUGGUGCGAGAUUCCCUUUGAAUAGGCUGAGGUUGGAUCCACCCUUUUUAGGCUCGUCAGCAUUGUACCGAGGCUUCGGAUUAUGCAAAUGACGAUUUUUGGCUUCGUAGUGCGCUGUUACGAAGUUUGCCACCUCCUCUGUGAUGAAUGCCUCAGCCAUCGAUGCUUCAAUUCUACGUUUAUUUUUACAUUUUUCUCGAAGCGUGUUCUGCAUCCUCUCAGUUGGGUAGCACCAACGAUUUUGCACGGGCCCCCCCAAUCUUGCCUCGGUCGGGAGAUGCAAAAUCAAAUGCUGCAUUGGAUUAAAGAAGCCCGGUGGAAAGAUUUUCUCUAACUUGUAGAUCAACUCCGGCGCCAACUCUUCCAUUUCUUCUAGCACGCCAGGAGAUAGUUAUUUCGCACAAAGAACACGGAAGAAAUAGCUGAGUUCUGCCAGUACUAGCCAUUCAUCCUCAGGGAUGAAGCCACGCAACAUCACCGGCAUUACCCGCUCAAUCCAUAUUUGCUCCCCUCUUUAGAUUCGCUGCAUACCCAUCGGGGAACAUCAACUGCUGUUGCACCCACAAGAGAAUUUCCCUCAUAGCUGGCCUUCCAAGAUUGAACCAUGCCUUUGGCUUCGUCUAGUUCUGCUUUCCUUUCGGUUCUUUCAUGUUUUGUAACGGCCUAUCACAUAGCGCCUCCAGAUCGACUCUAGCCUUAGUAUUAUCCUUUGACUUCCCAUCCAUGCCGAACAAUGUACCAAAAAGUGCCUCGGUGAUAUUCUUCUCAGUGUGCAUCACGUCGAUGUUGUGUGGGCAAAGGAGGUCUUUGAAGUAAGGCAGAUCCCAUAAGCAUGUUUUGUGAGUCCACGCAUGCUUAGUAUUAUACCCCUUGAAGUACCCUGGACAUUGUGGAUCUGGCUCGAGAGCGUUUAACUGAUCCAGGGUCUGUUGGCCUGUCAAUGCAGGUGGUGCAGAGUUUUUGACAACUCUACCCCUGAUGAAGUUCUUCUUGUCUUCCCUGAACUUAUGGCGAGGAUCCAGGAACUGUCUAUGCAUGUCGAAGCAAGAAAACUUGCGACCGGCCUGAAGCCAACGAAACUCAAGAGCUCCCUGGCAUGUGGGGCACGGGAACCUUCCAUGCACACACCAGCCAAUGAAUAGCGCAUACGCCGGCAAGUCAUGCGUCGAGUACAUGUACUAGACACGCAUUAUGAAGUUCCGUUUGCUAAAGGCAUCGUAUGUCUUGAACCCAUUAUCCCAAGCUUCUUGCAAUUCGUCCUUAAGCGGCUGCAUGUACACAUUCAUAUUUUUGCCCGGAUAGUUGGGUCCUGGAAAUAUCAACGUUAGGAAAAUGUUCUUUCUUUGCAUAAUCUGUGCGGGGGGGAGAUUGAGUGGAAAGACAAAUACGGGCCAACAACUGUAUUGGGCUGCCAUCAUACCAAACACACUGAACCCAUCCGUGCUGAUGCCGACUCGAGAAUGCCUCGGAUCUGCCGCUUUGUCAGCAUGUAAUUCAUCAAACUUUUUCCACGCAACACCAUCCGAUGUGUGUACCAUCAUCAGAUUCCCAUCUGCAUCUAGUGCGGUUCUUUUGCCUGUUUUGUGCCAUGUCAUCUGUCUGGCCGUCUCUUUGACCAUGAAAAGACGUUGAAGUCUUGGUACAAUUGGCAUAUACCGAAGAACACUAACGGGGAUUUUGGUCUGUGUCUUCUCACCCAUACCGUUGUCUACCACAAUAUACCUGGAAGACUUGCAAAUGGGACAAUAGUUCAAGUCCGCAUAGUCAAGCCUAAAUAAGGCACAUCCUUUCUCACAGGCAUGUAUCUUCUCAUAGGGCAUCUUCAGUGCAUGGAGGAUUUUGUCCGACUGGUACAGGUUUGCAGGCAUUACAUGUCCUUUGGGUAGAAAGCGUCCAAAUACUGUCAUAAUUGCGUCAUAGCAUUCUCUACCCAAGUUGAACUGAGCCUUCAGAGCCAUUACUUGUGAGAUGGCAUCCAACUGACAAAGCUCAGUGUGCUCGCGGAGCGGACGUUUCGAAGACUCCAACAUUUCAUUGAAGGCCUUUGCAGAUUCCUCCAUCUCCUCGUCCGAAUCCCGAGCAUCAUCAUAGUCUUGCACCAUGUUUUCCAUCCCGGUACCAUGCUCGUCGGUGCGACGACGAUCCACCUCAGCUCGGUCACGUUGGGCAGACUCACCAUGAAAUGUCCAGACCGUAUAAUCGGGCGUAAAACCACUCUUCUGCAGGUGUUUGCCCAUUUCAGCCUCUCUCUUCUUUUCCCAAUUGCCGCACCGGAAAUAGGGGCACCAGGUUUUCUUUUGGCCAUUUGCAAAUGCGGCUUGCACAAACCCCUUAGUUUUUGUGAACCAUUCAGCGCUCCAUUUGUUCUGACCAGUGUGACCGGUAUACAUCCAAGCACGGUCACUCAUCUUGACUUUCAGAGCUACUGGACACACAACAAUUAUAUAUGUAAUUCACCAUGUAUAUAUUCAUCAGUUGAUCUACUGUGUCAAUUUUAUUACGUCCAUGCAACCUACACUCUAAUAGGUAAUGAUAGGUCCUAAUCCCACCCGUGUAUGUGUAGAUUGGGUUCAUUUUCCCAUGCUAUGCUCCGGAUCCGACGCAAAAUUUCGGCAGCACCUCCCCGUUAUUCUCCUGAUACACGUCUCUGCAAUAAACAGAGAGGAUGUGUACCCGGAGAACAACAGGGGAGGCACUGACGAAAUAUAUGCGUCGGAUCCGGAGCAAAGCAUAUGGGAAAACGAACCCAAUCUACACAUACUCGGGCUGUCCAUGGAUAGCGUUGGACAAUUCGAAAGAAUCAAGGUUAUAAAUAUGCAAAUGCAUGCAUAUUUAUAAAUAUGACGCUUUCGAAUGGGAGACACAUAUUGGUUACGCAUACUGAUGAUUCAAGACACAUAUAUAGCUAGCUAUCAAGUUUCAUCGGAAUAGAUCAAAUAAUUAAUGGGGGAGGAGGACUUGUCAUUUGUGCUCACCCACGAACGAAGGGCAGAGCUCGUCAAACGCACGGCGAGGUCGUCGAACACCAAACCUCGCAGCGAUGAAACAACUGCACAUUUAAAACUACACGAUCAACACAAUUAUAUAUGAUGUUUUUCAUAACUAAAUCGAAAAAUAUAUAACCUAACUAAUAAUUCACAAAUAUAUGACCCCGUCGGCCUCUGGAAGGCCGAAGAACACCUUAAUUUUCGGGAGGUGUCGGUGGUCGGGGUGCCCUGUCGGUGUCGGGGUGCCGUGUCGGGGUCGGGGUCUCGGGGUCGGGGUGUCGGGUCGGGGUGCCNNNNNNNNNNNNNNNNNNNNNNNNNNNNNNNNNNNNNNNNNNNNNNNNNNNNNNNNNNNNNNNNNNNNNNNNNNNNNNNNNNNNNNNNNNNNNNNNNNNNNNNNNNNNNNNNNNNNNNNNNNNNNNNNNNNNNNNNNNNNNNNNNNNNNNNNNNNNNNNNNNNNNNNNNNNNNNNNNNNNNNNNNNNNNNNNNNNNNNNNNNNNNNNNNNNNNNNNNNNNNNNNNNNNNNNNNNNNNNNNNNNNNNNNNNNNNNNNNNNNNNNNNNNNNNNNNNNNNNNNNNNNNNNNNNNNNNNNNNNNNNNNNNNNNNNNNNNNNNNNNNNNNNNNNNNNNNNNNNNNNNNNNNNNNNNNNNNNNNNNNNNNNNNNNNNNNNNNNNNNNNNNNNNNNNNNNNNNNNNNNNNNNNNNNNNNNNNNNNNNNNNNNNNNNNNNNNNNNNNNNNNNNNNNNNNNNNNNNNNNNNNNNNNNNNNNNNNNNNNNNNNNNNNNNNNNNNNNNNNNNNNNNNNNNNNNNNNNNNNNNNNNNNNNNNNNNNNNNNNNNNNNNNNNNNNNNNNNNNNNNNNNNNNNNNNNNNNNNNNNNNNNNNNNNNNNNNNNNNNNNNNNNNNNNNNNNNNNNNNNNNNNNNNNNNNNNNNNNNNNNNNNNNNNNNNNNNNNNNNNNNNNNNNNNNNNNNNNNNNNNNNNNNNNNNNNNNNNNNNNNNNNNNNNNNNNNNNNNNNNNNNNNNNNNNNNNNNNNNNNNNNNNNNNNNNNNNNNNNNNNNNNNNNNNNNNNNNNNNNNNNNNNNNNNNNNNNNNNNNNNNNNNNNNNNNNNNNNNNNNNNNNNNNNNNNNNNNNNNNNNNNNNNNNNNNNNNNNNNNNNNNNNNNNNNNNNNNNNNNNNNNNNNNNNNNNNNNNNNNNNNNNNNNNNNNNNNNNNNNNNNNNNNNNNNNNNNNNNNNNNNNNNNNNNNNNNNNACUAAAUCUAAACCUAAAACAAAACUAAAACUAAACCUAAAACUAAAACUAAAACUAAAUCUAAACUAAAACUAAAAAGGAAAAAAACAGAAAAAAAAUAGAAAAAAGGAGGUUGGGGCUCACCUUCUGCAGCGCCGGUGGAGGAGGGGGCGGGGCGGUGGAGGAGCUGGCUGGGGCGCGGGGCGGCCUGGGGCGGCGCGGGGCCGGGCCCGAUGCGGUGGGGCGCGGGGCGGCGGUGCGUGCGGACCCUAUGGUUCGAGAACAAUGUAGACAUGACCGAGACACGUCUCCGGUCAAUAACCAAUAGCGGGACCUGGAUGCCCAUAUUGGCUCCUACAUAUUCUACGAAGAUCUUUAUCGGUCAGACCGCAUAAUAACAUACGUUGUUCCCUUUGUCAUCGGUAUGUUACUUGCCCGAGAUUCGAUUGUCGGUAUCCAAUACCUAGUUCAAUCUCGUUACUGGCAAGUCUCUUUACUCGUUCCAUAAUACAUCAUCUCACAACUAACAUCUUAGUUAUAAUGCUUGCAAGGCUUAUGUGAUGUGUCUUACCAAGAGGGCCCAGAGAUACCUCUCCGACAAUCGGAGUGACAAACCCUAAUCUCGAAAUACGCCAACCCAACAUCUACCAUUGGAGACACCUGUAGUACUCCUUUAUAAUCACCCAGUUACGUUGUGACGUUUGGUAGUACCCAAAGUGUUCCUCCGGCAAACGGGAGUUGCAUAAUCUCAUAGUCAUAGGAACAUGUAUAAGUCAUGAAGAAAGCAAUAGCAACAUACUAAACGAUCGGGGGCUAAGAUAAUGAAAUGGGUCAUGUCAAUCAGAUCAUUCAACUAAUGAUGUGACCUCGUAAAUCAAAUAACAACUCUUUGUUCAUGGUUAGGAAACAUAACCAUCUUUGAUUAACGAGCUAGUCAAGUAAAGGCAUACUAGUGACACUCUGUUUGUCUAUGUAUUCACACAUGUAUUAUGUUUCCGGUUAAUACAAUUCUAGCAUGAAUAAUAAACAUUUAUCAUGAUAUAAGGAAAUAAAUAAUAACUUUAUUAUUGCAUCUAGGGCAUAUUUCCUUCAGUCCAGUGUUCCAUGCCGGGAUUACUUUGGUACCUUCCUACCAAACUUACGGCAAGGUUUACAUCAGGUCUGGUACACAGCAUAGCAUACAAGAUAGACCCUAUGGCCGAGGCAUAGGGGACGACACUCAUAUUUUCUCUAUCUUCUACCGUGGUCGUGCAUUGAGCCGUGCUCAAUCUCGUACCUUGCAAUAUAGGCAAGAACCCCUUCUUUUACUGAUCCAUUUUGAACUUCUUCAAUAUCUUGUCAAGGUACGUACUCUGUGGAAGACCAAUGAGGCGUCUCGAUCUAUCUCUAUAGAUCUUGAUGCCUAAUAUAUAAGCAGCUUCUCCAAGAUCCUUCAUUGAAAAACACUUGUUCAAGUAGGCCUUUAUGCUUUCCCAGAAUUCUAUAUCAUUUCCCAUCAACAAUAUGUCAUCCACAUCCAAUAUGGGAAAUUCUACAAAGCUCCCACUCAGUUCUUGUAAAUGCAGGCUUCUCCAUAAGUCUGCGUAAACCCAAACGCUUUGAUCAUCUCAUCAAAAUGAAUGUUCCAACUCCGAGAUGCUUGCACCAGCCCAUAAAUCGAGCGUUGGAGCUUGUACACCUUGUCAGCAUUCUUAGGAUCGACAAAACCUUCUGGCUGCAUCAUAUACAAUUCUUCCUUAAGGAAACCAUCAAGGACUGUUGUUUUGACGUCCAUUUGCCAUAUCUCAUAAUCAUAGAAUGCGGCAAUUGCUAACAUGAUUCGGACGGACUUCAGCUUCGCUACGGGUGAGAAAGUCUCAUCAUAGUCAACCCCUUGUACUUGCCGAUAACCCUUAGCGACAAGCCGAGCUUUAUAGAUGGUCACAUUACCAUCCGCGUCUGUCUUCUUCUUAAAGAUCCAUUUAUUUUCUAUGGCUCGCCGACCAUCGGGCAAGUCAGUCAAAGUCCAUACUUUGUUUUCAUACAUGGAUCUUAUCUCGGAUUUCAUGGCUUCCAGCCAUUUCUCGGAAUCCGGGCCCGCCAUUGCUUCUUCAUAGUUCGAAGGUUCACCGUUGUCUAACAACAUGAUUUCCAAGACAGGGUUGCCGUACCACUCUGGUGCGGGACGUGUCCCCGUGGACCUACGAAGUUCAGUAGCAACUUGAUCUGAAGUUUCAUGAUCAUCAUCAUCAACUUCCUCUCUAGUCGGUGCAGGCACCUUAGGAACAUUUUCUUGAGCUGCGCCACUUACCGGUUCAAGAGGUAAUACUUCAUCAAGUUCUACUUUCCUCCCACUUAUUUCUUUCGAGAGAAACUCUUUCUCUAGAAAGGACCCAUUCUUGGCAACAAAGAUCUUGCCUUCGGAUCCGAGGUAGAAGGUAUACCCAAUAGUUUCUUUAGGGUAUCCUAUGAAGACGCAUUUUUCCGAUUUGGGUUCGAGCUUUUCAGGUUGAAGUUUCCUGACAUAAGCAUCGCAUCCCCAAAGUUUUAGAAAUGACAUCUUAGGUGUCUUCCCAAACCAUAAUUCAUACGGCGUCGUCUCAACGGAUUUCGACGUAGCCCUAUUUAAAGUGAAUGCGGCAGUCUCUAAAGCAUAGCCCCAAAAUGACAGCGGUAAAUCAGUAAGAGACAUCAUAGAUCAUACCAUAUCUAAUAGAGUGCGAUUAUGACGUUCGGACACACCAUUACGCUGAGGUGUUCCAGGCGGCGUGAGUUGUGAAACUAUUCCACAUUUUCUUAAGUGUGUGCCAAAUUCGUGACUCAAGUAUUCUCCCCCACGAUCUGAUCGCAAGAACUUGAUUUGCCUGUCAUGUUGAUUCUCAACCUCACUUUGAAAUUCCUUGAACUUUUCAAAGGUCUCAGACUUGUGUUUCAUUAAGUAGACAUACCCAUAUCUACUCAAGUCAUCAGUGAGGGUGAGAACAUAACGAUAGCCACCACGAGCCUCAACACUCAUUGGACCGCACACAUCAGUAUGUAUGAUUUCCAAUAAGUUGGUUGCUCGCUCCAUUGUUCUUGAGAAAGGAGUCUUGGUCAUUUUACCCAUGAGGCAUGGUUCGCACGUGUCAAAUGAUUCGUAAUCAAGAGACUUUAAAAGUCCAUCUGCAUGGAGCUUCUUCAUGCGUUUGACACCUAUGUGACCAAGGCGGCAAUGCCACAUGUGGGACUAUCAUUAUCAACCUUACAUCUUUUGCUAUUCACACUAUGAAUAUGUGUAACAUUAUGCUCGAGAUUCAUUAAGAAUAAACCAUUCACCAAUGGAGCAUGACCAUAAAACAUAUCUCUCAUAUAAAUAGAACAACCAUUAUUCUCGGAUUUAAAUGAGUAGCCAUCUCAAAUUAAACGAGAUCCUGAGACAAUGUUCAUGCUCAAAGCUGGCACUAAAUAACAAUUAUUGAGGUUUAAAACUAAUCCCGUAGGCAAAUGUAGAGGCAGCGUGCCGACGGCGAUCACAUCGACCUUGGAACCAUUCCCGACGCGAAUCGUCACCUCGUACUUCGCCAGUCUCCGUUUAUUCCGCAGCUCCCGCUUUGAGUUACAAAUGUGAGCAACUGCACCGGUAUCAAAUACCCAGGAGCUACUACGAGUACUGGUAAGGUACACAUCAAUUACAUGUAUAUCACAUAUACCUUUAGUGUUGCCGGCCUUCUUGUCCGCUAAGUAUUUGGGGCAGUUCUGCUUCCAGUGACCACUUCCCUUGCAAUAAAAACACUCAGUCUCGAGCUUGGGUCCAUUCUUUGGCUUCUUCCCGGCAACUUGCUUAGCGGGCGCGGCAACUCCCUUGCCGUCCUUCUUGAAUUCUUCUUACCCUUGCCUUUCUUGAACUUAGUGGUUUUAUUCACCAUCAACACUUGAUGUUCCUUUUUGAUUUCCACCUCUGCUGAUUUCAGCAUUGAAUAUACCUCAGGAAUGGUCUUUUCCGUCCCCUGCAUAUUGAAGUUGAUCACAAAGCUCUUGUAGCUUGGUGGAAGCGACUGAAUGAUUCUGUCAAUGACCGCGUCAUUCGGGAGAUUAACUCCCACCUGAGUCAAGCGGUUAUGCAACCCAGACAUUUUGAUUAUGUGCUCACUGACAGAUCUAUUUUCCUCCAUAUUACAGCUGAAGAACUUGUCGGAGACUUCAUAUCUCUCGACCCGGGCAUGAGCUUGAAAAACCAUUUUCAGCUCUUCGAACAACUCAUAUGCUCCGUGUCUCUCAAAAUGCUUUUGGAGCCCCGGUUCUAAGCUGUAAAGCAUGCCGCACUGAACGAGGGAGUAAUCAUCAGCACGUAACUGCCAAGCGUUCAUAAUGUCUUGGUUCUCUGGGACAGGUGUGUCACCUAACGGUGCUUCUAGGACAUAAUCUUUCUUGGCAGCUAUGAGGAUGAUCCUCAGGUUCUGGACCCAGUCCGUAUAGUUGCUGCCAUCGUCUUUCAGCUUGGUUUUCUCCAGGAACGCGUUGAAAUUGAGGACAACGUGGGCCAUUUGAUCUACAAGACAUAUUGUAAAGAUUUUAGACUAAGUUCAUGAUAAUUAAGUUCAUCUAAUCAAAUUAUACAAUGAACUCCCACUCAGAUAGACAUCCCUCCAGUCAUCUAAGUGAAACAUGAUCCGAGUUAACUAGGCUGUGUCGGAUCAUCACGUGAGACGGACUAGUCAACAUCGGUGAACAUCUUCAUGUUGAUCGUAUCUUCUAGACGACUCAUGCUCGACCUUUUAGUCUUCUAUGUUCCGAGGCCAUGUCUGUACAUGCUAGGCUCGUCAAGUAAACCUAAGUGUAUUGCGUGUGUAAGUCUGGCUUACACCCGUUGUAUUCGAACGUUAGAAUCUAUCACACUCGAUCAUCACGUGGUGCUUCGAAACAACGAACCUUCACAAUGGUGCACAGUUAGGGGGAACAGUUUCUUGAAAUUAUUUCGAGGGAUCAUCUUAUUGAAGCUACCGUCGUUCUAAGCAAAUAAGAUGUAAAACAUGAUAAACAUCACAUGCAAUCAAAUAGUGACAUGAUAUGGCCAAUAUCAUUUUCUCCUUUUGAUCUCCAUCUUCGGGGGUCCAUGAUCAUCAUUGUCACUGGCAUGACACCAUGAUCUCCAUCAUCAUGUCUUCUUGAAGUUGUCUCGUCAUCUAUUACUUCUACUACUAUGGCUAACGCUUUAGCAAUAAAGUAAAGUAAUUACAUGACGUUUAUGUUGACACGCAGGUCAUAAAAAAUAAAGACAACUCCUAUGGCUCCUGCCGGUUGUCAUACUCAUCGACAUGCAAGUCGUGAUUCCUAUUACAAGAACAUGAUCAAUCUCAUACAUCACAUAUAUCAUUCAUCACAUCCUUUUGGCCAUAUCACAUCACACGACACAUGCUGCAAAAACAAGUUAGACGUCCUCUAAUUGUUGUUGCAAGUUUAUACAUGGCUGCUAUAGGUUUCUAGCAAGAACGUCUCUUACCUAUGGCAAAACCACAACGUGAUAUGCCACUUUCUAUUUACCCUUCAUAAGGACCCUUUUCAUCGAAUCCGAUCUGACUAAAGUGGGAGAGACAGACACCCGCCAGCCACCUUAUGCAACUAGUGCAUGUCAAUCGGUGGAACCAGUCUCACAUAAGCGUACGUGUAAGGUCGGUCCGGGCCGCUUCAUCCCAUGAUGCCACCGAAUCAAGAUAAGACUAGUAACGGCAAGCAAAGUGACAAUAUCCACGCCCACAACUGCUUUGUGUUCUACUCGUGCAUAGAAACUACGCAUAGACCUAGCUCAUGAUGCCACUGUUGGGGAAUGUAGCAGAAUUUUAAAAUUUUCUAUGCAUCACCAAGAUCAAUCUAUGGAGUCAUCUAGCAAUGAGGGAGAGAGGAGUGCAUCUACAUACCCUUGUAGAUCGCGCGCGGAAGUGUUCAAGAGAACGGGGUUGAUGGAAUCGUACUCGUCGUGAUCCAAAUCACCGAUGACCAAGUGCCUAACGGACAGCACCUCCGCGUUCAACACACGUCCUUUUGGGAAGACGUCUCCUCCUUCUUGAUCCAGCAAGGGGGAAGGAGAGGUUGAUGAAGAUCCAGCAGCACCACGACGUGGUGGUGGAUGCAACAGGAUCCCGGCAGGGCUUCACCAAGCGGAAGCGGGGAGGAGAGGUGUUACGGAGGGAGAGAGAGGCGCCAAGAGCAAGGUUGCGGCUGCCCUCCCUCCCCCCCUCUUUAUAUAGGGGCCAUGGGGGGGCGCCGGCCCUAGGAGAUGGAUCUCCAAGGGGGGCGAAGGCCAAGGGGUGGCUCCCCCCCCCCCAAGCCAAGUGGGGGGCGCCCCCACCCCUAGGGUUUCCCAACCCUAGGCGCAGGGGAGGCCCAAGGGGGGCGGACCAGCCCACUAGCGGCUGGUUCCCCUCCCAAUUCAUCCCAUGGGGCCCUCCGGGAUGGGUGGCCCCACCCGGUGGACCCCCGGGACCCUUUCGGUGGUCCCGGUACAAUACUGGUGACCCCCGAAACCUUCCCGAUGGCCGAAACUGUACUUCCUAUAUAUAAAUCUUUACCUCCAGACCAUUCCGGAACUCCUCGUGACGCCCGGGAUCUCAUCCGGGACUCCGAACAACUUUCGGGUUACUAUAUACUAAUAUCUCUACAACCCUAGCGUCACUGAACCUUAAGUGUGUAGACCCUACGGGUUUCGGAGACAUGCAGACAUGACUGAGACGCCUCUCCAGUCAAUAACCAACAGCGGGAUCUGGAUACCCAUGUUGGCUCCCACAUGCUCCAUGAUGAUCUCAUCAGAUGAACCACGAUGUCGAGCAUUCAAUCAAUCUGUAUACAAUUCCCUUUGUCAAUCAGUACGUUACUUGCCCGAGACUCGAUCAUCGGUAUCCCAAUACCUUGUUCAAUCUUGUUACCGGCAAGUCACUUUACUCAUACCAUAAUGCAUGAUCCCGUCAUCAACCACUUGGUCACAUGAGCUCAUUAUGAUGAUGCAUUACCGAGUGGGCCCAGAGAUACCUCUCCAUCAUACGGAGUGACAAAUCCCAGUCUCGAUUCAUGCCAACCCAAUAGUCACUUUCAGAGAUACCUGUAAUGUAACUUUAUAGUCACCCAGUUACGUUGUGACGUUUGGCACACCCAAGGCACUCCUACGAUAUCUGGGAGUUUUGUUGGAAAUAUGCCCUAGAGGCAAUAAUAAAAGCAUUAUUAUUAUAUUUCCUUGUUCAUGAUAAUUGUCUUUAUUCAUGCUAUAAUUGUGUUAUCCGGAAAUCGUAAUACAUGUGUGAAUAACAGACACCAACAUGUCCCUAGUAAGCCUCUAGUUAACUAGCUCGUUGAUCAACAGAUAGUCAUGGUUUCCUGACUAUGGACAUUGGAUGUCAUUGAUAACGAGCUCACAUCAUUAGGAGAAUGAUGUGAUGGACAAGACCCAAUCAUAAACAUAGCAUAAAGAUCGUGUAGUUCGUUUGCUAGAGUUUUUCCAAUGUCAAGUAUACUUUCCUUAGACCAUGAGAUCGUGUAACUCCCGGAUACCGUAAGAGUGCUUUGGGUGUACCAAACAUCACAACGUAACUGGGUGACUAUAAAGGUAUACUACGGGUAUCUCCAAAAGUGUCUGUUGGGUUGACACGGAUCAAGACUGGGAUUUGUCACUCCGUAUGACGGAGAGGUAUCACUGGGCCCACUCAGUAAUGCAUCAUCAUAAUGAGCUCAAAGUGACCAAGUGUCUGGUCACGGGAUCAUGCAUUACGGUACGAGUAAAGUGACUUGCCGGUAACGAGAUUGAACGAGGUAUUGGGAUACCGACAAUCGAAUCUCGGGCAAGUAACAUACCGAUUGGCAAAGGGAAUUGUAUACGGGGUUGCCUGAAUCCUCGAUAUCGUGGUUCAUCCGAUGAGAUCAUCGUGGAGCAUGUGGGAGCCAACAUGGGUAUCCAGAUCCCGCUGUUGGUUAUUGACCGAAGAGUCGUCUCGGUCAUGUCUGUCUGUCUCCCGAACCCGUAGGGUCUACACACUUAAGGUUCGGUGAUGCUAGGGUUGUAGGAAUAUGUAUAUGCAGUAACCCGAAUGUUGUUCGGAGUCCCGGAUGAGAUCCCGGACGUCACGAGGAGUUCCGUAAUGGUCCGGAGGUAAAGAAUUAUAUAUGGGAAGUGCUAUUUCGGCCAUCGGGACAAGUUUUGGGGUCACCGGUAUUGUACCGGGACCACCGGAAGGGUCCCGGGGGUCCACCGGGUGGGGCCACCUAUCUCGGAGGGCCCCAUGGGCUGAAGUGGGAAGGGACCCAGCCCAAAGUGGGCUGGGGUGCCUCUCCCCUAGGGCCCAUGCGGCUAGGGUUUGGGGGAAACCCUAAAAGGGGGCGCCCCCUUGCUUGGGGGGCAAGCCCCCCACCCCUUGGCCGCCGCCCCCCCCUCCCCCUAGGAAAAUAGAUCUCCUAGGGCCGGCGCCCCCCCCCCUUGGCCCUCCUAUAUAUAGUGGGGGAGGGAGGGCUAUUCUCUCAUGCCUUUGGUUGCCUCCCUCUCCCUCUCCGACACCUCCUCCUCCUCCAUAGUGCUUGGCGAAGCCCUGACGGAGUUCUGCAGCUCCACCAUCACCACGCCGUCGGUCUGCUGCUGGAGCCAUCUUCCUCAACCUCUUCUUCCCUCUUGCUGGAUCAAGAAGAAGGAGACGUUACGCUAACCGUACGUGUGUUGAACGCGGAGGUGCCGUCCGUUCGGCGCUAGGAUCUCUGGUGAUUUGAAUCACGUCGUGUACGACUACUUCAUCCACGUUCUUUGAACGCUUCCGCUCGCGAUCUACAAAGGUAUGUAGAUGCAUCCGAUGACUCGUUGCUAGAUGAACUCAUAGAUAGAUCUUGGUGAAACCGUAGGAAAUUUUUUGUUUUCUGCAACGUUCCCCAACAGUGGUAUCAGAGCUAGGUCUAUGCGUAGUUCUUCUUGCGCGAGUAGAACACAAUUUGUUGUGGGCGUAGAUGUUGUCAACUUUCUUGCCGCUACUAGUCUUAUCUUGCUUCGACGGUAUUGUGGGAUGAAGCGGCCCGGACCAACCUUACACGUAUGCUCACGUGAGACAGGUUCCACCGACAAACAUGCACUAGUUGCAUAAGGUGGCUAGCGGGUGCCUGUCUCUCCUACUUUAGUUGGAGCGGAUUCGAUGAGAAGGGUCCUUAUGAAGGGUAAAUAGAAGUUGAAAAAUCACGUUGUGGCUUUCACGUAGGUUAGAAAACGUUCUUGCUAGAACCCUACUUCAGCCACGUAAAACUUGCAACAACAAUUAGAGGAUGUCUAACUUGUUUUUGCAGCAAGUGCUUUGUGAUAUGAUAUGGCCAAAGUUGUGAUGAAUAAUACAUAUGUGAUGUAUGAGAUGUUCGUGCUAUUGUAAUAGGAAUCACGACUUGCAUGUCGAUGAGUAUGACAACCGGCAGGAGCCAUAGGAGUUGUCUUUAUUCUUUUAUAUGACCUGCGUGUCAUUGAGAAACGCCAUGUAAAUUACUUUACUUUAUUGCUAAACACGUUAGCCUUAGUAGUAGAAGUAAUAGUUGGCGAGCAACUUCAUGGAGACACGAUGAUGGAGAUCAUGAUGAUGGAGAUCAUGGUGUCAUGCCGGUGACAAGAUGAUCAUGGAGCUCCAAGAUGGAGAUCAAAGGAGCUAUGUGAUAUUGGCCAUAUCAUGUCACUAUUAUUAUUUGAUUGCAUUUGAUGUUUAUCAUGUUUUGCAUCUUGUUUACUUAGAACGACGGUAGUGAAUAAGAUGAUCCCUCAUAAUAAUUUCAAGCAAGUGUUCCCCCUAACUGUGCACCGUUGCGACAGUUCAUUGCUUCAAUGCACCACGUGAUGAUCGGGUGUUUGAUUCAAACGUUCACAUACAACGGGUGUAAGACAGAUUUACACAUGCAAACACUUAGGUUGACUUGACGAGCCUAGCAUGUGUAUAGACAUGGCCUCGGAACACAGAAGACCAAAAGGUCGAGCAUGAGUCGUAUAGAAGAUACGAUCAACAUGAAGAUGUUCAUCGAUGUUGACUAGUCCGUCUCACGUGAUGAUCGGACACGGCCUAGUUGACUCGGAUCAUGUUAUACUUAGAUGACUAGAAGAGGGAUGUCUAUCUAAGUGGGAGUUCAUUCAAUAAUUUGAUUAGAUGAACUUAAUUAUCAUGAACUUAGUCUAAAAUCUUUGCAAUAUGUCUUGUAGAUCAAAUGGCCAACGUAGUCCUCAACUUCAACGCGUUCCUAGAGAAAACCAAACUGAAAGAUGAUGGCAGUAACUAUACGGAAUGGGUCUGGAACCUGAGGAUUAUCCUCAUAGCUGCCAAGAAAGAUUAUGUCCUACAAGCACCGCUAGGUGAAGCUCCCGUCCCAUGGAACCAAGAUGUUAUGAACGCUUGGCAGACACGUGCUGAUGACUACUCCCUCGUUCAGUGCGGCAUGCUUUACAGUUUAGAGCCGGGGCUCCAAAAGCGUUUUGAGAGACAUAGAGCAUAUGAGAUGUUCGAAGAGCUGAAAAUGGUGUUUCAAGCUCAUGCCCGGGUCGAGAGAUAUGAGGUCUCCGACAAAUUCUUCAGUUGUAAGAUGGAGGAAAAUAGUUCUGUCAGUGAGCACAUACUCACUAUGUCUGGGUUACAUAAUCGCUUGACUCAGCUGGGAGUUAAUCUCCUGGAUGAUGCGGUCAUUGACAGAAUCCUCCAGUCGCUUCCACCAAGCUACAAGAGCUUUGUGAUGAACUUCAAUAUGCAGGGGAUGGAAAAGACCAUUCCUGAGGUAUUUACAAUGCUGAAAUCAGCAGAGGUAGAAGUCAAGAAGGAACAUCAAGUGUUGAUGGUCAAUAAAACCACUAAGUUCAAGAAGGGCAAGGGUAAAAAGAACUUCAAGAAGGACGGCAAGGGAGUUGCCGCGCCCGGCAAGCAAGCUGCCGGGAAGAAGCCAAAGAAUGGUCCCAAGCCCGAGACUGAGUGCUUUUAUUAUAAGGGAAGCGGUCACUGGAAGCGGAACUGCCCCAAAUACUUAGCGGACAAGAAGGCCGGCAAAACAAAAGGUAUAUGUGAUAUACAUGUAAUUGAUGUGUACCUUACCAGUACCCGUAGUAGCUCCUGGGUAUUUGAUACUGGUGUAGUUGCUCACAUUUGUAACUCAAAGCAGGGGCUGCGGAAUAAGCGGAGACUGGCGAAGGACGAGGUGACGAUGCGCGUCGGGAAUGGUUCCAAGGUCAAUGUAAUCGCCGUCGGCACGUUACCUCUAUAUUUACCUUCGGGAUUAGUUGUAAACCUUAAUAAUUGUUAUUUAGUACCAGCUUUGAGCAUGAACAUUGUAUUGGGAUCUCGUUUAAUUCAAGAUGGCUACUCAUUUAAAUCCGAGAAUAAUGGUUGUUCUAUUUAUAUGAGAGAUAUGUUUUAUGGUCAUGCUCCUAUGGUGAAUGGUUUAUUCUUAAUGAAUCUCGAGCGUAAUGCUACACAUAUUCAUAGUGUGAGUACCAAAAGAUGUAAGGUUGAUAAUGAUAGUCCCACAUACUUGUGGCACUGCCGCCUUGGUCACAUAGGUGUCAAACGCAUGAAGAAGCUCCAUGCAGAUGGACUUUUAGAGUCUCUUGAUUAUGAAUCAUUUGACACGUGCGAACCAUGCCUCGUGGGUAAAAUGACCAAGACUCCGUUCUCAGGAACAAUGGAGCGAGCAACCAACUUAUUGGAAAUCAUACAUACUGAUGUGUGCGGUCCAAUGAGCGUUGAGGCUCGCGGUGGCUAUCGUUAUGUUCUCACCCUCACUGAUGACUUGAGUAGAUAUGGGUAUGUCUACUUAAUGAAACACAAGUCUGAAACCUUUGAAAAGUUCAAGGAAUUUCAGAGUGAGGUUGAGAAUCAACGUGACAGGAAAAUCAAGGUUCUACGAUCAGAUCAUGGAUGCGAAUACUUGAGUCACGAAUUUGGCACACACUUAAGAAAAUGUGGAAUAGUUUCACAACUCACGCCGCCUGGAACACCUCAGCGUAACGGUGUGUCCGAACGUCGUAAUCGCACUCUAUUAGAUAUGGUACGAUCUAUGAUGUCUCUUACCGAUUUACCACUAUCUUUUUGGGGCUAUGCUUUAGAGACUGCCGCAUUCACUUUAAAUAGGGCUCCGUCGAAAUCCGUUGAGACGACACCGUUUGAAUUAUGGUUUGGGAAGAAACCUAAGCUGUCGUUUCUAAAAGUUUGGGGAUGCGAUGCUUAUGUCAAGAAACUUCAACCUGAAAAGCUCGAACCCAAGUCGGAAAAAUGCGUCUUCAUAGGAUACCCUAAAGAAACUGUUGGGUAUACCUUCUACCUCAGAUCCGAAGGCAAGAUUUUUGUUGCCAGGAAUGGAUGCUUUCUAGAGAAGGAGUUUCUCUCGAAAGAAGUAAGUGGGAGGAAAGUAGAACUUGAUGAAGUGUUACCUCUUGAACCGGAAAAUGGCGCAACUCAAGAAAAUGUUCAUGAGGUGCCUGCACCGACUAGAGAGGAGGUUAAUGAUGAUGAUCAUGAAACUUCUGAUCAAGUUGCUACUGAACUUCGAAGGUCCAUAAGGACACGUUCCGCACCAGAGUGGUACGGCAACCCUGUCUUGGAAAUCAUGUUGUUAGGCAACGGUGAACCUUCGAACUAUGAAGAAGCGAUGGCGGGCCCGGAUUCCGACAAAUGGCUAGAAGCCAUGAAAUCCGAGAUAGGAUCCAUGUAUGAAAAUGAAGUAUGGACUUUGACUGACUUGCCCGUUGAACGGCGAGCCAUAGAAAAUAAAUGGAUCUUUAAGAAGAAGACAGACGCGGAUGGUAAUGUGACCAUCUAUAAAGCUCGGCUUGUCGCUAAGGGUUAUCGACAAGUUCAAGGGGUUGACUACGAUGAGACUUUCUCACCGGUAGCGAAGCUGAAGUCCGUCCGAAUCAUGUUAGCAUUUGCCGCAUUCUACGAUUAUGAGAUAUGGCAAAUGGAUGUCAAAACGGCAUUAAUUAAUGGUUUCCUUAAGGAAGAAUUGUAUAUGAUGCAGCCGGAAGGUUUUGUCGAUCCUAAGAAUGCUGACAAGGUGUGCAAGCUCCAACGCUCGAUUUAUGGGCUGGUGCAAGCAUCUCGGAGUUGGAACAUUCGCUUUGAUGAGAUGAUCAAAGUGUUUGGGUUUACUCAGACUUAUGGAGAGGCCUGCGUUUACAAGAAAGUGAGUGGGAGCUCUGUAGCAUUUCUCAUAUUAUAUGUAGAUGACAUACUUUUGAUGGGAAAUGAUAUAGAACUCUUGGACAGCAUCAAGGCCUACUUGAAUAAGAGUUUUUCAAUGAAGGACCUUGGAGAAGCUGCUUAUAUAUUAGGCAUCCAGAUCUAUAGAGAUAGAUCAAGAUGCCUCAUAGGUCUUUCACAAAGCACAUACCUUGAUAAGAUAUUGAAGAAGUUCAAUAUGGAUCAAUCUAAGAAGGGGUUCUUGCCUGUGUUACAAGGUAUGAAAUUGAGCUCAGCUCAAUGUCCGACCAUGGCAGAAGAUAUAGAAGAGAUGAGUGUCAUCCCCUAUGCCUCAGCCAUAGGUUCUAUUAUGUAUGCCAUGCUGUAUACCAGACCUGAUGUAAACCUUGCCGUAAGUUUGGUAGGAAGGUACCAAAGUAAUCCCGGCAAGGAACACUGGACAGCGGUCAAGAAUAUCCUGAAGUACCUAAAAAGGACUAAGGAAAUGUUUCUCGUUUAUGGAGGUGACGAAGAGCUCGUCGUAAAGGGUUACGUCAACGCUAGCUUCGACACAGAUCUGGAUGACUCUAAGUCACAAACCGGAUACGUGUAUAUUUUGAAUGGUGGGGCAGUAAGCUGGUGCAGUUGCAAGCAGAGCGUCGUGGCGGGAUCUACAUGUGAAGCGGAGUACAUGGCAGCCUCGGAGGCAGCACAUGAAGCAAUUUGGGUGAAGGAGUUCAUCACCGACCUAGGAGUCAUACCCAAUGCGUCGGGGCUGAUCAAGCUCUUCUUUGACAACACUGGAGCUAUUGCACUUGCCAAGGAGCCCAGGUUUCACAAGAAGACAAGGCACAUCAAGCGUCGCUUCAACUCCAUUCGUGAAAAUGUUCAAGAUGGAGACAUAGAUAUUUGUGAAGUACAUACGGACCUGAAUGUAGCAGAUCCGUUGACUAAACCUCUCCCUAGAGCAAAACAUGAUCAACACCAGAAUUCCAUGGGUGUUCGAUUCAUCACAAUGUAACUAGAUUAUUGACUCUAGUGCAAGUGGGAGACUGUUGGAAAUAUGCCCUAGAGGCAAUAAUAAAAGCAUUGUUAUUAUAUUUCCUUGUUCAUGAUAAUUGUCUUUAUUCAUGCUAUAAUUGUGUUAUCCGGAAAUCGUAAUACAUGUGUGAAUAACAGACACCAACAUGUCCCUAGUAAGCCUCUAGUUAACUAGUUCGUUGAUCAACAGAUAGUCAUGGUUUCUUGACUAUGGACAUUGGAUGUCAUUGAUAACGAGAUCACAUCAUUAGGAGAAUGAUGUGAUGGACAAGACCCAAUCAUAAACAUAGCAUAAAGAUCGUGUAGUUCGUUUGCUAGAGUUUUUCCAAUGUCAAGUAUCCUUUCCUUAGACCAUGAGAUCGUGUAACUCCCGGAUACCGUAAGAGUGCUUUGGGUGUACCAAACGUCACAACGUAACUGGGUGACUAUAAAGGUAUACUACGGGUAUCUCCGAAAGUGUCUGUUGGGUUGACACGGAUCUAGACUGGGAUUUGUCACUCCGUAUGACGGAGAGGUAUCACUGGGCCCACUCGGUAAUGCAUCAUCAUAAUGAGCUCAAAGUGACCAAGUGUCUGGUCACGGGAUCAUGCAUUACGGUACGAGUAAAGUGACUUGCCGGUAACGAGAUUGAAUGAGGUAUUGGGAUAACGACGAUCGAAUCUCGGGCAAGUAACAUAUCGAUUGGCAAAGGGAAUUGUAUACGGGGUUGCUUGAAUCCUCGACAUCGUGGUUCAUCCAAUGAGAUCAUCGUGGAGCAUGUGGGAGCCAACAUGGGUAUCCAGAUCCCGUUGUUGGUUAUUGACCGGAGAGUCGUCUCGGUUAUGUCUGCCUGUCUCCCGAACCCGUAGGGUCUACACACUUAAGGUUCAGUGACGCUAGGGUUGUAGGAAUAUGUAUAUGCAGUAACCCGAAUGUUGUUCGGAGUCCCGGAUGAGAUCCCGGACGUCACGAGGAGUUCCGGAAUGGUCCGGAGGUAAAGAAUUAUAUAUGGGAAGUGGUAUUUCGGCCAUCGGGACAAGUUUCGGGGUCACCGGUAUUGUACCGGGACCACCGGAAGGGUCCCGGGGGUCCACCGGGUGGGGCCACCUAUCCCGGAGGGCCCCUUGGGCUGAAGUGGGAAGGGACCCAGCCCAAAGUGGGCUGGGGCGCCUCUCCCCUAGGGCCCAUGCGGCUAGGGUUUGGGGGAAACCCUAAAAGGGGGCGCCCCCUUGCUUGGGGGGCAAGCCCCCCACCCCUUGGCCGCCGCCGCCCCCCCCCCCUAGGAGAAUAGAUCUCCUAGGGCCGGCGCCCCCCCCCUUGGCCCUCCUAUAUAUAGUGGGGGAGGGAGGGCUAUUCUCUCACGCCUUUGGUUGCCUCCCUCUCCCUCUCCAACACCUCCUCCUCCUCCAUAGUGCUUGGCGAAGCCCUGACGGAGUUCUGCAGCUCCACCAUCACCACGCCGUCGUGCUGCUGCUGGAGCCAUCUUCCUCAACCUCUUCUUCCCUCUUGCUGGAUCAAGAAGAAGGAGACGUUACGCUAACCGUACGUGUGUUGAACGCGGAGGUGCCGUCCGUUCGGCGCUAGGAUCUCCGGUGAUUUGAAUCACGUCGUGUACGACUACUUCAUCCACGUUCUUUGAACACUUCCGCUCGCGAUCUACAAAGGUAUGUAGAUGCAUCCGAUGACUCGUUGCUAGAUGAACUCAUAGAUAGAUCUUGGGGAAACUGUAGGAAAAUUUUCUGCAACGUUCCCCAACAAGUUUCACAAUCUCAUGGUCUAAGGAAAUGAUACUUGACAUUCGGAAAAGCUACAGCAGAUGAACUACACGACCUUUGAGCUAUGCUUAGGAUUGGGUCUUGUCCAUCACAUCAUUCUCCUAAUGAUGUGAUACCGUUAUGAAUGACAUCCAAUGUCCAUAGUCAGGAAACCAUGACUAUCUUUUGAUCAACAAGCUAGUCAACUAGAGGCUCACUAGGGACGUGUUGUGGUCUAUGUAUUCACACAUGUAUUACGAUUUCCGGAUAACACAAUUAUAGCAUGAACAAUAGACAAUUAUCAUGAACAAAGAAAUAUAAUAAUAACCAUUUUAUUAUUGCCUCUAGGGCAUAUUUCCAACACCUACGUACCCCCAAACGAUCAUAUACGGAGCCAAAACCCUAAUUCCACCGCCGCAACUUUCUGUAUCCACGAGAUCCCAUCUUGGGGCCUGUUCCGGAGCUCCGCCAGAGGGGGCAUCGAUCACGGAGGGCUUCUACAUCAACACCAUAGCCUCUCCGAUGAAGUGUGAGUAGUUCACCUCAGACCUACGGUUCCAUAGUUAUUAGCUAGAUGGCUUCUUCUCUCUUUUUGGAUCUCAAUACAAUGUUCUCCCCCUCUCUUGUGGAGAACUAUUCGAUGUAAUCUUCUUUUUGCGGUGUGUUUGUUGAGACCGAUGAAUUGUGGGUUUAUGAUCAAGUCUAUCUAUGAAUAAUAUUUGAAUCUUCUCUGAAUUCUUUUAUGUAUGAUAGGUUAUCUUUGAAAGUCUUUUCGAAUUAUCAGUUUGGUUUGGCCUACUAGAUUGAUCUUUCUUGCAAUGGGAGAAGUGCUUAGCUUUGGGUUCAAUCUUGCGGUGUCCUUUCCCAGUGACAGUAGGGGCAGCAUGGCACGUAUUAUAUUGUUGCCAUCGAGGACAACAAGAUGGAGUUUUCAUCAUAUUGCAUGAGUCUAUCCCUCUACAUCAUGUCAUCUUGCUUAAGGCCUUAAUCUGUUUUUAACUUAAUACUCUAGAUGCUUGCUGGAUAGCGGUCGAUUAGUGGAGUAAUAGUAGUAGAUGCAGGCAGGAGUCGGUCUACUUGUCUCGGACAUGAUGCCUAUAUAUAUGAUCAUACCUAGAUAUUCUCAAAACUAUGCUCAAUUCUGUCAAUUGCUCAACAAUAAUUUGUUCACCCACCGUAGAAUACUUAUGCUCUCGAGAGAAGCCACUAGUGAAACCUAUGGCCCCCGGGUCUAUCUUUAUCAUAUUAAUCUCCUACUACUUAGUUAUUUCCUUUGCUUUUUACUUUGCCUUUAUUUUACUUCGCAUCUUUAUCACAAAAAUACGAAAAAAAUUAUCUUUAUCAUAUCUAUCAAAUCUCACCCUCGUAAGUGGCCGUUUAGGGAUUGACAACCCCUAUUCGCGUCGGUUGUGAGGAUUUAUUUGUUUUGUGCAGGUACAAGGGACUCGCGCGUAGCCUCCUACUGGAUUGAUACCUUGGUUCUCAAAACCUAUUUGAUUGCCGUAGCACGAUCGCGCUUCCUCGGGCGCUAUUGUCUCAAAAAUACCGUCGUCCAUCUCCGUGACCUCCAGUCUACUACUCAUGAGCUGGUUUGGGCGCCGUGGCCUCUUUGCUUUCGGUUCUAGACCAGCUCCGCUAGUCUCGGCGCCUGUCUCAGUCUCAUCGCCGAUCUGCAUGUCGGUAUCAGUCCCCGAUGCGACAUCACAGUUGCUGCAACAUGGGAAAGGGAGACCACGUCAGUGCUGGGGGGUCUGAAAAUCGGAACACACUUUCGCGCGUUGCGGGCCGCCUCUCAGACAGCUACUGGGGAGGCGGCGGAGUACCUGGGUGCGCGGCGAAUCCCCGGGAACUCGGUGACCAACUUCCUUCCCGUGUGGCGCAUGGAGACGACGGCGACCCCGGCGAAGAGCAGCUUAGCCGCGAGCUGCACAGCCUCGUCCACCUCCUAAGUUGGGACCUCCGUGCGAGCGUUGCGGGGCCGCCACUCGGAUGGCUUCUGGAAGGCGGUUGUACAUGGGCACAUGGUGAAUCCCGGCGAGAGCUUGCCAUUGGCGCGCUCAAGUAGACGACGACGUCCUCGACGAAGAGCAGCCCGGCCAGCUCGCCUCACUAUCGUUUGAUUAGAAAUGAAAGAUUGGGAAGAAGCAGACUUGAGCCUGCAGGGAAAGGAUAAGGUGACGAUGCAGUCUCCACUCGUUCGGGGCGACACUCGUACUGAAUGUAUGAGAAAUCUGACGUGGCAGAGACCCCAAGAUACUCCCUCCAUUUAUUUUUAGUCUGCAUAUAAAGUUUGGUCAAAGUCAAGAUUUGUAAAUUUUAACUAACUUUAUAAUAAAAAAAUAUCAACAUUCACAAUAUGAAAUCAAUAUUACCAGAUGCGUCAUGAAAUGUAUUUCCAUACUAUAUAGUUUUGGUAUUGUAGAUGUUCAUAUUUUUUUAUAUAUAUGGGAAGUAGAGGCACUCUUCUAUACUAUAUUCAGAUGUAUGAUAUCUGUUAUUUAAGCGCUUGAAUUUUACAUACGAAUAUUUAUUAUUAAAUAUGUACCCCUACAAUAGCUAGGCCGUGCAGUUGCACGGGUAGAUGACUAGUGAUUACAAUCUUGUUUGUGUGCAAGUCAAGCUUAUCUAGUUUACACGUAACAACUUGUAGAACAUUACAAAAUUUAUGCUUGCUAAUAACUUUUAGAACACUACAACACUUGACAUGUAAAAGGAAUUUGACUGAGUCAUGGCCUACUAAAGCAAGUUACAUUACUAGUCUUAUCUAUCUUAACAGACCACACAAGAUUACAAACUAAGUACCGUGACAGCCAUGCUUAUCUAGUUUAUGCGUAACAAUUUGCAGAAAAUUACAAACUUAGUUUCAGAAAGAUAGGCAAUCUAGAUUAGUGUUUGAGCUGUAAAGUGAAUAAGAUGAGUCAUGCAUGUUAUCACACCUUUUUGGUGGUCGAAUGAUAGUGCAACAACAAGGAACUUUAAUGACCAGUCCAAGAAUACACUUGUAAGUAGUGCCACCAAACAGAACAUACCAAAUGAUCAUUCCAUGGCAGCUAUAAAUAGCCCCAUAGCAUGACGAUCAUCCUUCCUCAUCCAUCAUUCUCAUAAGUAGAGCACAUCAUUUAAGCCAAGCAAGUUGUGGUCAAUACAAAUCCACCAUGAAGACCUUUCUCAUCCUUGCCCUCCUUGCUAUCGUGGCGACCACCGCCACAACCGCAGUUAGAGUUCCAGUGCCACAAUUGCAGCCACAAAAUCCAUCUCAGCAACAGCCACAAGAGCAAGUUCCAUUGGUACAACAACAACAAUUUCUAGGGCAGCAACAAACAUUUCCACCACAACAACCAUAUCCACAGCUGCAACCAUUUCCAUCACAACAACCAUAUCUACAGCUGCAACCAUUUCCGCAGCCGCAACUACCAUAUUCGCAGCCACAACCAUUUCGACCACAACAACCAUAUCCACAACCGCAACCACAGUAUUCGCAACCACAACAACCAAUUUCACAGCAUCAACAGCAGCAGCAGCAACAACAACAACAACAACAACAACAACAAAUCCUUCAACAAAUUUUGCAACAACAACUGAUUCCAUGCAUGGAUGUUGUAUUGCAGCAACACAACAUAGCGCAAGGAAGAUCACAAGUUUUGCAACAAAGUACUUACCAGCUGUUGCAAGAAUUGUGUUGUCAGCACCUAUGGCAGAUCCCUGAGCAGUCGCAGUGCCAGGCCAUCCACAAUGUUGUUCAUGCUAUUAUUCUGCAUCAACAACAACAAAAACAACAACAACAACAACAACAACAACCAUCGAGCCAGGUCUCCUUCCAACAGCCUCAGCAACAAUAUCCAUUAGGCUAGGGCUCCUUCCGGCCAUCUCAGCAAAACCCACAGGCCCAGGGCUCUGUCCAGCCUCAACAACUGCCCCAGUUCGAGGAAAUAAGGAACCUAGCGCUACAGACACUACCUGCAAUUUGCAAUGUCUACAUCCCUCCAUAUUGCACCAUCGCGCCAUUUGGCAUCUUCGGUACUAACUGAGAAGAAAAUAACUCUAGUACUAGAUAUAUGAAACACCGUUUUCUCAGUCCAUGGUUUGGUCGUUGUAGCGGUGAAAAAAUAAUGUGGCAUGCACUAUCAUGUAAGAACCCAAACUAUACUAGUUCAAACUUGGGAAUAAAAGACAAACACAGGUCUUGUCUACAUAUUUAUGUUGCAUCUAUUUAUAUAUUAAAAGUAAUAUAAGGUGAACCAGGAGCAAGGUAAAUAUGCUAGAAAAUUGCACGUUAAUUAGAAAUUACUAGCCCUCAAUCUGGUAAAUCUUAACAAAUAGAAUUAUCUUGACCGUUAGAUUUAUGUAACAUAUAUAAUGCUCUGGGCCUCCAACGACUGUACGUGACACAUCUGAACGCACAUAUCUUAAAGAAAAUAUAUUUGGUAAAUGGUGGGCCUCUUUAAAAAGAGAACUCACGUACAUGCACCAACUAAGAAAAACACAUACAUGUAAACGGGAAAAGGAUGAGAUUUUCUCACGUACGUGCUCCCUGGCUCCACCCCGUUGAAAAAAUAUACAUCUGGAGGCCACUUUGUUUCCUCAUCAAAAAAAAACUUACGUUAAAAAGAUUGCAUGCAUCCCAGGGAAAAUAGUCAAGAAGAAGUCGGCUCUUCCUUACAAAAACAAGGAACGUGUUAAGUUGACUUCAAAGAAAAAAGGAACAUGUUAAGUUAAAAAAAACAAGAAACCUGUUAAGUUAGAAAAAAACAAGGAACGUGUUGUCCUAGGAAAGAUAUGUGUCAAAUCUUACAAAAAAAAAGAAUACACACACGUACGUUCAUGCACUUGGAAAAUAGAAAAAAAAGGAACAUCACGUAUGUAUACACUUCGGAAACUCAUUACAUGACCAUGUCUGAUAUACUCCUCUAAUGCUUAAUAUUAGUGCCUAAUAAUUUAUAUUUAAAAUUUAAUUUACUGAUCAAAUAUCCCCACUGUAUAAAUUUUAAUUUGGCACAUUGUUUGGCUAUAGUAUGAACCUAAAUUUCCUCUUAUUAUUAUAUAUCAUGGUAAUAAUCCAAAGGCGACUAAUCUGCGCCGGCGCACCGGCGCAAUCAAUUCGGCCCGACACAGCGCGGCCGUUUGAUUAGAUUGCAUUUAACCGUCAGAUCUGGAAUCAUUUUAUUUCCAAUUAAACGGAUUCAACCAAACAGCAGAGAGGAAAACAAAGCAGCGCCGCCGCCAACACUAGCCAUGGACGACCGAUGUAGCAAAACCUUGAAGAACCGCCGCCGGUCGCCACCCUUGCCGCUGGUCGCCGCCCUCGCCGCCUGUGUUUCUCAUCGGCUUCAUGCAUGCAACAACAUGCACUCGUGAUUGCAGGCUUGCAGCUCCGGCUCUGGGGGACAUGGCCGCAUCUCCAGUAGCGCCGGCCGCCGGCCGCAGCACCUGUCGUUGUGGUCACGCUGUACCUCGCCGUGUGCCCUCCCAAGGAUCUUGCUGGUUCCAACAAAAAACGAUACCUGUUGUAGCAAAAAAGUUUAUCGCUUCCAGCAAAAAAGCUUACCGCUACAGCCCGCCAUCAUCAUUGUAGCAAAAAUGUUAACUCGAUGUAGCUUCUGUGGUUGCCGACUGCAGCCAAAAAUGACGUGGUUGUAGCAAAACACAAAAGAAAAACUCCGGCCGUCCGCUGUGUAUGGUGGUAACAAACCCUAUAGCCGGUGGUAGCGAAAAACUUCAUUGUUUGCAGCAAAAAAAUGUUGUCGCCCAUCGUCGAGGUUGCAUCAUCUUCAUGAAUUAUGUCGCAAAAAAACGUUGUCGCCGGUAGUAGCAAAUGAAGCCGCCGGUAGAAACAAAACAAGACACUGGUUCCAGCCAAAAAAAAAUCAGCGACAGAACCUUUUGUUGGUUCCAACAAAAAAACUUGUCGGUUGUAGCAUCCCUCGCCGCCGGAUGUAGCAUCUCCCAGGGCUGGUUGCAACACUCCAUAAAAAAAGGUUGUCUACGAGCGCAUCCAUGGCAACUGCUGCACCGUCAGCAACGAGGGGAAGAGGAGGCAAUGAAAAUCGUUCGAGUCGUAGCUCCACAGGACGCGGGUGCAGCAUAGGGAGUCCAAAAAUCUGUCACAAGCAAGAUGCGCCUUGCCAUCCUCCUGCGCAGGAGAGAGAAGAAAAAGGAAUAAGAGGAAGAAGAAAGGAAACGGGAGAAAGAAAAAAAGAAACGAUUGGUUGUGGGCUCAGGCAAUUAGUCAAACGAGGGGCACGCGGGGCCGCAGGAUACAGCGCAAUCGAACGAAGUGCGCGCGUCUGGCCGAAGACUCAGCUGGACUGCCGGCUGGAAAUGUUUCCCUAAUACAAAGGCUUUUCUGAAUGACAAGUCGUCUGAGUUAUCGGCUAACUAGAAAAAAGAUAAAUAUGCUAGAUAAUUCCAUAAUCAUUAGAAAUAUCUAGCCUUUAAUUAUGUAAAUCAGAAAAUCACAACCGUUGGAUUUACUUUAAAGGUAAAUUUCUCUAAAUUCCCACCAUUGCCAGUAUGUAGAAACAUGUGCUGCUUCAAUUCUCCCUUAAUCACCAAUCAAUCAACAACAGAAAACAUACCGCAGUUCAAAAAACUGAACAAAAAAAAGAAAAAAAGAAGAAAGGACAAGAUACACGCAUGUACACGACAGCCUUGGCUUGAAACACAUCAGUAAAUCAAGUGUCCACCUCCCUUACACAGAAUAAAUUCUAGGGAAGAAAAUAAUAGUGCAACCUAACCUUAUACGUACUAUUCUAUCCUCACGUCCCAUGAGGUUUACUAGCCUACUGCCGCCGCAUCAUGCCAUCCUCUCCUUUCAGCUCCCAUGCUCUCCAGCACCCUCCUUGCGGCGCCACUACUCGCCUAGGGAUAUUGCUGCUCAGACCGUGGAGCUUAACCUGCUUCUUCUUCAGCAAAUAUGGAACUGCUUUAGGAUCCUUCUGACAUCAGCGCGUAUGGGCCUCAUUAUACUGCAGCUCCUGGACCUCCUACAAUUGGUUGGCUAUGGCCAGUUGAUCGAUUUGCUGAUGUCCAGGUCUGUUUGCUGGCACAUAUGCUUUGGAAAUAGGCCACUAUGUUUGUACUUCAAAAUUGUUUCUGUAUUCUUUAGUGGUACAUCCUUUUAAGCGCCAGUUUUUUAUGUUAAUUCAUGCUGACAACACUUAACCUAGCCUUUCAUGUUCACGUACUAAAUACAGGAGCAAGUAAAAACAACAGACCACCUAAUUGCUCUGCAAGUUCUACAUAGGAAAAUUUGUCAUGUUCUACGAUCGCACUAUCCCACCCUUCUCUCUUGGUAUGGGCGCCAAUUGAGGGAUUGAUAAAAUUGAAACGAAGCCGUCACAGGGCUGGAAGUACCGCUAGCCUGGUUCGCACUGCAACCUACCCAACGCCAUCAGAAACUAGCAACUGAGUCAGGUGUUGAUCGAUUCUCUCAAAUUGCUCUCAUGUAAGUACUACCCCUUGCAUGUGCGUACAUACCUUUGUUGCAUUCUCAAACAGAUAGAACAUGUAUGAUCGGUGCAUGGCUAUUUUUCAUCACAUGACAUCCAGAUAACAAGCAUGAAAGGACUACAUUGGAGAUCAAAAAAUAUUGGUUCCUGGCUAGAGUACCACUACCUAUGGACUUGUCUCCAUAGAAUUUGUUCCCAAGAUGUUAUUUUAAUUAACCUCUUUAGCUUUCUUCCAUUGCAAACGGUGAUGUGCAUCUUGGUAUAUACGUGACCAUCUUGCACAUGUAUACACAAGAGGCUCAGACGGAGGUGUUGGAUUCUGGACGAGGGAAUAUAAAGCAGGAGUGAGCGAAGUGUAAAUAAUGGUGGGAGUACCGAUUGGUGUUAUGAAGAAAAAUGCCAUCAAAAGAUUGAUUAGUGUCAUGGAAGAUUAAUUUCUGAAUGCGAAUAUAUAUGUUACAUUGGUUUGGAUCUUUUUGAGAUAAUUGCACCUAAAUUAGGUUCUUUCUUAUUUCAUAUGUAUACCUUAUUUCAGUAAAAGUUCACAACGAACUUAGUAGGACAAAUAUAAUUUUGUUUGUUCUUUCUGUUGUCCGCCACCAAAGCUCAAUUUGAACUCUCUAGAAAUGGACAAUGAUUUAUGCAUUCUAUAUCUUCUUGAUUGAUUAGCCAUGACAAGGAAAUAAAAGGAUUGACUGAUAUAGCAUAACUUUGGAACGAUUAGAGGUUACUACAAAUAAGAGUAGUGUCUGUUGGAAUUUUGCUAGUAGGCCUUUGGCCCAAAGCCCAACUAAAAUUCUGAAAUUCUCUUGGCUCAUUUAUACACACAUGUGAGUUGAGUGAGUGAGACUAAAGUUUAGUCCCACCCCGGAAGUUGAGAGAGAGUUGCACCUCUUUAUAAGGUGAGCUCUUCUACCACUUGUAUGAGCAUGAGAAGAGGAGACCUACACGCGCGCUCCUCCUCCACGCUCGCCACGCCUCGUCGCGCCGCGCCGUGCCGCGGGUUGCGGGAUUGAGCCGAGCCGAGGACGUUUUCUAUAUUUUUGCUGCUCGGGAAAAAUUAAUGAGUCAUUAAUUAAUAAUUAAUGGACACAUUAAUUACUGAACCGUUUCCGAUUUUUUUGGAUCGUGACGACUCGGACGUGGGGUUUACUCCCAGGACCUACCCGGCCCGCACUAUAUAGUCAGGAAGAUGUCUACCCUAGCCGCCGCCGCUUCGUAUGGUUUCUCACCAUCGUUACAGAUCAUUGCGCCGCCAAGCAAGUUUUCUCCAUCCCUCCUUUCGGCGUGCACCGGGAGAAGGGACAGCAGACCUCCGGAACCCCGCCUCUCGUGAUCCUAUACGGGAGAGGGGCGAUCAGGUUUUUGGGGAGCGCACUCGCAUGACUGCUUGCAGCGACGACUUCGCAAACGACGACUUCUUCCCCGACCUCGGCAACCUCAUCCUCGACGACAUGGGCGACAACGUCAACGCCGGCGAUGCUACACCCACUGCACCGUAUGUUAUUCUCUCCUUCUUGUUCGAGAUCGUGGUAGAAUUCAUGUUUCUAGUAUAUGUGCCCUAGAUGUGAUCUGUUCAUCUACUAUGGUAGUUCGCAUGAUUAGUUUAAUCUCUGCUAUUGCUGUCAUGAUCUAUUUCCUAUUUAUUCGGAUUAAAUCUCUUUGUAAUUUGCUCAUUUUUCCAACAAUCCAAAAACCUGAUUAUAGGAAAUUUACUCCGAGUGGUUUUGCUGCGCAUCUGAAAGCCGCUUGCCUUUAAGGGGGCGCAAUAUAAGAGGUGGCGCACCAGAGCAGUCUACUGGUUUCAGAUCAUGGGCUGCUAUGACGCCACCAAGGGCAAGCCUGAGGGCGAUCUUAAUCCAGCACAGCUGGAAGCUUUCAAGAAGAUCAAUACCCUCUUUAAAGGCACGCUUCUGAGUGUUCUUGAUGACUCCAUUGUAGAUUCGUAUAUGUCGUUUGACAACGGCAAGAACAUGUGGGCUACGCUCGAGGCCAAGUUUGGUGCCUCGGACGCCGGCAGCGAGUUGUACGUCAUGGAGCAAUUAUAUGACUCCAAGAUGACUGAUGGGCGCCCUGUUGUACAUGGGCGACUUCUUCCCCGACCUCGGCAACCUCAUCCUCGACGACAUGGGUGACAACGUCAAUGCCAGCGGUGCUACACCCACUGCACCGUAUGUUAUUCUAUCCUUCUUGUUCGAGAUCGUGGUAGAAUUCAGAUUUCUAGCAUGUUCCCUAGAUGUGAUCUGUUCAUCUACUAUGCUAAUUCGCAUGAUUAGUUUAAUCUCUGCUAUUGCUGUCAUGAUCUAUUUCCUAUUUAUUCGGAUUAAAUCUCGUAGUAAUUUGCUCAUUUUUCCAACAGUGCCAUCCAAUAGAUGAUGUAAAUCUCCUCAAGUUUGACGUUGUUGAGCUAAUUUACAAAAAAAACCUCAUCAUUAUUGGAUGUCCUUAACAGCUCAAGAACAAGUUGGGGUCGAAAUAAUGGAUUUUACACUUUUACAUUAAAGGUUUAGCUAAAGCAAGCAGGUGUUUUUAAAACUGAAUUUUUUCCUCCUGAAUUUCUUUGUAUUUUCUUAUUGACACUAUUUAUACAAUCAUCUGACAAAGAUUAGCUAAAGCUGUUUGUAGAUACGUUGAAACCUGAAAAGCUUCUUUGGUUAUCCUUUUAAUAGUUCUACGUUUAUUUUCUCAUAGGUCAUAAUUCUUAUGUAAUACCAAGAUGCAUUGUGGUAGUGUACAUGUGUUAAAUUCAGGUUGUUAUUCACAAUUUGCGACAAAAUUUAGCUCACGCUACAUUUAAAUAUGUUGAAAUGUGAAAGCUCUUUUUCUUCUCCUUUCUACACCUUGCAUCGGAUUGCAUCCCUUUAGUUAUCCAACAUUUUGUUCAACAUGUAGAGAUUAGGAAGUUCAUCAUAGUUUGUCUAUUUCCGUGCUAAUAAAUGUAUGAAAUCUGCAUUUCCAAGCUACUAGGACAAGUAAAAAAUAAUAAUUUUACUAGAGGAUUCAAAAACAGCAGUUCUGAAGUGCACUUUAUUUAUUUGUGAAAGUGAUCACAUUUUGUUUCAUUUUUCUAUAGACAAAUCUACUAAUACAUACUCACGAUAAAACUAUAAAAGUUCUAGUCCGCACAUUGGGCGGGCCACCCGGCUAGUUAGUCUAAAGAUAACAAAAUGAGUCUGGAAUUUGAAUUAAAUUGAAGUAUUUUCUUGGACUAUCCACAUCCUUGGCUUGCCCCUGAUCAAUUAUUUCCAGAGAAGCAUUCAAUUCAUCAAUCAAUUACAUUGAUUUUAGUGGCUAGUACAUCACCUCAACAUCAGUAUAUUCACCGUGGCCACUCCAAAUCGGCAAGAAUGAGGUACCAGUGCUCUGGAGAAGUGCAAGCUAAUUGCUUCUCAUGUGAAGGGGUGCGGGCGCGGGAGAGGUAUUUCUGGUGGGCCAAGGGACUAAGAAGCGACCGUGGCAGCGGUACAGAUGCCCGCAAAGCCUCAUAAUUUGUUUUUGGUUUACAGGAAAAAUGCACAUCCAUACUGGCCCGGGGAAUAUAGCACUGUAUUGGAUGGAAAACAAUGUCCGGAUGGUUGUGUGCGGUUUGAGGGUUAGCUUUUGUAACGCCCGGUUAGUUAUGCUAUAGCAAUUCCCUGCUAAUGAUGUCACGUCACCACGAUUACUGUUGUUAACCUCACAAUGAUUCAAUCUCGUUCAAAUUCAAAUUUAAAAUAAAGGCAAACAUCAAAAGUUUUCAAACAUUAAAACUAAAAUCUUUGAGAGGUGACAAAUAAUGCAUAAGUAAUUAUGGUGAAGAAACCACACUUUAAUCAAAUGUUUAAAUACUCUAAAAUGAAAAAAAAACAGUGACUUAAACUAUUAUUUAAAUGCUUUUAAAAUAGUAAAAAUCUUCUAACUAAAUUAUUUGGGUACCAAAACUUUUGGUGGCAGUGGUAUAUUUAGUAGAACUAAUUUAGAUGCUAAUUAUAUAAUUUACAAAAUUAGAGUAAAUUGAAAAAUAGGAUAAAACGAAAAAAGGAAAAACAAAACAAAUAAAAGCAAAAGGGGGCAACCCCUCGCUGGGCCUCGGCCUAGCUGGCCACUAGGCUAGCUAGGCUCGCCCCGCCGCCUCCCUUAACCCCCCACUCCCCGUCGAACCCAAGCCCGAUCGCCCCACUUCCCCCACACCCCCUCGCCGGUCUCCCCACCUCUUGAUCCCAUCUGGAUCGGGGAGGGUAUUGCCCCCAUCGAACCCGUUGCUGUCGCCGGAUCGCCCGCCGACGUCGCCAGGCCUCCUCCCCGUCGCCCGUCUCCGGCUCACCUCCCCUCUCGCUCCUCUUCCCUGACCCGAUCUGGAUCGUGAACGAGCAAUGAGCUCGAAGCCCCCCUUCACCGGCGCCAUCACCGUGCGCCACCACCACCGCCUGAAGACCUCACCGUCGCCGAACCUUGCGUCGCUGUAACACCCUCGAUGCGACUAUAUCUCCCACGUGUCGAGGCACGACUUAGAGGCAUAAUCGCAUUGAAGGCAUAUGUCGCAAGUGAGGUAGUCUUCACACAACCCAUGUAAUAUAAUAAGGGAAAGAGAUACAUAGUUGGCUUACACUCGCCACUUCACACAAUUACAUGAAUAAAACAUUACAUCAACCAAGUACACUCAUGGUCCGACCACGGAACCAAAAUAAAGAAGAACCCCAAAAGCGACAAAGGUCCCCGAUCGACCCCAACUGGGCUCCACUACUGAUCAAUUAGAACGAAACAGCUCAACGGACAAAGUCUUCAUCGAGCUCCUCCUGAGCUUGGUUGCGUCCUGCUCGGACUCAUCGGCACCUCCAAGCUGGUUUUGGAAGUAUCUGUGAGCCACGGGGACUCAGCAAUCUCGCACCCUCGCGAUCAAGACUAUUUAAGCUUAUGGGUAAGGUAAAGGUAUGAGGUGGAGCUGCAGCAAGCGACUAGCAUAUAUGGUGGCUAACCUAUUCGCAAAUGAGAGCGAGAAGAGAAGGCAAAGCACGGUCGAUAAAAGUAUGAUCAAGAAGUGAUCCUAGACUACCUACGUCAAGCAUAACUCCAACAACCGUGUUCACUUCCCGGACUCCGCCGGAAAAAGACCAUCACGGUUACACAUGCUGUUGAUUCAUUUUAAUUAAGGUCAAUUUUAGAUUUUCUACAACCGGACGUUAACAAAUUCCCAUCUGCCCAUAACCGCGGGCACGGCUUUCGAAAGUUCAAAUCCCUGCAGGGUGUCCCAACUUAGCCCAUGACAAGCUCUCACGGUCAACGAAGGAAUAGACCUCCACCCGAGAUAUUCCGAUCAGACUCGGUAUCCCAGUACAACAAGACAUUUCGACAGGGUAAAACUAAACCAGCAACACCGCCCGAUGCGCCGACAUCCUGAUGGGAGCUGCACAUAUCUCGUUCUCAGGGCAACACUGGAUUGUCUAAACUUCCGGUAGGCCAGCCCAGAGUUGCCCCUGGUGGCCACCGGCGGCUGACGGUUUGGACCAACACUUAGACAAGCACUGGCCCGGGGGGGUUAAAAAACGAUGACCCUCAGGAGCGCGACUCCCAAGGGAAAAGAAAAGGCUAGGUGGCAAAUGGUAAAGCCAAUGUUGGGCAUUGCUGGCAAAGCUUUACUUAAGGCGAACUGUCAAGGGGUUCCCAUUAUAGCCCAACCGCGUAAGGGACGCAAAGUCCAGGAACAUAACACUGAUAUGACGGAAACUAGGGCGGCAAGAGUGGAACAAAACACCAGGCAUAAGGCCGAGCCUUCCACCCUUUACCAAGUAUAUAGAUGCAUUAAUUAAAUAAGAUAUAUAGUGAUAUCCCAACAAGUAAACAAAUGUUCCAACAAGGAACGGCCUCCAAUCUUCACCUGCAACUAACAACGCUAUAAAAGGGGCUGAGCAAAGCGGUAACAUAGCAAUUCAACGGUUUGCUAGGACAAUGGUGGGUUAGGGGCUGAACAUGGCAAUUUGGGAGGCUGACAAGCAAGUGGUAGGCAUUGUAGCAAUGGCAUAGCAAAAGAGUGAGCAUACUAGCAUAGCAAAGAUAGUAGUGACUUCGAGGGUAUGAUCAUCUUGCCUGAAAUCCCGCAAGGAAGAAGAACGAGUCCAUGAAGAAGACAAACGGGCGUAGUCGAACGGGUCCUCACAAUCACGACGUUAUCGGAACCAACCCGAAGAAGCAAUCACCGGAAAAGAAGCACACACAACAUAGUAAACACCCAACACAUCAACAUGGCAAGAUGCACAAUCGAGUAUGAUGCAUGUCCGGUUUAAAGAGGCAUGGCAUGGCAAAGUGCACAAACAACCCUACAAAUUAAGUGGAGCUCAAUAUGCAACGGUUGCAUAUUGACGAAACACCACGUCAAUUAUUUAGUUCGAUCUCGUUUAUGUACCCAACAAUAUUAAAUGUUGUUAAAACAUGGCAAGAGGGGAAACAUGAUGAAACUAUCUAAUCUAGGCAAGUUUAAAUGAGGCCGGAAGCAACGAACAACAAUUCCGGAAAAUCCUCAUGUGUAAAUAUUAGGUUAGGUCCUGAUCUGUCCUAAACACAAUUUAAGCGUUGUUUAACAUGCAAGAUGAGGCCACCACGUUAAACUAGGCAAAAUUCUACCCGAUUUACAUAUAAAGAUUAUUAAAAUCGGAGUUACGGUUAAUUAGAUAUGAAUAAAAUCAUUUUAGCAUGGCAUGGGAGCAAACUUAAACAAACAUCAUUUUAGACAUUUUUUAAUUGUUGUUAUCAUGAUGCGGAUGACAUGAACAAGUUUAACGCAAUUUUAAUUAAGACUUGACAAGAGCAUUAUCAUGAAGCAUUGUCACCGUGGUGGAAGGAAAAAGGGGGUGCCACGGCAACGAAUCCGAAAAUGAUGCCAUGGCAACAUAUCGGUUCCGGUAACUCGAUUGAGAUCCCGGUGCAAACGAAAAAAACGACGGGAGCGUGACACGCGAUAGGAGGUGGGGUGAUCCCGGAUAUCGGGUUCCCACAAUAUGGUGACAAAGCAAAAGAGGGGCGACGUGCACCGAACAACUCCGACACGGAGCAAACACGAGCAUUUCAUACAUCACACAUGCAUUCGUUCACGGGCAUCGUUCCGGCGGUUAUACCUUUGAAGCGAGCAUCAUCGAAACGGAUCGAGUUCGACGGUAGGGGUACACGUGUCGACGAGGAAGUAGUUGUACACGGGGUCGUCGUGGGAAGUAGUCAUUCUCGCGAUGGUAGUGGAAGUAGGGGUACAUGACGACGUAGAGGUGCUCGCGACGGUAGUCGUUCACGUUUGCGUUUCACGGGUCUUCGGCGACGGUUGUCGUACAUGGUCCACAAGACGUCGAUCGUUCGGGGUCCGAUUUGCGGAUCUUGCCGACAUGAAGGGGUACUUGGCGUUCUCCGGACUUGCUGGUCUCGUCGAAACGAAGGGGUACUUGGUACAAUCCUCGUAGUCGUGCACUUGUCGUCAAGGGACUAGAUGGAUCCGAGGCUUCCGGAGGCGACGGUAGUGGGACUUGGUGAAUCCGAGUUCUUCAGAGGUCGUCAUGGUACUUGGUGAAAUCCUCGGAGAUGGACUUGACGCACGAAAGGUCUUCGGUGCCACGGUACUUGUCUGAUCACACACGGAGAUGCAUCGAUGGAUCUCUGACUCGUCCUGGCGAUGGACGAACUUGGCGAAAACCCCGAAGGCGGUCUUGAGCUUCCCUGGUUACCGCACCUUGGCAGAGACCAGAGGAACGACGAGGCCAGCGGGCAGCAACCGAAGAUGCCUGAGGUCUGUGGGCGUCCAGAUCAGGUGGCCUUCUGGCUAGGCAAGGACGACGAGGAGGAUGCCGAGGCGCGGGGACGAGGUAGGAGGCGGCACGGGAGCACGGCGCGGGCGUGGGCGCUCCUGGUGGGCGCAGAGGACGACGACGGCAGGCCAUGGCAGGGGCGGAGGCGCGGUUCCCUGGACCGGUAGGGCCGCGGCGGCGCUGUGGUGCCCGGCGGCCUCGGCGACGCGGCGAGGGAGGGGAUCCGGCGGGGCGCGAGGGAGCUCGGUGGCGGCGCAGGCUGCAGUGCCCGACAGAUGGAGGAGGCGCGGCAGGGUGGCUCCGGCCAGGGCACGGCGCGGGGAGCGCAAGACGGCGGCGAGGAGGCCGAUGAGGCUCCGACCUGGUACUUGGAUCGAAGGAGGAGGGAGGAUGAGGGGAGCCGGAGGGAGAUCGAGAGGGGGGUUCGAGCAGCUGGGGAUGGGGAUCGGGCUGCGAGGGAAAAUGGGGGUCGGGCACGAGAGAGAGAGAUCGAGGGGAGAUGGCGGCGCUGCGGGAACGAGAGGGAGAUGAGUGUGGUGCAGGAGCUGGGCUUCGGGCCUUCUAGGGUUAGGAGGGAGUGGGCCAGGGAGGCCGGCCGAGGAGAGAGAGGCCCAGGUGGGCAGGGGCGCGGCCUGCGGGGAAGGAUGGGCCUAGGGAGGCCUGAGGCUGCAGCUGGGCUGGACUCUCUUUCCCUCUUUCUCUAAUUUUCUUUAGCAGCAAAUGAUUAAAGAGAAAGAAAAGAAAGAGGGGGUUAGGGAAAGGAGUCGGACACGCGGAUAAUUUUCCCGGACUCACAAAAUUGCACUUGUUCCGAGAAAAAUGAAGUGGGCAAGAUUGCAAGAAUUAAAUUCAAGGACAAUUGAAUUUAAUUAGAAAGGUUGCACAAGGACUAGGAUUUAGGAGAGUCCAAAAAUGUUGAGAAAUUAGGAGGAGCCUCAAUAAAUGGGAAAAGAGAUGUUGGCAAAGUUUGGGGACCAAACUUGAAGUAGAAAGGGAGUGGGGAUUUUUCCAGUGUGUUUUGGUUAAUUCCGAAAGAAUGGAAUAUUUUAUAAUAGCCCCACUAAUAUCGGGACGAUAUGUUAUAAAGAGAAGUCAUCCUUCCCUCGAUUUAAAUGGAUCGAAGAUCCAUAUGAAUUAUUUAGUUGAGAUGCAAAAGAUUAUGACAUGAUGACAUGAUGCAAUGCACAUGAUGACGUGACAUGGUGCAACACGCAAGCACAUGACAACGCAACAACAUCGAAUAACUGCACGACACCUGGCACAUCGGUCUCGGGGCGUUACAGUCGCCUCCUUGUAUCCCCCCCCUACUCGCAUCCUCAAGCCAGGCCGAGCCCCUUCUCGGCAACGCUGUGAGACGCCCCCGUUUCCCUCCUCUUUCCACCGCAUUCACCGCGCCGCUCGCCGUGCCCGUCGCCGUGCGUGAGCCCACCACCGCACCAGCCCCCGCUCCGCGCACGACCCUACCCGCGCCCGCGCCAUGAUCCCCUUUUCCGCCCUACCUUCACGCGCUCGCCGCGAUCCCGAUGCUCCCCCGCGCCCUCUUUCGGGCGCGCCGACUGCCCCUGUCCUGGUGCUCGCCGCCGUGCCUCGCCACCGCUCUACUGCUACGUUACUACUGCGCUGCGGCCGCCGCCUCUUCCCGCUGCUCCGCUAGCGCCGGAGCUCCCGGUUGGCUCCACCACUGCUCACGUUAAACCGCCGGCCUAAAUGGCCUAACCCCCGGCUAAUGAACCCCCACUAACCCACUGACACCGGGACCCACAUUCCCUAAUUAACCAUUUAAUAAAUUAAAACUCUUAAAUUAACAUUAGUGUAUGACAUGUGCGUCCCCUGUUAAUUAAUAAUUUUACUGCUAGUUUUAUUAGUUUCUGUUUUUUCUGCAUAUUUCUUUUGUAUUUGAACAGGCUUUAUACAAUAAUAUUUAGCGUAUCAUACACAUACAAAUGUAAUCAUAGCAUAUACAUACAAAUAGUCUCAUCAAAUCAUGUCAUCAUCAUAAUCAUCAUCCAUCACAAAGUGGUCUCUCGUCAUCAUCUCGAAAAUAGCGAUACAAGUCUCGAUUACUUGCAACUACAUCGUCAUCCAUCUAAACAAUGAUAUACGCGAGAAGAGCUCUCACUAUGAGUGAGAGCGGAACUAUGCAGUACAUGAGUUUGUAUCCCUCUCUCGCAUUAGCGUGAACCUAAACUAACGACUCGCUGUUGCUCGGAAACCGGAAACCGGUACACCUGGGCCUGACACUCCGGCCACUCGUCGUAUACUCCUGGCGUAGCACUUCUUCGCCAUCGAUGAUCUAUGCACCUGCAUCGUCACAUGAGUCGAUGAUAUGCAACAUAUAUAGUUGAGUAACAGAAAGAGACAGACUUCGCAAAAAUAGAAGCAACAUAUCAUAAGUAUAAAUAACAAAGUUCAUCCUACCCAAAAUGCCCUAACUAGAGUGAUCUUCGCUAGUCGAGGAGGACGGUUUAAUUACAUCACAAAUAACGUUUCGUCGUGCAUAACUCAAAGUUCCGUCAUACAGAAAGUAUGAACUAAACGGACACAUUGUCAUAUUUCGAAAAUCACUCCAACAUAUCGUACCAUCCAUCCAAGUCAAGGAGAGAGUGCCCGAGCUUAGUGAAAGGCUUGUGGUCGAGACGCUGAGCGGCUACGCGUGUUCGAAAGUCUUCCCACGUCAUUUGUCCUUCUUCAUAGAACAUCCCUGUUUUUUCGACGACCUCCUUCAUGAUGAUUUGGACAAGUUCGCACUGGAAGUGAUAUAACUCAUCUCGAAGUGGAUGAUCCUCGAUAUCUCCUAAGUUCUUUGCCCAUUGCAGAAUAUGGGCAUCGCUGAAUUUAGGUGACAUGCAAAGGUUCCGGUGAUCUCGUCUAUACUCCAUCAUAUGGACAUAGAAUCGAUCAUCAAGAGAAUCACUCGGUUGCUGGAUGCAGCUGAAGUGGGUCUUAUGGGCCUGCCGUCCCUUUUCUUCUUGUCCUUGACCUCUCCACCCCGUGCAUCGUAGUAAAACGUAGCACUGUCGAGAAUAGACUUGAUGUGGGUGUAAUCCUUUUUGUUAAUGUUCUUCGACGAGUCCACAGUAUCGGGGGUAGCGGAUAAUGAGGACGGCGCUGAAGGAAAUAUGCCCUAGAGGCAAUAAUAAAGUUAUUAUUUAUUUCCUUAUAUCAUGAUAAAUGUUUAUUAUUCAUGCUAGAAUUGUAUUAACCGGAAACAUAAUACAUGUGUGAAUACAUAGACCAACAGAGUGUCACUAGUAUGCCUCUACUUGACUAGCUCGUUAAUCAAAGAUAGUUAUGUUUCCUAACCAUGAACAAAGAGUUGUUAUUUGAUUAACGAGGUCACAUCAUUAGUUGAAUGAUCUGAUUGACAUGACCCAUUCCAUUAGCUUAGCACCCGAUCGUUUAGUAUGUUGCUAUUGCUUUCUUCAUGACUUAUACAUGUUCCUAUAACUAUGAGAUUAUGCAACUCCCAUUUACCGGAGGAACACUUUGGGUACUACCAAACGUCACAACGUAACUGGGUGAUUAUAAAGGAGUACUACAGGUGUCUCCAAUGGUAGAUGUUGGGUUGGCGUAUUUCGAGAUUAGGGUUUGUCACUCCGAUUGUCGGAGAGGUAUCUCUGGGCCCUCUCGGUAAUGCACAUCACAUAAGCCUUGCAAGCACUGCAACUAAUAUGUUAGUUGUGAGAUGAUGUAUUACGGAACGAGUAAAGAGACUUGCCAGUAACGAGAUUGAACUAGGUAUUGGAUACCGACGAUCGAAUCUCGGGCAAGUAACAUACCGAUGACAAAGGGAACAACGUAUGUUGUUAUGCGGUCUGACCGAUAAAGAUCUUCGUAGAAUAUGUAGGAGCCAAUAUGGGCAUCCAGGUCCCGCUAUUGGUUAUUGACCGGAGACGUGUCUCGGUCAUGUCUACAUUGUUCUCGAACCGUAGGGUCCGCACGCUUAAUGUUACGAUGACAGUUAUUAUGAGUUUAUGCAUUUUGAUGUACCGAAGGUUGUUCGGAGUCCCGGAUGAGAUCACGGACAUGACGAGGAGUCUUGAAAUGGUCGAGACGUAAAGAUUGAUAUAUUGGAAGCCUAUGUUUGGACAUAGGAAGUGUUCCGGGUGAAAUCGGGAUUUUACCGGAAUACCGGAAGGGUUACCGGAACCCCCCGGGAGACUAAUGGGCCUAUUGGGCCUUAGUGGAAAAAGAGAAAAGGGGCAGCCCAUAGCUGGCCGGCGCCCCCCCCCUUUCCCCAAGUCCUAGUAGGACUAGGAGAAGGGGCCGGCCCCCCCUCUUUCUCCUUUCCCCCCGAGAGUCCUAAUUGGAAUAGGAUUGGAGGGAGGAGUCCUACUCCCGGUGGGAGUAGGACUCCCCUGCGCCUCCCUCUCCCUGGCCGGCCGGCCCCCCUUCCUCCAACCUUUAUAUACGGGGGCAGGGGACACCCCAAGACACACAAGUUGAUCCUUGAGAUCGUUCCUUAGCCGUGUGCGGUGCCCCCUGCCACCAAAUUCCACCUCGAUCGUACCGUUACAGUGCUUAGGCGAAGCCCUGCGUCGGUAGUACAUCAAGAUCGUCACCACGCCGUCGUGCUGACGGAACUCUUCCUCGACACUUUGCUGGAUCGGAGCCCGAGGAACGUCAUCGAGCUGAACGUGUGCUAAGAACUCGGAGGUGCCGGAGUAACGGUGCUUGGAUCGGUCGGAUCGGGAAGAAGACGUACGACUACUUCCUCUACGUUGUGUGAUCGCUUCCGCAGUCGGUCUGCGUUGGUACAUAGACAACACUCUCCCCUCUCGUUGCUGUGCAUCACCAUGAUCUUGCGUGUGCGUAGGAAAAUUUUCGAAAUUACUGCGUUCCCCAACAGGCGCGCCCGCCGCUGCGCAAAAUAAGUACACCUCCAAUUAAUUACACUCCAUCGUUCAAAUGAAUGAUUGAAAUCGAAGGAAGGAUAUCUGCGCGGAUGACUUACACGAGAUGAUAAGCCAUGAGAAUCGCCUCCUUGUCCUUAUUGGCAAGCAUGAAAUCGACGAUGUAUUCCUCGCGUAUUCACGGUGCUUUGCACGGACUCCCAAGAAGCCCUCGUGCAUGAAGUACGGGUCAGCAACACAGAUAUGAGGUAUCUGCUCAACCCCGAUGAGGUAGUUCAUGUGCAAGGCAUAAAGGCGGACAAACGUAAAAUCCAGCUUCUUUAAGUGAAACAUGUUGAAGAUGUAAUCGAAUCGAAGGAAAAACUUCUUCGAGGGGAAUGUGUCGACGUACGACAAUUGCCGCGGCACGUUAACCACGUAGAGAGGGUAUCCUGGAUUUUUCGAGGCGAUGAGGCCUUUCUCUAUCCGCAACACGUCGUCAUGAAGUCUCCUUAGAUUGCCGGAUCUGGCCCCUAGUGCUGCUUUCGGUAGGAUUGGUUCACCGGGAUACGCCAUUUUGCCGCUCCGGGGAUAUCUAUACGGUCUUGAACCCGAGGCUGCUGAGGCGGCUGGAUCAUAGAAGCAGCUUUGUUGGCUUUCCUCGGUGUAUUCCUAAGCUUCUUUGCUACCGGAAGGUCGUCUAUAAUAUGUUCAGCCUCCGGAGGCGGCAAUUCAAGCACCGACUCAUGACGCUCAAACCCUUAGUAGGCGCCAGUAUUGAGAUACUAUUGAGUGUCAUUGUCAUCCUCAUCUAUGGCGGUGUCACCAGCGACAAAUGGAGCCUCUUCCUCACCCCGUCCGCUAUCACCCAGCACGACAGCCGGCGCUAAUUGGGUAGGUGGGGUGUUGAUGUUCAUACCUAACUGCGUGCUCGUGUGUGUGCUCCCGGCCGUCUCCAAACAAAGCAGACUCUUUGGCCACAAUAGGACCCACCCAUUGCAAUCACCAAGCCGCUGCGGGAUCUUGUCGUCAUUCCCCCUAGUACCGGAGGAGCCAAAUUCUCCUGGCCUGGUUUGACACUGGCCACGGAAACUUUGAAGAUGUCCAGGGGGAUCGAUCGGCCGUGGAACAAUGGUUCCUUCAGCUUCAUUAUCGUCACCUUCCCCACGUCCACCUCCUGGUAGCGGAUGCUGUACAAUAUGGUGCACGGGGUUAUAUUGGCCUGCAAAGACAUUUCUGUGAUGUGAGAUAUCCGAAAGGCAACGGAAAUGGGAGAUUAUACAUUUAUUGAAGAGGGCCGGUGUGACAGAUACCGUGAGGGCGUCGAGCUCAGCCAAAGACGAAGCACCGCUGAGCACGUCUGGUGUCGGAGCCGGUGCCGGAGCAGGUGCGGGAGCCCGUGCGGGAGCAGGUGUAGGUGCCGGUGCAACGCUAGUUGAGCUACUCCCGAAGAAGUCAGCAAGGGGAAAGUCUGCUGUAUUUUUUUCUGGAUUUUGCAUGCUCCAAUUGAAAACGGCCGGAACCAAGACAGAAGACAUAUCUGGAACCACCUGUUUUGCGGCAGCUAUCGCAGUUGUGACUGUCUCAGAUGAUUUCUUCUCAACCGCAAUCUCAACCUUCUGGUUGAUGUUUUCUUCAGUUAACCUCCGUCUUUCCUUUCUCUCCUCUGUGGUCUCACGGUAGUACUUCUUCCAUGUGGCGCCGUCUUCGACACCGUGCACGCGUCCAUACGACGGCCGAUUCUCCACCGGGAGUCCUUUCAAUAUGUUCAAUGCCCGAUUGAAUGGAGUGUUCCACUUGGGCCUCGCCAACACCUCAGACGGUGAGUCACUUUCGGCUGCAAUCUUGUGCUGCUCUCUCUACAAAAGGAACAAGGAUCGUUUACAAAUAUGACUAAACGUGCAGUCGAAUUGAUCAGAAACUAAAAUUACCGGCAGUCCCAUGAACUUCGUCGUGAUCAGGUCAGUCUUGAAAACCUUCUUGACUGAGUCCCAAUGGUGUCGUGCCCCGAGGACGUCAUGCUCCCGCGGGACGGUGAAGUCCGCCAAGGGGUCUGGGAUGCCCAGACUUUCGCGUUCCGCGUCCUCCUAUGCCCAUAUGGACCUCUUCCCGCCGUAACCACGGCUUCCGAGGUGGUGGCGCCCUAUGUUCCUUUGUUGAAGCCCCUUCAUGUACUUCGACUUUUUUUGGCAGCUUCGGCCUCGCAAGCCGCCUUGAAUUUUUCAAAGUGCUCUCCCGUGAUUGUCGGAUUAUCCUUUACAAUCUCAGAGUAUGGUUCCUUUUUGUCGACAAUCCGAUGUUUCAACCUUGUUUUCCAGGUGCCCAACGCGUCACUAAACUUGGUCAUGGCGUGUUUGUUUAUCUUCUUCAUUGCCGGGUCCUUAUUUGGAUCUUUAUAAUCCAUUUCAUUCCGGCCCGGGAACAACAAUAUCUGGUGCAGCUUCUUUAGGAGAGAGGGCCUCAUAUUAUCUAUCUUCUGUAGUUUCCCAUCAUUGAUCGUGGCAGUUGUCCGUACGAUGCAGCCUACUUGAUUGCCGUAGCACGAUCGCGCUUCCUCGGGCGCUAUUGUCUGAAAAACACUGUCGUCCAUCUCCGUGACCACCAGUCUAGUAGUCAUGAGCAGGUUUGGGCGCCGUGGCUUCUUUGCUUUCGGUUCUAGACCAGCUCCGCUAGUCUCGGCGCCGGUCUCAGUCUCAUCGCCAGUCUGCAUGUCGGUAUCAGUCCCCGAUGCGAUAGGUCGGCCCAGCAACAACAUUCGUUGAUCGUCGGCAAGGCUCAAAAAUUCAUCUGCCGCCAGGUAGACGUGUCGCAAUCACCAGAACCCUAUCCUUCAUCGUUGCUAGCCAUGUUUCCUACGAUUAUGCCUAGUCAAUUAAUUUUAGACCUAAUAAAAUGAAUAAUGACAUAAAACAGGCCAAUGUUUUGCAGGAUUACAACUCAACCCAUUGCAGAUUAGAAAACAAGCCCGUGUGAAUGCACAGGCUGACCACUAGUCUAUCUAUACCUAUACCUACCUAUACUAAUUACAGACUCCCAAGUAAUUCCCACGUUAAUUAGUAAUUAAGAGCCGUUAAUCUUGUGGGACCAAAUUAUUACGACAGUCCACGAUCUCUUUUCUCUCUGUGUAAAAAAAAAGGUCCACGAUCUCUUUUCUCCGUUGUAAAAGAUAAAGGCAACUCAGGUCCACGAUCUCUUUUCACGGUUGUGAAAGAUAAAGACAACUCCCGUCUUCUUCUAAUCUAUAGUUCUAUACCUCCACGACCCCUUCCUCUCCCCAUUUAAAAGGAACAAGCUGAACCAAUAUCUAAGCAUGCAAUUGGUUCCUGUGCGGUCUUGACCUUCCAUCCGUCCACUGCUCGAUCGGCCCUCCCUCAACUACAAGCUGACAAGCCACCAUCGCCAUCCAGCGGCACGCCACCGUUCAUGCAUGUGUUUUUGCCCUUCAAUCUGAAGGAGAUGCGUUGGCUACUCAAGUAACUCUGUUUGUUUUGUUCAAACCAAUUUCGUUAAUUCGGUUCUUUGAUUAUCUUAUUGACAUGGCCUGUGAGUUUUGUGCUAGUGAUACAGGGCCUGUCUACUAGAUUCUCUCCUUGCAACUUCUAUUGUUGUCUCGAUUUGGUGUGGUCAAGAUCCUUGCCCCACCACAAGCAGCACCUUUGCACCAUCGGGGAAAUCUGUCAUAGCAAACAGAGGUAUGUAACAUGCUUUGGUGUUUUCCUCUUUCGUUUAGAUCACUAGAGUUGCUCAACCACACCAUUCAUUGAUUAGUAGUUGGCCUGAGAAGUUGCUCGGUCACCUGCAGCGUCUGAUCCCCUUCUUGACCCUCUCAUUCUGGUCAUUAUCCACCGGCAGGUCAAUGCCAAACGGAUCGUUCGUUGCCGCCACCUUGCGGAGACCGAUGUUUGGCUGCCCUCCUGCCAUCCUGGCGCUCUGGUACCGGUCACUGUGCCGUUGUUCUAGAAGAACUAUGUCACACGAAGCGAGAUAUCUUCUUACUAAUCUGGAACAUAAGUGUUUCUUCUUACUAGGAUUCGCUCACCGGUGCAUUCAUCUCUUUUUGGAAAAUACGGCCUUCAUAUUUCACACGCCUAUACAUGGGUGCUGUCCCAACAAUAAUCCAUCUAAUCCAUGAUGCACAUUCAUGAAGACUGAUGUGACUGAAUUAAUAUAUCAAUCUGGUGCUUCCGGAUCAGCACUUGAAGAAGCAACCCCUUUAGUUCAUAAAUAUAUCAUACGAAAGUCAGGGGAGAAAUCAACUAAGUCAUGUGUGCUUUUCUAAUUAUUUACUAUACACUAAUUCCAUUUUUUCAGUAGAAGGCUAGGAUACGUGGAUUGUGGCAGCACAGAAGUAAACCGAUGAGCUACGUUGGCCGUUCACCAGUCAUCGGAUCAGCAGCCAUGUCGACCAGAGGGACGGAACAGUUCUAUAUUAGGCGAUGGAUACAUGUGGAAGCAACUAAGCAUAUGUGGAUGCAUGUGAUCGCAUAGGUAAGGCCAUAGCUGUUCAAGCCCUACAGGAUCUUUAUUGCUGGUUUUAAUUAUGAGUUUACAACACCAUCUAUACAUACUACUUAUCCAUUUAUUUCCUUACCUUCUUUGUUUCUUUCUCUCCUUGAUCCCCUGUCAAAAGGGCAUCAACAUCCAUAUGCGCAACGGCACACGCAACAAACUAUGACUUCGGUUGCAUGUCCAACGGCAACCACAGUACAUGAUGAUAUCAUGUUUGCUGCAAGACGAAGUACAAGUUCAUAAUUUGGUCUUUUGCAUGGUCCCUUAGUAAAUUCACUUCUGCUUCGGUACACCCCCCCUAAACACAUAGACGGCCCAGAUUAGUCGAUACCUCUUCAUAAGUAAGGGCAUGAUGGUCAUAUAUUAAAAACCAUUCGUCCCCUGUAUAUGUGUACAGUGAGAUGGGCCGGCCCAUCUUUCCCUUUUUUUCUGAUUUGAUCCUGACAGGAAUCGAACCAGAUAGUUCCUGGUACAUAGUUGGACGUGAUAACCAACCAGCCGACUUAGGCACCUAUGGUUAGAUAGUUCUUUCUCGUCCUUUUCUUCUUUCCUCUUUCCUCUUUCUUAUUUCCUUUUUUCUUGUUUUUUCAAACGUUGUUUUGGGUUUUCAUUUCCCUUUUUUUCUUUUUCGUUUUCUUUUCCUUUUUAUGUUCCUUUUGUUUUACCUUUUCUUUUGCAAUGUGCAAAAUUUUUCAGUUUCCUUUAUAAAAAAUUAAUGAACCUUUUUUAAUAUUGAUGAUUUUUUUUUCAAAGUCGAUGAACUUUAUUCAAGAUUGAUGAUUUUUUUCUAAAUUGAUGAACCUUUCUCAAGAUGAAUAUAGUUUUUUCAAAGUAGAAGAUUUUUUUUCAAAAUUGAUAAAAUUUUGCAAAAUCGAUGAUUUUAAAAAAAUCAUGAACUUUUUUCAAAUCCUUGUACUUUUUUUAAUCAAGAUGCAUGGGUUAUUUUUAAUUCAUGGAACUUUUAAUUUACGGACAUUUUGCCAAUCCGCUUAUUUUUUUCAAGUCCAUGAACUUUUCCAAAAGGGCGAACCCUUUUUUAUAGUCAAUGGUCAAAGGUCAAGCAUGUCAAUGGUCAACUUUUUGUCCAGGUUAACCAUGAAGAAGUUUUUUUUUGGUCGAACCACGAAGAAGCGAUCGAGCGUAUGCUCUUGGCGAGCGACAGCUGAUCGCUCCUGUAGUUUGGCCAGCCCAUGAAAGGUGGUGUUCAAGCGAUGUGUCCACUAAGUAGCGCAGAAAGCGGUGACUAGGCGCUCCCACUGUACAGGGAGUAGCGUCGCACAAACCGGCGCACACACCCCUUCGUCCAAGGUCUGGCCCAUUUUCCUUUUCUAUUUUUACCUUGAAAAAAUAGGUGCAUGAAGUAGGAUUCAAACUAUGAACCUUUGUGAUUACUUCCACCCACUAUAACAAACUAGGAUAGCUCACUUCUUGCGUCUAAUUACUUCUUUUUUAGAGCAUCUUCUCAGUCUGUUUUUUCUUUUGCUUUUGUUUGGCCUUUUUAUUCCGUUUUAUUCAUUUUUUAUUUGUCUUUGUUUCUUCUUAUUUUCAUUUUGUUAAAUUCAUGAUUUUUUAAAUCUAUGAGCUUAUUUUAAGGAUGUUGAGAAAUAACAUGCUCCCAGACAAAACCUUCUGGCCUACCGGAUACUCUUUGUAGAACAUGGUAUAGUUUUGGACAUCAUUCAAAUGAUCCCAACUUUUGUAGGAUGGUGGGCAUUUCCCGUGGUAGGCAUCAUUGACAGGUUUGAAUGACUUCUGACACCGUAUGCAAGUUGCGACACGUCCGAUCAUUUAUCGGUCUUUUUUCACCGGAAAAACUCUAGAAAAUGCAAAACUUGUUGAGAAUCCAAAAAACUUAGCUUGGUGUCUUGAAUUGGUCGUACAAGGCCAUGAAAAAAUUUGGGGCCAUUUCAAGGAUGUCAAGAAACAACGUGCUCUCAAACAGAGCCUUCUGGCAACCGAACACCCUUCAUUGAACAUGGUCUAGUUUUGGACAUUCUUGAAAUGACCCCAACUUUUUGAAGUAGAUGAGCAUGCCCAUGGUAGACAUCCAUGUCAAGUUUGAAUGAUUUCUGACACCGUAUGCAAGUCGCGACACGUCCGGCCAUUUAUCGACCUUUUUUGGCCGAGGAAACUCCAGAAAAUGCAAAAUUCAUCAAAAAACAAAACAACUUGGCAUGGUGCACUUAGUUGGCCAUACAAGGUCAUAUAAAAAAUUGGGGCAAUUUCAUGGGUGUGGAAACACAACAUGCUCUCAGACGGAGCUUUCUGACCUACCUGAUGAAGGAAAUAUGCCCUAGAGGCAAUAAUAAAGUUAUUAUUUAUUUCCUUAUGUCAUGAUAAAUAUUUAUUAUUCAUGCUAGAAUUGUAUUAACCGGAAACAUAAUACAUGUGUGAAUACAUAGACAAACAGAGUGUCACUAGUAUGCCUCUACUUGACUAGCUCGUUAAUCAAAGAUGGUUAUGUUUCCUAACCAUGGACAAAGAGUUGUCAUUUGAUUAACGGGAUCACAUCAUUAGUUGAAUGAUCUGAUUGACAUGACCCAUUCCAUUAGCUUAGCACCCGAUUGUUUAGUAUGUUGCUAUUGGUUUCUUCAUGACUUAUACAUGUUCCUAUAACUAUGAGAUUAUGUAACUCCCGUGUGCCGGAGGAACACUUUGUGUGCUACCAAACGUCACAGCAUAACUGGGUGAUUAUAAAGGUGCUCUACAGGUGUCUCCAAAGGUACAUGUUGGGUUGACGUAUUUCGAGAUUAGGAUUUGUCACUCCGAUCGUCAGAGAGGUAUCUCUCGGCCCUCUCGGUAAUGCACAUCACUUAAGCCUUGCAAGCAUUGCAACUAAUGAGUUAGUUGCGGGAUGAUGUAUUACGGAACGAGUAAAGAGACUUGCCGGUAAUGAGAUUGAACUAGGUAUUGGAUACCGACGAUCGAAUCUUGGGCAAGUAACAUACCGAUGACAAAGGGAACAACGUAUGUUGUUAUGCGGUCUGACCGAUAAAGAUCUUCGUAGAAUAUGUAGGAGCCAAUAUGGGCAUCCAGGUCCCGCUAUUGGUUAUUGACCGGAGACAUGUCUCGGUCAUGUCUACAUUGUUCUCGAACCCGUAGGGUCCGCACGCUUAAGGUUUCGAUGACAGUUAUAUUAUGAGUUUAUACGUUUUGAUGUACCGAAGGUUGUUCGGAGUCCCGGAUGUCAUCACGGACAUGACGAGGAGUCUCGAAAUGGUCGAGACAUAAAGGUUGAUAUAUUGGAAGCCUAUGUUUGGAUAUCGGAAGUGUUCCGGGUGAAAUCGGGAUUUUACCGGAGUACCGGGAGGUUACCGGAACCCCCCGGGAGAUAUAUGGGCCUUAGUGGGCCUUAGUGGAAAAGAGAAGAGGCAGCCAGAGAUGGGCCGCGCACCCCUCCCCUCCCUUGGUCCGAAUAGGACAAGGAGAGGGGGCCGGCCCCCUUNNNNNNNNNNNNNNNNNNNNNNNNNNNNNNNNNNNNNNNNNNNNNNNNNNNNNNNNNNNNNNNNNNNNNNNNNNNNNNNNNNNNNNNNNNNNNNNNNNNNNNNNNNNNNNNNNNNNNNNNNNNNNNNNNNNNNNNNNNNNNNNNNNNNNNNNNNNNNNNNNNNNNNNNNNNNNNNNNNNNNNNNNNNNNNNNNNNNNNNNNNNNNNNNNNNNNNNNNNNNNNNNNNNNNNNNNNNNNNNNNNNNNNNNNNNNNNNNNNNNNNNNNNNNNNNNNNNNNNNNNNNNNNNNNNNNNNNNNNNNNNNNNNNNNNNNNNNNNNNNNNNNNNNNNNNNNNNNNNAUCCUACUCCCGGAGGGAGUAGGACUCCUCCUGGCGCGCCUCUCCUAGGCCGGCCGCACCCCUCCCCCCCCUUGAGCCUUUAUAUACGGAGGCAGGGGCACCCCAGAGGAACACAAGUUGAUCCACGUGAUCAUAUUCUUAGCCGUGUGCGGUGCCCCUGCCACCAUAGUCCUCGAUAAUAUUGUAGUGGUGCUUAGGCAAAGCCCUGUGACAGUAGUACAUCAAGAUCGUCACCACGCCGUCGUGCUGACGGAACUCUUCCCCGACACUUUGCUGGAUCGGAGUCCGGGGAUCGUCAUCGAGCUGAACGUGUGCUAGAAUCGGAGGUGCCGUAGUUUCGGUGCUUGAUUGGUCGGGCCGUGGAGACGUAUGACUACAUCAACCAAACGCUUCCGUUGUUGAUAUACAAGGGUACGUAGAUCACAUUCUCCCCUCUCGUUGCUAUGCAUCACCAUGAUCUUGCGUGUGCGUAGGAUUUUUUUUGAAAUUACUACGUUCCCCAACACCUGAACACCCUCAUUUGAACAUGGUCAGUUUUUAGAUAUCCUUCAAAAGACCACAACUUUUCCAAAAAGGUGAGCAUGCACAUGGUAGGCAUAUAUGCCAAGUUUGAACGAUUUUUGACACUGUAUGCUAGUUGCGACACGUUCGGCAAUUUUCGCCAUUUUUUGACAAAGAAAUCUCCAGAAAAUGUAGAAUUUUUAGAAAACCAAAAAACCCUGGCAUGGUGCCUUGAAUUCUUCAUACAAGCCAGUGAAAAAAAAUAGGUCAUUUGACGGAUGUCGAGAAAAAACAUGCUCCCAAACGGAGCCUUCUUACCUACCCCUACACCCUAUGUUGAACAUGGUGAUUUUUUCUACACGAACACAAAAAAAAUGUUCGAGAAAAUUCAAAAAAUUUUCUUUCAAAUUUUUAUUCGUAUUUUUCUUGAAGUUCCAAAUUUAAUAGUGAAUUUUCCUAAAAUGUUAAAUCAAAAAUGUUCGUGUGGAAAAUUUUGUUUGCUCUUUGUAAAAAUGUUUGUGUUUUGACAUUAUGAGCAAUUUGAAAAUACAAAUACAUUCUGAGGAAUUCAUAAAUGUCGCAUUUUGAAGUAAUUGUUCGUAGUUUCAGAAAAUGUCCGUGUUUUCAGUUUUAUAUCUCUUUUAAGAAAAUGUUCGUAUUUAAAAAAAAUUGUUUGUAGUUUCAAGAAAUGUUCUCGUUUUCAAUUCUGCUCUUAUUUUUCUAAAACAAAGUUUGAGAGUCUGAAACAUUGCUCACUAAAGGUUUGAAUUUUAAAAAUAUGUUCACAGAUUUUGAAAUUUUUUGGGUUUAAAGCAUAUUUACUUUGUCAAACAGAAAUUCACAUACGGAAUUUUGAAAAAAAUAAUCGUUUUUGGACUAGUGAUGUUAUGCACUCGCGGGAGCUUGUGUGUUAGAUCCGCGCACCCAUUUUAGUAUUUGUGAAUUGGUGUUGAAGUGUUGCCGCUCUAGCUAAUUCUUUAGGUGUGACACUGCUAUUGUGUCGGUUGCGUUAGGCAGGCGAAGUGGCUAGGGCGUAAUUUUUGUUGAUUUUCCAGCCCAAAUGGAUCGGCCCAGGUUAUCUGUGCCUGUGUCCUGCGAACAUAUGGCACAUUCCAGCGUACGUACGAAAAUGGAUAGGAUUUGUCAAAAGUCUAAAUUACCCAUUAUACGCUUUGUGAGGGGGGUGUAUCGAAGCGUUUCUCCACAUAAAUUAUAUUUGUCCACAUACACCACAUACAUAAAAACAGGUAGAAGCGGUUGCAUGGUGAAAAUGUCCUCUCAAUAUGCAUGCCUAUGAAUACUAUCACCAGAAAGCCAAGGACUAACAAUUAUUCAGGGGUCAAGAUUGAAGACAGACGUCCAAGAUUGGAAGUCGGCCGGCCUAAGAGGGGCAAAACCAUUGUACAUUAUAUUGUAUGGACCUAGCAAGAUCCUAAAGAUAAGUGAUAAUGGAGAUCAUGGGGGCCACCCUUAUAACCAUAUGUCCAAAUGUUCUUAUUUGUUUAUUUUUCUUUUCUCUUUUCGGAAGAAUCCAUCCUGCCUCUAUGGUCAUCCUGACCACUUCGUAUUGUUAUCUAAUCUCCUCCCUUAAUUAAUAUAAAGAAUUACCGCAGCUGAAUUCACUAAAAAAAGUAUUCAGUUUAUUUUAAUUUAUUCAACUAUUAUGGCAUAUCAAUUGGAUUGCAAGUUCUUGGCGGUUGCAUUUGAAUCAUAUUUGAUGUGCACAAAGGCUUCAGUGUCAAGGUGGUCGGACGAGUAUUUAUGUCCAUUAUAUAUGCGUUAGCUUGAGAUCAUCAGGCACCUGUUAUGCAUCUGUCCAGUUAAAAGGAUGUUCAGACUCAGGCUUGCCCUACCAUAUAUGGCUGUGACACUCUGAACCAAGCAAGUUGGUCAUAUAUGUCGAGCACUAUUAACUCUUUGGAAGAAGAUCCACCAAGUACAGAAAACAAAUCAAAUAUCUUCUUAACCUUAUCACCAGAAAAAUUAGCAAGAGAUGAAUAGUAACAUUUUAAAGAAGAAAGAUAUGUUUGAAAAGGGAUAUAUAUUAUGGCGACGAUUAGAACAGCCCUUGACGAAUGGUGCCUAGCCUGCGAAAGUUUCUUAUGAAUAUAGUCAACACUCUAUAUCAACUGUUGUAAGAUUUUAGAAAUAUUUUUGGGGACAUAUGAUACAUGUCUAUUAUACAUAUGAUUCAACAGAAGUUUGAUUGAAUACAUAUUUAAAACGUGACUGACUUCUAUAUGGACGGAGUAUUUCACAAAGGACUCACUGCCAACUGUGUGAAUAUUCCAAGAUAGUUAGUGCACAUAAAUGUUCAAAUCCAUAGCUGCAUAAAUAUACAAAAGCAAUGUGUUAGACCACUACACAUGCUUCUGAAAGGAGGCAAAAAAAUGUAUGCUUGAUUGAUGACCGUUCAUGCAUGAAAUUAAUUUUUGAUUUCUAAUUAUUUUGGUCAUAUAAUGGAAAUAGAGACAUUAUAAAGAUCCAACAGCAUGCUAUCACACACGUGUGAACACAGACACACACAAAUAACAUUUGCCGAGCACUCACAAAUAAAAGGUGUGGCUACUCUUGGGUGUUCUACAGCUGGCUUAAAAAAACACGUAUGAAACAUGAUCCCCAAAAAUCUGAAAUUCGCAACAUAUGAAAAUCCACCCUCAAACAUAUUUCUAGUGUCUCAAUUCUUUUAGUUUCAGAUGGUAUGUCCAGCCAAAGUAGUUGUACACAUACAUUACUAUGUUCUAUUAUUUGAGAUUCUAAGAGAACAUUUAGUAACUAGCCCGUGCGAUGCACGGGUUCACGACUAGUAUAUAUAAAGCUUAAUGGUGCCUAAGAAAGCUCGCACAAUUUUACAGUGGCUAUGGAAAUGUGUUGCCAAACUGAGACAUAAGAUUUUCAUUUGGCAUCCAGAGUUGCAGACCGCUUGUGUUAUCCUUAAUCCAUGGCCACUCUAAUUUUUCCGGCUGGGCCUUCCCUGUGGUACCGCGGCAAGGCUUGCGUGUGUAUAUGUUUCCUUUAACUACCACUAGCACAUAUGCCCAUGCGUGCGUUGCAAUGGGAGAGAUAAUGGCAUAUCCACCAAUAUAUCUAGCAGCAUGACCCAACAACAUCCGAAUGAUGUCACCCGACGACGGCAGGAAGGCACGCACAGAGGUCUAGUAAAAACUCAUCAAUUGUACGGGCAUGGUUAAUUCGCGUGAAUUCAAGGGUGUGAGAUUAGUUAGUGUUGGUCCCACAAUUGAAUUCGGGGGGUGAUUAGUUAGUGUGGGCCCACCCUUGAAUUCACCGGGGGAGACAAAAUAAUUAGGGCGAGGAGAGAUUUACGGGGCUUGGUCCCCAGAUGCGUUGCGGCAGUCAUUAUUCGAGCAUUGCAAUGCUCGCACGUGAGGAGCUCCUUUUCCAAUUGUAUAUUAAGAAGCAUGCUAUAGAUACAAUGUUUUUGAUACAUUUUUGUACGAUGAUCCUGAUCUUAAAGGGCCUUCUAAUUUUUAAAUCUUAAAGGCAUUAUUUGUAAGUUGUCGUGAAAAAAAUCUCGCUAAAAGGGUUGUGUUAGACCAUCUUCAGUACAUUAGAAAUAACGAAUUAUAAUUCCUUGGCAUUUGAACAAACAAUCCCUACUUAUUUACACAUACAAUACUUUUGGUAUGAUUUUGAAAUCUUGAAGGCAUUAUUGUAAGUUGAAGCAAUUUUGAAAUCUCACUAAAAGGUCUGGUAAGCUUUAGAAAUAACUAAUUAUAAUUUUGCAAAAAAAAGAAAUAACUAAUUACUAAUUUUGGUAUGAUUUAUUGUCUGGGUAGUAGUUCCUUUGCAACAUUAUUCUCUCCUUUCUUGAAGGAACUCUUGCCUGCUCCCUCGCCAUGCUCCCAUCCAUGCUCCCACUCCAUCCUAUGGUUGUCCUUUUUUCCUUUUUCUUUCUAAACUAAUCAUCUCCCCCCCUGAUUUUAAGGGGAUGGGGCCGGGCCUUAUUUUGUUCCAAUUAAAUCAUGCCACGUAUGCGGGAGCAUUUUGUCCCUCCUUCUAGCGCCUCCCACUGAAAAUGCCCUAAAAGUUUUUGAGGGAUUUUUUUACUGUGUCCUACUUCACGAAUCACGAGGCAAAUCAAGUAGGCGGCAUGGCCUGGCCGGUGAGUGCCAUUGCACUUACUUGCCCCAGCGAUUUUCCGCCUGCAUUGUAGAAUUCUUUCUCCGAGUCCUGUGAAUUAAAGAUGGUGCAGACAAAAGUAUAUCCUAUAUGCGUACAUGUGCAUGAUCAGAACAUGUUUUUACGUGCGUCUACUAUAAAUCAUGACCAUUUUUAACACAAAUCAUGACCAUUCAUGAUUAGUGAAUCAUACUGUCUUAACUUAUGUGAAAUCAUGUGGAGUAAUAUAAUAUAAUAUAAUAGAUAGAUAGAUCCAUGUUGUAUUAUUUUUUGUUUACAAAAAAUAUCUGUCAUUACACAUUUUGAUUUAUGCAUUUGUUUACAAAAAAACAGUAACAUUUCAUGGUGGAGAGUUUGUAUUGUUUCAUACUGAACACCAAUGUUUUCCCGUAAAAGAAAAUAAUGCCUACGCAUAUGCUUUUAUAUUAUUAUUAUUCUUUCAAACUUAUUCAUAUAGUAUUUUUGAUUGUGCAACCAUAAUUUUUAUUAUCUCUCUCGUUCCACUACAUGCUCUUACUCAAUGAUUUUUUUAUAAUGGGUGUUUUUAUUAACUCAGCCAAAACAUAAUGAGCCACAUCCGGUCUCUGCAUAACUAAGAUGCACACAGCCAAAAGCAGAAGUCUGACAAAAAUAAGAUAAGAAAAUCAACAUAUCGACACCAGUGAGUCAUAUAGUUCCGACACUAUGCCUCUGUUGAAGGACGGGGUGGAGCGAUCUGGAGAUUAUGCUUCCCUCCAUUUUGAGUAAAUACCUCCCUGGCCACUUGUUCCAACCGCAUAGACGCCGCCACGAAUAAUGGUUGGUACUCUGUUCGGUGUAGCAUACACCAUGUAGGAACUGAGUGCUCACUCCUAGUUACUAAAUUAUGUACACACUAGUAGAAAAAGGGCCAUUUGUCCCGGUUCGUAAGGCCCAUUUGUCUCAGUUAGGGAACCGGGACUAAAGGGUCGGUACUAAAGCCCCACACCUUUACUCCCGGUUCUUACACCAACCGAGACAGAUGGGGCUCCACGUGGCCGCUGCGGCUUGCCAUGGCAGGGGGGCCUUUUGUCCCGGUUGGUAGCACCAACCGGGACCAAUAAGCUACCACGCGUCAGCAUUUGAGGGGCUUGGGUUUUUGUUUUUCUUCUGAAGGGGAGGGGAGGGGUGUUGGGGGUUUUGGGGGGUUUUGUAUGGUUAAUUUUGGGGGGUUUCAUAUAUUGUGUUAGGUAGUAAUUAAUUAAUAGAGAGAAGUGUCCUCUCUUAUCUCCGUGCUUGGUCGACGCUACGUACUAUACGUAUAGAGAGGCCCUCGACACACUUGCCAGUAAGCAAAUGAAGGAAACCAUUAAGUACAGAAGUUCGUCAUGAACAUAUGCAUACAAACAUAAGUGAUAUCGACCUCUCCUUCUCUGAGAGAUAGGUCGAACAACAAGUUUCCGUAUAUCCAUCCGGCGCUACUAGCUACUUAUAUACAAUAUUAAGAUCUCUUACAAUAUAAUCCCCUAAUUAUAUAUGAACUCAGUUUCCAGAUGGUAUUCUCGGGCUUUAUUGAUGACGUGGUCAAGAAAGAAUCCCUCCAAUUCCUCUUGAAUUGCUUUGAUGCGAUCUUGUGGUAGGAGUUCAUCCCGCAUCUGCCACAUCUAAUUUGAAGAAGGGGGUCAAUCACUAGUGGAAUAACAGCCAUUUGUCCAAGUUCAUAAGGCUCAUUUGUCCCGGUUGGGGAACCGAGACUAAAGGGUCGUUACUAAAGCCCUACACCUUUAGUCCCGGUUGUCGGUGUCAAAACCGGCGGAUCUCGGGUAGUUGGUCCCGAACUGUGCGUCUAGGCCGGAUGGUAACAGGAGGCAAGGAACACAAUGUUUUACCCAGGUUCGGGCCCUCUCGAUGGAGGUAAAACCCUACGUCCUGCUUGAUUAAUAUUGAUGAUAUGGGUAGUACAAGAGUAGAUCUACCACGAGAUCAAGGAGGCUAAACCCUAGAAGCUAGCCUAUGGCAUGAUUGUUGUGUAUGGAGUUGAUUGCCUACGGACUACAACCCUCCGGUUUAUAUAGACACCGGAUAGGGUUAGGGUUACAUAGAGUCGGUUACAAUGGUAGGAGAUCUUGAAUAUCCGCAUCGCCAAGCUUGCCUUCCACGCCAAGGAAAGUCCCAUCCGGACACGGGACAAAGUCUUCAAUCUUGUAUCUUCAUAGUCCAGGAGUCCGGCUACCCGAACACCCCCUAAUCUAGGACUCCCUCAGUAGCCCCUGAACCAGGCUUCAAUGACGACGAGUCCGGCGUGCAAAUUGUCUUCGGCAUUGCAAGGCGGGUUCCUCCUCCACGUCCUUCAUAGAAGAUUGUAAACACCAAGAGUAGUGUCCGGCUCUGCAAAAUAAGCUUCCACAUAUUUCCGUAGAGAGAAUAAUAUUAACACAAAUCAAAUCUGCUGACGUAUUCCGCAGUGCGUCAUCACACUGCAGCCAAGUCCUUCACUCGAAUCGUUUUCACUUUUCCACCUCAGCGUGUUUUGCGAGGCGGUUUCCUUGGCACGUCUUGUCAAAGUAGAUAUCGUGUACCCCCCUUUUACGGGAUUCUCAUCAAUACAGACAUGGGUAACCCAACCGCGCCACUUAUCUCGACGCUUGGGAGGCAAGCGAGUUUUACUAGGCAGGUGGGGACGCACAACCGCAUCUACCCAUAUAAGGGGAUAAGGAUCCACCUUUUUACCUACGCCUUCUUCCUCCUUUGCCUAUCCAUCUCCUGCGCACCCGAGCUCCAGCGCCCAAGCCCGCACUUCCCACCUCGACCUUCUCCAGCAAUGUCCGGAGCGGGAGGCAAGUGGAUGGUCUCUACCACCACGGAGGGUAAAAUCAAGAAGCUAAGGAAGGCCGGAUACCUGUCCAAGGACAUCGCGCACUGGCUUCCCGAAGAGGGGCAGCUUCUCCCCACCCCAAGGCCCCAUGAGAGGGUAGUAUUUCUCCCCCACUUCCUCCGCGGACUGGGUUUUCCACUCCACCCAUUUGUCCGGGGGCUCAUGUUCUACUACGGCCUGGAUUUCCACGAUCUGGUCCCGAACUUCAUCCUCAACAUCUCGGCGUUUAUCGUCUUUUGCGAGGCUUUUCUCCGCGUCCGCCCUCAUUUCGGCCUCUGGCUCAAGACCUUCAACGUCAAGCCCAAGGUGGUGUGCGGCAGCCAGGCGGAGUGCGGAGGCGCCAUGGUGGGCAAGAUGGCCAAUGUCAUAUGGUUCGAGGGCUCUUUUGUGGAGACCCUAAAGGGAUGGCAAUCUGGGUGGUUUUACAUCACCGAGCCGCGCGAUCCGAAAUGGACCGCAGCCCCCGAGUUCCGAUCCGGACCCCCCAAGCGGCUUGUGUCCUGGAAAGAGACGGGCCUGUCAUGGGGUGACGAAAAUGAGGUGACCGGAUUGCAAACAUGCAUCCAGUCCCUGGUGAACAAGCCAGUCUGGCUUGUUAAUGUAAUCCAGGUUAUGCUCGUCCGCCGGAUCCUCCCGUGCCAACAACGGGAUUUUAAUCUAUGGGAGUUCGACCCGGUGCAGCAUCAAACCCUCAGCAGGCUCUUCGACACGACGUACGAAGACGCCUGGAAGAUGCUAUUAAAGGGCGUCGAGGCUCCCGCAUCCGCUUCCGAGGACCGCGAAUACAGCUCGCAGCGUCACGCUAGCGAGGUAAGCCAUCUACACCUUUUAUAGGAUGUUCAAGCUUUUUUCAUAGUUUGACUCUAUGUGGGAUCUAAACUCCCUUACCUUUGAAAGGCUUGGCGGGCAAUAUCCGGACCGAUUAACUGUCCGGCUCCGCUGCCCGAAGACCCAGCCCCAGCUCUACUAGUGAAGCUGCUGGUUCCGGAGCCUUAUGUGGUGCCGAAGACGAAGGCCAAGAAGAAGAAGACCACAGGGACUCGAAAGAGUGCAUGCAACGUGGUGGUGUCGGACUCGUCAUCUGACGAGUCCAAGACGCCCUCCUCCCAUGAAAACGAGGAGGAGGAAGAAGAAAACUCCCCCCCCCCCCCAGCGGAGGGAGGAGAGAAGAGGAAGGCCGCCCCAACGGGGGAGGCCGAGGGGUCUAGGAAAAGGAAGACCCCUCCGCCAGACUACGCCCCCGACGCCGAAGAGGGCGAAGAGGAGUGGCCGAACAGGGCCAAACGUCCGGCGAAAUCGUAAGUUCGGAUAUCAGAGUAACUCAUGAUGUUCCUUUGUUGCACAGCUUUCCCUAAUGUCGAAUGUAAUUAUGCAGUCCGCCCCGGGCCAAAUUCGACGAAUCAUCGUGCGGCUCCCUGGACUCAUCGGACGUGAACUCAGUUCCGCCCGCUGUCUCCCCCCGCACUGUGGACGACGCCGAAGUGGCGUCGCGACAAGCCCCGGGGCAGGAGGAGGUGGUCCCGGAGGAGCCACAAGGCAACCUCCCGGACUCCAGGAGUGAAGGGGACAAGACCCCCCAGGGCUCCAAGUCUGGCUUUGAGCCGGACACCGCACCGGAAUCUACAACAGUUCCGGACCGCGGUAGGCGAACUCCUUCCAAGAGGAGUAAGCCUUCUGAGCCGGCGUCCUCCGUCCAGCCGAAGGCGCCGGAAAAUCUGCUGGAGGAGCUUAAGGGCGCCUCCAUCGACGAGGAGCACCAUGCCAUCAUGAGUAUGGUGGUCCAGAAGGUUCGGUCCGCCAAAAGCGGACUGACUGAAGCUUGUAAAAAUAUGUAAAAAUAUUACCGUAUAGACAGUAGCCCCUGAUGCUCUGUUUGGCGUUCGGAAAGAAAAGCUGGAUAGAGGAUCUAUUAAAUAUCGCAGGAGUCUAACUAAAAAGCAGUCAAUAUACGUAUGCAGGCUUCGCUGCUGGCCACCGCUGCACUGACUGCGGAGGUGGGUGCCCUGAAACAGGGCCUCGAGCGGACCGAGCAAGAGCUCGGCCUUGCCAAACGGCAGCUCGAGGAGAAAGAAGGUAAGAAAUACCUUACAGAAAAAGUGCCUAUAAAAAGACCUGAUUGCAAAAAAUAACAGGAUUGUACUGCUUAUUGUAGGGGCCACGACUGAGGUGGCGACCCUCAAGCAGGCGCUGUCCGAGGCCAAAAAGAAAACGGCCGUGGAGUGCACCGAGCGAGAGAAACUUGAGGCCCAGGUCAGCGAGGUGCAGCAGGAGCUUCAGGCUCUCAUGAAAAAACAUGAGAGUUUGGAGCUUGAGUCCAAGACGCAAGCGUAUGAGCUCGCGGCGGCCCUUGAGACUGCCAAGUCUGCCAAGGCCGAAGCCCAAAAGGCCCUCCAAGAGUUGGAGGAGAUGAAAAAGAUAGCGGCGGGUAAGGCAUUCUUUAUGCAAAGCAGAAGUAUAAAAGUGAAGUACUUGUUACUUACCCGAAUCCAGAGCUCUCCAGGGGCAUUCGCAGAUCUUCCCCGCGGCGUAUCUGACGCCGCUGCAUUCUACCGAGCCGAAGAGGGCAGCUCGACGGAGAAGGUGUUCUGGUUUCAGUAUGCUGAGGCCGGACACCCUGUGCCCUUGAGCGACCAGCUGAAACAGCUGGUCGAGCUCCACAAGGCGGCCGAGCAGGCCAUGAAGGGCUUCAUAGUUCGGCUGUGGCCCGGAGAGGCCCUGCCUGGGAGCUACUUCGGGUUGGUGUGGCGACUGGUGGAGGCCUGUCCAAGGCUCGAGGUCAUUAAGUGCUCCGUCUGCAUCGAAGGUGCCCGUAGGGCCCUUGCCCGUGCAAAGGUGCACUGGGGCAAGCUGGACGGUGAGAAGCUUGUGAGGGACGGGCCGCCGCCGGGGAAGGAGCAUCGCAAGCCCGAGAACUACUAUAAGGAUGUUCUAGCGGGUGCCCGCCUUGUGGCGGAUGAAUGUACCAAGGAUGUAAUUUUUUAAUGAACUCGCUCGUGUUUAUCCUGUGUGCUGAAAAGUUGUUCAUAUGCGCUAAGCAAUGCUUGUUGAAUUUAAAAUAUUACUUUCUGUGCGGCCGUUUAUCAAAAAUUGAGAGAUGGCCAGUCGGCGGCUUCUGCCCCCAUGCCACUAGUGCUGGGGUGUUCGGGAUAAACCUGAGCGCUCUUUUUCCCAUAGUUGGAUCCUUCGAGGGAGGCGCUCAGCACAACGAACCAGGCAAUCGGACUAUAAUGCUUGAACACUCUAACUUAGCCAUAGAACUCUAUAAUUUUAAAUUUCGGCGAAGCCCCUAGUUCGGAAGACCGAGUUCGGGGCGCUAUCCACGCCUUGGCCGGACAAAGCCGGCUCCUCGCUCGAAGCGGCAUAAGUCUUUAGGGACUCGAAAAACCUGUCGAACAGCGACCGGUCUCUCACCAUAUCAUGACAGUCAGUUUUACCUUUCUCCACUGAGGUGCUUAACCCAGCUCAACCGGGGCACAAUCGCAGUGGUUCUCCUAGUGCUACCUUAGCCGAUAUAGCGGAACGUAAGGCACCAAAACAUAGGAGCCAGGCAAACGCAACUAUUGACCCAAAUCAUGAUACGGAGCCGAUGCAUAUAGUGCUAUAAGUUCGGGGUGCCGUACUUGUGAAAGUGUACGGACUUCUCACGCCAUAUUUAUGGGUACUAAAGCCCCUGACGUAUUUUGCCGUACCACGGUGUACGGGUGCAACAUGUCAUAAACAUAUAUAUGAAAAGGUGAUAAUGCGAAAAAUAGACAGAAAGCUAUCCAUUGUUUAUAGAGAGGCUAUUUAUCAAAGCCGAACGAUACAAAUAGUGCGGUAAGCAAAAAAUAUUGGACUAUUUAGUAUGUCCUGACCAGGAGCAGGCCGCGGAAUUGUGUUUAAAACAGGUAUACCGCUCGUAACAGAGACCACCUGGGAGUUCCAUAAUGCGGCAUGGCUUGUCUUCCUCCCUGGAUCUUGCAUCGUUUGUGCGGCCGUCGAAUUGCCGAACAGGUCGUCCGAAGUAUGGAGUCCUGAAAGUAAGAAAAAAAUUAAAAAAAGAAUCCGGCAGCCCCUAGUACGUUUUAAGUCGUAUUUUGGGCGUGCCGUUAUUGCCCCUUCCCCUGUGCCCAUGGUAUUUCAAGGGCGUAGUUAUGUACGCGGGGUACUGGUUUCGCUAUGUCGCGAAAGCUGGGGUUGGGGCCACAUUGCUACGCUUGCUUAGAGUGUGCCAGGCGGUCCUGCUGUGGGUUACUCCAGGGGCGCCUGGCAGUGUCUGGCUUUUUAAUGGCCGGACUAGAGAAUUGCCUGAGAAGGCUACUUUGUACCUCCGCUGCGAGAGCCGCCGUAUGCUCCCCCAUAUGGAGGGAGCGUUCGGUGUUUCCGUUGACCGUAAUUACUCCUCGAGGGCCUGGCAUCUUGAGCUUGAUAUAUGCGUAGUGCAGCACCGCAUUGAACUUUGAGAAUGCAGUUCGUCCGAGCAGGGCGUGAUAGCCACUGCGAAACGGGACUAUAUCGAAGAUUAACUCUUCGCUUCGGAAAUUGUCCGGGGAUCCGAAGACCACGUCAAGUGUUACUGAGCCUGUACAGUUGGCUUCUACACCUGGUAUAAUGCCUUUAAAGGUCGUUCUUGUGGGCUUAAUCCUUGAGGGAUCUAUGCCCAUUUUCCGCACUGUAUCCCGAUAAAGCAGGUUCAGGCUACUGCUGCCGUCCAUGAGGACUCUUGUGAGAUGAAAUCCGUCGAUGAUUGGGUCGAGAACCAAUGCGACGAAGCCGCCAUGACGGAUGCUAGUGGGAUGGUCCCUUUGAUCAAAAGUGAUUGGGUAGGAGGACCAUGGGUUGAACUUUGGGGCGACUGGCUCCAUCGCGUAUAUGUCUCGCAGCGCACGCUUCCGCUCCCGCUUGGGAAUGUGGGUUGCAUUUAUCAUGUUCACCGUCCGCACUUGUGGGGGAAAGCCCUUCUGUCCAUUGUUGUUCGGCGGCUUGGGAUCCUCAUCGUCGUUGUGCAGCCCCUUUUUCUCUGUUUUUGGCCCUUAACUUGCCUGCCUGCUUGAACACCCAACAAUCCCUAUUAGUGUGAUUGGCUGGCCUUUCGGGGGUGCCAUGUAUCUGGCACAAGCGAUCGAGUAUUCGGUCCAAACUGGACGGGCCCUGAGUAUUCUUUUUGAAUGGCUUUUUCCGCUGACCGGAUUUAUAGCCUUUGAAUCCGGCAUUGACUGCCGUGUCUUCAUUGCUGUUGCUGCUAACGCGGCGUUUUUGCUUAUUCCGACGUGUCCUGCCACUUUUGUCCUUGGUAUCCGAAUUACCAGGGUUCUUUGAUAAGUUGUUACUGCGAGCUAGCCAGCUAUCUUCUCUCGCGCAAAAGCGGGUCAUGAGUGUCGUGAGGGCUGCCAUGGAUUUCGGCUUUUCCUGUCCCAGGUGCCGGGCAAGCCACUCGUCGCAGAUGUUAUGCUUCAAGGCUGCCAGGGCCUCUGCGUCCGGAUAGUCGACUAUCUGGUUUUUCUUUGUUAGGAACCAUGUCCAGAAUUGUCUGCCGAUUCCUCUGGCUGCUGAAUUAUGUGGCUUAAGUCGUCGGCAUCCGGUGGUCGCACGUAAGUGCCCUAGAAGUUGUCGAGGAAUGCGGCUUCCAGGUCCUCCCAAGAACCGAUUGAGUCUGCUGGCAAGCUGUUAAGCCAAUGCCGGGCCGGUCCUUUAAGUUUGAGCAGGAGCUAUUUGAUGGCGUGUAGAUCAUCGCCGCGUGCCAUGUGGAUGUGAAGGAGAUAAUCCUCGAUCCAUACCGCCAGAUCUGUUGUGCCAUCGUAUGAUUCGAUGUUUACGGGUUUGAAACCCUCUCGGAUUUUAUGAUCCAUUACUUCGUUCGUGAAGCAUAGCGGGUGUGCGGCGCCUCUGUAUUGGGCUAUAUCAUGACGCAGCUCGGAAGAGCUAUGUCUGUUGUGUUCGGCCCGGCCGGAUUUGUUGUAUCCGGAGUGAAGAUCAUUGUCACAUGCUGUAGGGUGGCUGCGCGAUCCGUAGAUCGAUCUUUUUUGUCUUGCCUUAUCCUCCAGUAUGUCUCGCAGAUCGGGCGCAUUUUCCCGUGCCUUAUUUACGCACCGUCGGGGCAUGGCUUGGGUGGAGGGCCGAGAGGCCUCUCUGUCGCGGCCGUGAGGUGGCCGGUCUGCCAUGUCAUUCGCUGGUGACGUAGGUACUUCCUCCUCUGAUCGGGGUAGCGGCCUGCGCUUCGGGUAACUCUUGGAGGGGCGUUCGUGUUCAUACUCUUCGGCUGCAAGGACUUCAGUCCAUCUGUCAGCUAGCAAAUCUUGGGCGGCUGUAAGCUGUUGCUGCUUUUUCUGGAGGCUGCUUGCCAUGGCUAAAAGCCUGUGUUUAAAACGCUCUUGUUCGGCGGGGUCUGAUGGUAUGACGAAUUUGUCGUCAUCGAGGCUUGCCUCGUCUCCAGAGGGAGGCGUAUAGUUAUCAUCCUCGACUUCUCGGUCUGCCGCUCUCUCAUGAGGGCUGGCUACUCCAUCUCCCUGUGCCGAAUCUUGCUGAGGUGGGUGUUCUUCGGCGUUAUCCGGGGUAGUAUUAUCUCCCGUGCCGGAAUCACCGUUUUUGCUUUGGCUGUUUCUUGGGGGCGUCAUCCCCCACUAUUCCAUCACCAUCUCCAUCUUUUGGAGUAUCCACCAUAUAUAUGUCAUAUGACGAGGUGGCCUUCCAGCGCCCUAUAGGUGUUGGUUCCUAUUCGUCUCCUACUUCGUCGUCCAUGCCGUCGAUGUCUUCGGAGCCGAAGUCACGCAUGUCGGUUAAAUCAUCGACAGUGGCUACAAAGUGGGUGGUGGGUGGGCUUUGAAUUUCCUCAUCGUCCGUAUCCCACCCUCGCUGACCGUAGUCCGGCCAGGGCUCUCUUGAUAAAGAGAGAGACUUAAGAGAAUUCCGGAUGUCACCAAAAGGCGAAUGCUGAAAGAUGUCUGCGGCGGUGAACUCCAUUAUCGGCGCCCAAUUGGAUUCGAUUGGCAGGGGCGCAGGGGGUUUGGAGUCCGGGAAGGAGUCCGGAUCCUCGGAGUCACGGGUCGUCCAGAGUGCGGGGCUAGCGUUCAGCUCGAUCGCUUUCGGGAUCGCAGCCCCUGAGGUGACGUCCAGCCACUCAUCCUCGAUUGGCGCAAUAGGCAUCGAGUUAGGGGUCAGAACCGAUGCGUGUGCGGCCUCCAGGACACUGUCCGGGGGCAGAGCUAGAUCAUGCCCCUCGAGAUAGUGCGGCGCGCUUGACCGUGGCUCGAGCCCGUCGAAGAUCAAGUCUCCGCGGAUGUCAGCCGUGUAGUUUAAGCUUCCAAACCUGACUUGAUGGCUAGGGGCGUAGCUUUCGAUCUGCUCCAGGUGGCCGAGCGAAUUGGCCCGCAGAGCAAAGUUGCCGAAGACGAAGAUCUGUUCGGGGAGAAAAGUAUCACCCUCGACCGCAUCGUUGUUGAUGAUCAAAGGAGCCAUCGGGCCUAAAGGCGACGACACAGAGGAACUCUCAAUGAAAGCACCAAUGUCGGUGUCAAAACCGGCGGAUCUCGGGUAGUGGGUCCCGAAUUGUGCGUCUAGGCCGGAUGGUAACAGGAGGCAGGGAACACGAUGUUUUACCCAGGUUCGGGCCCUCUUGAUGGAGGUAAAACCCUACGUCCUGCUUGAUUAAUAUUGAUGAUAUGGGUAGUACAAGAGUAGAUCUACCACGAGAUCAAGGAGGCUAAACCCUAGAAGCUAGCCUAUGGCAUGAUUGUUGUGUAUGGAGUUGAUUACCUACGGACUACAACCCUCCAGUUUAUAUAGACACCGGAUAGGGUUAGGGUUACAUAGAGUCGGUUAUAAUGGUAGGAGAUCUUGAAUAUCCACAUCGCCAAUCUUGCCUUCCACGCUAAGGAAAGUCCCAUCCGGACACAGGACAAAGUCUUCAAUCUUGUAUCUUCAUAGUCCAGGAGUCCGGCUGAAGGUCUAGUCCGGCUACCCGAACACCCCCUAAUCCAGGACUCCCUCACCGGUUCUUACACCAACUGGGAGAGAUGGGCUUCCACGUGGCCGCUGCGGCGAGCCCAGGCAGGAGGUCCUUUGGUCCCGGUUAGUGACACUGAUACGUCUCCGACAUAUCUAUAAUUUUUGAUUGCUCCAUGCUAUUAUGUUAUCCAUUUUGGAUGUUAAUGGGCUUUAUUUUACACCUUUAUAUCAUUUUUGGGACUAACCUACUAAUUGGAGGCCAAACCCAAAUUGCUGUUUUUUUUGCCUAUUUUAGGUUUUCGAAGAAGAGGAAUAUCAAACGGAGUCCAAACGGAAUGAAAACUUCGGGAACGUGAUUUUCUCAACGAACAUGAUCCAGGAGACUUGGAGUGUGCGCCAAGAAAUAAGGGAGGAAGGCACGAGGCAGGGGUCGCGCCUACCCCCCUUGGGCGUGCCCUCCACCCUCGUGGGCCCUCCACUGCUCCACCGACGUACUUCUUCCUCCUAUAUAUAUACACGUACCCCCCCAAACAACCAGGAGCACCAUGAAAACCUAAAUCCACCGCCGCAACCUUCUGUACCCGAGAGAUCCCAUCUUGGGGCCUUUUCCGGAGGGGGCAUCGAUCACGGAGGGCCUCUACAUCAACUGCAUGGCCUCUCCGAUGAUGUGUAAGUAGUUUACUUCAGACCUACGGGUCCAUAGUUAUUAGCUAGAUGGCUUCUUCUCUCUCUUUGGAUCUCAAUACAAAGUUCUCCUCGAUGUUCUUGGAGAUCUAUUCGAUGUAAUCUUCUUUUGCGGUGUGUUUGUCGAGAUCCGAUGAAUUGUAGGUUUAUGAUCCAGAUUAUCUAUGGACAAUAUUUGAUUCUCCUCUGAAUUCUUUUAUGUAUGAUUCGUUUAUCUUUGCAAGUCUCUUCGAAUUAUCAGUUUGGUUUGGCCUACUAAAUUGAUCUUUCUUGCAAUGGGAGAAGUGCUUAGCUUUGGGUUCAAUCUUGCGGUGUUCGAUCCCAGUGACUGAAAGGGAACCGAUAUUUAUUGUAUUGUUGCCAUCGAGGAUAAAAAGAUGGGGUUUAUAUCAUAUUGCAUGAGUUUAUCCCUCUACAUCAUGUCAUCUUCCUUAAAGCAUUACUCUGUUCUCUUGAACUUAAUACUCUAGAUGCAUGCUGGAUAGCGGUCGAUGUGUGGAGUAAUAGUAGUAGAUGCAGAAUCGUUUCAGUCUACUUGUCUCGGACCUGAUGCAUAUAUACAUGAGCAUAACUAUAUAUUCUCAUAACUAUGCUCAAUUCGAUCAAUUGCUCGACAGCAAUUCGUUUACCCACCGUAAUACUUAUGCUCUUGAGAGAAGCCACUAGUGAAACCUAUGGCCUCGGGGUCUAUCUUCUAUCAUAUUAAUCCUCCAAUACUUAGUCAUUUCUAUUUCUAUUUAUUUUAUUUUGCAUCUUUUAUUUCUCUUUAUCAUAAAAAUACCAAAAAUCUUAUCUUAUCAUAUCUAUCAGAUCUCACUGUCGUAAGUGACCGUGAAGGGAUUGACAACCCCUUUAUCGCGUUGGUUGCGAUGUUCUUAUUUGUUUGUGUAGGUUCGUGGGACUUGAGCAUGAUCUCCUACUGGAUUGAUACCUUGGUUCUCAAAAACUAAGGGAAAUACUUACGCCGAUUUAUUUCAUCACUCUUUCUUCUUCAAGGGAAAACCAACGCAAUGCUCAAGAGGUAGUGUCGGUGUCAAAACCGGCGGAUCUCGGGUAGUGGGUCCUGAACUGUGCGUCUAGGCCGGAUGGUAACAGGAGGCAGGGAACACGAUGUUUUACCCAGGUUCGGGCCCUCUUCAUGGAGGUAAAACCCUAUGUCCUGCUUGAUUAAUAUUAAUGAUAUGGGUAGUACAAGAGUAGAUCUACCAUGAGAUCAAGGAGGCUAAACCCUAGAAGCUAGCCUAUGGUAUGAUUGUUGUAUAUGGAGUUGAUUGCCUACGGACUACAACCCUCCGAUUUAUAUAGACACCGGAUAGGGUUAGGGUUACAUAGAGUCGGUUACAAUGGUAGGAGAUCUUGAAUAUCCGCAUCGCCAAGCUUGCCUUCCACGCCAAGGAAAGUCCCGUCCGGACACGGAACGAAGUCUUCAAUCUUGUAUCUUCACAGCCCAGGAGUCCGGCUGAAGGUAUAGUCCGGCUAUCCGAACACCCCCUAAUCCAGGACUCCCUCAGUAGCCCCUGAACCAGGCUUCAAUGACGACGAGUCCGGCACGCAAAUUGUCUUCGGCAUUGCAAGGCGGGUUCCUCCUCCAAGUCCUUCAUACAAGAUUGUAAGCACCAAGAGUAGUGUCCGACUCUGCAAAAUAAGCUUCCACAUAUCGCCAUAGAGAGAAUAAUAUUAACACAAAUCAAAUCCGCUGACGUAUUCCGCAGUGCGUCAUCACACUACAGCCAAGUCCUUCACUCGAAUCGUUUUCACUUUUCCACCCCAGUGUGUUUUGCGAGGUGGUUUCCUUGGCACGUCUUGUCAAAGCAGAGAUCGUGUCCCCUUUGUUUACGGGAUUCUCGUUAAUACGGACGUGGGUAACCCAACCGCGCCACUUAUCAUGGCGCUUGGGAGGCAAGCGAGUUCUACUAGGCUGGUGGGGACGCAUAGUCGCAUCCGCCCAUAUAAGGGGAUAAGGAUCCACCUUUUUACCUAUGCCUUCUUCCUCCUUUGCCUAUCCAUCUUCUGCGCACCCGAGCUCUAGUGCCCCAUCCCGCGCUUCCUACCUCAACCCUCUCCAACAAUGUCCGGAGCGGGAGGCAAGUGGAUGGUCUCCUCCGUCACGAAGGGCCAUGUCAAAAGGUUAAGGAAGGCCGGAUACUUGUCCAAAGACAUCGCGCACCGGCUUCCUGAGGAGGGGCAGCUUCUCCCCACCCCAAGGCCCCAUGAGAGGGUAGUAUUUCUUCCCCACUUCCUCCGCGGACUGGGUUUUCCUAUCCACCCAUUUGUCCGCGGGCUCCUGUUCUACUAUGGCCUAGAUUUCCAUGAUCUGGCCCCGAACUUCAUCCUGAAUAUCUCGGCAUUUAUCGUCGUGUGCGAGGCUUUCCUCUGCAUUCGCCCCCAUUUCAGCCUCUGGCUCAAGACCUUCAACGUCAAGCCAAAGGUGGUGCGCGGUAACCAGGCGGAGUGCGGAGGUGCCAUGGCGGGAGAAAUUGCCAACGUCCUAGGGCUCGAGGGCUCCUUUGUGGAGACCUUGAAGGGGUGGUAGUCAGGGUGAUUUUACAUCACCGAGCCACGCGAUCCGAAGUGGAUCGCAGCCCCUGAAUUCCGAUCCGGACCCCCUACACGGCUCACGUCCUGGAAGGAGACGAGCUUGUCGUGGGGCGACGAAGGAGAGUUGACCGGACUGCAAAAAUGCAUCCAGUCCCUGGUGAACAAGCAGCUCAAGCUUGUCAACGUAAUCUAGGUCAUGCUCGUCCGCCGGAUCCUUCCGUGUCAAGAACGGGACAUCAAUUUGUGGGAGUUCAACCCGGUGCAGCAACGAACUCUGAGAAGGCUCUUUGACACGACGUACGAAGUUGUCUGGAGGGGGCUAACCAAAGGCGCCGAGGCUCCCACAUCCGCCUCCGAUGACCGCGGAUUCAGCUCGCAGCGUCCUGCUGGCGAGGUAAGAUAUUUCCAUCUUUUACAGGAUAUUAAGUUUUUUCAUAGUUGACUCUAUGCGGGAUCUAAACUCCCUCACCUUUGACAGGAUUGGCGGGAGAAGUCCGGACAGAUUAACUGCCCGGCUCCCUUGCCAAGCCGGAGAAGAGGGCCAAGAAGAAGAAGGCCACGGGGACUCGAAAGAGUUCCUGGCAUAUGGUGGUGUCGGACUCGUCGUCCGACGAGUCCGAGAUGCACUCCUCCCGUGAAUACGAGGAGGAAGAAGAAACCUCUCCCCCUCCAGCGGGGGGAGGAGAGAAGAGGAAGGCCGCCCCAGUAGGGGAGGCCGAGGGGUCCAAGAAGAGGAAAACCCAUCCGCCGGACUACGUCCCCGACACCGACGAGGACGAAGAGGAGUGGCCGGACAGGGCCAAGCGUCCGGCGAGAUCGUAAUUCUUCGGAUACCAGAGUAACUCGUGAUAUUCCUUUUGUUGCACAGGUUUCGCUAAUGUCAGAUAUAAUCAUGCAGUCCACCCAAGGACGGGCACGACGAGUCGUCGAGCGGCUCCCUGGAUUCAUCGGACGCGAAUUCAGUUCCGCCUACUGCUUCCCCCUAUGCUGCAGAUGACGCCGAAGUGGCGUCGCGACAAGCUCCGGGGCGAGAGGAGGUGGUCCAGGAGGAGUCGCGAGGUGACCUCCCGGACUCCAGGAGUGAAGGGGACAAGACCCCCAUGGGCUCCAAGUCCGGCUUUAAGCUGGACACUGCGCCGGAAUCAUCAAUGGUUCCGGACCGCGGUAGGCGAACUCCUGCCAAGAGGAGCAAGCCUACUGAGCCGGCAUCCUCCGUCCAGCCGGAGGCGCCGCACAAUCUGGUGGAGGAGCUUAAGGGCGCCUCCAUCGACGAGGAGCAUCGUGCCGUCAUGAGUACGGUGAUCCAGAAGGUUCGGUCCGCCAAAAGCGGACUGACUGAAGCUUGUGCUAGCCUUCUAACAGGCUUCGAGGUAAGUAAAAAUAUGUAAAAAUAUUACCGUAUAGACAGUAGCCCCUGAUGCUCUGUUUGGCGUUUGUAAAGAAAAGCCAAAUAGAGGAUCUAUUAAAUAUCCCAGGAGUCUAACUAAAAAGGAGUCAAUAUACGUAUGUAGGCUUCGCUGCUGGCCAUCGCCGCACUGACUGCGGAGGUGGGUGCCCUUAAGCAGGGCCUCCAGCGGACCGAGCAAGAGCUCGGCCUUGCCAAACGGCAGCUCGAGGAGAAAGAAGGUAAGAUAUACCUUAGAGAAAAAGUGCCUAUAAAAAGGCUUGAUUGCAAAAAGAGUAACAGGAUUGUACUGCUUAUUGUAGGGGCUACGACUGAGGUGGCGACCUUUAAGCAGGUGUUGUCUGAGGCCGAAAAGAAAACGGCCGCGGAGCGCACCGAGCGAGACAGACUUGGGGCUCAGGUCAGCGAGGUGCAGCAAGAGCUUCAGGCUCUCAUGAAAAAACAUGAGAGUUUGGAGCUGGAAUCGAAGGCGCAAGCAUCCGAGCUUGCAAUGGCCCUAGAGGCUGCCAAGUCUGCCAAGGCCGAAGCCCUAAAGGCCCUCCAAGAGUUGGAGGAGAUGAGGAAGAUAGCAGCGGGUAAGGCAUUCUUUAUGCAAAGCAGAAAUAUAAAAGUGAACUACCUGUUACUUACCCAAAUCCGAAGCUCUCCAGGGGCAUUCGCAGAUCUUCCCAGCAGCGUAUCCGACGCCGCCGCAUUCUGCCAAGCUGAAGAGGGUAGCUCGACGGAGAAGGUGUUCUGGUUUCAGUAUUCUAAGGCCGGACACCCUGUGCCCUUGAGCGACCAGCUGAAACAGCUGGUUGAGCUCCACAAGGCGGCCGAGCAGGCCAUGAAGGGCUUCAUAGUUCGGCUGUGGCCCGGAGAGGCCCUACUUGGGAGCUAUUUCGGGCUAGUGCGGCGGCUUGUGGAGGCCUGUCCGAGGCUUGAGGUCAUCAAGUGCUCCGUCUGCAUCGAAGGUGCCCGUCGGGCCCUUGCCCGUGCAAAGGUGCACUGGGGUAAGCUGGAUGGUGAGAAGCUUGUGAAGGACGGGCCGCCGCCGGGGAAGGAGCAUCGCAAGCCCGAGAACUACUACAAGGAUGUUCUUGCAGGUGCCCGCCUUGUGGCGGAUGAAUGUACCAAGGAUGUGAUAUUUGAAUGAACUCGCUCGUGUUUAUCCUGUGCGCUGAAAACUUGUUCAUAUGCGCUAAGCAAUGCUUAUUGAAUUUAAAAUAUUACUUUCUGUGCGGCCAUUUAUCAAAAAUUGAGAGAUGGCCAGUCGUCGGCUUUUGCCCCCGUGCCACUAGUGCUGGGGUGUUCGGGAUAAACCUGAGCGCUCUUUUUCCCAUAGUUGGGUCCUUCGAGGGAGGCGCUCACCACAACGAAUCAGGCAAUCAGACUAUAAUGCUUGAACACUCUCACUUAGCCAUAGAGCUCUAUAAUUUUAAAUUUCGGUGAAGCUCCUAGUUUGGAAGACCGAGUUCGGGGCGCUAUCCACGCCUUGGCCGGACAAAGCCAGCUCCUCGCUCGAAGCGGCAUAAGCCUUUAGGGACUCGAAAAACCUCUCGAACAGCGACUGGUCUCUCGCCACAUCAUGACAGUCAGUUUUAGCUUUCUCCACUGAGGUGCUUAACCCAGCUGAACCGGGGCACAAUCGCAGUGGUUCUCCUAGUGCUACCUUAGCCGAUAGAGCGGAACGUAAGGCACCAAAACAUAGGAGCCGGGCAAACCCAACUAUUGACCCAAAUCAUGAUUCGGAGCCGAUGCAUAUAGUGCUAUAAGUUCGGGGUGCCGCACUUGUGAAAGCGUACGGACUUCUCACACCAUUAUGAGGGGUUCUGAAGCCCCUGGCGUGUUUGCCAUACCAUGGUGUACGGGUGCAAUCAUGUCAUUUAAUAAACAUAAAUGUGAAAAGAAGACAACGCAAAAAAUAGACUAGAAGCUAAGCAUUGUUUAUAGAGAGGCUAUUUAUCAAAGCCGGACGAUACAAAUACUGAAGUAAGCAAAAGAUAUUGGACUAUUCAGUAUGUCCUGACCAGGGGCAGGCCGCGGAAUUGUAUUUAAAACAGGUAUACCGCUCGUAACAGAGACCACAUGGGAGUUCCAUAAUGCGUCAUGGCUUGUCUGCCUCCCUGGAUCUUGCAUCGUUUGUGCGGCAGUCGAAUAUCCGAACAGGUCAUCCGAAGUAUGGAGUCCUGAAAGAAGAAAAAAUUAAAAAAAGAAUCCGGCAGCCCCUAGUACGUAUUAAGCCGUAUUUUGGGCAUGUCGUUAUUGUGCCCCUUCUCCUGUGCCCAUGGUAUUUCAAGGGCGUAGUUAUGUCCGCGAGGUACUGGUUUCGCUAUGUCGCGAAAGCUGGGGUUGGGGCCGCAUUGCUACGCUUGCUCAGAGUGUGCCAGGCGGUCCUGCUGUGGGUUACUCCGGGCGUGCUUGGCAGUGCCUGGCUUUUUAAUGGCCGGACCGGAGAAUUGCCUGAGAAGGCUACUUUGUACCUCCGCUGCGAGAGCCACCGUAUGCUCCUCCAUACGGAGGGAGCGUUCGGUGUUUCCGUUGACCGUAAUUACUCCUUGAGGGCCUGGCAUCUUGAGCUUGAGAUAUGCGUAGUGCGGCACCGCGUUGAUCUUUGCGAAUGCGGUUCGUUCGAGCAGGGCAUGAUAGCCACUGCGAAACGGUACUAUAUCGAAGAUUAACUCUUCGCUUCGGAAAUUAUCCGGGGACCUGAAGACCACAGCAAGUGUUACUGAGCCUGUACAAUUGGCUUCUACACCUGGUAUAACGCCUUUAAAGGUUGUUCUUGUGGGCUUAAUCCUUGAGGGAUCUAUGCCCAUUUUCCGCACUGUAUCCUGAUAAAGCAGGUUCAGGCUAAUGCCGCCGUCCAUGAGGACUCUUGUGAGAUAAAAUCCUUCGAUGAUUGGGUCGAGAACCAAUGCGGCAAAGCCGCCAUGACGGAUGCUAGUGGGAUGGUCCCUUCGAUCGAAAAUGAUCGGGCAGGAGGACCAUGGGUUGAACUUUGGGGCGACUGGCUCCAUCGCAUAUACGUCCCGUAGUGCAUGCUUCCGCUCCCGCUUGGGAAUGUGGGUUGCGUAUAUCAUGUUCACCGUCCACACUUGUGGGGGAAAGCCCUUCUGUCCAUUGUUGUUCGGCGGCUUGGGCUCCUCCUCGUCGCUGUGCAGCCCCUUGUCUCUAAUUUCGGCCCUUAACUUGCCUGCCUGCUUGAACACCCAACAAUCCUGUUAGUGUGAUUGGCUGGCCUUUCGGGGGUGCCAUGUGUCUGGCAUAAGCGAUCGAGUAUUCGGUCCAAACUGGACGGGCCCUGAGUAUUCUUUUUGAAUGGCUUUUUCCGCUGACCGGAUUUAUAGCCUUUGAAUCCGGCAUUGACUGCCGUGUCUUCAUUGCUGUCGCUGCUAACGCGGCGUUUUUGCUUAUUCCGACGUGUCCUGCCACUUUUGUCCUUGGUAUCCGAAUUACCAGGGUUCUUUGAUAAGUUGUUACUGCGAGCUAGCCAGCUGUCUUCUCCCGCGCAAAAGCGGGUCAUGAGUGUCAUGAGGGCUGCCAUGGAUUUCGUCUUUUCCUGUCCCAGGUGCCGGGCAAGCCACUCGUCGCAGAUGUUAUGCUUCAAGGCUGCCAGGGCCUUUGCGUCCGGACAGUCGACUAUCUGGUUUUUCUUUGUUAGGAACCGUGUCCAGAAUUGUCUGGCCGAUUCCUCUGGCUGCUGAAUUAUGUGGCUUAAGUCGUCGGCAUCCAGUGGUCGCACGUAAGUGCCCUGGAAGUUGUCGAGGAAUGCGGCUUCCAGGUCCUCCCAAGAACCGAUUGAGUCUGCUGGCAAGCUGUUAAGCCAAUGCCGGGCCGGUCCUUUAAGUUUGAGCGGGAGGUAUUUGAUGGCGUGUAGAUCAUCGCCGCAUGCCAUGUGGAUGUGAAGGAGAUAAUCCUCGAUCCAUACCGCCGGAUCUGUUGUGCCAUCGUAUGAUUCGAUGUUUACGGGUUUGUAACUCUCUGGGAUUUUAUGAUCCAUUACUUCAUUCGUGAAGCAUAGUGGUUGUGCGGGUCCUCUGUAUUGGGCUAUAUCACGACGCAGCUCGGACGAGCUAUGUCUGUUGUGUUCGGCCCGGGGCCGGAUUUGUCGUAUCCGGAGUGAAGAUCAUUUUCCCGUGCCUUAGUUGAGCGGUGUCGGGGCAUGCCUUGGGUGGAGGGCCGAGACGCCUCUCUGUCGGGGCCGCGAGGUGGCCGGUCUGCCAUGUCAUGCGCUGGUGAUGUAGGUGCUUCCUCCUCUGAUCGGGGUAGCUGCCUGCGCUUCGGGUAACUCUUGGAGGGGCGUUCGAGUUCAUACUCUUCGGCCGCAAGGACUUCAGUCCAUCUGUCAGGUAGCAAAUCUUGGGCAGCUCUAAGCUGUUGCUGCUUUUUCUUGAGGCUGCUUGCCGUGGCUAAAAGCCUGCGUUUAAACGCUCUUGUUCGGCGGGGUCUGAUUGUAUGACGAAUUCGUCGUCAUCGAGGCUUGCCUCGUCUUCGGAGGGAGGCGUAUAGUUAUCAUCCUCGACCUCUCAGUCUGCCGCUCUCUCAUGAGGGCUGGCUUCUCCAUCUUCCUGUGCCGAAUAUUGCUGAGGUUGGUGUUCUUCGGCGCUAUCCGGGGUAGUAUUAUCUCUCGUGUCAGAAUCACCGUUUUUGCUUUGGCGGGAUUUAGGGUGGCGCCGCUGGUGCCGGUGCUUUGGUUGUUUCUUGGGGGCGUCAUCCCCCACUGUUCCAUCGCCAUCUCCAUCUUUUGGAGUAUCCACCAUAUAUAUGUCAUACGACGAGGUGGCCUUCCAGCGCCCUACAGGUGCUGGUUCCUAUUCGUCUCCUACAUUGUCGUCCAGGCCGUCAAUGUCUUUGGAGCUGAAGUCAAGCAUGUCGGUUAGAUCGUCGAUACUGGCUACAAAGUGGGUGGUGGGUGGGCUUUGAAUUUCCUCAUCGUCCGUAUCCCACCCUCGCUGACCGUAGUCCGGCCAGGGCUCUCCUGAUAAAGAGAGAUACUUAAGAGAAUUCAGGAUGUCGCCAAAAGGCGAAUGCUGAAAGAUGUCUGUGGCGGUGAACUCCAUUAUCGGCGCCCAAUCGGAUUCGAUUGGCAGGGGCGCGGGUGGUUUGGAGUCCGGGGAGGAGUCCAGAUCCUCGGAGUCACCGGUCGUGCAGAGUGCGGGGCUAGCAUUCGGCUCGAUCGCUUUCGGGAUCGCAGCCCCCGAGGUGACGUCCAACCGCUCAUCCUCGAUUGGCGCAAUAGGUUCCGAGUUAGGGGUCGGAACCGAUGCGUGUGCGGCCUCCAGGACACUGGCCGGGGGCAGAGCUAGAUCAUGCCCCUCGGGAUAGUGCGGCGCGCUUGGCCGUGGCUCGAGCCCGUCGAAGAUCAAGUCUCCAUGGAUGUCUGCCGUGUAGUUUAAGCUUCCAAACCUGACUUGAUGGACAGGGGCGUAGCUUUCGAUCUGCUACAGGUGGCCGAGCGAAUUGGCUCGCAGAGCGAUGCCGCCGAAGACGAAGAUCUGUCCGGGGAGAAAAGUCUCACCCUGGACCGCAUCGUUGUUGAUGAUCAAAGGAGCCAUCGGGCCUAAAGGUGACGAGACAGAGGAACUCUCAAUGAAAGCACCAAUGUCGGUGUCAAAACCAGUGGAUCUCGGGUAGUGGGUCGCGAACUGUGCGUCUAGGCCGGAUGGUAACAGGAGGCAGGGAACACGAUGUUUUACCUAGGUUCCGGCCCUCUUGAUGGAGGUAAAACCCUAUGUCCUGCUUGAUUAAUAUUGAUGAUAUGGGUAGUACAAGAGUAGAUCUACCACGAGAUCAAGGAGGCUAAACCCUAGAAGCUAGCCUAUGGUAUGAUUGUUGUAUAUGGAGUUGAUUGCCUACGGACUACAACCCUCCGGUUUAUAUAGACACCGGAUAGGGUUAGGGUUACAUAGAGUCAGUUACAAUGGUAGGAGAUCUUGAAUAUCCACAUCGCCAAGCUUGCCUUCCACGCCAAGGAAAGUCCCGUCCGGACCCGGGACGAAGUCUUCAAUCUUGUAUCUUCAUAGCCCAGGAGUCCGGCUGAAGGUAUAGUCCGGCUACCCGAACACCCCCUAAUCCAGGACUCCCUCAGGUAGCAAGAUGGAUUUCUGGCGCCGUUGCCGGGGAGACUCGCGCCAAGUAAAGACAUACCAAGUACCCAUCACAAACCCUUAUCCCUCGCAUUACAUUAUUUUCCAUUUGCCUCUCGUUUUCCUCUCCCCCACUUCACCCUUGCCGUUUUAUGCGCCCUCUCUUUUUUCCUUCGCCUCUUUUCCACUUGCUUUGUCAUUAUGGCUAGUCCUUUAUCUACUCCUUUGUCUCCCGAGAAUGAAGUUCUUAAUUUUAAACAAAGGGAGGGAGAAAAUCUAAAAGAUGCUUGGUACAGAAUUUGCAACACGCAAAUUAGAUCUACUAGGAAACAAUCUACUUUUGUUCUUCUUCACAAUUUUUAUGUAGGCAUCACACCUAGGAAUAGAUAUAUUCUUGAUGCCAUUACCGGAGGGAAUUUCUUGGGUAGCCAUACUUUUGAUUCUUAUAAUGCUAUGAUAGAUCUGUUUGGCCCACCACCUCUUUUGGUUAAUGGAACUAUUUUAACUUUGGAACAUGUGAUGCAAUGGCUUGAAAUUAGUGAAAAUAAAGUUGCCACCAUAGAGUUAAUUGAAAAUUUGGAUAGAAAGAUCCACAACCAAAUUACCCAAUACGGAUCUAAGUUAGGAGUUGCUCUUAAAAGUUUUAAAGAAAAGGGACCUAUGGUUAAUGAAAAGAUAGAAAAAGAUUCCACUAGAAUUGUUAAAUUGAGGAUAUUAUUACCAACCUUGGGUCUUCCUUUUCUUCUAUUAUAAAUACUCUACCUAAUGCUAAGAUUGCCAAACUAAUGUAUGUUACAAAAAAUAAUGGUGAAACUUCUAAUAAGGAAAAUGCGGAUCUCAAAUCCAUAAGUGUUCACCCCAAUUUUCUCACUAUCCUGAAGGAACCUUUUGCUACAAAUGAUUUUCUUGAUUUCGUACCUAGGAGUUUGAUAAUUAAUAAAAACCAAGAAACUCCUAAAAGUUAUUGGUGUCUUAUUGAAGAAUCACCUUCCAAAGACGGCAAUACCUAGGUCUAUCUUCGCUUUUAUGCCUAGCUAGGGGCGUUAAACGAUAGCGCUUGUUGGGAGGCAACCCAGUUUUAUUUUUAUUCCUUGCUUUUUGCUCCUAUUUAGUAAUAAAUAAUUUAUGUAGCCUCUGUUUUGGUUUGUGUUUUUUGUGUUUAAUUUGUGUUUGUGCCAUGUAGAACCGUUGGGUAGACUUGGGGAAAGUCUUUUUGAUCUUGCUGUAAAAAACAGAAACGUUAGCGCUCACGAGAAUCGCUGACAUUUUUAUUUGGAAAGUGAUAUUUAGAUAAUUAUUUUUGCAGAUGAUUAAUAGAUAAAUUCCUCACGUCUAGAAAUUUAUUUUAUAAUUUUUGGGGUUACAGAAGUUUGCGUUAGGUACAGAUUACUACAGACUGUUCUGUUUUUGACAGAUUAUGUUUUUCGUGUAUUGUUUGCUUAUUUUGAUGAAUCUAUGGCUAGUAAAAGAGGUUAUAAACCGUAGAGAAGUUGGAAUACAGUAGGUUUAACACCAAUAUAAAUCAAGAUUGAGUUCAUAACAGUACCUUGAAGUGGUGUUUUGUUUUCUUUCGCUAACGGAGCUCACGAGAUUUUCUAUUUGAGUUUUCUGUUGUGAAGUUUUCAAGUUUUGGGUAAAGAUUUGAUGGAUUGUGGAACAAGGGGUGGCAAGAGCCUAAGCUUGGGGAUUCCCAUGGCACACCAAGGUAAAAUUCAAGGACACCAAAAAGCCUAAGCUUGGGGAUGCCCCGGAAGGCAUCCCCUCUUUCGUCUUCGUCUAUUGGUAACUUUACUUGGAGCUAUAUUUUUAUUCACCACAUGAUAUGUGUUUUGCUUGGAGCGUCUUGUAUGAUUUGAUUAUUUGAUUUUUAGUUUACCAAAAUCAUCCUUGCUGUACACACCUUUUGAGAGAGACUCACAUGAUUGGGAAUUUAUGAGAGUACUCGAUGUGCUUCACUUAUAUCUUUUGAGCUAUAUGGUUUUUGUUCUAGUUCUUCACUUAUAUAUUUUAGAGCACGGCGGUGGUUUUAUUUUAUAGAAAUAAUUGUUCUCUCAUGCUUCACUUAUAUUAUUUUGAGAGUCCUUUAGAACAACAUGGCAAUAAUAAAACUGUCAUACAAGUGCAUUGAAUACUAUGAGAAGUUUGAUACUUGAUAAUUGUUUUGAGAUAUGGAGAUGGUGAUAUUAGAGUCAUGCUAGUUGUGUAGUUGUGAAUUUGAGAAAUACUUGUGUUGAAGUUUGUGAUUCCCGUAGCAUGCACGUAUGGUGAACCGUUAUGUGACGAAGUCGGAGCAUGAUUUAUUUGUUGAUUGUCUUCCUUAUGAGUGGCGGUCGGGGAUGAGCAAUGGUCUUUUACUACCAAUCUAUCUCCCUAGGAGCAUGGGCAUAAUACUUUGCUUUGAUAACUUGUAGAUUUUUGCAAUAAGUAUGUGAGUUCUUUCUGACCAAUGUUGAGUCCAUGGAUUAUACGCACUCUCACCCUUCCACCAUUGCUAGCCUCUCUAAUACCGCGCACUUCUCGCCGAUAUCAUACACCCACCAUAUACCAUCCUCAAAACAGCCACCAUACCUACCUAUUAUUGCAUUUCCAUAGCCAUUCCGAGAUAUAUUGCCAUGCAACUUUUCAUCGUUCCAUUAUUAUGACACACUUCAUCAUUGUCAUAUUUGCUUGCAUGAUCAUGUAGUUGGCAUUGUAUUUGUGCAAAGCCACCGUUAAUAAUUCUUCAUACAUGUCACUCUUCAUUCACUUCAUAUCCCGGUACACCGCCGGAGGCAUUCACAUAGUCAUAUUUUGUUCUAAGUAUCGAGUUGUAAUUCUUGAGUUGUAAGUAAAUAAAAGUGUGAUGAUCAUCAUUAUUAGAGCAUUGUGCCAAGUGAGGAAAGGAUGGAGACUAUGAUUCCACAACAAGUCGGCAUGAGACUCCAGACGAAAAUAAAAAAAGAGGGGAAAAAGAGAAAGGCCAUAGAAAAAGAAGGCCCAAAAAAUGAGAGAAAAAGAGAGAAGGGGCAAUGUUACUAUCCUUUUUCCACACUUGUGCUUCAAAGUAGCACCAUCAUCUUCAUGAUAGAGAGUCUCCUAUGAUAUCACUUUCAUAUACUAGUGGGAAUUUUUCAUUAUAGAACUUGGCUUGUAUAUUCCAAUGAUGGGCUUCCUCAAAUUGCCCUAGGUCUUCGUGAGCAAGCAAGUUGGAUGCACACCCACUUAGUUUCUUUUGUUGAGCUUUCAUACACUUAUAGCUCUAGUGCAUCCGUUGCAUGGCAAUCCCUACUCACUCACAUUGAUAUCUAUUAAUGGGCAUCUCCAUAGCCCGUUGAUACGCCUGUUCCGGAGCUCCGCCGGAGGGGGCAUCGAUCACGGAGGGCUUCUACAUCAACAGCAUAGCCUCUUCGAUGAAGUGUGAGUAGUUGACCUCAGACCUAUGGGUCCAUAGUUAUUACCUAGAUGGCUUCUUUUCUCUUUUUGGAUCUCAAUACAAUGUUCUCCCCCUCUCUUGUGGAGAACUAUUCGAUGUAAUCUUCUUUUUGCGGUGUGUUUAUUGAGACCGAUGAAUUGUGGGUUUAUGAUCAAGUCUAUCUAUGAAUAAUAUUUGAAUCUUCUCUGAAUUCUUUUAUGUAUGAUUGUUUAUCUUUGCAAGUCUCCUCGAAUUAUCAGUUGGUUUGGCCUACUAGAUUGAUCUUUCUUACAAUGGGAGAAGUGCUUCGCUUUGGGUUCAAUCUUGCGGUGUCCUUUCCCAGUGACAAUAGGGGCAGCAAGGCAUGUAUUGUAUUGUUGCCAUCGAGGAAAACAAGAUGAGGUUUUCAUCAUAUUGCAUGAGUCUAUCCCUCUACAUCAUGUCAUCUAGCUUAAGGCGUUACUCUGUUUUUAACUUAAUACUCUAGAUGCAUGCUGGAUAGCGGUCGAUGAGUGGAGUAAUAGUAGUAGAUGCAGGCAGGAGUCGGUCUACUUGUCUCGGACGUGAUGCCUAUAUACAUGAUCAUACCUAGAUAUUCUCAUAAAUAUGCUCAAUUCUGUCAAUUGCUCAACAGUAAUUUGUUCACCCACCAUAGAAUAAUUAUGCUCUCGAGAGAAGCUACUAGUGAAACCUAUGGCCCCCGGGUCUAUCUUUAUCAUAUUAAUCUCCUACUACUUAGUUAUUUCCUUUGCUUUUUCCUUUGCCUUUAUUUUACUUUUCAUCUUUAUCACAAAAAUACCAAACAUAUUAUCUUUAUCAUAUCUAUCAGAUCUCACUCUCGUAAGUGGCCGUGUAGGGAUUGACAACCCCUAUUCACGUUGGUUGCGAGGAUUUAUUUGUUUUGUGCAAGUACGAGGGACUCGCGCGUAGCCUCCUACUGGAUUGAUAUCUUGGUUCUCAAAAACCGAGGGAAAUACUUACGCUACUUUGCUACAUCAUCCCUUCCUCUUCGGGGAAAACCAACGCAGUGCUCAAGAGGUAGCAAGAAGGAUUUCUGGUGCCAUUGCCAGGGAGGUCUACGCAAAAGUUAACAUACCAAGUACCCGUCACAUACCCUUAUCUCCCGCAUUAUAUUAUUUGCCAUUUGCCUCUCGUUUUCACCUCCCCCACUUCACCCUUGCCGUUUUAUUCGCCCUCUCUCUCUAUCCUCCCUCUCUUUCUCUAUUUGCCUCUUUUUUCCCGCUUGCUUUCUGUUUGCUUGUGUGUUAGUUGCUUGCUUGUCACGAUGGCUCAAGAUAAUACUAAAUUAUGUGACUUCACCAAUACCAACAACAAUGAUUUUAUUAGCACUCCGAUUGCUCCUCUUAUCGAUGCUGAAUCUUGUGAAAUUAAUACUGCUUUGCUGAAUCUUGUCAUGAAAGAUCUGUUUUCCGGCCUUCCUAGUGAAGAUGCCGGUACCCACCUAAAUAGAUUCAUUGAUUUGUGUGACAUGCAAAACAAGAAAGGUGUGGAUAAUGAUAUUGUUAAAUUGAAGCUAUUUCCUUUUUCGCUUAGAGAUCGUGCUAAACUUGGUUUUCGUCUUUGCCUAAAAAUAGUAUUGAUUCAUGGAAUAAGUGCAAAGAUGCUAUUAUCUCUAAGUAUUUUCCUCCUGCUAAGAUCAUCUCUCUUAGAAACGAUAUUAUGAAUUUUAAGCAACUUGAUCAUGAAUAUGUUGCACAAGCUUGGGAGAGAAUGAAACUAAUGGUACGUAAUUGCCCUGCCCAUGAUUUAAAUUUGUGGAUGAUUAUACAAAAUUUUUAUGCCGGAUUGAAUUUUGCUUCUAGAAAUCUUUUAGAUUCGGCCGCGGGAGGCACUUUUAUGGAAAUCACUUUAGGAGAAGCUACUAAACUCCUAGAUAAUAUUAUGGUUAAUUAUGCUCAACGGCAUACUAAAAGAUCUAAUAAUAAAAAGGUGCAUGCGAUAGAAGAAAUUAAUGUUUUGAGUGGAAAGAUGGAUGAACUUCUGAAAUUAUUUGCUAAUAAGAGUGUUUCUUCUGAUCCUAAUGAUAUGCCCUUGUCUACUUUGAUUGAGAAUAAUAAUGAAUCUGUGGAUGUGGAUUUUGUUGGUAGGAACAAUUUUGGUAACAGCGCGUAUAGAGGAAAUUUCAACCCUAGGCCUUAUCCUAGUAAUCUCUCUAAUAAUUACGGUAAUUCCUACAACAAUUCUUAUGGAAAUUAUAAUAAGAUGCCCUCUAAUUUUGAAUCUAAUAUUAAAGAAUUUAUUACUUUGCAAAAGAAUUUCAAUGCCUUGAUUGAAGAAAAAUUGCUUAAGAUUGAUGAUUUGGCUAGGAACGUUGAUAGAAUUACUCUUGAUGUUGAUUCUUUGAAACUUAGAUCUAUUCCACCUAAGCAUGAUGUCAAUGAGUCUCUCAAAGCCAUGAGAAUUUCCAUUGAUGAGUGCAAAGAAAGAACCGCUAAGAUGCGUGCUAAGAAAGAUGCCUUUAUAAGAGCGUGUUCUUCUAGUUCCUAUGAAAAUAAUGAUGAAGAUCUAAAAGUUAUAGAUGUGUUCCCUAUUAAAUAUUUGUUUUUCAAUAUGAAUCUUGAUAAUGAUGGGACUGAAUAUGAUCCACCUUUACCUAUAAGGCGUUCGAAGAAUUCAGAAUUUGUUGAUCUUGAUGCUAAAAUUGAUAAAGGUGGGAUUGAAGAAAUUAAAACCCUAGAUGUUGCUAAACCCACUAUUAUGGAUUUCAAGGAAUUUAACUAUGAAAAUUGCUCUUUGAUUGAUUGUAUAUCCUUUUUACAAUCCGUGCUAAAUUCUCCUCAUGCUUAUAGUCAAAAUAAAGCGUUUACUAAACAUAUCGUUGAUGCCUUGAUGCAAUCUUAUGAAGAAAAACUUGAAUUGGAAGUUUCUAUCCCUAGAAAGCUUUAUGAUGAUUGGGAACCAACUAUUAAAAUUAAAAUUAAAUAUCAUGAAUGCUAUGCUUUAUGUGAUUUGGGUGCUAGUGUUUCCACGAUUCCAAAGACUUUGUGUGAUUUGUUAGGUUUCCGUGAUUUUGAUGAUUGCUCUUUAAACUUGCGCCUUGUGGAUUCCACUAUUAAGAAACCUAUGGGAAGAAUUAAUGAUGUUCUUAUGGAUGCAAAUAGGAAUUAUGUGCCUGUAGAUUUUAUUCUUCUUGACAUAGAUUGCAAUCUUUCAUGUCCUAUUAUUCUUGGUAGACCUUUCCUUAGAAUGAUUGGUACAAUUAUUGAUAUGAAGGAAGGAAAUAUUAGAUUCCAAUUUCCAUUAAGGAAAUUCAUGGAACACUUUACUAGAAAGUAAAUUAAAUUACCUUAUGAAUCUAUUAUGAUAGCCACUUGUGGAUUGCCUACCAAAGAUGGCAAUACCUAGAUCUAUCCUUGCUUGUUAUGCCUAGCUAGGGGCGUUAAACGAUAGCGCUUGUUGGGAGGCAACGCAAUUUUGUUUUUAUUCCUUGAUUUUUGCUCCUGUUUAGUAAUAAAUAAUUUAUCUAUCCUCUGUUUUGGUUGUGUUCUUUGUGUUUAAUUAGUGUUGGUGCCAAGUAGAACCGUUAGGAAGACUUGGGGAAAGUCUUGUUACACUUGCUGUAAAAAACAGAAACUUCGGCGCUCAUGAGAACUGCUGCCAUUUUUAUUUGGAAAGUGCUAUUUAGUUAAUUAUUUCUGCAGAUGAUUAAUAGAUAAAUUCCUCACGUCCAGAAAUUUAUUUUAGAAUUUUUGGGGUUCCAGCUCUUGAGCUAGGUACAGAUUACUACAGAUUGUUCUGUUUUUGAAAGAUUCUGUUUUUUCGUGUGUUGUUUGCUUAUUUUGAUGAACCUAUGGCUAGUAAAAUAGUUCAUAAACCAUAGAGAAGUUGGAAUACAGUAGGUAUAACACCAGUAUAAAUAAAUAAUGAGUUCAUUAUAGUACCUUGAAGUGGUCUUUUAUUUUCUUUCGCUAACGGAGCUCACGAGAUUUUCUACUUUAAGUUUUGUGUUGUGAAGUUUUCAAGUUUUGGGUAAAGAUUUGAUGGUUUAUGGAACAAGGAGUGACAAGAGCCUAAGCUUGGGGAUGCCCAUGGCACCCCCAAGAUAAUCUAAGUACACCUAAAAGCCAAAGCUUGGGGAUGCCCCGGAAGUCAUCCCCUCUUUCGUCUACUUCUAUCGGUAACUUUACUUGGAGCUAUAUUUUUAUUCGCCACAUGAUAUGUGUUUUGCUUGGAGCGUCUUGUAUUAUUUGACUCUUUAUUUGUUAGUUUACCACAAUCAUCCUUCCUGUACACACCUUUUGAGAGAGCCAUACAUGAUUUGGAAUUUGUUAGAAUAGUCUAUGUGCUUCGCUUAUAUCUUUUGAGUUAUAUAGUUUUGCUCUAGUACUUCACUUAUAUAUUUUAGAGCACGGUGGUGGAUUUGUUUUAUAAAAACUAUUGAUCUCCCAUGCUUCACUUAGAUUAUUUUGAGAUGCUUAAUAGCAUGGUAACUUGCUUAAAAUCCUAAUAUGCUAGGUAUUCAAAGUUAGUAAAAUUUUCUUAAGAGUGUUUUGAAUACUAAGAGAAGUUUGAUGCUUGAUGAUUGUUUUGAGAUAUGGAGGUAAUAAUAUCAAAGUCGUGCUAGUUGAGUAGUUGUGAAAUUGAGAAAUACUUGUGUUGAAAUUUGCAUGUCCCGUAGCAUGCACGUAUGGUAAAUGUUGUGUAACAAAUUUGAAACAUGAGGUGUUAUUUGAUUGUCUUCCUUAUGAGUGGCGGUCGGGGACGAGCGAUGGUCUUUUCCUACCAAUCUAUCCCCCUAGGAGCAUGCGCGUAGUACCGAGGUUUUUGAUGACUUGUAGAUUUUUGCAAUAAGUAUGUGAGUUCUUUAUGACUAAUGUUGAGUCCAUGAAUUAUACGCACUCUCACCCUUCCAUCCUUGCUAGCCUCUUUGGUACCAUGCAUUGCCCUUUCCCACAUUGAUUGUUGGAGCAAACUUCGCCGGUGCAUCCAAACCCCGUGAUAUGAUACGCUCUUUCACACAUAAACCUCCUUAUAUCUUCGUCAAAAAAGCCACCAUACCUACCUAUUAUGGCAUUUCCAUAGCCAUUCCGACAUAUAUUGCCAUGCAACUUUCCACCAUUCCGUUCAUCAUGACACAUUCAUCAUUGUCAUAGUGCUUAGCAUAAUCAUGUAGUUGACAUAGUAUUUGUGGCAAGGCCACCGUUCAUAAUUCUUUCAUACAUGUCACUCUUGGUCCAUUGCAUAUCCCGGUACACCGCUGGAGGCAUUCAUAUAAGUCAUACUUUGUUCUAGUAUCGAGUAGUAAUUAUUGAGUUGUAAAUAAAACGAAGUGUGAUGAUCUUAAUUAAUAGAGCAUGGUCCCAAAAAGAGAAAAAAGGAAGGGCCAAAAAAAGGCCAAAUAAAAAAAUAUAAAAAGGGGGGCAAUGCUACUAUCCUUUUUUCCACACUUGUGAUUCAAAGUAGCACCGUAAUCUUCAUGAUAGAGAGUAUCUUGAUUUGUCACUUUCAUAUACUAGUGGGAAUUUUUCAUUAUAGAACUUGGCUUGUAUAUUCCAACAAUGGGCCUCCUCAAGUGCCCUAGGUCUUUGUGAGCAAGCAAGUUGGAUGCACACCCACUUAGUUUCUUUUGUUGAGCUUUCAUACAUUUAUAGCUCUAGUGCAUCCGUUGCAUGGCAAUCCCUACUCCUUGCAUUAACAUCAAUCGAUGGGCAUCUCCAUAGCCCAUUGAUUAGCCUCGUUGAUGUGAGACUUUCUCCUUUUUGUCUUGUCCACAUAACUCCACUCAUUAUAUUCUAUUCCACCCAUAGUGUUAUGUCCAUGGCUUACAAUCAUAUAUUCCGUGAAAGUUUAUAGGUUUGAGAUCACUAAAGUAUGAAACAAUUGCUUGGCUUGUCAUCGGGGUUGUGCAUGAUGAGAGCAUUGUUGUGUGACAAAAAUGAAGCAUGACUAAACUAUAUGAUUUUGUAGGGAUGAACUUUCUUUGGCCAUGUUAUUUUGAGAAGACAUAAUUGCUUAGUUAGUAUGCUUGAAGUAUUAUUAUUUUUAUGUCAAUAUGAACUUUUGUCUUGAAUCUUUCGGAUCUGAAUAUUCAUACCACAAUUAAGAAGAAUAACAUUAAAAUCAUGCUAAGUAGCACUCUGCAUCAAAAAUUCUGUUUUUAUCAUUUACCUACUCGAGGACGAGCAGGAAUUAAGCUUGGGGAUGCUUGAUACGUCUCCAACGUAUCUAUAAUUUUUGAUUGCUCCAUGCUAUAUUAUCUACUGUUUUGGACAAUAUUGGGCUUUAUUAUCCACUUUUAUAUUAUUUUUGGGACUAACCUAUUAACCGGAGGCCCAGCCUAGGAUUGCUGUUUUUUGCCUAUUUUAGGGUUUCGAAGAAAAGGAAUAUCAAACGGAGUCCAAACGGAAUGAAACCUUCGGGAACGUGAUUUUCUCAACGAACAAGACCCAGGAGAAUUGGACCCUCCGUCAAGACACAAAAGAGGAGGCCACGAGGUAGGGGGCGUGCCUACCCCCCCGGCGCGCCCUCCACCCUCGUGGGCCCCCUGUUGCUCCACCGACGUACUCCUUCCUCCUAUAUAUACCUACGUACCCCCAAAUGAUCAUAUACGGAGCCAAAACCCUAAUUACGCUGCCGCAACAUUCUGUAUCCACGAGAUCCCAUCUUGGUGCCUGUUCCGGAGCUCCGUCAGAGGGGGCAUCGAUCAUGGAGGGCUUCUACAUCAACACCAUAGCCUCUCUGAUGAAGUGUGAGUAGUUGACCUCAGACCUACGGGUCCAUAGUUAUUACCUAGAUGGCUUCUUCUCUCUUUUUGGAUCUCAAUACAAUGUGCUCCCCCUCUCUUGUGGAGAACUAUUCGAUGUAAUCUUCUUUUUGCGGUGUGUUUGUUGAGACCGAUGAAUUUUGGGUUUAUGAUCAAGUCUAUCUAUGAAUAAUAUUUGAAUCUUCUCUGAAUUCUUUUAUGUAUGAUUGGUUAUCUUUGCAAGUCUCUUCGAAUUAUCAGUUUGGUUUGGCCUACUAGAUUGAUCUUUCUUGCAAUGGGAGAAGUGCUUAGCUUUGGGUUCAAUCUUGCGUGUCCUUUCCCAGUGAUAGUAGGGGUAGCAAGGCACGUAUUGUAUUGUUGCCAUCGAGGACAACAAGAUGGGGUUUUCAUCAUAUUUUAUGAGUCUAUCCCUCUACAUCAUGUCAUCUUACUUAAGGCGUAAUAGUAGUAGAUGAGUGGAGUAAUAGUAGUAGAUGCAGGCAGGAGUCGGUCUACUUGUCUCGGACGUGUUGCCUAUAUACAUGAUCAUACCUAGAUAAUCUCAUAACUAUGCUCAAAUCUAUCAAUUGCUCAAUAGUAAUUUGUUCAUCCACCGUAGAAUACUUAUGCUCUCGAGAGAAGCCACUAGUGAAACCUAUGGCCCCCGGGUCUAUCUUUAUCAUAUUAAUCUCCUACUACUUAGUUAUUUCCUUUGCUUUUUUACUUUGCCUUUAUUUUACUUUGCAUCUUUAUCACAAAAAUAAAAAUAUCUUUAUCAUAUCUAUCCAAUCUCACUCUCGUAAGUGGCCGUGUAGGGAUUGACAACCCCUAUUCACGUUGGUUGCGAGGAUUUAUUUAUUUUGUGCAGGUACGAGGGACUGGCGCAUAGCCUCCUACUGGAUUGAUACCAUGGUUCUCAAAACCUGAGGGAAAUACUUAUGCUACUUUGCUGCAUCAUCCCUCACUCUUCGGGGAAAACCAACGAAGUGCGCAAGAGGUAGCAAGGGUUCCUUUUUGUCGACGAUCUGAUGUUUCAACCUUGUUUUCCAGGCGGCCAACGCAUCACUCAACUUGGUCAUGGCGUGUUUGUUUAUCUUCUUCAUUGCCAGGUCCUUAUCUGGAUCUUUAUUAUCCUUUUCAUUACGGUCCGGGAACAAGAAUAUCUGGUGCAGCUUCUUCAGGAGGGAGGGCCUCAUAUUAUCUAUCUUCUAUAGUUUCCCAUCGUUGAUCAUGGCAGUUGUCCGUACAAUGCAACCUAUUUGAUUGCCGUAACACGAUUGCGCUUCCUCGGGUGCUAUUGUCUCAAAAAUACUGUCGUCCAUCUCCGUGACCACCAGUCUAGUACUCAUGAGCUGGUUUAGGCGUCGUGGCCUCUUUGCUGUCGGUUCUAGACUAACUCCCCUAGUCUCGGCACCGGUCUCAGUCUCAUCGCCGGUCUGCAUGUCGGUAUCAGUCCCCGAUGCGACAACACAGUCGCUGCAACAUGGGUAAGGGAGACCACAUCAGUGCUGGGGGUCCGAAAAUUGGGACACACUUUCGCGCGUCGCGGGCCGCCUCUCAGACAGCUAAUGGGGAGGCGGCGGAGUACCUGGGUGCGCGGCGAAUCCCCAAGAACUCGGUGACCAACUUCCUUCCCGUGUGGCGCAUGGAGACGACGGCGACCCUGGCGAAGAGCAGCUUAGCCGCGAGCUGCACAGCCUCGUCCACCUCCUAAGUUGGGACCUCCGUGCGAGCGUUGCGGGGCCGCCGCUCGGAUGGCUUCUGGAAGGCCGUUGUACAUGGGCACAGGGUGAAUCCCGACGAGAGCUGGCCAUUGGCGCGCGCAAGUAGACGACGACGUCCCCGACGAAGAGCUGCCCGGCCAGCUCGCCUCACUCGCCUUUGAUUAGAAAUGAAAGAUUGGGAAGAAGCAGACUUGAGCCUGCAGGGAAAGGAUAAGGUGACGAUGCAGUCUCCACUCGUUCGGGGCGACACGCGUACUGAAUGUAUGAGAAACGUGACGUGGCAGAGACCCCAAGAUACUCCCUCCAUUUAUUUUUAGUCUGCAUAUAAAGUUUGGUCAAAGUCAAGAUUUGUAAAUUUUAACGAACUUUAUAAUAAAAAAAUAUCAGCAUUCACAAUAUGAAAUCAAUAUUACCAGAUGCGUCAUGAAAUGUAUUUCCAUACUAUAUAGUUUUGGUAUUGUAGAGGCACUCUUCCAUAUAAUGAAGUUUAUAAUAUAUGUGCUUAUAUUGUAUUACAAUUGUUUGAAUAGCUUAGCAUAUGUUCAGAUGUAUGAUAUCUGUAAUUUAAGCGCUUGAAUUUUACAUAUAAAUAUUUAUUAAUAAAUAUGUACCCCUAUAAUAGCUAGGCCGUGCCGUUGCACGGGUAGAUGACUAGUGAUUACAAUCUUGUUUGUGUGCAAGUCAAGCUUAUAUAGUUUACACGUAACAACUUGUAGAACAUUACAAAAUUUAUGCUUGCUAAUAACUUCUAGAACACUAGAACACUUGACAUGUAAAAGGAAUUUGACGAGUCAUGGCCUACUAAAGCAAGUUACAUUACUAGUCUUAUCUAUCUUAACAGACCACACAAGAUUACAAACUAAGUACCGUGACAGCCAUGCUUAUCUAGUUUAUGCGUAACAAUUUGCAGAAAAUUAGAAACUUGGUUUCAGAAAAAUACGCAAUCUAGAUUAGUGUUUGAGCUGUAAAGUGAAUAAGAUGAGUCAUGCAUGUUAUCACACCUUUUUGGUGGUGGAAUGAUAGUGCAACAACAAGGAACUUUAAUGACCAGUCCAAGAAUACACUUGUAAGUAGUGCCACCAAACAGAACAUACCAAAUGAUGAUUUUUAGAAGCAUCCAAGCACUUUCCACACAAACAAAUGCCAAUUGUGAAAGAGAUCAUUCCAUGGCAGCUAUAAAUAGCCCCAUAGCAUGAGGUUCAUCCUUCCUCAUCCAUCAUUUUCAUUAGUAGAGCGCAUCAUUUAAGCCAAGCAAGCUGUGGUCAAUACAAAUCCACCAUGAAGACCUUUCUCAUCCUUGCCCUCCCUGCUAUCGUGGCGACCACCGCCACAACUGCAGUUAGAGUUCCAGUGCCACAAUUGCAGCCACAAAAUCCAUCUCAGCAACAGCCACAAGAGCAAGUUCCAUUGGUACAACAACAACAAUUUCUAGGGCAGCAACAACCAUUUCCACCACAACAACCAUAUCCACAGCCGCAACCAUUUCCAUCACAACAACCAUAUCUGCAGCUGCAACCAUUUCCGCAGCCGCAACUACCAUAUUCGCAGCCACAACCAUUUCGACCACAACAACCAUAUCCACAACCGCAACCACAGUAUUCGCAACCACAACAACCAAUUUCACAGCAGCAGCAGCAGCAGCAACAACAACAACAACAACAACAACAACAACAAAAGCAAAUCCUUCAACAAAUUUUGCAACAACAACUGAUUCCAUGCAUGGAUGUUGUAUUGCAGCAACACAACAUAGCGCAUGGAAGAUCACAAGUUUUGCAACAAAGUACUUACCAGCUGUUGCAAGAAUUGUGUUGUCAGCACCUAUGGCAGAUCCCUGAGCAGUCGCAGUGUCAGGCCAUCCAAAAUGUUGUUCAUGCUAUUAUUCUGCAUCAACAACAAAAACAACAACAACAACCAUCGAGCCAGGUGUCCUUCCAACAGCCUCUGCAACAAUAUCCAUUAGGCCAGGGCUCCUUCCGGCCAUCUCAGCAAAACCCACAGGACCAGGGCUCUGUCCAGCCUCAACAACUGCCCCAGUUCGAGGAAAUAAGGAACCUAGCGCUACAGAUGCUACCUGCAAUGUGCAAUGUCUACAUCCCUCCAUAUUGCACAAUCGCGCCAUUUGGCAUCUUCGGUACUAACUGAGAAGAAAAUAACUCUAGUACUAGAUAUAUGAAACACCGUUUUCUCAGUCCAUGGUUUGGUCAUUGUAGCGUCGAAAAAAUAAUGUGACAUGCACUAUCAUAUAAGAAUCCGAACUAUACUAGUUCAAACUUGGGAAUAAAAGACAAACACAUGUCUUGUCUACAUAUUUAUGUUGCAUCUAUUUAUAUAUUAAAAGUAAUAUAAGGUGAACCAGGAGCAAGGUAAAUAUGCUAGAAAAUUGCACGUUAAUUAGAAAUUACUUGCCCUCGAUCUGGUAAAUCUUAACAAAUAGAAUUAUCUUGACCGUUAGAUUUAUAUAACAUAUAUAAUGCUCUGGGCCUCCAACGACUGUACGUGACACAUCUGAACGAACAUAUGGUAAAGAAAAUAUAUUUGGUAAAUGGUGGGCCUGUUUAAAAAGAGAACUCACGUACAUGCACCAACUAAGAAAAACACAUACAUGUAAACGGGAAAAGGAUGAGAUUUUCUCACGUACGUGCUCCCUGGCUCCACCCCGUUGAAAAAAUAUACAUCUGGAGGCCACUUUGUUUCCUCAUCAAAAAAACUUACGUUAAAAAGAUUGCAUGCAUCCCAGGGAAAAUAGUCAAGAAGAAGUCGGACUUUUCCUUACAAAAACAAGGAACGUGUUAAGUUGACUUCAAAGAAAAAAGGAACAUGUUAAGUUAAAAAAAAACAAGAAACCUGUUAAGUUAGAAAAAAACAAGGAACGUGUUGUCCAAGGAAAGAUAUGUGUCAAAUCUUACAAAAAAAAAGAAUACACACACGUACGUUCAUGCACUUGGAAAAUAGAAAAAAAGGAACAUCACGUAUGUAUACACUUCGGAAACUCAUUACAUGACCAUGUCUGAUAUACUCCUCUAAUGCUUAAUAUUAGUGCCUAAUAAUUUAUAUUUAAAAUUUAAUUUACUGAUCAAAUAUCCCCACUGUUUAAAUUUUAAUUUGGCACAUUGUUUGGCUAUAGUAUGAACCUGAAUUUCCUCUUAUUAUUAUAUAUCAUGGUAAUAAUCCAAAGGCGACUAAUCUGCACCGGCGCACCGGCGCAAUCAAUUCGGCUGGACACAGCGCGGCCGUUUGAUUAGAUUGCAUUUAACCAUCAGAUCUGGAAUCGUUUUCUUUCCAAUUAAACGGAUUCAACCAAACAGCAGAGGGGAAAACAAAGCAGCGCCGCCGCCAACACUAGCCAUGGACGACCGAUGUAGCAAAACCUUGAAGAACCGCCGCCGGUCGCCACCCUCGCCUCUGGUCGCUGCCCUCGCCGUCGGUCACCGCCGGUCGCCGCCCUCGCCGCCUGCGUUUCUCAUCGGCUUCAUGCAUGCAACAACAUGCACUCGUGGUUGCAGGCUUGCAUCUCCGGCUCCGGGGACAUGGCCGCAUCUCCGGUAGCGCCGGCCGCCGGCCGCAGCACCUGUCGUUGUGGUCGCGCUGUACCUCGCCGUGUGCCCUCCCGAGGCUCUUGCUGGUUCCAACAAAAAACGAUACCUGUUGUAGCAAAAAAGUAUCGCUUCCAGCAAAAAAGCUUACCGCUACAGCCCGCCAUCGUCAUUGUAGCAAAAAUGUUAACCCGAUGUAGCUUCUGUGGUUGCCGACUGCAGCAAAAAAUGACAUGGCUGUAGCAAAACACAAAAGAAAAACACUGGCCGGCCGCUGUGUAUGGUGGUAACAAACCCUAUAGCCGGUGGUAGCGAAAAACUUCAUAGUGUGCUGCAAAAAAAUGUUGUCACCCGUCGUCGAGGUUGCAUCAUCUUCAUGAAUUAUGCCGCAAAAAAACGUUGUCGCCGGUAGUAGCAAAUGAAGCCGCCGGUAGUAGCAAAACAAGACACUGGUUCCAGCCAAAAAAAAAAUCAGCGACAGAACCUUUGGUUGGUUCCAACAAAAAAACUUGUCGGUUGUAACAUCCCUCGCCGCCGGAUGUAGCAUCUCCCGGGGCUGGUUGCAACACUCCAUAAAAAAAGUUGUCUAUGAGCGCAUCCAUGGUGACUGCUGCACCGUCAGCAAUGAGGGGAAGAGGAGGCAAUGAAAAUCAUUCGAGUCAUAGCUCCACAGGACGCGGCUGCAGCAUGGGGAGUCCAAAAAUCUGUCACAAGCAACAUGCGCCGCGCCAUCCUCCUGCGCAGGAGAGAGAAGAAAAAGGAAUAAGAGGAAGAAGAAAGGAAACAGGAGAAAGAAAAAAGAAAGGAUUGGUGGUUGGCUCAGGCAAUUAGUCAAGCGAGGGGCACGCGGGGCCGCAGGACACAGCGCAAUCGAACGAAGCGCGCGCGUCCGGGCGAAGACUCGGCCGGACUGCCGUCUGGAAACGUUUCCCUAAUCCAAAGGCUUUAUCUGAAUGACAAGUCGUCUGGGUUACCGGCUAACUAGAAAAAAGAUAAAUAUGCUAGAGAAUUCCAUAAUAAUUAGAAAUAUCUAGCCUUUAAUUAUGUAAACCAGAAAAUCACAACCGUUGGAUUUACUUUAAAGGUAAAUUUCUAUAAAUUCCCACCAUUGCCAGUAUGUAGAAACAUGUGCUGCUUCAAUUCUCCCAUAAUCACCAAUCAAUCAACAACACAAAACAUACCUCAGUUAAAAAAACUGAACAAAAAAAAGAAAAAAAGAAGAAAGGACAAGAUACACGCAUGUACACGACAGCCUUGGCUUGAAACACAUCAGUAGAUCAAGUGUCCGCCUCCCUUACACGUACGUCCCAUGAGGUUUACUAGCCUACCGCCGCCGCAUCAUGCCAUCCUCUCCUUUCAGCUCCCAUGCUCUCCAGCACCCUCAUUGCGGCGCCACUACUCGCCUAGGGAUAUUGCUGCUCAGACCGUGGAGCUUAACCACAUCAGCAUCAGCACGUAUGGGCCUCAUUAUACUGCAGCACGUAUUGCGCCCCCUUAAGUCCAGGUCUGUUUGCUGGCACAUAUGCUUUGGAAAUAGGCCACUAUGUUUGUACUUCAAAAUUGUUUCUGUAUUCUUGAGUGGUACAUCCUUUUAAGCGCCAGUUUUUUAUGUUAAUUCAUGCUGACAACACUUAACCUAGCCUUUCAUGUUCACGUACUAAAUACAGGAGCAAGUAAAAACAACAGACCACCUAAUUGCUCUGCAUGUACUACAUAGGAAAAUUUGUCAUGUUCUACGAUCGCACCAUCCCACCCUUCUCUCUUGGUAUGGGCGCCAAUUGAGGGAUUGAUAAAACUGAAACGAAGACGUCACAGGGCUGGAAGUACCGCUAGCCUGGUUUGCACUGCAACCUACCCAACGCCAUCAGAAACUAGCAACUGAGUCAGGUGUUGAUCGAUUCUCUCAAAUUGCUCUCAUGUAAGUACUACCCCUUGCAUGUGCGUACAUACCUUUGUUGCAUUCUCAAACAGAUAGAACAUGUUUGAUCGGUGCAUGGCUAUUUUUCAUCACAUGACAUCCAGAUAACAAGCAUGAAAGGACUACAUUGGAGAUCAAAAAAUAUUGGUUCCUGGCUAGAGUACCACUACCUAUGGACUUGUCUCCAUAGAAUUUGUUCCCAAGAUGUUAUUUUAAUUAAUCUCUUUAGCUUUCUUCCAUUGCAAACGGUGAUGUGCAUCAUGGUAUAUACGUGACCAUCUUGCACAUGUAUACACAAGAGGCUCAGAUGGAGGUGCUGGAUUCUGGACGAGGGAAUAUGAAGCAGGAGUGAGCGAAGAGUAAAUAAUGGUGGGAGUACCGAUUGGUGUUAUGAAGAAAAAUGCCAUCCAAAGAUUGAUUAGUGUCAUGGAAGAUUAAUUUCUGAAUGCGAAUAUAUAUGUUACAUUGGUUUGGAUCUUUUUGAGAUAAUUCCACCUAAAUUAGGUUCUUUCUUAUUUCAUAUGUAUACCUUAUUUCAGUAAAAGUUCACAACGAACUUAGUAGGACAAAUAUAAUUUUGUUUGUUCUUUCUGUUGUCCGCCACCAAAGCUCAAUUUGAACUCUCUAGAAAUGGACAAUGAUUUAUGCAUUCUAUAUCUUCUUGAUUGAUUAGCCAUGACAAGGAAAUAAAAGGAUUGACUGAUAUAGCAUAACUUUGGAACGAUUAGAGGUUACUACAAAUAAGAGUAGUGUCUGUUGGAAUUUUGCUAGUAGGCCUUUGGCCCAAAGCCCAACUAAAAUUCUGAAAUUCUCUUGGCUCAUUUAUGCACACAUGUGAGUUGAGUGAGUGAGACUAAAGUUUAGUCCCACCCUGGAAGUUGAGAGAGAGUUGCACCUCUUUAUAAGGUGAGCUCUUCUACCACUUGUAUGAGCAUGAGAAGAGGAGACCUACACGCGCGCUCCUCCUCCACGCUCGCCACGCCUCGUCGCGCCGCGCCGUGCCGCGGGUUGCGGGAUUGAGCCGAGCCGAGGACGUUUUCUAUAUUUUUGCUGCUCGGGAAAAAUUAAUGAGUCAUUAAUUAAUAAUUAAUGGACACAUUAAUUACUGAACCGUUUCCGAUUUUUUUGGAUCGUGACGACUCGGACGUGGGGUUUACUCCCAGGACCUACCCGGCCCGCACUAUAUAGUCAGGAAGACGUCUACCCUAGCCGCCGCCGCUUCGUAUGGUUUCUCACCAUCGUUACAGAUCAUUGCGCCGCCAAGCAAGUUUUCUCCAUCCCUCCUUUCGGCGUGCACCGGGAGAAGGGACAGCAGACCUCCGGAACCCCGCCUCUCGUGAUCCUAUACGGGAGAGGGGCGAUCAGGUUUUUGGGGAGCGCACUCGCAUGACUGCUGGCAGCGACGACUUCGCAAACGACGACUUCUUCCCCGACCUCGGCAACCUCAUCCUCGACGACAUGGGCGACAACGUCAACGCCGGCGGUGCUACACCCACUGCACCGUAUGUUAUUCUCUCCUUCUUGUUCGAGAUCAUGGUAGAAUUCAUGUUUCUAGUAUAUGUGCCCUAGAUGUGAUCUGUUCAUCUACUAUGGUAGUUCGCAUGAUUAGUUUAAUCUCUGUUAUUGCUGUCAUGAUCUAUUUCCUAUUUAUUCGGAUUAAAUCUCGUAGUAAUUUUCUCAUUUUUCCAACAAUCCAAAAACCUGAUUAUAGGAAAUUUACUCCGAGUGGUUUUGCUGCGCAUCUGAAAGCCGCUUGCCUUUAAGGGGGCGCAAUAUAAGAGGUGGCGCACCAGAGCAGUCUACUGGUUUCAGAUCAUGGGCUGCUAUGACGCCACCAAGGGCAAGCCUGAGGGCGAUCUUAAUCCAGCACAGCUGGAAGCUUUCAAGAAGAUCAAUACCCUCUUUAAAGGCACGCUUCUGAGUGUUCUUGAUGACUCCAUUGUAGAUUCGUAUAUGUCGUUUGACAAUGGCAAGAACAUGUGGGCUACGCUCGAGGCCAAGUUUGGUGCCUCGGACGCCGGCAGCGAGUUGUACGUCAUGGAGCAAUUCUAUGACUCCAAGAUGACUGAUGGGCGCCCUGUUGUACAGCAGGCUCAUGAGAUACAGUUGCUCGCAAAAGAACUUGAGUACUUCAAGUGUGUGUUGGCGAACAAAUUUGUUGCCGGAGGCAUCAUUGCCAAGCUUCCACCUUCGUGGAACAAUUUUGCUACUUCCCUGAAACACAAGAGACAGGAGUUUUUCGUUGCGGAUCUCAUUGGUACUCUUGAUGUUGAAGAGAAGGCGAGAGCAAAGGAUACACGUGCUUGAGUUGCUAAGGGAGGUUCUAGUGCCCACAUGGUACAGAAGAAGAACUUCCAGCCCAACAAGUUCAAAAACAACAAGAACAAAACUUAGGGCAAAGGCAAGUUCGAUACAAAGAACAAGCCAUCACAUUCUACCAACUUCAAGAAGAACUCUCAUAAGAAGGGGAAGGGACUUUGCCAUGUCUAUGGUGAUCCUAAUCACUGGGCUCCGAAGUGUCCCAACCGCUUUGAGGAGCGCGAACAUGAGAAGAGCGGCAAGUCUGCUAAUGUUGUCAUCGGUGAUACUGAUAUGAAGGAAUCAGGGUACGGUAUUUUUCCUACCAUCCUUUCAGUAUUCCAAACCCCUGACUGGUUAAUUGACACCGGUGCCAAUGUACAUGUUUGUGCUGAUGCCUCCAUGUUUUCUUCUUACCAGGCCACUGGGACUUCUCCUAUGCUGAUGGGGAACGGGUCACAUGCCAUCGUUCGAGGUGUUGGUACGGUCGAUCUGAAGUUUACUUCGGGGAAGACCGUGCGUCUGAAGAACGUUCAUCAUGUGCCGUCCAUCAAUAAAAAUCUCGUUAGCGGUUCCCGUUUAUGUCGAGAUGGUUUUAAGUUGGUUUUCGAAUCCAAUAAAGUUAUAAUUUCUAAGUAUGGACAAUUUGUUGGAAAAGGCUAUGAGAGCGGAGGCUUGUUUCGCCUGUCUUUGUCAGAUAUUUGCACUAAAGUUAUUAAUAAUGUUUGCCACAACAAUGAGUCUGAUAUUUGGCAUUCACGACUUUGUCACAUUAACUUUGGUUGCAUGACGCGGCUAGCCAAUAUGAAUUUAAUUCCGAAAAUCUCUACUGUCAAAGGAUCUAAGUGCCAAGUAUGUGUGCAAGGUAAGCAACCUCGCAAGUCCCAUAAGACUGCAGAGGCAACAGACUUGGCGCCACUAGAGCUUAUACAUUCUGAUAUUUGUGAGAUGAAUGACGUGUUGACAAAAGGUGGAAAGAGAUACCUCAUGACGUUGAUUGAUGACUCCACUAGAUAUUGUUAUGUGUAUCUUAUGAAAUCAAAAGAUGAGGCUUUGGCUUUCUUCAAAAACUAUAGAGCUGAGGCAGAGAACCAACUUGAUCGAAAAAUUAAACGGCUUAGGUCCGAUCAUGGUGGAGAGUAUUUUUCCAAUGAAUUUGAUCUAUUUUGUGCGGAACAUGGUAUAAUCCAUGAGAGGAUGCCUCCCUACUCACCCCAGUCAGAUGGGGUAGCCGAAAGAAAGAACCAAACUCUAACUGAUAUGGUUAACACCAUGUUAGACACUUCGGGUCUAUCCAAGGAAUGGUGGGGGGAGGCGCUAAUGACUGCGUGUCAUGUCCUAAACCGAGUUCCCACAAAGCAUAAGACCAUGACUCCAUUUGAGGAAUGUUAAAGGAAAAGGUUGAAACUCUCUUACCUACGUACUUGGGGUUGUUUGGCGAAAGUCAAUAUACCAAUUCCCAAGAAGCGCAAGCUUGGACCAAAAAUCGUGGGUUGUGUUCUUCUUGGCUAUGCUUUUCAUAGCAUCGGCUAUAGAUUUUUGAUAAUAAAAUCUGAGGUAUCCGACAUGCAUGUUGGUACGAUUAUGGAGUCGAAUGAUGCAACUUUUUUUGAGGACAUAUUUCCUAUGAAGGAUAUGUCGAGUUCAUCAAAUCAGGAGACACCUACUCCAUCUAGUGAGGAAUUCAUUGUAAUUCCUGAACCCACCAUUGCGAUGGAACACAUUGAGAAUCCUGUUGAGGGUGACAAUGGAACUCUUGUGAGGAGUAAGAGACAUAGGACUACAAAGUCCUUUGGUGAUGAUUUCAUUGUGUACCUCGUGGAUGACACACCCAGGACUAUUUCAGAAGCCUGUGCAUCUCUUGAUGCUGACUACUGGAAGGAAGCUGUACGUAGCGAGAUGGAUUCCAUCUUAGGUAACGGAACCUGGGAGAUCACUGACCGUCCUUAUGGGUGAAAACCUGUAGGAUGUAAGUGGGUGUUCAAGAAGAAGCUUAGACCUGAUGGUACGAUUGAAAUGUACAAGGCACGGCUUGUGGCCAAGGGUUAUACCCUGAAAGAAGGUGUAGACUUCUUUGAUACUUACUCACCCGUGGCUAGACUGACCACAAUUGGGUGCUACUAUCACUUGUUGCCUCACAUGGUCUUCUCGUUCAUCAAAUGGACGUUAAGAACGCUUUCCUCAAUGGAGAGUUGAAGGAGGAAAUUUACAUGGAUCAGCCAGAUGGUUUUGUAGUACCUGGUUAGUAAGGAAAGGUGUGCAAGUUAUUAAAGUAUUUAUAUGGCCUUAAACAAGCUCCUAAAGAGUGGCAUGAGUAGUUUGAAAGAACAUUAACUGCUACCGGCUUUGUAGUAAACGAUGGUGACAAGUGCGUGUACUAUCGCUAUGGUGGGGGCGAAGGAGUUAUUCUUUGUUUGUAUGUCGACGACAUAUUGAUCUUUCGAACCAAACUUGAUUUAAUCAAGGAGGUUAAGGAUUUCUUAUCUCGCUGUUUUGAGAUGAAGGAUCUAGGAGUAGCUGAUGUUAUCUUAAACAUCAAGCUGUUGAGAGAUGAGAAUGGUGGGAUCACACUGCUUCAGUCACACUAUGUGGAAAAGGUCUUGAAUCGUUUUGGGUAUAGCGACUGCACACCUUCUCCAACCCCAUAUGAUGCUAGCAUGUUGCAUCGAAAGAAUCGACGGAUUGCUAGAGAUCAACUGAGGUAUUCUCAUAUUAUUGGCUCGCUUAUGUAUUUGGCGAGUGCCACGAGGCCAAACAUCUCGUUUGCUGUUAGCAAGCUGAGUCGGUUUGUGUCAAAACCAGGAGAUGAUCAUUGGCAUGCACUUGAGAGAGUUAUGUGCUAUUUGAAAGGCACCGCGAGCUAUGGGAUUCACUACACCGGGUAUCCAAGAGUACUGGAGGGUUAUAGUGACUCAAACUGGAUAUCUGAUGCUAAUGAGAUUAAGGCCACAAGUGGUUAUGUUUUUACACUUGGUGGUGGCGCUGUUUCUUGGAAGUCCUGCAAGCAGACCAUCUUAAUGAGGUCAACUAUGGAAGCAGAACUCACAACAUUAGAAACUGCCACUGUUCAAGCAGUGUGGCUUCAUGAGCUCUUGAUGGACUUUCCUAUGAUUGAAGAACCAAUACCCCCUAUCCCAAUGAACUGUGAUAAUCAAACUAUGAUCGUCAAGAUAAAUAGUUCUAAGGACAAUAUGAAGUCCUCAAGGCAUGUGAAGAGGAGACUGAAAUCUGUCAGAAAAUUGAGGAACUCCGGAGUUAUUACGUUGGAUUAUAUCCAAACGUCAAAAAAAUUGGCAGAUCCCUUCACAAAGGGUCUAUCACGUAAUGUGAUAGAUAAUGCAUCGAUGGAGAUGGGUCUGAGACCCACCGCAUGAGUUGUCCAUAGUGGUAACCCACUCUUUGUGAUCGGAUAUCCCGUGAAGUAUAAGUGGGAGACAAGCUGUUGGUCAGCUGGGAGGAGAGUAUCCCUAUAUUACCUGUCCCACUCCAUGAAGAUGCAAUACUCUCCUAAUCUGCAUGGCAGGUUGAUACUUAUCUUAAUGUGUUCCAAGUGGCUUAUUCGGGUAAGCAGAGAUGUUGUCCUGCAGAACAUCUUCUGAGGAACACACCUAUAUGAAUUUGACUGUUAACGUCGCAGUCUGUGAGAAUUGGGUGUUCUCUAAUAAAUUCAUGAAAAGGCCCUGGAGUAUGACGUAUACGCUCCACCCGCAGGGAAGCCUUGCGGCAGCCCAGUAUCGGUCAAGAAUUUGUGUGAAACUAGUUGCGCAGAAAAUUUGUAGUUCAAGGCAUAGUCCACUAUUCAAGUUGUGAUCUAGUGUAGCAUAAAUCUCUAAGUGGAAGUUCAACUUCACAGUCUCCACUAAGCCCCGGUAUAUAAACAAUGUUUUGGAACUAAAUGAUGAGAUGUGCCAAUGAGACUUUGUGGGGGAUUGUUGGAAUUUUGCUAGUAGGCCUUUGGCCCAAAGCCCAACUAAAAUUCUGAAAUUGUCUUGGCCCAUUCAUGCACACAUGUGAGUGGAGUGAGUGAGACUAAAGUUUAGUCCCACCCCGGAAGUUGAGAGAGAGCACCUCUUUAUAAGGUGAGCUCUUCUACCACUUGUAUGAGCAUGAGAAUAGGAGACCUACACACGCGCUCCUCCUCCUCGCUCGCCACGCCACCCCUCGUCACGACGCGCCGCGGGUUGCGGGAUUGAGCCGAGCCGAGGACAGAGCUAUGCACAUUGUCUAUUUUUUGCUACCCGAAAAAAUUAAUGAGUCAUUAAUUAAUAAUUAAUGGACACGUUAAUUACUAAACCGUUUUCGAUUCUUUUGGAUCAUGAAGACUCGGACAUGGGGUUUACUCCCACGACCUACCGGGCCCGCAUUAUAUAGUCCGGCAGACGUCUACCCUAGCUGCCGCCGCUUCAUAUGGUUUCUUACCACCGUUCCAGAUCAUUGCGCCGCCAAGCAAGUCUUCUCCAUCCGUCCCUUCGGCGUGCAUCGGGAGAAGGGACAACAGGCCUCCGGAACCCCGCCUCUCGUGAUCCUGUACGGGAGAGGGGCGAUCAGGUUUUUGGGGAGCGCACUCGCGCGACUGCUGGCAGCGACGACUUCGCGAAUGACGACUUUUUCCCUGACCUCGGCAACCUCAUCCUCGACGACAUGGGCGACAACGUCAACGCCGGCGGUGCUGCACCCGCUGCACCUUAUGUUAUUCUAUCCUUCUUGUUCGAGAUCAUGGUAGAAUUCACGUUUCUAGUAUAUGCCCUAGAUGUGAUCUGUUCAUCUACUAUGCUAGUUCGCAUGAUUAGUUUAAUAUCUGCUAUUGCUGUCAUGAUCUAUUUCCUAUUUAUUCGGAUUAAAUCUCGUAGUAAUUUGCUCAUUUUUCCAAUAGUACCAUCUAAUAGAUGAUGUAAAUCUCCUCUAGUUUGACGUUGUUGAGCUAAUUUACAAAAAAAACCUCAUCAUUAUUGGACGUCCUUAACAGCUCAAGAACAAGUUGGGGUCGAACUAAUGGAUUUUACACUUUUACAUUAAAGGUUUAGCUAAAGCUAGCAGGUGUUUUUAAACCUGAAUUUUUUUCCUCCUGAAUUUCUUUGUAUUUUCUUAUUGACACUAUUUAUACAAUCAUCUGACAAAGAUUAGCUAAAGCUGUUUGUAGAUACGUUGAAACCUGAAAAGCUUCUUUGGUUAUCCUUUUAAUAGUUCUACGUUUAUUUUCUCAUAGGUCAUAAUUCUUAUGUAAUACCAAGAUGCAUUGUGGUAGUGUACAUGUGUUAAAUUCAGGUUGUUAUUCACAAUUUGCGACAAAAUUUAGCUCACGCUACAUUCAAAUAUGUUGAAAUGUGAAAGCUUUUUUUUCUUCUCCUUUCUACACCUUGCAUCGGAUUGCAUCCCUUUAGUUAUCCAACAUUUUGUACAACAUGUAGAGAUUAGGAAGUUCAUCAUAGUUUGUUUAUUUCGGUGCUAAUAAAUGUAUGAAAUCUGCAUUUCCAAGCUACUAGGACAAGUAAAAAAUAAUAAUUUUACUAUAGGAUUCAAAAACAGCAGUUCUGAAGUGCACUUUAUUUAUUUUUGAAAGUGAUCACAUUUUGUUUCAUUUUUCUAUAGACAAAUCUACUAAUACAUACUCACGAUAAAACUAUAAAAGUUCUAGUCCGCACAUUGGGCGGGCCACCCGGCUAGUUAGUCUAAAGAUAACAAAAUGAGUCUGGAAUUUGAAUUAAAUUGAAGUAUUUUCUUGGACUUUCAAAUUGAGUUUUAUUAAAGUAGUAAGGACUAUCCACAUCCUUGGCUUGCCCCUGAUCAAUUAUUUCCAGAGAAGCAUUCAAUUCAUCAAUCAAUUACAUUGAUUUUAGUGGCUGGUACUUCUCCUCAACAUCAGUAUAUUCACCGUGGCCACUCCAAAUCGGCAAGAAUGAGGUACCAGUGCUCUGGAGCAGUGCAAGCUAAUUGCUUCUCAUCUGAAGGGGUGCGGCCGCAGGAGAGGUAUUUCUGGUGGGCCAAGGGACUAAGAAGCGACUGUGGCAGCGGUAUAGACGCCCGCAAAGCCCCAUAAUUUGUUUUUGGUUUACAGGAAAAAUGCACAUCCAUACCAGCCUGGGGAAUAUAGGACCGUAUUGGAUGGAAAACCAUGUCCGGAUGGUUGCGAGCGGUUUAAGGGUUAGCUUUUGUAACGCCCGGUUAGUUAUGCUAUAGCAAUUCCCUGCUAAUGAUGUCACGUUACCACGAUUACUGUUGUUAACCUCACAAUGAUUCAAUCCCCUUCAAAUUGAAAUUUAAAAUAAAGGCAAACAUCAAAAGUUUUCAAAUAUUAAAACUAAAAUCUUUGAGAGGUGACAAAUAAUGCAUAAGUAAUUAUGGUGGAGAAACCACACUUUAAUCAAAUGUUUAAAUACUCUAAAAUGAAAAAAAACAGUUGCUUAAACUAUUAUUUAAAUGCUUUUAAAAUAGUAAAAAUCUUCUAACUAAAUUAUUUGGGUACCAAACUUUUGGUGGCAGUGGUAUAUUUAGUACAACUAAUUUAGAUGCUAAUUAUAUAAAAAGGAAAAGCAAAAGGGGGCAACCCCUCGCUGGGCCUCGGCCUAGCUGCCACUAGGCUAGCUAGGCUGGCCCCGCCGCCUCCCUUAACCCCCCCCCCCCACUCCCCAUCGAACCCAAGCCCGAUCGCCCCACUUCCCCCANNNNNNNNNNNNNNNNNNNNNNNNNNNNNNNNNNNNNNNNNNNNNNNNNNNNNNNNNNNNNNNNNNNNNNNNNNNNNNNNNNNNNNNNNNNNNNNNNNNNNNNNNNNNNNNNNNNNNNNNNNNNNNNNNNNNNNNNNNNNNNNNNNNNNNNNNNNNNNNNNNNNNNNNNNNNNNNNNNNNNNNNNNNNNNNNNNNNNNNNNNNNNNNNNNNNNNNNNNNNNNNNNNNNNNNNNNNNNNNNNNNNNNNNNNNNNNNNNNNNNNNNNNNNNNNNUUGAUCCCAUCUGGAUCGGGGAGGGUAAUGCCCCAAUCGACCCCGUUGCCGUCGCGGGAUUGCCCGCCGACGUCGCCAGGCCUCCUCCCCGCCACCCGUCUCCGGCUCGCCUCCCCUCUCGCUCCUCUUCCCCGACCCGAUCUGGAUCGUGAACGAGCAAUGAGCUCGAAGCCCCCUUCACCGGCGCCAUCACCGUGCGCCACCACCACCGCCUGAAGACCUCACCGUCGCCGAACCUUGCGUCGCCUCCUCGUAUCCCUCCCCUACUCGCGUCCUCAAGCCAGGCCGAGCCCCUUCUCGGCAACGCCGUGAGACGCCCCCGUCUCCCUCCUCUUUCCACUGCGUUCACCGCGCCGCCCGCCGUGCCCCUCGCCGUGCGCACGCCCACCACCGCACCAGCCCCCGCUCCGCGCACGACCCUACCCGCGUCCGCGCCAUGAUCCCCUUUUCCACCCUACCUUCCUGCGCUCGCCGCGGUCCUGAUGCUCCCCCGCGCCCUCUUUUGGGGGCGCCGACUGCCCCUGUCCCACUGCUCGCCGCCGUGCCUCGCCAUCGCUCUACUGCUAAGUUAUUGCUGCGCUGCGGCCGUCGCCUCUUCCCGCUGCUCCGCCAGCGCCGAAGCUCCCGAUUGGCUCCACCACUUCUCACGUUAAACCGCCGGCCUAAAUGGCCUAACCCCCGGCUAAUGAACCCCCACUAUCCCACUGACACCGGGACCCACAUUCCCUAAUUAACCAUUUAAUAAAUUAAAACUCUUAAAUUAACAUUAGUGUAUGACAUGUGCGUCCCCUAUUAAUUUAUAAUUUUACUGCUAGUUUUAUUAGUUUCUGUUUUUUCUGCAUAUUUCUUUUGUAUUUGAACAGGCUUUAUAUAAUAAUAUUUAGCGUCUCAUACACAUAUAAAUGUAAUUAUAGCAUAUACAUACAAAUAGUCUCAUCAAAUCAUGUCAUCACCAUAAUCAUCAUCCAUCACAAAGUGAUCUCUCGUCAUCAUCUCGAAAAUAGCAAUACAAGUCUCGAUUACUUGCAACUACAUCGUCAUCCAUCUAAACAAUGAUAUACGCGAGAAGCGCUAUCACUAUGAGUGAGAGCGGAACUAUGCAGUACAUGAGUUUGUAUCCCUCUCUCACAUUAGCGUGAACCUAAACUAACUACUGGCUGUUGCUCGGAAACCGGAAACCGGUACACCUGGGCCUGACACUCCGGCCACUCGUCGUAUACUCCUGGCGUAGCACUUCUUCGCCAUCGAUGAUCUAUAAACCUACAUCGUCAGAUGAGUCGAUGAUAUGCAACAUAUAUAGUUGAGCAACAGAAAGAGACAGACUUGGCAAAAAUAGAAGCAACAUAUCAUAAGCAUAAAUAACAAAGUUCAUCGUACGCAAAAUGCCCUAACUAGAGUGAUCUUCGCUAGUCGAGGAGGACGGUUUAAUUACAUCACAAAUAAUUUUUCGUCGUGCAUAACUCAAAGUUCCGUCAUACAGAAAGUAUGAACUAAAUGGACACAUUGUCAUAUUUCAAAAAUCACUCCCACAUGUCGUGCCAUCCAUCCAAGUCAAGGAGAUAGUGCCCGAGCUUAGUGAAAGGCUUUAGGUCGAGACGCUGAGCGGCUAUGCGUGUUCGGACGUCUUCCCACGACAUUUGUCCUUCUUCAUAGAACAUCCCUGUUUUUUCGACGACCUCCUUCAUCACUGGAAGAAAAAGGGCCUGUUGUCCCGGUUCUGGAACCGGGACUAAAGGGUCGGUACUAAUGCCCUGUCCCUUUAGUCCCGGUUCAAUCCAGAACCAGGACAGUUGGGCCUCCACGUGGCCUGUGCGCGGAGCCUAGGCGGGAGACCCUUUGGUCCAAUAAGCAUCCACGCAUCAGCAUUUAUGUGGUUGGGGUUUUUGUUUUUUUUGAAGGGGGGGGCAUUGGGGGUUUUGGGGGGUUAAUUUUGGUGUUUCAUAUAUUGUGUUAGCUAGCUAUAAUUAAUAGAGAGAAUUGUCCUCUCUUAUGUCCGUGCUUGCUCGACGCUACGUACUAUACAUACGUAUAGAGAGGACUAGACACGGUAGCUAGCUAGUAAGCAAACGAAGGAAAUAGAAGAUCGUCAUGAACAUAUAUGCAUACAGAGAGAAGUAAUAUCGACCACCUCUCCUUCUCCGAGAGAUUGGUCGAACAACAAGUUCUCAUAUAUCUAUCCGACACUACCGGCUACAUAUAUACAAUAAUUAUCUCUUACAAAUAUAAUCAUACGGAUUCAGGGUCCACAUAGUAUUCUCUGUCUUCAAGGAUCACGUGGUCAAGAAAGAAUGCCGCCAAUUCCUCUUGAAUUGCUCGCAUGCGAGCUGGUGCUAGGAGUUCAUCCCGCUUCCGAAACAUCUAAUUUAAAGAAGGGGGUUAAUACAUAUAUACAUAUAUAUAUAUAUAUAUAUAUAUAUAUAUAUAUAUAUAUAUAUAUAUGAAUGAAUGAAACUCAACACGAAUGAUGGUAAUAAAAUAAAAUUGUGAAUGUUGUUAUUUACGUACUUCAUAUUGUUCGUCAGUGUAGCCCCGCUCAUAGGUCGUGUGGCGGAUGGACUCGCAAACGUAGUAUCCACAGAAAUCAUUCCUUUGUUCCUGCCACAACCACUUUAUAAGAAAUAGAGGUCAAUCAAACUGAUAAGCAAGAAUGCCAAAUGGUAUUGAUGAAACUUGUCAGGACCCCGAUUCCAAGCCACAUCGAUCUAGCCGGUAACACCUCAUAUCACUUUGCGGCCUCACGCACGAUAUUCCACGGGUGUCGCCUUACCAUGGCCCGGGACCGUUUGCGCCUUUUGGCUCACGUAUAUGAUAGUGUUGCUAGCAUCCAUAUGACAGAGAACCCGGGCCGACAUGGCUAGUCGUGAACCCAAAGUGGCACAGACCUAUGGAGACAGGCAUACAUGAAUCACAUCGAGCAUGUCGGUCAUCAGUGUGUGAUUCCGGGCUGUAGCACUGGGCUAACAGGACUCCGGGGAACCCGGGCUGUAGCAGGCUAGGCAGGACUCCGGAAGUCACCGCGUGACAUUUACCCGAAGGGACAGACAUAGGAACGAAGUGAAUCACAUGCCGGCAAGUCAAGUGUCCUGAGCAGUAGUACUGGGCUAGCAGGACUCCGGUGAACCGGGCUGUAGCGGACUACUAUGGCUCGAGGAACACUAGACUACAUUUCCCCAUAAGAAAGGCUGCCAAGGAUAAACAACUAGAUUGUCGGAUCCCACUCAUACCAAGCAUUUCAAUCAUACACACAAUAUGCCCGAUAUGAGUACAUACAACAUGGCAUCACAACAAAACUCUACAACUCAAGUACUUUAUUUAAAGGCUCUAGAGAGCCAUACAUAACAUGUUCAUACAGAUAGGGGUCACAUGACCCGACACUCAAGUCAUACAAUCAUACAAGCACAUGCGGAAGCAACCGGUCUGAGUACAGACACUAGAAAGAAAGAAGGCUCCUCGAGGCCUGUCUAUCUACAUAGGGCCCUCCAUGGCCAGGAUCACCACCUGGGUGGCUAGUCACUCGUCGAUGUCAAGGUCUACAUAGAACCCAUCGAAGGGGGCUGUGUUGUCGUCUGAAAACAGUAAUUAAGCAAACAUGAGUACAAAGGUACUCAGCAAGUCUUACAAAAGAACCUACUAUACAUGCUUAUUCUCAAGAAGGUGGUGGGGAUAUUGCAGCAAGCCAGUUUUCACUCUUGGCUAAACUAUCCUACAGAACUUCUCUAGUAAAAUAGUUUUCGCACACGAGUCCACUACUCACCAACACAAUACUCCACCGGGGAUCCUCCCUCGUCAUCCUAUGAGAGGGCCAUCCUCGGUACUCACACUUAUCUUGACUAUUUUAGUAGUAUCCAUUUAAUUGUCUAUGAACUGUAUAGGCAACCAAGUAGUCCUUUACCGCGGACGCGGCUAUUCGAAUAGUUUUAUACCCUGCAGGGGUGUACUUCGUCAUACAUGCUUUCACCACUUAUCGUCGUUUACACGACAUGUACUCGGCAACCUUCAAGCGAAAGCCCAGCGAGGGUGUCGGCCACGGCCUACCUAAACACUUAAGUCUCUAGUCCAGGUUUAUCGCCUAUCUAGGUUCCAUCCGCAGGGAGUCCGGGCGAGGUUUCCACAUACGGCCCCGAACGAUGUGAACAGGGUCCCGAGACGCCAAACGGGCGCCCGGCAUACCCGGCCAUGGUGUAUCUACCGCAACAUAGCCCACCCUUAGGGUCAGCGCUACGCACGGCCGCCAACACAUAACCUACAAACACCAGAAACUAUUUGCAACUCCUAGACAGAGUACAAGGGUGAUUAAGAAGCCGAGAGGGUCAAUUAAGGAUCCCAAUGCAUGGUAGUAGCUGAAUCUUAAAUCACACAUACCGAUCUCAGUUCUUAGGGACGGUCUCAAUGAAACAACCCACCAUGUACUCCUACAUGGCCUCUCAUCGAUACCUUUACCAAAACAUGUUCAACACAUUCCUCAUAUUACCGACAUAAUCAUAUCACCCUAGCCCAUCACCCAGAUGAACCAGACCUGACACAACUAUAAGCAUAGCAGGCAUAGCAAGGUAGGAAUCACAUACAUGGCUCAAUCAACUCCUACACAUGCUAGUGGGUUUCAUCUAGUUACUGUGGCAAUGACAGGUCAUGCAGAGGAUAAGGGUUCAACUAUCGUAGCACACAGCAGUUUGAAUCACAUUGUCUUAAUGCAGUAAACAAGAGCAGAGGCAAGAACAUGGGUUGUAUCGGAAUGAUCAAUGGGUUGCUUGACUGAUGGAGUGGUAGUGGGAUACUGCCCUUCAGUUGGAUACUCAUGAAUAUCCUCGGAGGCAGAACCUACCACGAAGAACACAUCGGAACACAAUCAACACAUGAUGAUAUGCAACAAUAUGAUGCAUGCUAUGACAUGGCAAUAUGAAUGUGUCUUGGCCUAAUGCAAGCUAAAAUAGAAAGGGAUGAACUCAUUUGAAUCAAAGAUUCAAAUAUUAGCUCAUUAAACAUGGCCUUAGUAGUGCAUUUCCUUAUUCUGCUUAAACAGCAAGGUAAACUUGUUUUUUCAUGCUUGAAACCAUUACAGAUGGAUAUAUUGAAUUUUUCUGAUAAUUUUUCAUAUAUAAAUUAUUUCAUUUGGAGUUACGGUUGAAUUUCUAUGAUUUUUAGAAGUUUCAAACAUUUUCUGGAAUUUCUUGAAUAAAAAUAAAUCCAGAAAAUGCAUUACUGCGUCAGCAUUGCAUCAUGCUGACCUCCGCAGGUCAAAGGCACCAGCCUAGGUCAAACCUGACUGGUGGGCCCCUUCUGUCAGUCUCUCAGUUAAAUAACAGGAUUAGAUUAACACUAAUUAGCUGUCAGUGGGGCCUGGGCCCACAUGUCACUGACUGAUUAAAAUAAAAUUAGUUAAAACUAAUCCUAGAUUAGUUAGCAAACCGGCCCCACCUGUCAUAGACUUAGGGGGGGUCUACCUGGGCCCACCCAGGGUCAAACUGGGUCAAACUCGCCGGCGCAGCUCGGAAAACGCCUACAGGGCACGAGCGAGGCCGUUCUUGGGCUCAUUGGAGAGCUCUUGCAGUCGCGCAUCUAGUGGCGGUGGUGGCCGGAGACGACGACGGCGAGCUCCAAGGCGGCGGCCGGAGUUCGGCCAUGUGCGGGGUGUCGGCUGUGGCGUGCAAACGUGGAAACUGAGGCACUAGCGAGGCACUACGCGAUGCGGCAAGCACGUUGCAUAGCACGGGAUAAUCAAAUGGUUGCCGGAGCGGCACCGGUGACAAGCUCGAGCGGAGACGAGCUUCGGCCAUGGUGGAACUAUGGCCUAGAGGGUGCAAACGCGUGGAAAAGAAGAGGGGAAAGGUGGCGGAGCUCACAGGGAGGUCGAUGAGCAGCUCAGUGGGCUCGGGGGCGACAGAAGUGAGGCGAAUCGAUGAGCAGCGUCCGGCGGGUACCGAGGUUGAAGACGAUCCGAUGGCGGCGAUGCAGGGCCUCCGGCGAUGCGUGGCUCGGUGGGAAGGGCGAGGGGGUGACGGAGGGCGCGACUACGGCGGUGAGACGGCGACGGGUGCGUCGGCCAUCGCGGGAGAGGGAGAGGGAGAUGAGUGGGAGAGUGAGAGAGGAUGAGAGGGGGACGUGGGGGUCGCGUGGCAUUCCCUGGACGUCUCCCGGCAUCGGCGGAAGCAGGAGGUGGCCGGCGUGUGGCCGCGGGCGCCGGCCACGCGCUCUGCGUCCUUCUGGCGCGAGGAGGACGACGACUGGCAGCGCCAGUAGGCUGGGCCGAGCCAGGUGGGCUGGCCAGCACAGGUAAGGCUCAGGUGGGCUUCUCCCUCUUUUUUUUAAUUUGUUUCUGUUUUCUAUUUAACUGUAAAUGUUGGGCUUUAUUUAAAAUACUAAAACAUUUCCAAAAAUCCUGAAAAUAAUUGUGGGCUCUGUUUGGAUUAUUUCCAAUAGCAAACAUUUAUUUGCAGAAUUAUUUGAGCAUUUAAAUGCCCAAAUUCAAAUACUUAUGAUUUAAAUCAAUGACCUUCUGUUGACCUAGAAAAGUUGUGCACCAAUUUUGCCAGAGGUUCUAACCCAAGACAAAGAGGGUGAACUUUUUAGAAGGGCAUUUCAGGUUCAUUGAAAAUAAUUUUAGUAAUCCCUAGUUGUUUCCAGGGGGGUGUUGGGGGUUUCUGCCUUCCCCAAUUCAAAUUUAAGAGGAAUUUAAACAUGAUGCACAUUCUAAUGCUUGAACUAGCUAGGGUGUGACAACUCACCCCCACUCAAAAGAAUCUCGUCCCGAGAUUUAGGAUCCUCUGGAAAGAAGGUGGGGUACUCGAGUCGAAGACGAUCCUCCCUUUCCCAAGUGGCUUCUUUCUCGGAAUGGUGUGUCCAUUGAACCUUGAGAAACUUGAUAUUAUGACGUCGAGUGGUACACUCGGCUUGAUCAAGGAUACGAACGGGAUAUUCCCGAUAAGAGAGGUUAUCUUGUAGAUCAAGCAUUUCGUGGUCCACUCCACGGAUAGGAUCCGCGAAGCAACGCCUGAGUUGUGAAACGUGGAAGACAUCAUGAACUCUGGAAAGAUGCGGAGGUAGUUCCAAUUGGUAGGCAACUUCUCCUCGUUUGGCAAGAAUGCGAAAGGGUCCAAUGUAACGAGGAGCCAAUUUGCCUUUGAUACCGAAAUGAUGGGUUCCUUUUAAUGGGGUAACCCGAAGGUAAGCCUUCUCGUCGAUUCAUAAGUCAUAGGCUUAUGUUUACGAUCAUAUUGACUCUUUUGACGAGAUUGGGCUGUUUUCAAUUUCUCACGAAUAACGCGAACCUGCUCUUCCGCUUCCUGAAUCAUAUCCGGGCCAAAGAGUUGUCUUUCCCCGGUUUCUGACCAGUUAAGAGGCGUUCGACAUUUUCGUCCAUAGAGAACUUCGAAAGGAGCUUUGCCCAAGCUAGCUUGAUAACUAUUGUUAUAAGCAAACUAUGCGAAUGGGAAGCAUUUCUCCCAACUCAUUCCGAAUGAGAUAACAGAAGCUCGGAGCAUAUCUUCUAGAAUUUGAUUGACUCGCUCUACUUGACCACUUGAUUGAGGAUGGAAGGCGGUACUAAAAGAGAGACGAGUUCCCAUAGCAUUUUGGAAACUUUCCCAAAAUCGAGAGGUGAAGAGACUCCCACGGUCUGAGUUAAUUUCCAAUGGGACACCAUGGAGAGACACUAUUCGGGAGAUGUAUAAAUCGGCUAGCUGGCUAGCAGUGAUACUCGCACGAACAGGUAGGAAAUGGGCUACUUUGGAAAGACGGUCGAUCACGACGAAGAUGGCAUUAUUCCCUCUCUUGUUCCUGGGAAACCCAGUAAUGAAAUCCAUACUGAUUUUAUCCCAUUUCCAUUCAGGAAUAGCCAAAGGUUGAAGGGUGCCAGCAGGCCGUUGAUGCCCUGCUUUAACACGAUGACAGACGUCGCAGCUAGCAAUGUAUCGAGCGAUUUCUCUCUUCAUCCUAGUACAUCAAAACCUCUGGCGUAGGUCUUGAUACAUUUUAUUGCUACCGGGAUGAAUGGUGAGAGGGGAUUCAUGAGCUUCCUUAAGGAUCAAUUGGCGUAGAUGUUGUUUCUUGGGAACCACCAAACGGUUCUCAAAGAAGACAGCACCCCGCUUAUCCAUGGAAAAACAUUUAGCAACUCCGCUAGCAAUGUUUUCCUUAAUCCGGGAUAUGCCCUUAUCAUACCGCUGGGCAGUUAUGAUCUGAUCCAUAAGGUUAGGUUUCGCCACCAGGGUGGAUAGGAAUCCUCGAGGAACAAUGUGAAGAUUAAGCUUACGGAAUUCCUCAUGGAGAAGUGGUUGACUUUGUUGUAACAUCAGGUUGUUACAAUAGGAUUUACGGCGUAGUGCAGCAGCCAUGACAUUGGCUUUGCCCGGUGUGUAGGUUAUUCCUAAGUCGUAAUCCGAGAUCAACUCAACCCAACGUCUUUGCCUGAGAUUCAAAUCUGGUUGGGUGAAGAUAUAUUUCAAGCUUUGGUGAUCGGUGAAGAUCUCGCAACGAUUAAGUGCAUGGACUACAGCUGCCAGCUCUAGAUCAUGUGUGGGAUAAUUUUCCUCAUGUGGGUGUAAUUGCCGUGAAGCGUAGGCAAUUACCUGACGAUCUUGCAUGAGUAUGCAACCUAGUCCUUGUCGCGAGGCGUCACAAUAGAUAAUAAAGUCCUUGGAUAAAUCAGGUGGUACCAGUACGGGAGCAGAUGUCAGGCGUCUUUUCAGUUCCUAAAAGCUGAACUCGCACUGUGGAGUCUACUCGAACUUUUUAUCUUUCUUGAGGAGUUUAGUUAGAGGUUUAGCAACCUUGGAGAAAUUCUCGACGAAGCGGCGGCAAUAGCUCGCUAAGCCAAGGAAGCUCCAAACUUGCUUGACCGUCUCAGGUGGAGUCUAAUCAAGGACGGCUUGAACUCGCUCGGGAUUGACGGCAAUACCCUUACCAGAGAUUACAUGGCCUAGAUAGGUUACUUCUGGCAACCAAAAUUCACACUUGGAGAAUUUGGCAUAAAGGCGAUGCUCUCGAAGUUUCAUCAAUACCAGCCUUAGAUGUUCGGCAUGUUCCUCUUCAUUCUUGGAGUAGAUUAGUAUGUCAUUGAGGUAUACUACGAUGAAUUUAUCCAAGUACUCCAUGAAAACCGAGUUCAUUAGCCGGGAGAAGGUAGCCGGGGCAUUGGUUAAACCGAAGGACAUAACGGUGUACUCGUAUUGGCCAUAACGAGUAACAAAGGCCGUUUUGGGAAUGUCCCCGUUUCUGAUUUAGAUUUGAUGGUAGCCCAACCUCAAAUCCAUCUUGGAAAAGACUGAGGAUCCAGCAAACUAAUCAUACAGAUCAUUGAUCCUGGGAAGUGGGUAUUUGUUCUUGAUGGUGACCAAGUUGAUAGGUCGGUAAUCCACAACCAUUCGAUCUGUUCCAUCCUUCUUGACGAAGAGGACGGGGCAAGCCCAAGGAGAGGAACUAGGACGGAUGAAACCCUUUUUCAAGGACUCAUCGAGUUGGUUCUCAAGCUCGGCUAGUUCUAAGGGUGCCAUCUUGUAGGGUCUUCUAGAAAUUAGAAUGGUUCCUGGAACAAGGUCUAUCACAAACUCGACAUCCCUGUCAGGUGGAACACCUGGCAGUUCUUCUGGAAAGGCAUCCGGAAAGUCUCGGACUACCGGAACAUCCUCAAGGUCUGGAAGGGGGUUGGCAUUUAGGGAGUAAAGUUGGCACUUGGCCACUCGAGUUAAGACAUUAACUGUCUUGCCCGAUGGGUGAGUAAGUUGAACGGUUCUAGUGGCACAGUCAAUCUUAGCAUAAUGAGCUGACAUCCAGUCCAUACCUAAGAUGAUGUUUAUGUCCGAGGACUUGAGAGCUAUUAAGGAUGCAAGGAAGACAAGUCUAUCGACAAGAAUUUCGUUCCCAUGGCUUACUCUAGAAGUUUGCCAUCUAGAGCCAGGGGUUUGAAUUUCCAUGGUAGAGGGCAUGUCACAGAAUGUCGUGUUGUGCAAUCGAGCAUAGUUCUCGGAUAUGAAUGAAUGAUAUGCUCCAGUAUCGAAAAGAACAGAUGCCGGAUGGCAGUUAACAAGGAGCGUACCAAGGACGACGUUGGGAUCCUCAUGAGCCUCCUCGGCUGAAACAUAGUUGACAUGGCCACGUGCAGUGGUGGCUGGCUUAGCGUAGAAUGUUUUUCCCGCGGGCUUACCACGGCCAACGGACUUUCCAGUUUGAUUGGGGUUGUUGUUCUGGGGACACUCUCGGCUAUAGUGACCCGGCUCUCCACACUUAAAGCAUGUCACCACAUUGGGGCGUGGAGCAGCAUUAGCAGCGGGGCCACCAUAGGGCUUGGGCGGUGCAAAUUGCUGGUUGGGACGUGGUGCCUCAAAGGAUGGCCUCGGGAUGAACCUGGGUGGCAGUGCCGUGCUUGGAAUCCACACCCGGCGCUUCUGAGCUCCAGAGCCGAUGAAGAGCCAAAAUCACGGGAGUGCUUGCGUGAAGUGUCAUAAUCAGUCUGGCCUUUCUCAGCACUGAUGGCUUUAUGGACCAACUUCUAAAAGGAGGUGCACUUGUGCAGACGAAGACCACGGUGAAGCUCAGGGCUAAGUCCCUUGCGGAACCUUGCCUGCUUCUUAGCAUCAGUAGAUACCUCUUCAGGGGCAUAACGUGCCAGAUUCCCAAAUUCACGACUGUAAGCAUCCACAGUCAGUCUUCCUUGGGUGAAGUUGCAGAACUCCUCCCUCUUGCGAUCCAUGAGACCUUCCGGAAUGUGAUGCUCACGGAAAGCCUCACUGAAUUCAGCCCAAGUAGUGAUUUGGCCGACCGGGCGCAUAGCUUCGAAGUUUUCCCACCAAAGGCUAGCAGGGCCUUUGAGGUGAUAGGCAGCAUAAGUAACCUUGUCGGCUUUGGCUACGUUGGCAGAACGUAGCUUGUGGGUGAUGCUGUGAAGCCAGUCAUCCACGUCGAGGGGCUCGACGGAAUGGUUAAACUUUGGUGGGUACAUCUUGAUAAAGUCAUUGAUUGACACCAACUCAUUUCGCGGGUGGCGUGCAGUGUUCUGCUCAAUCCGCUCCAGCAGGCGGUUGGUCUCACGCUUCUUUCUUUCUGCCUCCAGCAUUACUUCGGCCAGAGAAGGCGGGUGAGGCAGAUUUUCACCUCUAGCAGCACUGGCUUCCCCCUGCUCCGGGGCAACAGGGUUGCUGCGAGUAUUGACCAUCCUAGGAGAAAACAAGACAACGGUUUAGACAAGGAUGGCUCAAACUGAGCAAGGAUGUGCAGAAUGUAAUGGAUAACACGGAACACAGAGAUGUUCAUCCGUAUGUCAUGGUAAUAUAAAACUGCCAUAUAUAUACCAACGGUCAUACACAUCACACAUAGUUUAGUACAAGCCCAGGCUACAGUACAACUAUGAUGAAAGACGUUACAUCUCAUCGGAGGCAUUCCAAGCUCCUAUACAUUAUUGUCUACACCUUCGGAAUUGAUUACACGCAAAGUCAUAUUCCAAAAGUCACGCAGGACAGUGGAGAUACAACUACUACAAUACUAGUGGUACUACUACUAACUCAGACAGCUCCGUACUAGUCCUCAUAGAAGUCACCUCCAUAGCCUGGAAGUUCAACGUGACCAUCCGGGAACAGACGGUCCUGAGGAGCCUGUGGACCAUAGGGGCUUGGAUGGGGUCUUGGACCAACAAACGGUGGCCUGCGGGGACCACAGGGUGGGGUGAUGCCUCCCACAUCACGCCAAUCCACCACGUCUGGCAAAGCAGACCUCACAGGAUACAAAUCCCUUGUAUCCAUACAUCCAGCUUGCACCACAGGUGCAAACCGAGUCAAUGUGGCCCAAUGAUCAGCACGGGUAUUAAAAAGCUCCAGCCUCAAGGCCUGAUUCUCUCGGUCCUUAUAUUCGAGCAUCUCGGCAGUGGUACGAGUUAAUGAAUCCUCCUGAGUGGAGUCAGCAUAGAUAGCCUGAAGAUACCCUUGCGCUCCCGGAAGUGAAGCUAGCAUGUAUCGGAAGUCGGUGUUCCGAAGCAGGCCAGUCCGGACUCGCAUGAUUGUCAUCAUGGAAUAGGCAGCAUCCUGCACAGCCAUCUCAACAGUAACCCCGAGUCCAUAGGAACAGUGAAGGGGCUCGGUAGAUCCAGGAUAAGAAGGAAAUAUCUUGACGGUGCAGAAAUACUGGCUUUGAUUAAAGUCUCAGAAUUGCUCUUCGACGGUGUAUUCGGGAUACCAACGGUAACCCGUCUCGAUCAUGACCCGGACUAACAUAGCAGUAUGACCGGGCACGUCGAGCCACCGGGUCAGGCGAACCACUUUGUUUUGAGCACGGUUGGGCAUCUGAAAGCACAACCACAAUGCAAAGACAUCAGAAUUUCUAGGGAAAAUUGGACAGCAUAACAGCUGUAAAUGCUCAGAAAAAGAUUUGAGACAUCCACAACAGUUCGCAAUACCACUCAACAACAUCAUAUCAAGGUUCUGAUCCAAAUAGCAGCAUACUAAAAAUAGUAGAAACUGAACUGGGGCUUGUAACAACAAUCCUAUAAGCUACUACGGAUUAGUAACACGUGAACCUGAUAGAAGAAGAGAGACUAGUCCUUAACCCACAUUGAAUGAAAAGGGAAUGACUCAGAUAAGAGGCAUAGGGUAAAGGAGUAAAAGAGCCUUACGUUCCCUCCCACAAUCAAUUCCCCUACAUAUAACUAAAGCAUUUCCAGACUCGACAUCGACCAGUUUGGCUCAACGAACCUACAGGCAGUCCGGCACUGAUGCCAACGCUGUCAGGACCCCGAUUCCAAGACACAUCGAUCUAGCUGGUAACACCUCAUAUCACUUUGCGGCCUCACGCACGAUAUUCCACGGGUGUCGCCUUACCAUGGCCCGGGACCGUUUGCGCCUUUUGGCUCACGUAUAUGAUAGUGUCGCUAGCAUCCAUAUGAUAGAGAACCCGGGCCGACAUGGCUAGUCGUGAACCCAAAGAGGCACAGACCUAUGGAGACAGGCAUACAUGAAUCACAUCGAGCAUGUCGGUCAUCAGCGAGUGAUUCCGGGCUGUAGCACUGGGCUAACAGGACUCCGGGGAACCCGGGCUGUAGCAGGCUAGGCAGGACUCCGGAAGUCACCGCGUAACAUUUCCCCGAAGGGACAGACAUAGGAAUGAAGUGAAUCACAUGCCGGCAAGUCAAGUGUCCUGAGCUGUAGUGCUGGGCUAGCAGGACUCUGGUGAACCGGGCUGUAGCGGACUACUAUGGCUCAAGGAACACUAGACUACAUUUCCCCAUAAGAAAGGCUGCCAAGGAUAAACAACUAGAUUGCCGGAUCCCACUCAUACCAAGCAUUUCAAUCAUACACGCAAUAUGUCCGAUAUGAGUACAUACAACAUGGCAUCACAACAAAACUCUACAACUCAAGUACUUUAUUUAAAGGCUCUAGAGAGCCAUACAUAACAGGUUCAUACAGAUAGGGGUCACAUGACCCGACACUCAAGUCAUACAAUCAUACAAGCACAUGCGGAAGCAACCGGUCUGAGUACAGACACUAGAAAGAAAGAAGGCUCCUCGAGGCCUGUCUAUCUACAUAGGGCCCUCCAUGGCCAGGAUCACCACCUGGGUGGCUACUUACUCGUCGACGUCAAGGUCUACAUAGAACCCAUCGGAGGGGGCGGUGUUGUCGUCUGAAAACAGUAAUUAAGCAAACAUGAGUACAAAGGUACUCAGCAAGUCUUACAACAGAACCUAGUAUACAUGCUUAUACUCAAGAAGGUGGUGGGGAUAUUGCAGCAAGCCAGCUUUGACUCUUGGCUAAACUAUCCUACGGAACUUCUCUAGUAAAAUAGUUUUCGCACACGAGUCCACUACUCGCCAACACAAUACUCCACAGGGGAUCCUCCCUCGUCAUCCUAUGAGAGGGCCAUCCUCGGUACUCACACUUAUCUUGAGUAUUUUAGUAGUAUCCAUUUACUUGUCUAUGAACUGUAUAGGAAACCAAGUAGUCAUACACGCUAUUCGGAUAGUUUUAUACCCUGCAGGGGUGUACUUCGUCAUACACGCUUUCACCACUUAUCGCCGUUUACAUGACAUGUACUCGGCAACCUUCAAGCGGAAGCCCAGCGAGGGUGUCGGCCACGGCCUACCUAAACACUUAAGUCUCUAGUCCAGGUUUAUCGCCUAUCCAGGUUCCAUCCACAGGGAGUCCGGCCGAGGUUUCCACAUACGGCCCCGAACGAAGUGAACAUGGUUUCGAGACGCCAAACGGGCGCCCGGCAUACCCGGCCACGGUGUAUCUACCGCAACAUAGCCCACCCCUAGGGUCAGCGCUAUGCACGGCCGCCAACACAUAACCUACAAACACCAGAAACUAUUUGCAACUCCUGGACAGAGUACAAGGGUGAUUAAGAAGUCGAGAUGGUCAAUUAAGGAUCCCAAUGCAUGGUAGUAGUGAAUCUUAAAUCGCACAUACAGAUCUCAGUUCUUAGGGACGGUCUCAAUGAAACAACCCACCAUGUACUCCUACAUGGCCUCUCAUCGAUAUCUUUACCAAAACAUGUUCAACACAUUCCUCAUAUUACCGACAUAAUCAUAUCACCCUAGCCCAUCACCCAGAUGAACCAGACCUGACACAACUCUAAGCAUAGCAGGCAUAGCAAGGUAGGAAUUAUAUACAUGGCUCAAUCAACUCCUACACAUGCUAGUGGGUUUCAUCUAGUUACUGUGGCAAUGACAGGUCAUGCAGAGGAUAAGGGUUCAACUACUGUAGCACACAGCAGUUUGAAUCACGUUGUCUUAAUGCAGUAAACAAGAGCACAGGCGAGAACAUGGGUUGUAUCGGAAUGAUCAAUGGGUUGCUUGCUUGAUGGAGUGGUAGUGGAAUACUGCCCUUCAGUGGGAUACUCGUGAAUAUCCUCGGAGCCAGAACCUACCACGAAGAACACAUCGGAACACAAUCAACACAUGACGAUAUGCAACAAUAUGAUGCAUGCUAUGACGUAUCUUGGCCUAAUGCAAGCUAAAAUAGAAAGGGAUGAACUCAUUUGAAUCAAAAAUUCAAAUAUUAGCUCAUUAAACAUGACCUUAGUAGUGCAUUUCCUUAUUCUGCUUAAACAGCAAGGUAAACUUGUUUUGUCAUGCAUGAAACCAUUACAGAUGGAUAGAUUGAAUUUUUCUGAUAAUUUUUCAUAUAUAAAUUAUUUCAUUUGGAGUUACGGUUGAAUCUCUAUGAUUUUUAGAAGUUUUAAACAUUUUCUGGAAAUUACUGAAUAAAAAUAAAUCCAAAAAAUGCAUUACGGCGUCAGCAUUGUGUCAUGCUGACCUCAGCAGGUCAAAGGCGCCAGCCCAGGUCAAACCUGACUGGUGGGCCCCUUCUGUCAGUCUCUCAGUUAAAUAACAGGAUUAGAUUAACACUAAUUAACUGUCAGUGGGGCCUGGGCCCACAUGUCAGUGACUGAUUAAAAUAAAAUUAGUUAAAACUAAUCCUAGAUUAGUUAGCAGACCGGCCCCACCUGUCAUAGACUCAGGGGGGUCUACCUGGGCCCACCCAGGGUCAAACUGGGUCAAACUCGCCGGCGUUGAGCCGCCGGCGAGACCCGAGACAGUGGCGCAGCUCGGAAAACGCCUACAGGGCACGAGCGAGGCCGUUCUUGGGCUCGUUGGAGAGCUCUUGCAGUCGCGCAUCUAGUGCUGGUGGUGGCCGGGCCUACGGUGGCCGGAGACGACGACGGCGAGCUCCAAGGCGGCGGCCGGAGUUCGGCCAUGUGCGGGGUGUGGGCUGCGGCGUGCAAACGUGGAAACUGAGGCGCUAGCGAGGCACUACGUGAUGCGGCAAGCACGUUGCGUAGCACGGGAUGACCAAAUGGUCGCCGGAGCGGCGCUGACGACAAGCUCGAGCGGAGACGAGCUUCGGCCAUGGUGAAACUAUGGCCUAGAGGGUGCAAACGCGUGGAAAAGAAGAGGGGAAAGGUGGCGGAGCUCACAGGGAGGUCGAUGAGCAGCUCAGUGGGCUCGGGGCGACCGGAGUGAGGCGAAUCGACGAGCGGCGUCCGGCGGGUACCGAGGUUGAAGACAAUCCGAUGGCGGCGAUGCAGGGCCUUCGGCGAUGCGUGGCUCGGUGGGGAGGGCGAGGGCGUUACGGCGGAGCUUCUGGACAGGUCAGAGAGGCGAGGUGGUGAUGGAGGGCGCGACUAUGAUGGUGAGACGGCGAUUAAAAAGAAAGAUCUGGUUCACUCGUACGUGAAAAAAGUAGCAAGCGCUCGAUGCCUUCCUUUGCAUCGAUGCCAGACGCGGUGCUGGGAAUCGACAAGAUAACCGCCAAUCUACCACGAUUAAAUUCCUAGCGCCUCCUUCUAGCGCCUCCCACUGAAAAUGCCCUAAAGGUUUUGGAGGGAUUUUUUUACUGUGUCCUACUUCACGAAUCACGAGGCAAAUCAAGUAGCCGGCAUGGCCUGGCCGGUGAGUGCCAUUGCACUUACUUGCCCCAGCAAUUUUCCGCGUGCAUUGUAGAAUUCUUUCUCCGAGUCCUGUGAAUUAAAGAUGGUGCAGACAAAAAUAUAUCCUAUAUGCGUACAUGUGCAUGAUCAGAACAUGUUUUUACGUGCGUCUACUAUAAAUCAUGACCAUUUUUAACACAAAUCAUGACCAUUCAUGAUUAGUGAAUCAUACUGUCUUAACUUAUGUGAAAUCAUGUGGAGUAAUAUAAUAUAAUAUAAUAAAUAGAUAGAUCCAUGUUGUAUUAUUUUUUGUUUACAAAAAAUAUCUGUCAUUACACAUUUUGAUUUAUGCAUUUGUUUACAAAAAAAACAGUAACAUUUCAUGGUGGAAAGUUUGUAUUGUUUCAUACUGAACACCAAUGUUUUCCUGUAAAAGAAAAUAAUGCCUACGCAUAUGCUUUUAUAUUAUUAUUAUUCUUUCAAACUUAUUCAUACAGUAUUUUUGAUUGUGCAACCAUAAUUUUUAUUGUCUCUCUCGUUCCACUACAUGCUCUUACUCAAUGAUUUUUUUAUAACGGGUGUUUUUAUUAACUCAAAAUAUAGUAUCAAGCGGAUACAAAACAUAAUGAGCCACACCUGGUCUCUGCAUAACUAAGAUGCACACAGCCAAAAGCAGAUGUCUGACAAAAAUAAGAUAAGAAAAUCGACAUAUCGACAACAGUGAGUCAUAUAGUCCCGACACUAUGCCCCCGUUGAAGGACGGGGUGGAGCGAUCUGGAGAUUAUGCUGCCCUCCAUGUUGAGUAAAUACCUCCCUGGCCACUUGUUCCAAACGCAUAGACGCCGCCACGAAUAAUGGUCGGUACUCUGUUCAGUGUAGCAUACACCAUGUAGGAAGUGAGUGCUCACUCCUAGUUACUAAAUUAUGUACACACUAGUAGAAAAAGGGCCAUUUGUCCCGGUUCGUAAGGCCCAUUUGUCCCAAUUGGGGAACCGGGACUAAAGGGUCGGUACUAAAGCCCUACACCUUUAGUCCCGGUUCUUACACCAACCGAGACAGAUGGGGCUCCACGUGGCCGCUACAGCUUGCCGUGGCAGGGGGGCCUUUUGUCCCGGUUGGUAGCACCAACCGGGACCAAUAAGCUACCACGCGUCCGCAUUUGAGGGGCUAGGGUUUUUGUUUUUUUUCUGAAGGGGGGGGGGUGGGUUUGUAUGGUUAAUUUUGGGGGGUUUCACAUAUUGUGUUAGGUAGCUAAUUAAUUAAUAGAGAGAAGUGUCCUCACUUAUCUCCGUGCUUGGUCGACGCUACGUACUAUACGUAUAGAGAGGCCCUCAACACGCUAGCCAGUAAGCAAAUGAAGUAAACCAUUAAGUACAGAAGUUCGUCAUGAACAUAUGCAUACAAACAUAAGUGAUAUCGACCUCUCCUUCUCCGAGAGAUAGGUCGAACAACAAGUUUCCGUAUAUCUAUCCGGCGCUACUAGCUACAUAUAUACAAUAUUAAGAUCUCUUACAAUAUAAUCCCCUAAUUAUAUAUGAACUCAGCUUCCAGAUGGUAUUCUCCGGCUUUAUUGAUGGCGUGGUCAAGAAAGAUUCCCUCCAAUUCCUCUUGAAUUGCUUUGAUGCGAUCUUGUGGUAGGAGUUCAUCUCGCAUCUGCCACAUCUAAUUUGAAGAAGGGGGUCAAUCACCAGUAGAAUAACAACCAUUUGUCCUGGUUCAUAAGGUUAAUUUGUCCCGGUUGGGGAACCGAGACUAAAGGGUCUUUACUAAAGCCCUACACCUUUAGUCCUGGUUCUUACACCAACUGGGACAGAUGGGCCUCCAUGUGGCUGCUGCGGCGAGCCCAGGCCGGAGGUCCUUUGGUCCCGGUUAGUGGCACUGAUACGUCUCCAACGUAUCUAUAAUUUUUGAUUGCUCCAUGCUAUUAUGUUAUCUAUUUUGGAUGUUAAUGGCUUUAUUUUACACCUUUAUAUCAUUUUUGGGACUAACCUACUAAUCGGAGGCCCAACCCAAAUUGUUGUUUUCUACCUAUUUUAGGUUUUCGAAGAAAAGGAAUAUCAAACGGAGUCCAAACGGAAUGAAACCUUCGAGAACGUGAUUUUCUCAAUGAACAUGAUUCAGGAGAAUUGGAGUGUGCUCCAAGAAACAAGGGAGGAAGGCACGAGGCAGGGGGCGCGCCUACCCCCUUGGGCGCGCCCUCCACCCUCGUGGGCCCUCCGCUGCUCCACCGACGUACUUCUUCCUCCUAUAUAUAUCCACGUACCCCCAAACAUCCAGGAGCACCACGAAAACCUAAUUCCACCGCUGCAACCUUCUGUACCCGAGAGAUCCCAUCUUGGGGCCUUUUCCGGAGGUCCACCGGAGGGGGCAUCGAUCAUGGAGGGCCUCUACAUCAACUCCAUGGCCUCUCCGGUGAUGUGUGAGUAGUUUACUUCAGACCUAGGGGUCUAUAGUUAUUAGCUAGAUGGCUUCUUCUUCUCUCUUUGGAUCUCAAUACAAAGUUCUCCUCGAUUUUCUUGGAGAUCUAUUUGAUGUAACCUUCUUUUGCGGUGUGUUUGUCGAGAUCCGAUGAAUUGUGGGUUUGUGAUCCAGAUUAUCUAUGAACAAUAUUUGAUUCUCCUAUGAAUUCUAGUAUGUAUGAUUGGUUUAUCUUUGCAAGUCUCUUCGAAUUAUCAGUUUGGUUUGGCCUACUAGAUUGAUUUCUUGCAAUGGGAGAAGUGCUUAGCUUUGGGUUCAAUCUUGCAGUGUUUGAUCCCAGUGACAGAAAGGGAACCGAUACGUAUUGUAUUGUUGCCAUCGAGGAUAAAAAGAUGGGGUUUAUAUCAUAUCGCAUGAGUUUAUCCCUCUACAUCAUGUCAUCUUCCUUAAAGCAUUACUAUGUUCUCUUGAACUUAAUACUCUAGAUGCAUGCUGGAUAGCGGUCCAUGUGUCGAGUAAUAGUAGUAGAUGCAGAAUCGUUUCGGUCUACUUGUCUCGGACGUGAUGCCUAUAUACAUGAUCAUACCUAGAUAUUCUCAUAACUAUGUUCAAUUCUGUACAAUAUGGUGCACGGGGUUACAUCGGCCUGCAAAGACAUUUCUGCGAUGUGAGACAUCCGAAAAGCAACGAAAACGGGAGAUUAUACAUUUAUUGAAGAGGGCAGGUGUGACAGAUACCGUGAGGGCGUCGAGCUCAGCCAAAGACGAUGGACAGCUGAGCACGGCCUGUGUCAGAGCCGGUGCGGGAGCAGGUGCAGGUGCAGGUGCUGGUGCAACGCUAGUCGAGCUGCUCCUGAAGAAGUCAACAAUGGGAAAGUCCGCUGCAUUUUUUCUGCAUUUUGCGUGCUCCAAUUGAAAAUGGCUGGAACCAAGACAGUAGACAUAUCUGCAACCACCUGUUUUCCGGCAGCUACCGCUGUCGCGACUGUCUCAGAUGAUUUCUUCUCAACCGCAAUCUCAACCUUCUUGUCGAUGUUUUAUUCGGUUAACCUCCAUCUUUCCUUUCUCUCCUCCGUGGUCUCACGGUAGUACUUCUUCCACGUGGCCCCGUCUCCGACACCGUGAACGCGUCCAUACGACGACCGAGUCUCCACGGGGAGUCCUUUCAAUAUGUUCAAUGCCCGGUUGAAUGGAGUGUCCCACUUGGGCCUUGCCAAUGCCUCAGACGGCGAGUCGCUUUCGGCCGCAAUCUUAUGCUGCUCUCUCUACAAAAGGAACACGGAUCAUUUACAAAUAUGACUAAACGUGCAGUCGAACUGAUCAGAAACUAAAAUUACCAGCAGUCUCAUGAACUCCGUCGUGAUCGGGUCCGUCUUGAAAACCUUCUUGACUGAGUCCCAAUGGUGUCGUGCCCUGAGGACGUCAUGCUCCUACGGGACGGUGAAGUCCGCCAAGGGGUCUGGGAUGCCAGAUUUUCGCGUUUCGUGUCCUCCUUGGCCCAUAUGGACCUCUUCCUGCCGUAACCACUGCUUCCGAGGUGGUGGCGCCCCAUGUUCCUUUGUGGAAGCCCCUUCAUGUACUUCGACUUUGUUUUGGCAGCUUCGGCCUCGCAAGCCGCCUUGAAUAUUUCAAAGUGUUCUCUAGUGAUUGUCAGAUUAUCCUUUACAAUCUCGGAGUAGGGUUGAUACGUCUCCAACGUAUCUAUUAUUUUUGAUUGCUCCAUGCUAUAUUAUCUACUGUUUUGGACAUUAUUGGGCUUUAUUAUCUACUUUUAUAUUAUUUUUGGGACUAACCUAUUAACCGGAGGCCCAGCCUAGAAUUGUUGUUUUUUGACUGUUUUAGGGUUUCGAAGAAAAGGAAUAUCAAACGGAGUCCAAACGGAAUGAAACCUUCGGGAACGUGAUUUUCUGAAUGAACAAGACCCUGGAGACUUGGACCCUACGUCAAGACACAAAAGAGGAGGACACGAGGUAGGGGGCGCGCCUAACCCCCCCCCCCCCUCGAGGCACGCCCUCCACCCUCGUGGGGCCCCUGUUGCUCCACCGACGUACUCCUUCCUCCUAUAUAUACCUACGUACUUCCAAACGAUCAGAUACGGAGCCAAAACCCUAAUUCCACUGCCGCAACUUUCUGUAUCCACGAGAUCCCAUUUGGUGCCUGUUCCGGAGCUCCGCCGGAGGGGGCAUCGAUCACGGAGGGCUUCUACAUCAACACCAUAGCCUCUCCGAUGAAGUGUGAGUAGUUCACCUCAGACGUACCGGUCCAUAUUUAUUACCUAGAUGGCUUCUUCUCUCUUUUUGGAUCUCAAUACAAUGUUCUCCCCCUCUCUUGUGGAGAACUAUUCGAUGUAAUCUUGUUUUUGCAGUGUGUUUAUUGAGAUUGAUGAAUUGUGGGUUUAUGAUCAAGUCUAUGUAUGAAUAAUAUUUGAAUCUUCUCUAAAUUCUUUUAUGUAUGAUUGUUUAUCUUUGCAAGUCUCUUCGAAUUAUCAGUUUGGUUUGGCCUACUAGAUUGAUCUUUCUUACAAUGGGAGAAGUGCUUAGCUUUGGGUUCAAUCUUGCGGUGUCCUUUCCCAAUGACAGUAGGGGCAGCAAGGCAUGUAUUGUAUUGUUGCCAUCGAGGACAACAAGAUGGGGUUUUCAUCAUAUUGCAUGAGUCUAUCCCUCUACAUCAUGUCAUCUUGCUUAAGGCGUUACUCUGUUUUUAACUUAAUACUCUAGAUGCAUGCUGGAUAGCGGUCGAUGAGUGAAACCUAUGGCCCCCGGGUCUAUCUUUAUCAUAUUAAUCUCCUACUACUUAGUUAUUUCCUUUGCUUUUUCCUUUGCCUUUAUUUUACUUUUGAUCUUUAUCACAAAAAUACCAAACAUAUUAUCUUUAUCAUAUCUAUCAGAUCUCACUCUCGUAAGUGGCUGUGUAGGGAUUGACAACCCCUAUUCGCGUUGGUUGCGAGGAUUUAUUUGUUUUGUGCAAGUACGAGAGACUCGCGCGUAGCCUCCUACUGGAUUGAUACCUUGGUUCUCAAAAACUGAGGGAAAUACUUACACUACUUUGCUGCAUCAUCCUUCCUCUUCGCGGAAAACCAACGUAGUGCUCAAGAGCUGGCAAUAAGGAUUUCUGGCGCCGUUGCCGGGGAGGUCUAAGCAAAAGUCAACAUACCAAGUACCCAUCACAUACCCUUAUCUCCUGCAUUACAUUAUUUUCCAUUUGCCUCUCGUUUUCCUCUCCCCCACUUCACCCUUGCCGUUUUAUUCGCCCUCUCUCUCUCUCUCUAUCCUCCCUCUCUUUCUCUAUUUGCCUCUUUUUUCCCACUUGCUUUCUGUUUGCUUGUGUGUUAGUUGCUUGCUUGUCACGAUGGCUCAAGAUAAUACUAAAUUACGUGACUUCACCAAUACCAACAACAAUGAUUUUAUUAACACUCCGAUUGCUCCUCUUACCGAUGCUGAAUCUUGAGAAAUUAAUACUGCUUUGCUGAAUCUUGUCAUGAAAGAUCUGUUUUUCGGCCUUCCUAGUGAAGAUGCCGCUACCCACCUAAAUAGAUUCGUUGAUUUGUGUGACAUGCAAAAGAAGAAAGGUGUGGAUAAUGAUAUUGUUAAAUUGAAGCUAUUUCCUUUUUCGCUUAGAGAUCGUGCUAAAGCUUGGUUUUCGUCUUUGCCUAAAAAUACUAUUGAUUCAUGGAAUAAGUGCAAAGAUGCUUUUAUCUCUAAGUAUUUUCCUCCUGCUAAGAUCAUCUCUCUUAGAAACGAUAUUAUGAAUUUUAAGCAACUUGAUCAUGAACAUGUUGCACAAGCUUGGGAGAGAAUGAAACUAAUGAUACGUAAUUGCCCUGCCCAUGGUUUAAAUUUGUGGAUGAUUAUACCAAAUUUUUAUGCCGGAUUGAACUUUGCUUCUAGAAAUCUUUUAGAUUAGGCCGCGGGAGGCACUUUUAUGGAAAUCACUUUAGGAGAAGCUACUAAACUCCUAGAUAAUAUUAUGGUUAAUUAUUCUCAACGGCAUACCGAAAGAUCUACUAAUAAAAACGUGCAUGCGAUAGAAGAAAUUAAUGUUUCGAGUGGAAAGAUGGAUGAACUUCUGAAAUUAUUUGCUAAUAAGAGUAUUUCUUCUGAUCCUAAUGAUAUGCCCUUGUCUACUUUGAUUGAGAAUAAUAAUUAAUCUAUGGAUGUGGAUUUUGUUGGUAGGAACAAUUUUGGUAACAACGCGUACAGAGGAAAUUUCAACCCUAGGCCUUAUCCUAGUAAUCUCUCUAAUAAUUAUGGUAAUUCCUACAACAAUUCUUAUGGAAAUUAUAAUAAGAUGCCCUCUGAUUUUGGAUCUAAUAUUAGAGAAUUUAUUACUUUCCAAAAGAAUUUCAAUGCUUUGAUUGAAGAAAAAUUGCUUAAGAUUGAUGAUUUGGCUAGGAACGUUGAUAGAAUUACUCUUGAUGUUGAUUCUUUGAAACUUAGAUCUAUUCCACCUAAGCAUGAUGUCAAUGAGUCUCUCAAAGCCAUGAGAAUUUCCAUUGAUGAGUGCAAAGAAAGAACCACUAGGAUGCGUGUUAAGAAAGAUGCCUUUAUAAGAGCGUGUUCUUCUAAUUCCUAUGAAAAUAAUGAUGAAGAUCAAAAAGUUAUUGAUGUCCUCCCUAUUAAAUCUUUGUUUUGCAAUAUGAAUCUUGAUAAUCAUGGGACUGAAUAUGAUCCACCUUUACCUAGAAGGCGUUCCAAUAAUUCAGAAUUUGUUGAUCUUGAUGCUAAAAUUGAUAAAGGUGGGAUUGAAGAAAUUAAAACCCUAGAUGUUGCUAAACCCACUAUUAUGGAUUUCAAGGAACUUAACUAUGAAAACUGCCCUUUGAUUGAUUGUAUAUCCUUGUUACAAUCCGUGCUAAAUUCUCCUCAUGCUUAUAGUCAAAAUAAAGCAUUUACUAAACAUAUUGUUGAUGCCUUGAUGCAAUCUUAUGAAGAAAAACUUGAAUUGGAAGUUUCUAUCCCUAUAAAGCUUUAUGAUGAGUGGGAACCAACUAUUAAAAUUAAAAUUAAAUAUCAUGAAUGCUAUGCUUUAUGUGAUUUGUGUGCUAGUGUUUCCACGAUUCCAUAGACUUUGUGUGAUUUGUUAGGUUUCCGUGAUUUUGAUGAUUGCUCUUUAAACUUGCACCUUGCGGAUUCCACUAUUAAGAAACCUAUGGGAAGAAUUAAUGAUGUUCUUAUUGUUGCAAAUAGCAAUUAUGUGCCCGUAGAUUUUAUUGUUCUUGACAUAGAUUGCAAUCUUUCAUGUCCUAUUAUUCUUGGUAGACCUUUCCUUAGAACGACUGGUGCAAUUAUUGAUAUGAAGGAAGGAAAUAUUAGAUUCCAAUUUCCAUUAAGGAAAGGCAUGGAACACUUUCCUAGAAAGUAAAUUAAAUUACCUUAUGAAUCUAUUAUGAUAGCCACUUAUGGAUUGCCUACCAAAGAUGGCAAUACCUAGAUCUAUCCUUGCUUGUUAUGCCUAGCUAGGGGCGUUAAACGAUAGCGCUUGUUGGGAGGCAACCCAAUUUUAUUUUUAUUCCUUGAUUUUUUCUCCUGUUUAGUAAUAAAUAAUUUAUAUAGCCUCUGUUUUGGUUCUGUUCUUUGUGUUUAAUUAGUGUUUGUGCCAAGUAGAACCGUUAGGAAGACUUGGGGAAAGUCUUGUUACACUUGCUGUAAAAAACUGAAACUUCAGCGCUCACGAGAACUGCUGCCAUUUUUAUUUGGAAAGUGCUAUGUAGUUAAUUAUUUUUCAGAUGAUUAACAGAUAAAUUCCUCACGUCCAGAAAUUUAUUUUAGAAUUUUUGGGGUUCCAGCUCUUGAGCUAGCUACAGAGUACUACAGGCUGUUCUGUUUUUGAAAGAUUCUGUUUUUCGUGUGUUGUUUGCUUAUUUUGAUGAACCUAUGGCUAGUAAAAUAGUUUAUAUACCAUAGAGAAAUUGGAAUACAGUAGGUAUAACACCAAUAUAAAUAAAUAAUGAGUUCAUUACAGUACCUUGAAGUGGUCUUUUAUUUUCUUUCGCUAACGGAGCUCAUGAGAUUUUCUACUUUAAGUUUUGUGUUGUGAAGUUUUCAAGUUUUGGGUAAAGAUUUGAUGGAUUAUGGAACAAGGAGUGACAAGAGCCUAAGCUUGGGGGUUCCCAUGGCACCCCCAAGAUAAUCUAAGUACACCUAAAAACCAAAGCUUGGGGAUGCGCCGGAAGUCAUCCCCUCUUUCAUCUACUUCUAUCGGUAACUUUACUUGGAGCUAUAUUUUUAUUCGCCACAUGAUAUGUGUUUUGCUUGGAGCGUCUUGUAUUAUUUGAGUCUUUAUUUGUUAGUUUACCACAAUCAUCCUUGCUGUACACACCUUUUGAGAGAGCCAUACAUGAUUUGGAAUUUGUUAGAAUACUCUAUGUGCUUCGCUUAUAUCUUUUGAGUUAUAUAGUUUUGCUCUAGUACUUCACUUAUAUCUUUUAGAGCACGGUGGUGGAUUUGUUUUAUAGAAACAAUUGAUCUCUCAUGCUCCACUUAGAUUAUUUUGAGAUUCUUAAUAGCAUGUUAAUUUGCUUAAAAUCCUAAUAUGCUAGGUAUUCAAAGUUAGUAAAAUUUUCUUAAGAGUGUUUUGAAUACUAAGAGAAGUUUGAUGCUUGAUGAUUGUUUUGAGAUAUGGAGGUAAUAAUAUCAAAGUCGUUCUCGUUGACUAGUUGUGAAAUUGAGAAAUACUUGUGUUGAAGUUUGCAUGUCCCGUAGCACGCACGUAUGGUAAACGUUGUGUAACAAAUUUGAAACAUGAGGUGUUAUUUGAUUGUCUUCCUUGUGAGUGGCGGUCGGGGACGAGCGAUGGUCUUUUCCUACCAAUCGAUCCCCCUAGGAGCAUGCGAAUAGUACCAAGGUUUUUGAUGACUUGUAGAUUUUUGCAGUAAGUAUGUGAGUUCUUUAUGACUAAUGUUGAGUCCAUGAAUUAUACGCACUCUCACCCUUCCAUCCUUGCUAGCCUCUUCGGUACCGUGCAUUGCCCUUUCCCACAUUGAGAGUUGGAGCAAACUUCGCCAGUGCAUCCAAACCCCGUGCUAUGAUACGCUCAUUCACACAUAAACCUCCUUAUAUCUUCCUCAAAACAGCCACCAUACCUACCUAUUAUGGCAUUUCCAUAGCCAUUCCGACAUAUAUUGCCAUGCAACUUUCCACCAUUCCGUUCAUCAUGACACAUUCAUCAUUGUCAUAUUGCGUAGCAUAAUCAUGUAGUUGACAUAGUAUUUGUGGCAAGGCCACCGUUCAUAAUUCAUUCAUACAUGUCACUCUUGGUCCAUUGCAUGUCCCGGUACACCGCCGGAGGCAUUCAUAUAGAGCCAUACUUUGUUCUAGUAUCGAGUAGUAAUUAUUGAGUCGUAAAUAAAUAGAAGUGUGAUGAUCAUCAUUAAUAGAGCAUGGUCCCAAAAAGAAAAAAAAGGAAGGGCCAAAAAAAGGCCAAAUAAAAAAAUAUAAAAAAGGGGGCAAUGCUACUAUCCUUUUUUUCCAAACUUGUGCUUCCAAGUAGCACCGUAAUCUUCAAGAUAGAGAGUCUCUUGAUUUGUCACUUUCAUAUACUAGUGGGAAUUUUUCAUUAUAGAACUUGGCUUGUAUAUUCCAACAAUGGGCGUCCCCAAGUUCCCUAGGUCUUCGUGAGCAAGCAAGUUGGAUGCACACCCACUUAGUUUCUUUUGUUGAGCUUUCAUACAUUUAUAGCUCUAGUGCAUCCGUUGCAUGGCAAUUCCUACUCCUUGCAUUAACAUCAAUCAAUGGGCAUCUCCAUAGCCCAUUGAUUAGCCUCGUUGAUGUGAGACUUUCUCCUUUUUGUCUUCUCCACAUAACCCCACUCAUUAGAUUCUAUUCCACCCAUAGUGUUAUGUCCAUGGCUUGCAAUCAUAUAUUGCGUGAAAGUUUAUAGGUUUGAGAUCACUAAAGUAUGAAACAAUUGCUUGGCUUGUCAUCGGGGUUGUGCAUGAUGAGAGCAUACUUGUGUGACGAAAAUGAAGCAUGACUAAACUAUAUGAUUUUGUAGGGGUGAACUUUCUUUGGCCAUGUUAUUUUGAGAAGACACAAUUGCUCAGUUAGUAUGCUUAAAGUAUUAUUAUUUUAUGUCAAUAUGAACUUUUGUCUUGAAUGUUUCAGAUCCGAAUAUUCAUACCACAAUUAAGAAGAAUUACAUUAAAAUCAUGCCAAGUAGCACUCCACAUCAAAAAUUCUGUUUUUAUCAUUUACCUACUCGAGGACGAGCCGGAAUUAAGCUUGGGGAUGCUUGAUACAUCUCCAACGUAUCUAUAAUUUUUGAUUGCUCCAUGCUAUAUUAUCUACUGUUUUGGACAAUAUUGGGCUUUAUUAUCCACUUGUAUAUUAUUUUUGGGACUAACCUAUUAACCGGAGGCCCAGCCCAGAAUUGUUGUUUUUUGCCUGUUUUAGGGUUUCGAAGAAAAGGAAUAUCAAACGGAGUCCAAACGGAAUGAAACCUUCGGGAACGUGAUUUUCUCAACGAACAAGAUCUAGGAGACUUGGACCCUCCAUCAAGACAUAAAAGAGGAGGCCACGAGGUAGGGGGCGUNNNNNNNNNNNNNNNNNNNNNNNNNNNNNNNNNNNNNNNNNNNNNNNNNNNNNNNNNNNNNNNNNNNNNNNNNNNNNNNNNNNNNNNNNNNNNNNNNNNNNNNNNNNNNNNNNNNNNNNNNNNNNNNNNNNNNNNNNNNNNNNNNNNNNNNNNNNNNNNNNNNNNNNNNNNNNNNNNNNNNNNNNNNNNNNNNNNNNNNNNNNNNNNNNNNNNNNNNNNNNNNNNNNNNNNNNNNNNNNNNNNNNNNNNNNNNNNNNNNNNNNNNNNNNNNNNNNNNNNNNNNNNNNNNNNNNNNNNNNNNNNNNNNNNNNNNNNNNNNNNNNNNNNUGGGCCCCCCUGUUGCUCCACCGACGUACUCCUUCCUCCUAUAUAUACCUACUAUUGGGGAACGUAGCAGAAUUUUAAAAUUUUCUACGCAUACCAAGAUCAAUCUAUGGAGUCAUAUAGCAACGAGGGAGAGAGGAGUGCAUCUACAUACCCUUGUAGAUCGCGCGCGGAAGCGUUCAAGAGAACGGGGUUGAUGGAGUCGUACUCGUCGUGAUCCAAAUCACCGAUGACCAAGUGCCGAAUGGACAGCACCUCCGCGUACAACACACGUACGGUUGGGAAGACGUCUCCUCCUUCUUGAUCCAGCAAGGGGGAAGGAGAGGUUGAUGAAGAUCCAGCAGCACGACGGCGUGGUGGUGGAUGCAGCAGGAUCCCGGCAGGGCUUCGCCAAGCGCAAGCGGGGAGGAGAGGUGUUACGGAAGGAGAGGGAGGCGCCAAGAGCAAGGGUGCGGCUGCCCUCCCUCCCCCCCCUCUUUAUAUAGGGGCCUUGGGGGGGCGCCGGCCCUAGGAGAUGGAUCUCCAAGGGGGGCGAAGGCCAAGGGGUGGCUUCCCCCCCAAGCCAAGUGGGGGGCGCCCCCACCCCUAGGGUUUCCCAACCCUAGGCGCAUGGGAGGCCCAAGGGGGGCGCACCAGCCCACUAGGGGCUGGUUCUGCUCCCAAUUCAGCCCAUGGGGCCCUCCGGGAUGGGUGGCCCCACCCGGUGGACCCCCGGGACCCUUCCGGUGGUCCUGGUACAAUACCGGUGACCCCCGAAACCUUCCCGAUGGCCGAAAUUGUACUUCCUAUAUAUAAAUCUUUACCUCCGAACCAUUCCGGAACUCCUCGUGACGUACGGGAUCUCAUCCGGUACUCCGAACAUAUCCUUGGUUACUACAUACUAAUAUCUCUACAACCCUAGCGUCACCGAACCUUAAGUGUGUAGACCCUACGGGUUCGGGAGACAUGCAGACAUGACAGAGACGCCUCUCCGGUCAAUAACCAACAGCGGGAUCUGGAUACCCAUGUUGGCUCCCACGUGCUCCACGAUGAUCUCAUCGGAUGAACCACGAUGUCGAGGAUUCAAUCAAUCUGUGUAGAAUUCCCUUUGUCAAUCGGUACGUUACUUGCCCGAGACUCGAUCGUCGGUAUCCCAAUACCUCGUUCAAUCUCGUUACCAGCAAGUCACUUUACUCGUGCCGUAAUGCAUGAUCCCAUGAUCAACCACUUGGUCACAAUGAGCUCAUUAUGAUCAUGCAUUACCGAGUGGGCCCAGAGAUACCUCUCCGUCAUACGGAGUGACAAAUCCCAGUCUCGAUUCGUGCCAACCCAACAGACACUUUCGGAGAUACCUGUAAUGUACCUUUAUAGUCACCCAGUUACGUUGUGACGUUUGGCACACCCAAGGCACUCCUACGGUAUCCGGGAGUUGCCCAAUCUCAUGGUCUAAGGAAAUGAUACUUGACAUUCGGAAAAGCUACAGCAAACGAACUACACGAUCUUUGAGCUAUGCUUAGGAUUGGGUCUUGUCCAUCACAUCAUUCUCCUAAUGAUGUGAACCCGUUAUCAAUGACAUCCAAUGUCCAUAGUCAGGAAACCAUGACUAUCUUUUGAUCAACGAGCUAGUCAACUAGAGGCUCACUAGGGACGUGUUGUCGUCUAUGUAUUCACACAUGUAUUACGAUUUCCGGAUAACACAAUUAUAGCAUGAAAAAUAGACAAUUAUCAUGAACAAAGAAAUAUAAUAAUAACCAUUUUAUUAUUGCCUCUAGGGCAUAUUUCCAACAGUCUCCCACUUGCACUAGCGUCAGUAGUCUAGUUACAUUUUGAUGAAUCCAACACCCAUGAAGUUCUGGAGUUGAUCAUGUUUUGCUCUAGGGAGAGGUUUAGUCAAUGGAUCUGCCACAUUCAGGUCCGUAUGUACUUUACAAAUCUCUAUGUAUCCAUUUUGAACACUUUCAUGAAUGGAGUUGAAGUGACGCUUGAUAUGCCUGGUCUUCCUGUGAAAUCUGGGCUCCUUGGCAAGUGCAAUAGCUCCAGUGUUGUCACAGAAUAGAGUCAUCGGGCCCGGUGCAUUGGGUGUGACUCCUAGGUCGGUAAUGAACUCCUUCACCCAGAUUGCUUCUUGUGCUGCCUCCGAGGCUGCCAUGUACUCUGCUUCACAUGUAGAUCCCGCCACAACGCUUUGCUUGCAACUCCACCAGCUUACUGCCCCACCAUUCAAAAUAUACACGUAUCCGGUUUCCGACUUAGAGUCAUCCAGAUCUGUGUCGAAGCUAGCAUCAACGUAACCCUUUACGACGAGCUCUUCGUCACCUCCAUAAACGAGAAACAUAUCCUUAGUCCUUUUUAGGUACUUGAGGAUAUUCUUGACUGCUGUCUAGUGUUCCAUGCCGGGAUUACUUUGGUACCUUCCUACCAAACUUACGGCAAGGUUUUCAUCAGGUCUGGUACACAGCAUAGCAUACAUGAUAGACCCUAUGGCCGAGGCAUAGGGGAUGACACUCAUCUUUUCUCUAUCUUCUGUCGUGGUCGUGCAUUGAGCCUCGCUCAAUCUCGUACCUUGCAAUACAGGCAAGAACCCUUCUUUUACUGAUCCAUUUUGAACUUCUUCAAUAUCUUAUCAAGGUAUGUACUCUGUGAAAGACCAAUGAGGCGUCUCGAUCUAUCUCUAUAGAUCUUGAUGCCUAAUAUAUAAGCAGCUUCUCCAAGAUCCUUCAUUGAAAAACACGUGUUCAAGUAGGCCUUUAUGCUUUCCAAGAAUUCUAUAUCAUUUCCCAUCAACAAUAUGUCAUCCACAUCCAAUAUGAGAAAUGCUACAAAGCUCCCACUCACUUUCUUGUAAAUGCAGACUUCUCCAUAAGUAUGCGUAAACCCAAACGCUUUGAUCAUCUCAUCAAAACGAAUGUUCCAUCUCCGAGAUGCUUGCACCAGCCCAUAAAUCGAAUGUUGGAGCUUGUACACCUUGUCAGCAUUCUUAGGAUCGACAAAACCUUCCGGCUGCAUCAUAUACAAUUCUUCCUUAAGGAAACCAUUAAGGAAUGUUGUUUUGACGUCCAUUUGCCAUAUUCAUAAUCAUAGAAUGCGGCAAUUGCUAACAUCGUAGUCAACCCCUUGAACUUGCCGAUAACCCUUAGCGACAAGCCGAGCUUUAUAGAUGGUCACAUUACCAUCCGCGUCUGUCUUCUUCUUAAAGAUCCAUUUAUUUUCUAUGGCUCGCCGAUCAUCGGGCAAGUCAGUCAAAGUCCAUACUUUGUUUUCAUACAUGGAUCUUAUCUCGGAUUUCAUGGCUUCCAGCCAUUUGUUGGAAUUCAGGCCCGCCAUCGCUUCUUCAUAGUUCGAAGUUCACCGUUGUCUAACAACAUGAUUUCCAAGACAGGGUUGCCGUACCACUCUGGUGCGGGACGUGUCCCCGUGGACCUACGAAGUUCAGUAGCAACUUGAUCUGAAGUUUCAUGAUCAUCAUCAUCAAUUUCCUCUCUAGUCGUUGCAGGCACCUUAGGAACAUUUUCUUGAGCUGCGCCACUUACCGGUUCAAGAGGUAAUAAUACUUCAUCAAGUUCUACUUUCCUCCCACUUAUUUCUUUCGAGAGAAACUCUUUCUCUAGAAAGGACCCAUUCUUGGCAACAAAGAUCUUGCCUUCGGAUCUGAGGUAGAAGGUAUACCCAAUAGUUUCUUUAGGGUAUCCUAUGAAGACGCAUUUUUCCAAUUUGGGUUCGAGCUUUUCAGGUUGAAGUUUCCUUACAUAAGCAUCGCAUCCCCAAACUUUUAGAAAUGACAUCUUAGGUGUCUUCCCAAACCAUAAUUCAUACGGUGUCAUCUCAACGGAUUUCGACGGAGCCCUAUUUAAAGUGAAUGCGGCAGUCUCUAAAGCAUAGCCCCAAAAUGACAGCGGUAAAUCGGUAAGAGACAUCAUAGAUCGCACCAUAUCUAAUAGAGUGCGAUUAUGACAUUCCGACACACCAUUACGCUGAGGUGUUCCAGGCGGCGUGAGUUGUGAAACUAUUCCACAUUUUCUUAAGUGUGUGCCAAAUUCGUGACUCAAGUAUUCUCCCCCACGAUCUGAUCGCAAGAACUUGAUUUGCCUGUCACGUUGAUUCUCAACCUCACUUUGAAAUUCCUUGAACUUUUCAAAGGUCUCAGACUUGUGUUUCAUUAAGUAGACAUACCCAUAUCUACUCAAGUCAUCAGUGAGGGUGAGAACAUAACGAUAGCCACCGCGCCUCAACACUCAUUGGACCGCACACAUCAGUAUGUAUGAUUUCCAAUAAGUUGGUUACUCGCUCCAUUGUUCCUGAGAACGGAGUCUUGGUCAUUUUACCCAUGAGGCAUGGUUCGCACGUGUCAAAUGAUUCGUAAUCAAGAGACUUUAAAAGUCUAUCUGCAUGGAGCUUCUUCAUGCGUUUGACACCUAUGUGACCAAGGCGGCAAUGCCACAAGUAUGUGGGACUAUCAUUAUCAACCUUACAUCUUUUGGUAUUCACACUAUGAAUAUGUGUAACAUUAUGCUCGAGAUUCAUUAAGAAUAAACCAUUCACCAAUGGAGCAUGACCAUAAAACAUAUCUCUCAUAUAAAUAGAACAACCAUUAUUCUCGGAUUUAAAUGAGUAGCCAUCUCAAAUUAACCGAGAUCCUGAUACAAUGUUCAUGCUCAAAGCUGGCAGUAAAUAACAAUUAUUGAGGUUUAAAACUAAUCCCAUAGGCAAAUGUAGAGGCAGCGUGCCGACGGCGAUCACAUCAACCUUGGAACCAUUCCCGACGCACAUCGUCACCUCGUCCUUCGCCAGUCUCCGUUUAAUCCGCAGCUCCUGCUUUGAGUUACAAAUGUGAGCAACUGCACCGGUAUCAAAUACCCAGGAGCUACUACGAGUACUGGUAAGGUACACAUCAAUUACAGGUAUAUCACAUAUACCUUUAGUGUUGCCGGCCUUCUUGUCCGCUAAGUAUUUGGGGCAGUUCCGCUUCCAGUGACUACUUCCCUUGCAAUAAAAACACUCAGUCUCGAGCUUGGAUCCAUUCUUUGGCUUCUUCCCGGAAACUUGCUUAGCGGGCGCGGCAACUCCCUUGCCGUCCUUCUUGAAUUCUUCUUACCCUUGCCUUUCUUGAACUUAGUGGUUUUAUUCACCAUCAACACUUGAUGUUCCUUUUUGAUUUCCACCUCUGCUGAUUUCAGCAUUGAAUAUACCUCAGGAAUGGUCUUUUCCAUCCCCUGCAUAUUGAAGUUGAUCACAAAGCUCUUGUAGCUCGGUGGAAGCGACUGAAGGAUUCUGUCAAUGACCGCGUCAUUCGGGAGGUUAACUCCCAGCUGAGUCAAGCGGUUAUGCAACCCAGACAUUUUGAUUAUGUGCUCACUGACAGAACUAUUUUCCUCCAUCUUAUAGCUGAAGAACUUGUCGGAGACUUCAUAUCUCUCGACCCGGGCAUGAGCUUGAAAAACCAUUUUCAGCUCUUCGAACAUCUCAUAUGCUCCAUGUCUCUCAAAAUGCUUUUGGAGCCCCGGUUCUAAGCUGUAAAGCAUGCCGCACUGAACGAGGGAGUAAUCAUCAGCACGUAACUGCCAAGCGUUGAUAAUGUCUUGGUUCUCUGGGACAGGUGCGUGACCUAACGGUGCUUCUAGGACAUAAUAUUUCUUGGCAGCUACGAGGAUGAUCCUCAGGUUCCGGACCCAGUCCGUAUAGUUGCUGCCAUCGUCUUUCAGCUUGGUUUUCUCUAGGAACGCGUUGAAAUUGAGGACAACGUGGGCCAUUUGAUCUACAAGACAUAUUGUAAAGAUUUUAGACUAAGUUCAUGAUAAUUAAGUUCAUCUAAUCAAAUUAUACAAUGAACUCCCACUCAGAUAGACAUCCCUCCAGUCAUCUAAGUGAAACAUGAUCCAAGUUAACUAGGCUGUGUCGGAUCAUCACGUGAAACGGACUAGUCAACAUCGGUGAACAUCUUCAUGUUGAUCGUAUCUUCUAUACGACUCAUGCUCGACCUUUCGGUCUUCUGUGUUCCGAGGCCAUGUCUGUACAUGCUAGGCUCGUCAACUAAACCUAAGUGUAUUGCGUGUGUAAAUCUGGCUUACACCCGUUGUAUUCGAACGUUAGAAUCUAUCACACUCGAUCAUCACGUGGUGCUUCGAAACAACGAACCUUCGCAACGGUGCACAGUUAGGGGGAACACUUUCUUGAAAUUAUUUCGAGGGAUCAUCUUAUUUAAGCUACCGUCGUUCUAAGCAAAUAAGAUGUAAAACAUGAUAAACAUCACAUGCAAUCAAAUAGUGACAUGAUAUGGCCAAUAUCAUUUGCUCCUUUUGAUCUCCAUCUUUGGGGCUCCAUGAUCAUCGUUGUCACCAGCAUGACACCAUGAUCUCCAUCAUCAUGUCUUCUUGAAGUUGUCUCGUCAUCUAUUACUUCUACUACUAUGGCUAAUGCUUUAGCAAUAAAGUAAAGUAAUUACAUGACGUUUAUGUUGACACGCAGGUCAUAAAAAAAUAAAGACAACUCCUAUGGCUCCUGCCGGUUGUCAUACUCAUCGACAUGCAAGUCGUGAUUCCUAUUACAAGAACAUGAUCAAUCUCAUACAUCACAUAUAUCAUUCAUCACAUCCUUUUGGCCAUAUCACAUCAGACGGCACAUGCUGCAAAAACAAGUUAGACGUCCUCUAAUUGUUGUUGCAAGUUUUUACAUGGCUGCUAUAGGUUUCUAGCAAGAACGUGUCUUACCUACGCCAAAACCACAACGUGAUAUGCCAAUUUCUAUUUACCCUUCAUAAGGACCCUUUUCAUCGAAUCCGAUCUAACUAAAGUGGGAGAGAUAGACACCCGCCAGCCACCUUAUGCAAGUAAUGCAUGUCAAUCGGUGGAACCAGUCUCACGUAAGCGUACGUGUAAGGUCGGUCCGGGCCGCUUCAUCCCACGAUGCCGCCGAAUCAAGAUAAGACUAGUAACGGCAAGCAAAGUGACAAUAUCCACGCCCACAACUGCUUUGUGUUCUACUCGUGCAUAGAAACUACGCAUAGACCUGGCUCAUGAUGCCACUAUUGGGGAAUGUAGCAGAAUUUUAAAAUUUUCUACGCAUCACCAAGAUCAAUCUAUGGAGUUAUCUAGCAAUGAGGAAGAGAGGAGUGCAUCUACAUACCCUUGUAGAUCGCGCGCGGAAGCGUUCAAGAGAACGGGGUUGAUGGAGUCGUACUCGUCGUGAUCCAAAUCACCGAUGACCAAGUGCCGAACGGACAGCACCUCCGCGUUCAACACACGUCCGGUUGGGAAGACGUCUCCUCCUUCUUGAUCCAGCAAGGGGGAAGGAGAGGUUGAUGAAGAUCCAGCAGCACGACGGCGUGGUGGUGGAUGCAACAGGAUCCCGGCAGGGCUUCGCCAAGCGCAAGCGGGGAGGAGAGGUGUUACGGAGGGAGAGAGAGGCGCCAAGAGCAAGGGUGCGGCUGCCUUCCCUCCCCCCUCUUUAUAUAGGGGCCAUGGCGGGCGCCGGCCCUAGGAGAUGGAUCUCCAAGGGGGGCGAAGGCCAAGGGGUGGCUCCCCCCCCCAAGCCAAGUGGGGGGCGCCCCCACCCCUAGGGUUUCCCAACCCUAGGCGCAGGGGAGGCCCAAGGGGGCGCACCAGCCCACUAGGGGCUGGUUCCCCUCCCAAUUCAGCCCAUGGGGCCCUCCGGGAUGGGUGGCCCCACCCGGUGGACCCCCGGGACCCUUCCGGUGGUCCCGAUACAAUACCGGUUACCCCCGAAACCUUCCCGAUGGCCGAAACUGUACUUCCUAUAUAUAAAUCUUUACCUCCAAACCAUUUCAGAACUCCUCGUGACGCCCGGGAUCUCAUCCGGGACUCCGAACAACUUUCGGCUUACUACAUACUAAUAUCUAUACAACCCUAGCGUCACCGAACCUUAAGUGUGUAGACCCUACGGGUUUCGGAGACAUGCAGACAUGACUGAGACGCCUCUCCAGUCAAUAACCAACAGCGGGAUCUGGAUACCCAUGUUGGCUCCCACAUGCUCCACGAUGAUCUCAUCGGAUGAACCACGAUGUCGAGCAUUCAAUCAAUCUGUAUACAAUUCCCUUUAUCAAUCAGUACGUUACUUGCCCGAGACUCGAUCGUCAGUAUCCCAAUACCUUGUUCAAUCUCGUUACCGGCAAGUCACUUUACUCAUACCAUAAUGCAUGAUCCCGUGAUCAACCACUUGGUCACAUUGAGCUCAUUAUGAUGAUGCAUUACCGAGUGGGCCCAGAGAUACCUCUUCAUCACGCGGAGUGACAAAUCCCAGUCUCGAUUCAUGCCAACCCAAUAGACACUUUCGGAGAUACCUGUAAUGUACCUUUAUAGUCACCCAGUUACGUUGUGACGUUUGGCACACCCAAGGCACUCCUACGGUAUCCGGGAGUUUCACAAUCUCAUGGUCUAAGGAAAUGAUACUUGACAUUCGGAAAAGCUACAGCAGAUGAACUACACGACCUUUGAGCUAUGCUUAGGAUUGGGUCUUGUCCAUCACAUCAUUCUCCUAAUGAUGUGAUCCCAUUAUCAAUGACAUCCAAUGUCCAUAGUCAGGAAACCAUGACUAUCUUUUGAUCAACAAGCUAGUCAACUAGAGGCUCACUAGGGACGUGUUGUGGUCUAUGUAUUCACACAUGUAUUACGAUUUCCGGAUAACACAAUUAUAGCAUGAACAAUAGACAAUUAUCAUGAACAAAGAAAUAUAAUAAUAACCAUUUUAUUAUUGCCUCUAGGGCAUAUUUCCAACACCUACGUACCCCCAAACGAUCAUAUACGGAGCCAAAACCCUAAUUCCACCGCCGCAACUUUCUGUAUCCACGAGAUCCCAUCUUGGGGCCUGUUCCGGAGCUCCGCCAGAGGGGGCAUCGAUCACGGAGGGCUUCUACAUCAACACCAUAGCCUCUCUGAUGAAGUGUGAGUAGUUCACCUCAGACCUACGGUUCCAUAGUUAUUAGCUAGAUGGCUUCUUCUCUCUUUUUGGAUCUCAAUACAAUGUUCUCCCCAUCUCUUGUGGAGAACUAUUCGAUGUAAUCUUCUUUUUGCGGUGUGUUUGUUGAGACCGAUGAAUUGUGGGUUUAUGAUCAAGUCUAUCUAUGAAUAAUAUUUGAAUCUUCUCUGAAUUGUUUUAUGUAUGAUAGGUUAUCUUUGCAAGUCUCUUCGAAUUAUCAGUUUGGUUUGGCCUACUAGAUUGAUCUUUCUUGCAAUGGGAGAAGUGCUUAGCUUUGGGUUCAAUCUUGCGGUGUCCUUUCCCAGUGACAGUAGGGGCAGCAAGGCACGUAUUAUAUUGUUGCCAUCGAGGACAACAAGAUGGAGUUUUCAUCAUAUUGCAUGAGUCUAUCCCUCUACAUCAUGUCAUCUUGCUUAAGGCGUUAAUCUGUUUUUAACUUAAUACUCUAGAUGCUUGCUGGAUAGCGAUCGAUUAGUGGAGUAAUAGUAGUAGAUGCAGGCAGGAGUCGGUCUACUUGUCUCGGACGUGAUGCCUAUAUACAUGAUCAUACCUAGAUAUUCUCAUAACUAUGCUCAAUUCUGUCAAUUGCUCAACAAUAAUUUGUUCACCCACCGUAGAAUAUUUAUGCUCUCGAGAGAAGCCACUAGUGAAACCUAUGGCCCCGGGUCUAUCUUUAUCAUAUUAAUCUCCUACUACUUAGUUAUUUCCUUUGCUUUUUACUUUGCCUUUAUUUUACUUUGCAUCUUUAUCACAAAAAUACGAAAAAAAUUAUCUUUAUCAUAUCUAUCAAAUCUCACUCUCGUAAGUGGCCGUGUAGGAAUUGACAACCCCUAUUCGCGUUGGUUGCGAGGAUUUAUUUGUUUUGUGCAGGUACGAGGGACUCGCGCGUAGCCUCCUACUGGAUUGAUACCUUGGUUCUCAAAACCUGAGGGAAAUACUUACGCUACUUUGCUGCAUCAUCCCUUCCUCUUCGGGGAAAACCAAGGCAGUGCUCAAGAGGUAGCAAGGGUUCCUUUUUGUCGACGAUCCGAUGUUUCAACCCUGUUUUCCAGGUGGCCAACGCGUCGCUAAACUUGGUGACGGCGUGUUUGUUUAUCUUCUUCAUUGCCAGGUCCUUAUCUGGAUCUUUAUUAUCCUUUUCACUGCGGUCUGGGAACAAGAUUAUCUGGUGCAGUUUCUUAAGGAGGGAGGGCCUCAUAUUAUCUAUCUUCUGUAGUUUCCCAUCGUUGAUCGUGGCAGUUGUCCGUACGAUGCAACCUAUUUGAUUGCCGUAGCACGAUCGCGCUUCCUCGGGCGCUAUUGUCUCAAAAAUACCGCCGUCCAUCUCCGUGACCGCCAGUCUACUACUCAUGAGCUGGUUUGGGCGCUGUGGCCUCUUUGCUUUCGGUUCUAGACCAGCUCCGCUAGUCUCGGCGCCUGUCUCAGUUUCAUCAUCGGUCCGCAUGUCGGUAUCAGUCCCCGAUGCGACACCACAGUUGCUGCAACAUGGGUAAGGGAGACCACGUCAGUGGUGGGGGGUCUGAAAAUCAGAACACACUUUCGCGCGUCGCGGGCCGCCUCUCAGACAGCUACUGGGGAGGCGGUGGAGUACCUGGGUGCGCGGCGAAUCCCCGGGAACUCGGUGACCAACUUCCUUCCCGUGUGGCGCAUGGAGACGACGGCGACCCCGGCGAAGAGCAGCUUAGCCGCGAGCUGCACAGCCUCGUCCACCUCCUAAGUUGGGACCUCCGCGCGAGCGUUGCGGGGCCGCCACUCGGAUGGCUUCUGGAAGGCGGUUGUACAUGGGCACAUGGUGAAUCCCGGCGAGAGCUGGCCAUUGGCGCGCGCAAGUAGACGACGAUGUCCUCGAAGAAGAGCAGCCCGGCCAGCUCGCCUCACUAUCCUUUGAUUAGAAAUGAAAGAUUGGGAAGAAGCAGACUUGAGCCUGCAGGGAAAGGAUAAGGUGACGAUGCAGUCUCCACUCGUUCGGGGCGACACUCGUACUGAAUGUAUGAGAAACGUGACGUGGCAGAGACCCCAAGAUACUCCCUCCAUUUAUUUUUAGUCUGCAUAUAAAGUUUGGUCAAAGUCAAGAUUUGUAAAUUUUAACUAACUUUAUAAUAAAAAAAUAUCAACAUUCACAAUAUGAAAUCAAUAUUACCAGAUGCGUCAUGAAAUGUAUUUCCAUACUAUAUAGUUUUGGUAUUGUAGAUGUUCAUAUUUUUUUAUAUAUAUGGGAAGUAGAGGCACUCUUCUAUAUAAUGAAGUUUAUAAUAUAUGUGCUUAUAUUGUACUAUAAUUGUUUGAAUAACUUAGCAUAUAUUCAGAUGUAUGAUAUCUGUAAUUUAAACGCUUGAAUUUUACAUAUGAAUAUUUAUUAAUAAAUAUGUACCCCUAUAAUAGCUAGGCCGUGCAGUUGCACGGGUAGAUGACUAGUGAUUACAAUCUUGCUUGUGUGCAAGUCAAGCUUAUCUAGUUUACACGUAACAACUUAUAGAACAUUACAAAAUUUAUGCUUGCUAAUAACUUCUAGAACACUACAACACUUGACAUGUAAAAGGAAUUUGAUGAGUCAUGGCCUACUAAAGCAAGUUACAUUACUAGUCUUAUCUAUCUUAACAGACCACACAAGAUUACAAACUAUGUACCGUGACAGCCAUGCUUAUCUAGUUUAUGCGUAACAAUUUGCAGAAAAUUACAAACUUAGUUUCAGAAAGAUAGGCAAUCUAGAUUAGUGUUUGAGCUGUAAAGUGAAUAAGAUGAGUCAUGCAUGUCAUCACACCUUUUUGGUGGUGGAAUGAUAGUGCAACAACAAGGAACUUUAAUGACCAGUCCAAGAAUACACUUGUAAGUAGUGCCACCAAACAGAACAUACCAAAUGAUGAUUUUGAGAAGCAUCCAAGCACUUUCCACACAAACAAAUGCCAAUUGUGAAAGAGAUCAUUCCAUGGCAGCUAUAAAUAGCCCCAUAGCAUGACGAUCAUCCUUCCUCAUCCAUCAUUCUCAUAAGUAGAGCACAUCAUUUAAGCCAAGCAAGUUGUGGUCAAUACAAAUCCACCAUGAAGACCUUUCUCAUCCUUGCCCUCCUUGCUAUCGUGGCGACCACCGCCACAACUGCAGUUAGAGUUCCAGUGCCACAAUUGCAGCCACAAAAUCCAUCUCAGCAACAGCCACAGGAGCAAGUUCCAGUGGUACAACAACAACAAUUUCUAGGGCAGCAACAACCAUUUCCACCACAACAACCAUAUCCACAGCCGCAACCAUUUCCAUCACAACAACCAUAUCUGCAGCUGCAACCAUUUCCGCAGCCGCAACUACCAUAUUCGCAGCCACAACCAUUUCAACCACAACAACCAUAUCCACAACCGCAACCACAGUAUUCGCAACCACAACAACCAAUUUCACAGCAGCAGCAGCAGCAGCAGCAGCAGCAACAACAACAACAACAACAACAACAACAACAACAACCACAACAAAUCCUUCAACAAAUUUUGCAACAACAACUGAUUCCAUGCAUGGAUGUUGUAUUGCAGCAACACAACAUAGCGCAAGGAAGAUCACAAGUUUUGCAACAAAGUACUUACCAGCUGUUGCAAGAAUUGUGUUGUCAGCACCUAUGGCAGAUCCCUGAGCAGUCGCAGUGCCAGGCCAUCCACAAUGUUGUUCAUGCUAUUAUUCUGCAUCAACAACAAAAACAACAACAACAACAACAACAACAACAACCAUCGAGUCAGGUCUCCUUCCAACAGCCUCAGCAACAAUAUCCAUUAGGCCAGGGCUCCUUCCGGCCAUCUCAGCAAAACCCACAGGCCCAGGGCUCUGUCCAGCCUCAACAACUGCCCCAGUUCGAGGAAAUAAGGAACCUAGCGCUACAGACACUACCUGCAAUUUGCAAUGUCUACAUCCCUCCAUAUUGCACCAUCGCGCCAUUUGGCAUCUUCGGUACUAACUGAGAAGAAAAUAACUCUAGUACUAGAUAUAUGAAACACCGUUUUCUCAGUCCAUGGUUUGGUCGUUGUAGCGGUGAAAAAAUAAUGUGGCAUGCACUAUCAUGUAAGAACCCAAACUAUACUAGUUCAAACUUGGGAAUAAAAGACAAACACAGGUCUUGUCUACAUAUUUAUGUCGCAUCUAUUUAUAUAUUAAAAGUAAUAUAAGGUGAACCAGGAGCAAGGUAAAUAUGCUAGAAAAUUGCACGUUAAUUAGAAAUUACUAGCCCUCAAUCCGGUAAAUCUUAACAAAUAGAAUUAUCUUGACCGUUAGAUUUAUGUAACAUAUAUAAUUCUCUGGGCCUCCAACGACUGUACGUGACACAUCUGAACGCACAUAUGUUAAAGAAAAUAUAUUUGGUAAAUGGUGGGCCUCUUUAAAAAGAGAACUCACGUACAUGCACCAACUAAGAAAAACACAUACAUGUAAACGGGAAAAGGGCUCCACCCCGUUGAAAAAAUAUACAUCUGGAGGCCACUUUGUUUCCUCAUAAAAAAAAACUUACGUUAAAAAGAUUGCAUGCAUCCCAGGGAAAAUAGUCAAGAAGAAGUCGGACUCUUCCUUACAAAAACAAGGAACGUGUUAAGUUGACUUCAAAGAAAAAAGGAACAUGUUAAGUUAAAAAAAACAAGAAACCUGUUAAGUUAGAAAAAAACAAGGAACGUGUUGUCCUAGGAAAGAUAUGUGUCAAAUCUUACAAAAAAAAGAAUACACACACGUACGUUCAUGCACUUGGAAAAUAGAAAAAAAAAGGAACAUCACGUAUGUAUACACUUCGGAAACUCAUUACAUGACCAUGUCUGAUAUACUCCUCUAAUGCUUAAUAUUAGUGCCUAAUAAUUUAUAUUUAAAAUUUAAUUUACUGAUCAAAUAUCCCCACUGUUUAAAUUUUAAUUUGGCACAUUGUUUGGCUAUAGUAUGAACCUAAAUUUCCUCUUAUUAUUAUAUAUCAUGAUAAUAAUCCAAAGGCGACUAAUCUGCGCCGGCGCACCGGCGCAAUCAAUUCGGCCCGACACAGCGCGGCCGUUUGAUUAAAUUGCAUUUAACCGUCAGAUCUAGAAUCAUUUUAUUUCCAAUUAAACGGAUUCAACCAAACAGCAGAGGGGAAAACAAAGCAGCACCGCCGCCAACACUAGUCAUGGACGACCGAUGUAGCAAAACCUUGAAGAACCGCCGCCGGUCGCCACCCUCGCCGCUGGUCGCCGCCCUCGCCGCCUGCGUUUCUCAUCGGCUUCAUGCAUGCAACAACAUGCACUCGUGAUUGCAGGCUUGCAGCUCCGGCUCCGGGGGACAUGGCCGCAUCUCCGGUAGCGCCGGCCGCCAGCCGCAGCACCUGUCGUUGUGGUCACGCUGUACCUCGCCGUGUGCCCUCCCAAGGCUCUUGCUGGUUCCAACAAAAAACGAUACCUAUUGUAGCAAAAAAGUUUAUCGCUUCCAGCAAAAAAGCUUACCGCUAUAGCCCGCCAUCAUCAUUGUAGCAAAAAUGUUAACUCGAUGUAGCUUCUGUGGUUGCCGACUGCGGCCAAAAAUGACGUGGUUGUAGCAAAACACAAAAGAAAAACGCCGGCCGUCCGCUGUGUAUGGUGGUAACAAACCCUAUAGCCGGUGGUAGCGAAAAACUUCACUGUUUGCAGCAAAAAAAUGUUGUCGCCCGUCGUCGAGGUUGCAUCAUCUUCAUGAAUUAUGUCGCAAAAAAACGUUGUCGCCGGUAGUAGCAAAUGAAGCCGCCGGUAGUAACAAAACAAGACACUGGUUCCAGCCAAAAAAAUCAGCGACAGAACCUUUUGUUGGUUCCAACAAAAAAACUUGUCGGUUGUAACAUCCCUCGCCGCCGGAUGUAGCAUCUCCCAGGGCUAGUUGCAACACUCCAUAAAAAAAGUUGUCUAUGAGCGCAUCCAUGGCAACUGCUGCACCGUCAGCAACGAGGGGAAGAGGAGGCAAUGAAAAUCGUUCGAGUCGUAGCUCCACUGGACACGGCUGCAGCAUGGGGAGUCCAAAAAUCUGUCACAAGCAAGAUGCGCCUCGCCAUCCUCCUGCGCAGGAGAGAGAAGAAAAAGGAAUAAGAGGAAGAAGAAACGAAACGGGAGAAAGAAAAAAAGAAACGAUUGGUUGUGGGCUCAGGCAAUUAGUCAAAUGAGGGGCACGCGGGGCCGUAGGAUACAGCGCAAUCGAACGAAGUGCGCGCGUCCGGCCGAAGACUCAGCUGGACUGCCGGUCCAGCUGGAAAUGUUUCCCUAAUACAAAGGCUUUUCUGAAUGACAAGUCGUCUGAGUUAUCGGCUAACUAGAAAAAAGAUAAAUAUGCUAGAUAAUUCCAUAAUAAUUAGAAAUAUCUAGCCUUUAAUUAUGUAAAUCAGAAAAUCACAACCGUUGGAUUUACUUUAAAGGUAAAUUUCUCUAAAUUCCCACCAUUGCCAGUAUGUAGAAACAUGUGCUGCUUCAAUUCUCCCUUAAUCACCAAUCAAUCAACAACUGAAAACAUACCUCAGUUAAAAAAACUGAACAAAAAAAAGAAAAAAAGAAGAAAGGACAAGAUACACGCAUGUACACGACAGCCUUGGCUUGAAACACAUCAGUAGAUCAAGUGUCCGCCUCCCUUACACAGAAUAAAUUCUAGGGAAGAAAAUAAUAGUGCAACCUAACCUUAUACGUACUAUUCUAUCCUCACGUCCCAUGAGGUUUACUAGCCUACUGCCGCCGCAUCAUGCCAUCCUCUCCUUUCAGCUCCCUCCUUGCGGCGCCACUACUCGCCUAGGGAUAUUGCUGCUCAGACCGUGGAGCUUAACCUGCUUCUUCUUCAGCAAAUAUGGAACUGCUUUAGGAUCCUUCUGACAUCAGCGCGUAUGGGCCUCAUUAUACUGCAGCUCCUGGACCUCCUACAAUUGGUUGGCUAUGGCCAGUUGAUCGAUGUGCUGAAGUCCAGGUCUGUUUGCUGGCACAUAUGCUUUGGAAAUAGGCCACUAUGUUUGUACUUCGAAAUUGUUUCUGUAUUCUUCAGUGGUACAUCCUUUUAAGCGCCAGUUUUUUAUGUUAAUUCAUGCUGACAACACUUAACCUAGCCUUUCAUGUUCACGUACUAAAUACAGGAGCAAGUAAAAACAACAGACCACCUAAUUGCUCUGCAAGUUCUACAUAGGAAAAUUUGUCAUGUUCUACGAUCGCACCAUCCCACCCUUCUCUCUUGGUAUGGGCGCCAAUUGAGGGAUUGAUAAAACUGAAACGAAGACGUCACAGGGCUGGAAGUACCGCUAGCCUGGUUCGCACUGCAACCUACCCAACGCCAUCAGAAACUAGCAACUGAGUCAGGUGUUGAUCGAUUCUCUCAAAUUGCUCUCAUGUAAGUACUACCCCUUGCAUGUGCGUACAUACCUUUGUUGCAUUCUCAAACAGAUAGAACAUGUAUGAUCGGUGCAUGGCUAUUUUUCAUCACAUGACAUCCAGAUAACAAGCAUGAAAGGACUACAUUGGAGAUCAAAAAAUAUUGGUUCCUGGCUAGAGUACCACUACCUAUGGACUUGUCUCCAUAGAAUUUGUUCCCAAGAUGUUAUUUUAAUUAACCUCUUUAGCUUUCUUCCGUUGCAAACGGUGAUGUGCAUCAUGGUAUAUACGUGACCAUCUUGCACAUGUAUACACAAGAGGCUCAGACGGAGGUGCUGGAUUCUGGACGAGGGAAUAUGAAGCAGGAGUGAGCGAAGAGUAAAUAAUGGUGGGAGUACCGAUUGGUGUUAUGAAGAAAAAUGCCAUCCAAAGAUUGAUUAGUGUCAUGGAAGAUUAAUUUCUGAAUGCGAAUAUAUAUGUUACAUUGGUUUGGAUCUUUUUGAGAUAAUUGCACCUAAAUUAGGUUCUUUCUUAUUUCAUAUGUAUACCUUAUUUCAGUAAAAGUUCACAACGAACUUAGUAGGACAAAUAUAAUUUUGUUUGUUCUUUCUGUUGUCCGCCACCAAAGCUCAGUUUGAACUCUCUAGAAAUGGACAAUGAUUUAUGCAUUCUAUAUCUUCUUGAUUGAUUAGCCAUGACAAGGAAAUAAAAGGAUUGACUGAUAUAGCAUAACUUUGGAACGAUCUGUUCGUAGAGGUUACUACAAAUUAGAGUAGUGUCUGUUGGAAUUUUGCUAGUAGGCCUUUGGCCCAAAGCCCAACUAAAAUUCUGAAAUUCUCUUCGCUCAUUCAUGCACACAUGUGAGUGGAGUGAGUGAGACUAAAGUUUAGAGAGAGUUGCACCUCUUUAUAAGGUGAGCUCUUCUACCACUUGUAUGAGCAUGAGAAGAGGAGACCUAUACACGCGCUCCUCCUCCUCGCUCACCACGUCUCGUCACGCCGCGCCGCGCCGCGGAUUGCGGGAUUGAGCCGAGCCGAGGACGUUGUCUAUAUUUUUGCUGUUUGGGAAAAAUUAAUAAGUCAUUAAUUAAUAAUUAAUGGAUGCGUUAAUUACUGAACCAUUUUCGAUUCUUUUGGAUCGUGACGACUCGGACGUGGGGUUUACUCCCACGAUCUACCCGGCCCACACUAUAUAGUCAGGCAGACGUCUACCCUAGCCGCCGCCACUUCGUAUGGUUUCUCACCACCGUUACAGAUCGUUGCGCCGCCAAGCAAGUUUUCUCCAUUCCUCCUGUCGGCAUGCACUGGGAGAAGGGACAGCAGGCCUCCGGAACCCCGCCUCUCGUGAUCCUGUACGGGAGAGGGGCGAUCAGAUUUUUGGGGAGCGCACUCGCACGACUGCUGGCAGCGACGACUUCGCAAACGACGACUUCUUCCCCGACCUCGGCAACCUCAUCCUCGACUUCUGCACCGUAUGUUAUUCUAUCCUUCUUGUUCGAGAUCGUGGUAGAAUUCAGAUUUCUAGCAUGUUCCCUAGAUGUGAUUUGUUCAUCUACUAUUCUAAUUCGCAUGAUUAGUUUAAUCUUUGCUAUUGCUGUCAUGAUCUAUUUCCUAUUUAUUCGGAUUAAAUCUCGUAGUAAUUUGCUCAUUUUUCCAACAGUGCCAUCUAAUAGAUGAUGUAAAUCUCCUCAAGUUUGACGUUGUUGAGCUAAUUUACAAAAAAAACCUCAUCAUUAUUGGAUGUCCUUAACAGCUCAAGAACAAGUUGGGGUCGAAAUAAUGGAUUUUACACUUUUACAUUAAAGGUUUAGCUAAAGCAAGCAGGUGUUUUUAAACCUGAAUUUUUUUCCUCCUGAAUUUCUUUGUAUUUUCUUAUUGACACUAUUUAUACAAUCAUCUGACAAAGAUUAGCUAAAGCUGUUUGUAGAUACGUUCAAACCUGAAAAGCUUCUUUGGUUAUCCUUUUAAUAGUUCUACGUUUAUUUUCUCAUAGGUCUUAAUUCUUAUGUAAUACCAAGAUGCAUUGUGGUAGUGUACAUGUGUUAAAUUCAGGUUGUUAUUCACAAUUUGCGACAAAAUUUAGCUCACGCUACAUUUAAAUAUGUUGAAAUGUGAAAGCUCUUUUUCUUCUCCUUUCUACACCUUGCAUCGGAUUGCAUCCCUUUAGUUAUCCAACAUUUUGUACAACAUGUAGAGAUUAGGAAGUUCAUCAUAGUUUGUCUAUUUCCGUGCUAAUAAAUGUAUGAAAUCUGCAUUUCCAAGCUACUAGGACAAGUAAAAAAUAAUAAUUUUACUAUAGGAUUCAAAAACAGCAGUUCUGAAGUGCACUUUAUUUAUUUGUGAAAGUGAUCACAUUUUGUUUCAUUUUUCUAUAGACAAAUCUACUAAUACAUACUCACGAUAAAACUAUAAAAGUUCUAGUCCGCACAUUGGGCGGGCCACCCGGCUAGUUAGUCUAAAGAUAACAAAAUGAGUCUGGAAUUUGAAUUAAAUUGAAGUAUUUUCUUGGACUAUCCACAUCCUUGGCUUGCCCCUGAUCAAUUAUUUCCAGAGAAGCAUUCAAUUCAUCAAUCAAUUACAUUGAUUUUAGUGGCUGGUACUUCUCCUCGACAUCAGUAUAUUCACCGUGGCCACUCCAAAUCGGCAAGAAUGAGGUACCAGUGCUCUGGAGCAGUGCAAGCUAAUUGCUUCUCAUGUGAAGGGGUGCGGGCGCGGGAGAGGUAUUUCUGGUGGGCCAAGGGAUAAGAAGCGACCGUGGCAGCGGUACAGACGCCCGCAAAGCCCCAUAAUUUGUUUUUGGUUUACAGGAAAAAUGCACAUCCAUACCGGCCUGGGGAAUAUAGCACUGUAUUGCAUGGAAAACCAUGUCCGGAUGGUUGUGAGCGGUUUGAGGGUUAGCUUUUGUAACGCCCGGUUAGUUAUGCUAUAGCAAUUCCCUGCUAAUGAUGUCACGUCACCACGAUUACUGUUGUUAACCUCACAAUGAUUCAAUCCCGUUCAAAUUCAAAUUUGAAAUAAAGGUAAACAUCAAAAGUUUUCAAACAUUAAAACUAAAAUCUUUGAGAGGUGACAAAUAAUGCAUAAGUAAUUAUGGUGAAGAAACCACACUUUAAUCAAAUGUUUAAAUACUCUAAAAUGAAAAAAAAACAGUGACUUAAACUAUUAUUUAAAUGCUUUUAAAAUAGUAAAAAUCUUCUAACUAAAUUAUUUGGGUACCAAACUUUUGGUGGCAGUGGUAUAUUUAGUAGAACUAAUUUAGAUGCUAAUUAUAUAAUUUACAAAAUUAGAGUAAAUUGAAAAAUAGGAUAAAACGGAAAAAGGAAAGACAAAACAAAUAAAAGCAAAAGGGGGCAACCCCUCGCUGGGCCUCGGCCUAGCUGGCCACUAGACUAGCUAGGCUGGCCCCGCCGCCUCCCUUAACCCCCCACUCCCCAUCGAACCCAAGCCCGAUCGCCCCAUUUCCCACACACCCCCUCGCUAGUCUCCCCACCUCUUGAUCCCAUCUGGAUCGGGGAGGGUAUUGCCCCCAUCAACCCCGUUGCCGUCGCCGGAUCGCCCGCCGACGUCGGCAGGCCUCCUCCCCGUCGCCCGUCUCCGGCUCACCUCCCCUCUCGCUCCUCUUCCCCGACCCGAUCUGGAUCGUGAACGAGCAAUGAGCUCGAAGCCCCCCUUCACCAGCGCCAUCACCGUGCGCCACCACCACCACCUGAAGACCUCACCGUCGCUGAACCUUGCGUCGCCUCCUUGUAUCCCUCCCCUACUCGCAUCCUCAAGCCAGGCCGAGCCCCUUCUCGGCAACGCUGUGAGACGCCCCCGUUUCCCUCCUCUUUCCACCGCGUUCACCGCGCCGCCCGCCGUGCCCCUCGCCGUGCAUGAGCCCACCACCGCACCAGCCCCCGCUCCGCGCACGACCCUACCCGCGCCCGCGCCAUGAUCCCCUUUUCCGCCCUACCUUCACGCGCUCGCCGCGAUCCCCAUGCUCCCCCGCGCCCUCUUUCGGGGGCGCCGACUGCCCCUGUCCCGGUGCUCGCCGCCGUGCCUCGCCACCGCUCUACUGCUACGUUACUACUGCGCUGCGGCCGCCGCCUCUUCCCGCUGCUCCGCUAGCGCCGAAGCUCCCGGUUGGCUCCACCACUGCUCACGUUAAACCGCCGGCCUAAAUGGCCUAACCCUCGGCUAAUGAACCCCCACUAACCCACUGACACCGGGACCCACAUUCCCUAAUUAACCAUUUAAUAAAUUAACAUUAGUGUAUGACAUGUGCGUCCCCUGUUAAUUAAUAAUUUUACUGCUAGUUUUAUUAGUUUCUGUUUUUCUGCAUAUUUCUUUUGUAUUUGAACAGGCUUUAUACAAUAAUAUUUAGCGUAUCAUACACAUACAAAUGUAAUCAUAGCAUAUACAUACAAAUAGUCUCAUCAAAUCAUGUCAUCAUCAUAAUCAUCAUCCAUCACAAAGUGGUCUCUGGUCAUCAUCUCGAAAAUAGCGAUACAAGUCUCGAUUACUUGCAACUACAUCGUCAUCCAUCUAAACAAUGAUAUACACGAGAAGAGCUCUCACUAUGAGUGAGAGCGGAACUAUGCAGUACAUGAGUUUGUAUCCCUCUCUCGCAUUAGCGUGAACCUAAACUAACGACUGGCUGUUGCUCGGAAACCGGAAACCGGUACACCUGGGCCUGACACUCCGGCCACUCAUCGUAUACUCCUGGCGUAGCACUUCUUCGCCAUCGAUGAUCUAUGCACCUGCAUCGUCACAUGAGUCGAUGAUAUGCAACAUAUAUAGUUGAGCAACAGAAAGAGACAGACUUGGCAAAAAUAGAAGCAACAUAUCACAAGUAUAAAUAACAAAGUUAAUGUUUUGCAGGAUUACAACUCAACCCAUUGCAGAUUAGAAAACAAGCCCGUAUGAAUGCACAGGCUGACGACUAGUCUAUCUAUACCUAUACCUAUACCUAUACCUAUACCUACCUAUACUAAUUACAGACUCCCAAGGAAUUCCCACGUUAAUUAGUAAUUAGGAGUCGUUAAUCUUGUGGGACCAAAUUAUUACGACAGUCCACGAUCUCUUUUCUCUCUGUGUAAAAAAAGGUCCACGAUCUCUUUUCUCGGUUGUAAAAGAUAAAGGCAACUCAGGUCCACGAUCUCUUUUCACGGUUGUGAAAGAUAAAGACAACUCCCGUCUUCUUCUAAUCUAUAGUUCUAUACCUCCACGACCCCUUUCUCUCCCCAUUUAAAAGGAACAAGCUGAACCAAUAUCUAAGCAUGCAAUUGGUUCCUGUGCGGUCUUGACCUUCCAUCCGUCCACUGCUCGAUCGGCCCUCCCUCAACUACAAGCUGACAAGCCACCAUCGCCAUCCAGCGGCACGCCACCGUUCAUGCAUGUGUUUUUGCCCUUCAAUCUGAAGGAGAUGCGUUGGCUACUCAAGUAACUCUGUUUGUUUUGUUCAAACCAAUUUCGUUAAUUCGGUUCUUUGAUUAUCUAAUUGACAUGGCCUGUGAGUUUUGUGCUAGUGAUACAGGGCCUGUCUACUAGAUUCUCUCCUUGCAACUUCUAUUGUUGUCUCGAUUUGGUGUGGUCAAGAUCCUUGCCCCACCACAAGCAGCACCUUUGCACCAUCGGGGAAAUCUGUCAUAGCAAACAGAGGUAUGUAACAUGCUUUGGUGUUUUCCUCUUUCGUUUAGAUCACUAGAGUUGCUCAACCACACCAUUCAUUGAUUAGUAGUUGGCCUGAGAAGUUGCUCGGUCACCUGCAGCGUCUGAUCCCCUUCUUGACCCUCUCCUUCUGGUCAUUAUCCACCGGCAGGUCAAUGCAAAACGGAUCGUUCGUUGCCGCCACCUUGCGGAGACCGAUGUUUGGCUGCCCUCCUGCCAUCCUGGCACUCUGGUACCGGUCACUGUGCCGUUGUUCUAGAAGAACUAUGUCACACGAAGCGAGAUAUCUUCUUACUAAUCUGGAACAUAAGUGUUUCUUCUUACUAGGAUUCGCUCACCGGUGCAUUCAUCUCUUUUUGGAAAAUACGGCCUUCAUAUUUCACACGCCUAUACAUGGGUGCUGUCCCAACAAUAAUCCAUCUAAUCCAUGAUGCACAUUCAUGAAGACUGAUGUGACUGAAUUAAUAUAUCAAUCUGGUGCUUCCGGAUCAGCACUUGAAGAAGCAACCCCUUUAGUUCAUAAAUUUAUCAUACGAAAGUCAGGGGAAAAAUCAACUAAGUCAUGUGUGCUUUUCUAAUUAAUUACUAUACACUAAUUCCAUUUUUUUCAGUAGCAGGCUAGGAUACGUGGAUUGUGGCAGCACAGAAGUAAACCGAUGAGCUACAUUGGCCGUUCACCAGUCAUCGGAUCAGAAGCCAUGUCGACCAGAGGGACGGAACAGUUCUAUAUUAGGCGAUGGAUACAUGUGGAAGCAACUAAGCAUAUGUGGAUGCAUGUGAUCGCAUAGGUAAGGCCAUAGCUGUUCAAGCCCUACAGGAUCUUUAUUGCUGGUUUUAAUUAUGAGUUUACAACACCAUCUAUACAUACUACUUAUCCAUUUAUUUCCUUACCUUCUUUGUUUCUUUCUCUCCUUGAUCCCCUGUCAAAAGGGCAUCAACAUCCAUAUGCGCAACGGCACACGCAACAAACUAUGACUUCGGUUGCACGUCCAAUGGCAACCACAGUACAUGAUGAUAUCAUGUUUGCUGCAAGACGAAGUACAAGUUCAUAAUUUGGUCUUUUGCAUGGUCCCUUAGUAAAUUAUAUUUGUCCACAUACACCACAUACAUAAAAACAGGUAGAAGCGGUUGCAUGAUGAAAAUGUCCUCUCAAUAUGCAUGCCUAUGAAUACUAUCACCAGAAAGCCAAGGACUAACAAUUAUUCAGGGGUCAAGAUUGAAGACAGACGUCCAAGAUUGGCAGUCGGCCGGCCUAAGAGGGGCAAAACCGUUGUACAUUAUAUUGUAUGGACCUAGCAAGAUCCUAAAGAUAAGUGAUAAUGGAGAUCAUGGGGGCCACCCUUAUAACCAUAUGUCCAAAUGUUCUUAUUUGUUUAUUUUUCUUUUCUCUUUUCGGAAGAAUCCAUCCUGCCUCUAUGGUCAUCCUGACCACUUCGUAUUGUUAUCUAAUCUCCUCCCUUAAUUAAUAUAAAGAAUUACCGCAGCUGAAUUCACUAAAAAAAGUAUUCAGUUUAUUUUAAUUUAUUCAACUAUUAUGGCAUAUCAAUUGGAUUGCAAGUUCUUGGCGGUUGCAUUUGAAUCAUAUUUGAUGUGCACAAAGGCUUCAGUGUCAAGGUGGUCGGACGAGUAUUUAUGUCCAUUAUAUAUGUGUUAGCUUGAGAUCAUCAGGCACCUGUUAUGCAUCUGUCCAGUUAAAAGGAUGUUCAGACUCAGGCUUGCCCUACCAUAUAUGGCUGUGACACUCUGAACCAAGCAAGUUGGUCAUAUGUGUCGAGCACUAUUAACUCUUUGGAAGAGGAUCCACCAAGUACAGGAAACAAAUCAAAUAUCUUCUUAACCUUAUCACCAGAAAAAUUAGCAAGAGAUGAAUAGUAACAUUUUAAAGAAGAAAGAUAUGUUUGAAAAGGGAUAUAUAUUAUGGCGACGAUUAGAAGAGCCCUUGACGAAUGGUGCCUAGCCUGCGAAAGUUUCUUAUGAAUAUAGUCAACACUCUAUAUCAACUGUUGUAAGAUUUUAGAAAUAUUUUUGGGGACAUAUGAUACAUGUCUAUUAUACAUAUGAUUCAACAGAAGUUUGAUUGAAUACAUAUUUAAAACGUGACUGACUUCUAUAUGGACGGAGUAUUUCACAAAGGACUCACUGCCAACUGUGUGAAUAUUCCAAGAUAGUUAGUGCACAUAAAUGUUCAAAUCCAUAGCCUGCAUAAAUAUACAAAAGCAAUGUGUUAGACCACUACACAUGCUUCUGAAAGGAGGCAAAAAAAUGUAUGCUUGAUUGAUGACCGUUCAUGCAUGAAAUUAAUUUCUGAUUUCUAAUUAUUUUGGUCAUAUAAUGGAAAUAGAGACAUUAUAAAGAUCCAACAGCAUGCUAUCACACACGUGUGAACACAGACACACACAAAUAACAUUUGCCGAGCACUCACAAAUAAAAGGUGUGGCUACUCUUGGGUGUUCUACAGCUGGCUUAAAAAAACACGUAUGAAACAUGAUCCCCAAAAAUCUGAAAUUCGCAACAUAUGAAAAUCCACCCUCAAACAUAUUUCUGGUGUCUCAAUUCUUUUAGUUUCAGAUGGUAUGUCCAGCCAAAGUAGUUGUACACAUACAUUACUAUGUUCUAUUAUUUGAGAUUCUAAGACAACAUUUAGUAACUAGCCCGUGCGAUGCACGGGUUCACGACUAGUAUAUAUAAAGCUUAAUGGUGCCUAAGAAAGCUCGCACAAUUUUACAGUGGCUGUGGAGAUGUGUUGCCAAACUGAGACAUAAGAUUUUCGUUUGGCAUCCAGAGUUGCAGACCGCUUGUGUUAUCCUUAAUCCAUGGCCACUCUAAUUUUUCCGGCUGGGCCUUCCCUGUGGUACGGCAGCAAGGCUUGCGUGUGUAUAUGUUUCCUUUAACUACCACUAGCACAUAUGCCCGUGCGUGCGUUGCAAGGGGAGAGAUAAUGGCGUAUCCACCAAUAUAUCUAGCAGCAUGACCCAACAACAUCCGAAUGAUGUCACCCGACGACGGCAGGAAGGCACACACAGAGGUCUAGUAAAAACUCAACAAUUGUACGGGCAUGGUUAAUUCGCGUGAAUUCAAGGGUGUGAGAUUAGUUAGUGUUGGUCCCACAAUUGAAUUCGGGGGCUGAUUAGUUAGUGUGGGCCCACCCUUGAAUUCACCGGGGGAGACAAAAUAAUUAGGGUGAGGAGAGAUUUACGGGGCUUGGUCCCCAGAUGCGUUGCGGCAGUCAUUAUUCGAGCAUUGCAAUGCUCGCACGUGAGGAGCUCUUUUUCCAAUUGUAUAUUGAGAAGCAUUGCUACAGAUACAAUGUUUUUGAUACGUUUUUGUACGAUGAUCCUGAUCUUAAAGGGCCUUCUAAUUUUUAAAUCUUAAAGGCAUUAUUUGUAAGUUGUCGUGAAAAAAAUCUCGCUAAAAGGGUUAUGUUAGACCAUCUUCAGUACAUUAGAAAUAACGAAUUAUAAUUCCUUGGCAUUUGAACAAACAAUCCCUACUUAUUUACACAUACAAUACUUUUGGUAUGAUUUUGAAAUCUUGAAGGCAUUAUUUGUAAGUUGAAGCAAUUUUGAAAUCUCACUAAAAGGUCUGUUAGACCAUCUAUAGCUUUAGAAAUAACUAAUUAUAAUUUUGCAAAAAAAAGAAAUAACUAAUUAUAAUUCCUUAAGCAUCUGACCGAAACGACCCCGAUUUAUUGUCUGGGUAGUAAUUCCUUUGCAACAUUAUUCUCUCCUUUCUUGAAGGAACUCUUGCCUGGGUAGUAAUUCCUUUGCCCACGUAUUUGCAAGGUUAUUCUCUCCUUCAUUUUUACAGGAGCUCUCCUUCCUUAUACUAAUUGGUCAUUAUCCUCUCCUUCCUUUUUCUUUUUGCCAAACUCUCUUUCCAUAUUUAUGCCGCUAACCACGCCACUCUUUUUCCUUAUUUAUGCCCUUUGAUCACGCCACACAUCUCAUGAAAUCUAAGCCAUAUAUAUCACCCAUCUUUUUUCCUUAUUCCGGUGCUUUCCUCACAAACAGUAGUUCUCUAGGAUGCUUAACGAUUUUGAAACAGAAACAUAUAUAAAUCGGUAGAACGGGUUGUAAAGCAGCGAGGUGGUACUAAUUUAUAAAGAAACAAACCUUUUCUUUUUGUGUAAUGAUGCCUUGGUUCGGCUGGUUGCGUUGGGAAAAGGACCGGCGAAGUGGGCGAACCAAAAACGGAUAAAAUUACGGUGGUAAGAAGCGAUAGCCCUUUUAUUAGUAGGUAUGAGGAUGUCUAGGAUGUCUAGGAUGAGGAUUUACUGCACACAAGUGCGGGGGCACUCAGGUCCUGAUGCCGCCUUUUUAUUUUGGCUUCCGAUUUUCAAACUUCUAUAUCUUUUAAACAAAAAAUUCAAUUUAAGUUACGUUUUCAUAUUCGUGCUUCUCGCGGCCAGCGCUUUCAAAUAAGAUCCAUUUUGCAUACAUUUUGGUGGCUUUUGGAAACGGGCGAAUAGCUCCUAUGCGACGUUGUUGGUGUGUAUUGUCUCUCAUGCGACGUUGUUGGCUGUAAUAGCUCUCAUGCGACAUCUGCGUUGGAAAAAAUAGCUCCCAUGCGACACACCAUUUACGCGGCUAGUUGGCUGUUAGUUAGGCUGAGGUUUGGUUAGGACACUGGGGGUUAUGUGCUCUGACUGGUGGGGUCCACCUAUGGUCACGUAGACAAGAGUCAACCGUCCACGACUCGACCUGGGACUGUGUGACCGUGCUCGACUCACCCGUGCUGGACUGAGUGAGCGGUGCCGCCGUAAGCAUCUUCUCCGACAGCGGUUUCUUCUCCGCGGUGGUGGAGCGCAUUUCUCGGCAGCGGCAGAGCUAUUGCGAGGUGAGCCCGAAACCCUAGUCCCACUCCCCAGAAUUUUGGGGGAUCUGUGGCCUCAUGCUGCCCUCUGUUUCUUGGCGAUUUAGAAUCGGGCUCCAUUGGAUCCGGGGGUUGUUUCUUCUCCGUGGCCCGGUGGUGGAGCGCCUAUCUCUGUAGCGGCUAUUGCGAGUGAGUAUUUUCCAAACACUACUCGCAUUCCACUAAAUUUUGGAUAAAUCUGUGGCCUCAUGCUGCCCCUAUUUCUUGGCGUUUUAGAAUCUCGAUUGGAUAGGAGAUGGAGCGAGGGCUGGAUGAGAUGGAGCGAGGAGACAGUGCUUCAAAUCGGUAAUGCCACACUCUUUUCUUGGCGAUUUAGAAUCGAACUCGAUUUGGUAGUGACUGCCGCCGCUGCCUGCCAUUGACAAAACAGGGGAGGUUCAAGUUCUGCCACCACAUUCACAAUUAUAGUGGAAUUUUUUCCCUGUAAAGCCAAGCUCAGUGAUGGCAGUGUCCAAGACAUUGAUAGAGAUACCACCGUGAGGUUCGAUGUCGAAUUUGCAGAUGUUGAUCCCCAGGAAUUGGAGAGCAUGAAGGAGAAGGCCGUGGGCAAUUUGGUGGAGAGAAUUGGGGAGAAUAUUGUUUGGGGUCCAGAACAAGAGGUAUGUCUGCAACGUUUCGAUAACUAUAAUGGUGAAUAUGUGAGAAUUGAAGAUGGAGAAUCCAUGGUUGCUGAAAUUGAUCAGCAAGAAGGGUGGGCAACUAAACAAGUAACAUUUUAUGCAGAGCUAAUUGAUCUACAAACUCAUUCCAGAGUUGGUUAUGUGCAAUCAAAGAGGGCUGCACAGAUGGAAGAUGAUGAGUGGGUUUCACAAAAGAAGAUGUUGGCAUUGUUGACUGAACCGACUGUAGUAGCUGAAGAUACAGGGAUUGAUGCAGAUGGAGAGGAGGGAACCCAUGGUGCUAGGAAGAUUGUUGUUGACUGGAAUGUAGUAGAGUUGAAUGAAAAAACAGAUUUGGUCAUUACACCAAUAUCUGACAUUGAUAUGGCCGAAAUGUUUGGCAUUCAAGUUGAUGACAAAGAUAAGGAGAAGGAUGACAGUUCUUUGCCUGCUGAAGGAACAUAGGCCCUAGAAAUGCAAAUGAGGAUGAAGAACAGCUGAUGAGAGAGGCUGCAGAUGAUGUGGAUGAUGCAGAUGAUAAUGAGUUGGUUUGUUUGUAUGACAAAGAGAACCCAGUUAUUGAGGUGGGAAAGUUGUGGCCAAGCAUGAAGGAGUUUAGGAUGUCUUUCAGGACCUAUGCAGUGAAAAAGAGUUUGAUGCCAAGACUAUGUGGACUGAUUGAAAGAAAUUUUAUGCUCGGUGCAAAGGUUAUGAUGGUGGUGGCAAUCCUUGCAAAUGGUACUUGUCUGCCAGACUACAACCUGAUUGAAGUACAGUAAGGGUAAAUCAAAUACCACACCAGCAUACAUGUAUGACCACUUCACAGAGAGUUUCAAAGAUGACAUCACAGCUUUGGGUUACAGAGAAGAUUACUCCUAUUUUAGCCAAGACUCCAAACACUACUGCAAAGAGGCUUAAAGUUGACUUGGAGAAGCUGUACCCCAUCCAGCUGCAAUAUACCACAGUGUGGAAAGCAAAACAAAGGGCCAUGAAAUCAUUGUAUGGUGACUGGGCAAAUACAUUUAGGAUGUUGUAUAGUUUUAAAGCAGAGGUGGAGAAGAGGUCACCUGGGAGUGUGGUGGAGAUAGAUACAGAGGUAACAGAGGAUGUCAUGGUUUUAUUCAGCAAGUUUUUUAUGUGUUUGAAGCCAUGCAUAGAUGGAUUCAAAGCAGGUUGUCGUCCAUAUUUGAGCAUAGACUCAUCUUUUUUGACUGGAAAGUGGAAUGGUCAGUUGGCUGCAUGCAAUGCUCUAGAUGGACGCAACUGGAUGUUCCCAAUUGCAAUAGGAAUGUUUCAAUCAGAGACAGAGGCAUCAUGGAUAUGGUUCAUGAUGCAACUGAAAAGAUGUAUAGGGCCAGUUUCUCCUUUAGCCAUCCACACAGAUGCAUGUAAAGGGUUCGAAAAUGCAGUAAAAAAUGUUGUCCCCCAUGCUGAGCAGAGGGAGUGCUUUGGACAUAUGUGGAUGAAUCUGAUAAAAAAAUUAGAGGAGAUGAAUUUGGGCGCAUGUGGCCAGCAGCAAGAUCCUACACCAGACAGACACAUUCCUAUCACCUUGGUAAGAUAUUGGCAUCAUGUAGUGAUAAUGAAUUUGCUUCAUGGUUGAACACCCGCCAUUCUCUGUUGUGGUAUAGAUCAGGUUUUAAUACUGCCAUAAAAUGUGAUAAUAUCAAUAACAACUUGGCAGAAAGUUUUAACAACAAAGUGAAGGAUUUGAAAGACUUGCCUGUGCAUGACAUGGUGGACCAAAUAAGGAUCAUGAUCAUGCGUUUGUGGGAGUUGAGAGGAAAAAUUGCUAAUAUUUUGGAAGGGGACAAGCUUCCAGCAGUGGUACAAUAGGUGGUCAACAGGAGUAGAAAUCUUUCACAUCUAUCUGUUGAGAAAUCUUCCUUGUGGGGUGCUGAAGUUAGAGAUACAAAGAGUGGCAAGAGGCAUGUGGUAAAUACUGAGUUGCAUGAGUGUACUUGCCGAGAGUGGCAACACACUGGAAAACCAUGUGAGCAUGCCAUACUUUUUUUGGCAUCUAAACCCAGGUUAAAUAUGCACCCAUAUUUGCAUGAGUAUUAUUCAGUACAAAAAUUCAAAGCUGCAUAUGCAAGUCCAAUUCCUGCACUGACUGACCAAUCUCAGUGGCCUGAGGUGGAAAUAGAAUUUACCUUGUGUCCCCUGUCACUAGAAGAAAGGCUGGGAGGCCUAAACAGAGCAGAUUCAAAGCUUGGUUUGAGAAAGGUGGUUGUAGUAAGAAGGGGAAAAAAGAAAAGAAAAAGAAUGAUAAGCCCAAAAGGGCUCAAAAAGGUAAGAAAAAUAGGUGCAAGUUGUGUGAGGUACUUGGGCACAGAAUUGGUUCAUCCAAGUGCAUCUAUACUCCUCAGAGGACAAAGUAUGUUCAUGUUACUGUUUUUACAAGUUUUUGAUUUUGUUACUUGUUCUAGUAUCUAACCAAGUCAAAUGCUUUAUUUUUUAGGAGGAAGCGUGCAGAAAAAGCCCCACCUCUUGUUGUUGAACAAUGCUGGCCAGUGAAAAAAGCAAGACUCAAUGGCUAUAUAGAAGGAAGAGCACUAAGCAGAUAAUGUUUGGUGACAAAGAUAUGGAGCUAACUGAAACUGUUACUGCUGAACAUGAGCUAAGUGUUUCUGUUUUGGACGAUGUGAUGCAUACUGAAUCUGUUUUGCAGACGCUAGGGCAAUCUGAAACUGUUGCAGAUGAAGCAACGGUUGUGCUGCCAUGCGAAUCUGCUUUGACAACUGUGUUGCCAUGUUUGGAGGUUGUGCUGCCAAGUGUUGAGUUGCAAACUGAAGUAGUUGAACAAUUUGUGCCAUCUACUCAAUCUGCAGAAGUGCAAACUGAAGAAGUGCAAACUGAAGAAGUGGGACAUGGUCAGGUGAAAAAGUUGAGGGGGCCUAGUGGAGUUUGCAAGGGGCCAAAAAGCAAGAGCAUCAACAUCAACAAACUAUGCGCCGUGGAACCAAACGAUGGAAAAAAGCAGAAGAAAUCGAGUGGUAGAAAGAAGCAAAAGAAAUAGAGUCGAAAUCAUUCAAAUUUGAUGUGAAAACUUAAGUUUGUUGUCAUUUGAUGUGAAAACUUAUGUUCUUUCAUGUGAAAACUUAUGUGCUAUGAUGUUGAUUUGACUUGAAAUAAAAUUCAAAUUUGAACCGACAUUCAAAUUUGAACCUAUCUCCAAAUUUUUUUGAGUUCAUUUGUUUGUUCUGUGAUGUUGCAUCGUUUUAUGUACUACUAUGCACUUUGUGAAGUCCAACUCAUAGUCACUGAAAAUGCUGUACAAACAGGCUCCAAAGUAAGGGAAAACGGCCCCAUUUCUAAGCAAGUUUUUUUCGAUCUUCUCAAAAUCACCCAAAAAAGAUUUUCUUAGCUUAUAUUAUACCUAUAUAGGAUCAAUACAAAGUCUCACCUUUUUUGAAUAAGUAUUCAUAUUAUUUAAUUUAUUUUUGAAAAAACACCCUUUAAUACAAAGUCAGCAAUAAAACAAGUUUAAAAAUUUUAAAUGCAAAAAUAACUUCAGAUCCUCCUUAGUCACUCUAAAAUGAAGCUAAGGUGAUGUUUUUUGAUUUUUUUGCAUUUUCAAAACCUCAAACCCUCUUCUCACUCCUUUGAACUCUAUGCAACCUCAGUCGAGAUAGUCCAAUUUGUGAAGGUUUUUUCAUGCAAAGAUCAUUAGAUCAAGUUUAUCAUUUUAUAUCAUAACUAUGUAACAUAAAAAGGCUAUAUGCGCAGGUUUUUCAUUUUUUAGAUUUUUUUGAAUUAGUUAUACACAUUUGAAUGUUCGGUCAAACCUUUCAAAACCCCGUUGACUGCCUCAAAACCCCAUGUAACCCUAGCGCCAAACGUCCACCGUCGAUCUAACCCUAACGCCAAACUGCGGCCGUCGGAUGGGACUUCUAGAAGGAUUCCGCGGGGGCGAUCCAUGGGCUCCAAUCUGAUUGGCCAUUGUUUUUUCUCUCUGACGAACAGAUAACGUUGAGCGGGGGAGCAUCUAAGUGACCGUUGGGCCGAGUGGAUUGGGCCUGGCAAAGCCUGGCGUGCGUGCACACGGCUGUUGAGAGGGGGGAUGGGCUGCAUGCGAGCGGGUCAAUGACAUGUGGGCCAUCCUUGUCCCAUGCAUGCCAUGCAACGUCGCAGCCUAGCUAUUCUUUGCUCGUGAAAGCCUAGCCAUUUGCAUGCGGGCUUGCAUGCACGCAUCGACGCAGAGUACGGCAAGGGUGCAGCGUAUAGGUACGUCGCAUCUAAGCUAUUUUAACAAAUGCAUGUUUGAACGAGAUGGACGCGUCGGUGGUGCAGCUCCUUUUUCAGUGUCACGCGCGGAUGAACGGGCCUGUUUCCCAUGCGGCAUCACCGCCGAUGCAAGUGCCCGUGCCUCUUUGGAUGCUCUGGCCGCCGUUUUUUGAAUUAAUGCCCGCAAUUACUUAUGCCAUGCGAACGGAGAAGAGAAAAAGAUCGAGAAGGGGCACCGUGUACACAUUGACCAUGGUUGCAAUGCGGCUAUAAAAGGGCACCAUUUCCUCAUCCUCUCACACUCAUCUCUCAAGCCUCCUCCCCUUCUUCUUUUCGAGCCAAAUCCACCACUCGAGCCACCAUGCAGUUCAACGGCCCUACCUACCGUCGCCCUUGCACCGUGCCGGAGAGGCAGUACCCAGCCGGAGUCGUCGUGGAGAACAGCCUGAGGGUGUGGGCCAUCUCUAGGUGGAGGGGCCCUAGAGAGUUGGCUCGCUUCUUCCUCCAAGCUGGCUACCGCCACCUCCCUCCGGGCACUCCGCCCAUGUUCCACCUCCACGAGCAGUACGAUGGCAAUGCCGGCCCCGACGGCUUCGUCAUCGGCCUCUAUGUCACCUUCACCAACCCCUACGACGCUCACCACCUCCCCGGGGAGGUGUUCUGGUGUGGAUGCGAGUUUAUCGCGUUCACGACCUACAACAUCUUCACCAACUUCCACCACAUCUUCCCUCACCACAACGGCAUGCACACCCUCCCCUAUCAGAUGCCGGAGGACGACGAGUGAGGGGCCCAAGGAGGAGGGUCCAAGGAGUGGCAAGGAGGAGGGGCCAAGGAGUUGUUCAAGCGGCGAGUCUUCUAUCUAUCUAGUUUGGGGCUCUAGUUUGUGUUUGUGUUGGUUCGGGCGUGUGUGCCCGUGUCUUUUAUAUAUCUAGUUUUAAUUAUUUUACUUUCAUGUUUUAUGAACUAUAUGUAGUGGGGGGAUGCCCCUCUAUAAGUUUUAUCUAUCUAUGCUACUAGGGUACCCGAUGCCCCUCUAUCUAUCUAUAUGUUUUUUCGGUCCUAAAGUUUCUCCAUUGCAUUUUAUUUAUGUGGCCAUGUGUACUAAAAAACAAUUGAUCUGGUAUCUAAAAUGUACGUUACCAAGAAAUUGACAAUAAAGAUUAUAUACUGUACUACAUAAUCAUACAGUUGGUAUACAAUGCAUUUGAAGACAAUGGGCAAGAAAAAUGCUAAUUAUCUGGUGCUGGUGACAUGCGUAAGUGUUGUCUGAUGUUUAAAUCAUGCUUGCUAUGUCAUUUUUUGCUGCCAAACAUGGCAUUAGCGAGAAAGGUCAUUUGGGCACUGAAUGUAUUAAAGUAUACACCAUAUAUAAAAAUGUCUAGCCAAAAGAUUUGGGUGUACAACUGUACACCAAUGACCAAGUAUGGAUCCGCCCCUGGUUGUAAGGGGAUGCCCCUCUAUGUUGUAAGGAGAUGCUACUAGGGGCACACUAGAUGUCUUCUUUUUUUGAGAGAGGCACAACCUUUUUCGGUUGAAACACACGAGUAAAAACUUUGAAAACACCAUAGCACAAGUAAAAAAAUAUAUUAAGAAAUGGUGCUUGGUUGAAAUAAACUAGAACCAAACAAUUGCAACUUUCUUGGUUCACAAAGACUGCUCAAAUAAUUAUCUCAAAUAGCUUAUGCAUAAAAAUAUCUCAAAUAAUUAUUAGAUGAGUUAUCUCAAAAAAGGUGACUGCAGGAAACUUAAAAUUUGUGAAAUGAUCUAAAGCCGAAAAGAUAUAUCGAUGAAUUAUCUCAAAUAGCUUAUGCAUAAAAAUAUCUCAAAUAAUUAUUAGAUGAGUUAUCUCAAAAAAGGUGACUGCAGGAAACUUAAAAUUUGUGAAAUGAUCUAAAGCCGAAAAGAUAUAUCGAUGUCAAUGACCGUGUGCACUUUUUUUGCACUCCUUUUAUCAAUGGGCCUGGAUAUGUUCUAUUCGGCCCUGCCUAACUUCUAUAUGGGCCUGGCCUUUUCGGGCAACUAUGGACGAACCUUUUUUUUCCUUUUCUCCCUCUACCACUGAAACUGAAACUGAUGACGAACUGAAGAACUAAAAAACGGGGCCGAAACAGAGUGGAGAGGACAUGCUGAAUUCGUACAACGCAACACUUUUAUUCAAAUAUACAUAUCAUUAGGAUUACAAAUGAUGCCCAAUCUAUUCACUUACGACUAAUUAUCAUCACAUAAACAAAUGCGAGAGCAAUUACACAAACAUAAAAAAGUCCGGCCAUCAGCCCCAUCAAAUUGCCCUGCUUCUGCAAUUUGAUGAGUUUCUUCAUCUGCUUGUUUAGCUUCUUCAGCUCUGCCGUCACUACUGCAUCCCCCACAGUAGCCCCAAUGGAAUGGGCACAUCCAGGGGCCCCAGAUCCAGAAGCGCCCGAUCCAAACUUGCCCAACUUCUCCACCUCCAGCGGUAAAUCGAGCUCCCCUGAUGCACCCUCCAGUUGAAUCCGCUCUAUGUACUCAUUUAGCCACUCAAAAUGGGUGCAUUGCUUCAAUUUCUGAAAUUGGAAAGAUGAACCCUAAAUCCCAAAUCCGAUGAAAAAUGGGGAAAAAUUGUGAUAUGAAAUUGGGAUACAAAAACCAAAAUUGGCAUAUUGAGAAGUAAAAUCUCACCUUUCCCUGCUCUGGUUUGCUCUCGCAUUUCACGAAUUCCCGCCCAAGGUUGCCAUUCUUGUCGGUCGUUGUGACUAGCCGCUUCAGGGGUGUGAUACGUGGGCCUGCAGGGCACCUUGUCAUGGGCACUGCGCCAUAGCGCGGCCAUGAGCGGCGGGAGGCUGAAGCGGAGCUCGACAUUGCUAGGUCGCGGCCCGGAACGGCGUUGCUGCGCGUCGUCGCCGGAGAAGAAGAACAACAACGGUCGGGGAGGGGGGGUGGGGGCGGGGGCGAGGAUGGGCCACGGCUCGGGCCACGGCUCGGUGUCCUCUUGUACCAAUGCUGACCUGGAUAAGUUAGUGGGUCCCACGCAGUGGGUCCCGCUCACCUGACCAAUGCUGAGUUGGAUAAGUUAGUGGGUCCCGCGCUGUGGGUCCCGCUCACCUGAUUCGAGUUUUAAACAUGUGUCUUUGGAUUAGACAGCAGUGUCGCAUGGGAGCUAUUUUUUCCUAUGCAGAUGUCGCAUGAGAGCUAUUACAACCAACAACGUCGCAUGAGAGACAAUACACACCAACGAUGUCGCAUAGGAGCUAUUCGCCCUUUGGAAACAUUGCUAAGUUUCAUUGUUUGAAACUUAGUACGAGCGACCGAUAAAAUUUAAUUAUUUUGUGUCUACGACCAACAGGAGAAAUUGCUUAAAAUUACAUCUUUGAAACUGGUCAUUUUUUGAUGCAAAAAUGUAAGUUUCAUCAUUGAAACUUAAGGGCAUGUCCAAUGCUGGAUGCUUAUCCAGGCGCUUAUCGUGUGGAAAAAAAAAAUGCCACGAAGUUAGCUCUCGCUUGUCCAACAGCCAAUGCUAACAACGGGCGCUAACCACGGCUGGAGCUAUAGAUUAGAAAGAAAGAUCUGGUUCACUUGUACGUGAAAAAAGGAGCAAGCGCUCGAUGCCUUGCUUUGCAUCGAUGCCAGACUGAGGUGCUGGGAAUCGACAAGAUAACCGCCAAUCUACCAGGAUUAAAUUCCUAGCGCCUUCUUCUAGCGCCUCCCACUGAAAAUGCCCUAAAGGUUUUUGAGGGAUUUUUUUACUGUGUCCUACUUCACGUAUCACGAGGCAAAUCAAGUAGGCGGCAUGGCCUGGCCGGUGAGUGCCAUUGCACUUACUUGCCCCAGCGAUUUUCCGCCUGCAUUGUAGAAUUCUUUCUCCGAGUCCUGUGAAUUAAAGAUGGUGCAGACAAAAGUAUAUCCUAUAUGCGUACAUGUGCAUGAUCAGAACAUGUUUUUACGUGCGUCUACUAUAAAUCAUGACCAUUUUUAACACAAAUCAUGACCAUUCAUGAUUAGUGAAUCAUACUGUCUUAACUUAUGUGAAAUCAUGUGGAGUAAUAUAAUAUAAUAUAAUAGAUAGAUAGAUCCAUGUUGUAUCAUUACACAUUUUGAUUUAUGCAUUUGUUUACAAAAAAAACAGUAAAAUUUCAUGGUGAAAAGUUUGUAUUGUUUCAUACUGAACACCAAUGUUUUCCCGUAAAAGAAAAUAAUGCCUACGCAUAUGCUUUUAUAUUAUUAUUAUUCUUUCAAACUUAUUCAUAUAGUAUUUUUGAUUGUGCAACCAUAAUUUUUAUUAUCUCUCUUGUUCCACUACAUGCUCUUACUCAAUGAUUUUUUUAUAAUGGGUGUUUUUAUUAACUCAAAAUAUAGCAUCAAGCGGAUACAAAACAUAACGAGCCACGUCCGGUCUCUGCAUAACUAAGAUGCACACAGCCAAAAGCAGAAGUCUGACAAAAAUAAGAUAAGAAAAUCAACAUAUCGACAACAGUGAGUCAUAUAGUUCCGACACUAUGCCUCUGUUGAAGGACGGGGUGGAGCGAUCUGGAGAUUAUGCUUCCCUCCAUUUUGAGUAAAUACCUCCCUGGCCACUUGUUCCAACCGCAUAGACGCCGCCACGAAUAAUGGUUGGUACUCUGUUCGGUGUAGCAUACACCAUGUAGGAAGUGAGUGCUCACUCCUAGUUACUAAAUUAUGUACACACUAGUAGAAAAAGGGCCAUUUGUCCCGGUUCGUAAGGCCCAUUUGUCUCAGUUAGGGAACCGGGACUAAAGGGUCGGUACUAAAGCCCUACACCUUUAGUCCCGGUUCUUACACCAACCGAGACAGAUGGGGCUCCACGUGGCCGCUGCGGCUUGCCAUGGCAGGGGGGCCUUUUGUCCCGGUUGGUAGCACCAACCGGGACCAAUAAGCUACCACGCGUCAGCAUUUGAGGGGCUUGGGUUUUUGUUUUUUUCUGAAGGGGGGGAGGGGGGUUGGGGGUUUUGGGGGGUUUUGUAUGGUUAAUUUUGGGGGGUUUCAUAUAUAGUGUUAGGUAGUAAUUAAUUAAUAGAGAGAAGUGUCCUCUCUUAUCUCCGUGCUUGGUCGACGCUACGUACUAUACGUAUAGAGAGGCCCUCGACACGCUUGCCAGUAAGCAAAUGAAGGAAACCAUUAAGUACAGAAGUUCGUCAUGAACAUAUGCAUACAAACAUAAGUGAUAUCGACCUCUCCUUCUCCGAGAGAUAGGUCGAAGAACAAGUUUCCGUAUAUCUAUCCGGCGCUACUAGCUACAUAUAUACAAUAUUAAGAUCUCUUACAAUAUAAUCCCCUAAUUAUAUAUGAACUCAGCUUCCAGAUGGUAUUCUCCGGCUUUAUUGAUGACGUGGUCAAGAAAGAAUCCCUCCAAUUCCUCUUGAAUUGCUUUGAUGCGAUCUUGUGGUAGGAGUUCAUCCUGCAUCUGCCACAUCUAAUUUGAAGAAGGGGGUCAAUCACUAGUGGAAUAACAGCCAUUUGUCUAGGUUCGUAAGGCUCAUUUGUCCCGGUUGGGGAACCGAGACUAAAGGGUCGUUACUAAAGCCCUACACCUUUAGUCCCGGUUGUCGGUGUCAAAACCGGCGGAUCUCGGGUAGUGGGUCCUGAAUUGUGCGUCUAGGCCGGAUGGUAACAGGAGGCAGGGAACACGAUGUUUUACCCAGGUUCGGGCCCUCUUGAUGGAGGUAAAACCCUACGUCCUGCUUGAUUAAUAUUGAUGAUAUGGGUAGUACAAGAGUAGAUCUACCACGAGAUCAAGGAGGCUAAACCCUAGAAGCUAGCCUAUGGCAUGAUUGUUGUGUAUGGAGUUGAUUGCCUACGGACUACAACCCUCCGGUUUAUAUAGACACCGGAUAGGGUUAGGGUUACAUAGAGUCGUUUACAAUGGUAGGAGAUCUUGAAUAUCCGCAUCACCAAUCUUGCCUUCCACGCCAAGGAAAGUCCCAUCCGGACACAGGACGAAGUCUUAAAUCUUGUAUCUUCAUAGUCCAGGAGUCCGGCUGGACGUAUAGUCCGGCUACCCGAACACCCCCUAAUCCAGGACUCCCUCACCGGUUCUUACACCAACUGGGAGAGAUGGGCCUCCACGUGGCCGCUGCGGCGAGCCCAGGUAGGAGGUCCUUUGGUCCCCGUUAGUGACACUAAUACGUCUCCAACGUAUCUAUAAUUUUUGAUUGCUCCAUGCUAUUAUGUUAUCCAUUUUGGAUGUUAAUGGGCUUUAUUUUACACCUUUAUAUCAUUUUUGGGACUAACCUACUAAUCGGAGGCCUAGCCCAAAUUGCUAUUUUUUGCCUAUUUUAGGUUUUUGAAGAAGAGGAAUAUCAAACGGAGUCCAAACGGAAUGAAACCUUCGGGAACGUGAUUUUCUCAACGAACAUGAUCCAGGAGACUUGGAGUGUGCGCCAAGAAAUAAGGGAGGAAGGCACGAGGCAGGGGGGCGCGCCUACCCCCCUUGAGCAUGCCCUCCACCCUCGUGGGCCCUCCACUGCUCCACCGACGUACUUCUUCCUCCUAUAUAUAUCCACGUACCCCCCAAACAACCAGGAGCACCACGAAAACCUAAUUCCACCACCGCAACCUUCUGUACCCGAGAGAUCCCAUCUUGGGGCCUUUUCCGGAGGGGGCAUCGAUCACGGAGGGCCUCUACAUCAACUGCAUGGCCUCUCCGAUGAUGUGUAAGUAGUUUACUUCAGACCUACGGGUCCAUAGUUAUUAGCUAGAUGGCUUCUUCUCUCUCUCUUUGGAUCUUAAUACAAAGUUCUGCUCGAUUUUCUUGGAGAUCUAUUCGAUGUAAUCUUCUUUUGUGGUGUGUUUGUCGAGAUCCGAUGAAUUGUAGGUUUAUGAUCCAGAUUAUCUAUGGACAAUAUUUGAUUCUCCUCUGAAUUCUUUUAUGUAUGAUUCGUUUAUCUUUGCAAGUCUCUUCGAAUUAUCAGUUUGGUUUGGCCUACUAAAUUGAUCUUUCUUGCAAUGGGAGAAGUGCUUAGCUUUGGGUUCAAUCUUGCGGUGUUCGAUCCCAGUGACUGAAAGGGAAGCGAUAUGUAUUGUAUUGUUGCCAUCGAGGAUAAAAAGAUGGGGUUUAUAUCAUAUUGCAUGAGUUUAUCCCUCUACAUCAUGUCAUCUUCCUUAAAGCAUUACUCUGUUCUCUUGAACUUAAUACUCAAGAUGCAUGCUGGAUAGCGGUCGAUGUGUGGAGUAAUAGUAGUAGAUGCAGAAUCGUUUCGGUCUACUUGUCUGGGACCUGAUGCCUAUAUACAUGAGCAUACCUAUAUAUUCUCAUAACUAUGCUCAAUUCUAUCAAUUGCUCGACAGCAAUUCGUUUACCCACCGUAAUACUUAUGCUCUUGAGAGAAGCCACUACUGAAACCUAUGGCCUCGGGGUCUAUCUUCUAUCAUAUUAAUCCUCCAAUACUUAGUUAUUUAUAUUUCUAUCUAUUUUACUUUCCAUCUUUUAUUUCUCUUUAUCAUAAAAAUACCAAAAAUCUUAUCUUAUCAUAUCUAUCAGAUCUCACUGUUGUAAGUGACCGUGAAGGGAUUGACAACCCCUUUAUCGCGUUGGUUGCGAUGUUCUUAUUUGUUUGUGUAGGUUCGUGGGACUUGAGCGUGAUCUCCUACUGGAUUGAUACCUUGGUUCUCAAAAACUAAGGGAAAUACUUACGCUAAUUUACUUCAUCACUCUUUCCUCUUCAAGGGAAAACCAACGCAAUGCUCAAGAGGUAGUGUCGGUGUCAAAACCGGCGGAUCUCGGGUAGUGGGUCCCGAACUGUGCGUCUAGGCCGGAUGGUAACAGGUGGCAGGGAACACGAUGUUUUACCCAGGUUCGGGCCCUCUUCAUGGAGGUAAAACCCUACGUCCUACUUGAUUAAUAUUGAUGAUAUGGGUAGUACAAGGGUAGAUCUACCACAAGAUCAAGGAGGCUAAACCCUAGAAGCUAGCCUAUGGUAUGAUUGUUGUAUAUGGAGUUGAUUGCCUACGGACUACAACCCUCCGGUUUAUAUAGACACCGGAUAGGGUUAGGGUUACAUAGAGUCGGUUACAAUGGUAGGAGAUCUUGAAUAUCCGCAUCGCCAAGCUUGCCUUCCACACCAAGGAAAGUCCCGUCCGGACACGGAACGAAGUCUUCAAUCUUGUAUCUUCAGAGCCCAGGAGUCCGGCUGAAGGUAUAGUCCGGCUAUCCGAACACCCCCUAAUCCAGGACUCCCUCAGUAGCCCCUGAACCAGGCUUCAAUGACGACGAGUCCAGCGCGCAAAUUGUCUUCGGCAUUGCAAGGCGGGUUCCUCCUCCAAGUCCUUCAUAGAAGAUUGUAAGCACCAAGAGUAGUGUCCGGCUCUGCAAAAUAAGCUUCCACAUAUCGCCAUAGAGAGAAUAAUAUUAACACAAAUCAAAUCUGCUGACGUAUUCCGCAGUGCGUCAUCACACUACAGCCAAGUCCUUCACUCGAAUCGUUUUCACUUUUCCACCUCAGCGUGUUUUGCGAGGCGGUUUCCUUGGCACGUCUUGUCAAAGCAGAGAUCGUGUCCCCCUUGUUUACGGGAUUCUCGUUAAUACGGACGUGGGUAACCCAACCGCGCCACUUAUCACGGCGCUUGGGAGGCAAGCGAGUUUUACUAGGCUGGUGGGGACGCAUAGUCGCAUCCGCCCAUAUAAGGGGAUAAGGAUCCACCUUUUUACCUACGCCUUCUUCCUCCUUUGCCUAGCCAUCUUCUGCGCACCCGAGCUCUAGCGCCCCAGCCCGCGCUUCCUACCUCAACCCUCUCCAACAAUGUUCGGAGCGGGAGGCAAGUGGAUGGUCUCCUCCGUCACGGAGGGCCAUGUCAAAAGGUUAAGGAAGGCCGGAUACUUGUCCAAAGACAUCGCGCACCGGCUUCCUGAGGAGGGGCAGCUUCUCCCCACCCCAAGGCCCCAUGAGAGGGUAGUAUUUCUUCCCCACUGCCUCCGCGGACUGGGUUUUCCUCUCCACCCAUUUGUCCGCGGGCUCAUGUUCUACUAUGGCCUAGAUUUCCACGAUCUGGCCCCGUACUUCAUCCUCAAUAUCUCGGCGUUUAUCAUCGUGUGCGAGGCUUUCCUCUGCAUUCGCCCCCAUUUCGGCCUCUGGCUCACGACCUUCAACGUCAAGCCAAAGGUGGUGCGCGGUAACCAGGCGGAGUGCGGAGGUGCCAUGGCGGGCAAAAUUGCCAACGUCCUAUGGCUCGAGGGCUCCUUUGUGGAGACCUUGAAGGGGUGGCAGUCAGGGUGGUUUUACAUCACCGAGCCACGCGAUCCGAAGUGGAUCGCAGCCCCUGAAUUCCGAUCCGGACCCCCUACGCGGCUCAUGUCCUGGAAGGAGACGAGCUUGUCGUGGGGCGACGAAGGAGAGUUGACCAGACUGCAAAAAUGCAUCCAGUCCCUGGUGAACAAGCAGCUCAAGCUUGUCAACGUAAUCUAGGUCAUGCUCGUCCGCCGGAUUCUUCCGUGUCAAGAACGGGACUUCAAUUUGUGGGAGUUCAACCCGGCGCAACACCGAACUCUGAGAAGGCUCUUCAACACGACGUACGAAGAUGUCUGGAGGGGGCUAACCAAAGGCGCCGAGACUCCCACAUCCGCCUCCGAAGACCGCGGAUUCAGCUCGCAGCGUCCUGCUGGCGAGGUAAGAUAUUUCCAUCUUUUACAGGAUGUUAAGCUUUUUCAUAGUUGACUCUAUGCGGGAUCAAAACUCCCUCACCUUUGACAGGAUUGGCGGGAGAAGUCCGGACAGAUUAAAUGCCCGGCUCCCUUGCCCGAAGACCUAGCCCCUGCUCUCCUAGAGAAGCUGCUGGUUUCGGCACCUUAUGUGGUGCCGGAGAAGAGGGCCAAGAAGAAGAAGGCCACGGGGACUCGAAAGAGUUCCUGGCAUAUGGUGGUGUCGGACUCGUCGUCCGACCAGUCCGAGACGCACUCCUCCCGUGAAGACGAGGAGGAAGAGUGUCGGACUCGUCGUCCGACGAGUCCGAGACGCACUCCUCCCGUGAAGAGGAGUGGCCGGACUACGUCCCCGACGCCGACGAGGACGAAGAGGAGUGGCCAGACAGGGCCAAGCAUCCGGCGAGAUCGUAAGUGUUCGGAUACCAGAGUAACUCGUGAUAUUCCUUUUGUUGCACAGCUUUCCCUAAUGUCGGAUAUAAUCAUGCAGUCCGCCCAAGGAUGGGCUCGACGAGUCGUCGAGCGGCUCCCUGGAUUCAUCGGACGUGAAUUCAGUUCCGCCUACUGCUUCCCCCUGUGCUGCAGAUGACGCCGAAGUGGCGUCGCGACAAGCUCCGGGACGAGAGGAGGUGGUCCAGGAGGAGUCGCGAGGUGACCUCCCGGACUCCAGGAGUGAAGGGGACAAGACCCCCCUGGGAUCCAAGUUCGGCUUUAAGCCGGACACUGAGAUGGAAUCAUCAACAGUUCCGGACUGCGGUAGGCGAACUCCUACCAGGAGGAGCAAGCCUACUGAGCCGGCAUCCUCCGUCCAGCCGGAGGCGCCGGACAAUCUGCUGGAGGAGCUUAAGGGCGCCUCCACCGACGAGGAGCACCGUGCCGUCAUGAGUACGGUGAUCCAGAAGGUUCGGUCCGCCAAAAGCGGACUGACUGAAGCUUGUGCUGGCCUUCUAACAGGCUUCGAGGUAAGUAAAAAUAUGUAAAAAUAUUACCGUAUAGACAGUAGCCCCUGAUGCUCUGUUUGGCGUUUGUAAAGAAAAGCCAAAUAGAGGAUCUAUUAAAUAUCGCAGGAGUCUAACUAAAAAGGAGUCAAUAUAUGUAUGCAGGCUUCGCUGCUGGCCACCGCCGCACUGACUGCGGAGGUGGGUGCCCUGAAGGAGGGCCUCCAGCGGACCGAGCAAGAGCUCGGCCUUGCCAAACGGCAGCUCGAGGAAAAAGAAUGUAAGAGAUACCUUACAGAAAAAGUGCCUAUAAAAAGGCUUGAUUGCAAAAAGAGUAGCAGGAUUGUACUGCUUAUUGUAGGGGCCACGACUGAGGUGGCGACCUUUAAGCAGGUGUUGUCUGAGGCCGAAAAGAAAACGGCCGCGGAGCGCACCGAGCGAGACAGACUUGGGGCUCAGGUCAGCGAGGUGCAGCAAGAGCUUCAGGCUCUCAUGAAAAAACAUGAGAGUUUGAAGCUGGAGUCGAAGGCGCAAGCAUCCGAGCUUGCAACGGCCCUAGAGGCUGCCAAGUCUACCAAGGCCGAUGCCCUAAAGACCCUCCAAGAGUUGGAGGAGAUGAGGAAGAUAGCAACGGGUAAGGCAUUCUUUAUGCAAAGCAGAAAUAUAAAAGUGAACUACCUGUUACUUACCCGAAUCCGAAGCUCUCCAGGGGCAUUCGCAGAUCUUCCCUGCAGCGUAUCCGAUGCCGCCGCAUUAUACCAAGCUGAAGAGGGUAGCUCGACGGAGAAGGUGUUCUGGUUUCAGUAUUCUGAGGCCGGACACCCUGUGCCCUUGAGCAACCAGCUGAAACAGCUGGUUGAGCUCCACAAGGCGGCCAAGCAGGCCAUGAAGGGCUUCAUAGUUCGGCUGUGGCCUGGAGAGGCCCUACCUGGGAGCUAUCUCGGGCUGGUGCGGCGGCUGGUGGAGGCCUGUCCGAGGCUUGAGGUCAUCAAGUGCUCCGUCUGCAUCGAUGGUGCCCGUCGGGCCCUUGCCCGUGCAAAGGUGCACUGGGGUAAGCUGGACGGUGAGAAGCUUGUGAAGGACGGGCUGCCGCCGGGGAAGGAGCAUCGCAAGCCCGAGAACUACUACAAGGAUGUUCUUGCAGGUGCCCGCCUUAUGGCGGAUCAAUGUACCAAGGAUGUGAUAUUUGAAUGAACUCGCUCGUGUUUAUCUUGUGCGCUGAAAACUUGUUCAUAUGUGCUAAGCAAUGCUUAUUGAAUUUAAAAUAUUACUUUCUGUGCGGCCAUUUAUCAAAAAUUGAGAGAUGGCCAGUCGUCGGCUUCUGCCCCCGUGCCACUAGUGCUGGGGUGUUCGGGAUAAACCUGAGCGCUCUUUUUCCCAUAGUUGGGUCCUUCGAGGGAGGCGCUCAGCACAACGAACCAGGCAAUCGGACUAUAAUGCUUGAACACUCUCACUUAGCCAUAGAGCUCUAUAAUUUUAAAUUUCGGUGAAGCCCGUAGUUCGGAAGACCGAGUUCGGGGCGCUAUCCACGCCUUGGCCGGACAAAGCCGGCUCCUCGCUCGAAGCGGCAUAAGCCUUUAGGGACUCGAAAAACCUCUCGAACAGCGAUCGGUCUCUCGCCACAUCAUGACAGUCAGUUUUAGCUUUCUCCACUCAGGUGCUUAACCCAGGUGAACCGGGGCACAAUCGCAGUGGUUCUCCUAGUGCUACCUUAGCCGAUAGAGCGGAACGUAAGGCACCAAAACAUAGGAGCCACGCAAACCCAACUAUUGACCCAAAUCAUGAUUCGGAGCCGAUGCAUAUAGUGCUAUAAGUUCGGGGUGCCGCACUUGUGAAAGUGUACGGACUUCUCACACCAUUAUGAGCGGUACUGAAGCCCCUGGCAUGUUUGCCAUACCAUGGUGUACGGGUGCAAUCAUGUCAUUUAAUAAACAUAAAUGUGAAAAGAAGAUAAUGCAAAAAAUAGACUAGAAGCUAAGCAUUGUUUAUAGAGAGGCUAUUUAUCAAAGCCGAACGAUACAAAUAGUGCGGUAAGCAAAAGAUAUUGGACUAUUCAGUAUGUCCUGACCAGGGGCAGGCCGCGGAAUUGUAUUUAAAACAGGUAUACCGCUCGUAACAGAGACCACCUGGGAGUUCCAUAAUGCGUCAUGGCUUGUCUGCCUCCCUGGAUCUUGCAUCGUUUGUGCGGCAGUCGAAUUGCCGAACAGGUCGUCCGAAGUAUGGAGUCCUGAAAGAAGAAAAAAUUAAAAAAAGAAUCCGGCAGCCCCUAGUACGUAUUAAGCCGUAUUUUGGGCGUGUUGUUAUUGUGCCCCUUCCCCUGUGCCCAUGGUAUUUCAAGGGCGUAGUUAUGUACGUGAGGUACUGGUUUCGCUAUGUUGCGAAAGCUGGGGUUGGGGCCGCAUUGCUACGCUUGCUUAGAGUGUGCCAGGCAGUGUCUGGCUUUUUAAUGGCCGGACUGGAGAAUUGCCUGAGAAGGCUACUUUGUACCUCCGCUGCGAGAGCCGCCGUAUGCUCCUCCAUAUGGAGGGAGCGUUCGGUGUUUCCGUUGAACGUAAUUACUCCUUGAGGGCCUGGCAUCUUGAGCUUGAGAUAUGCGUAGUGCAGCACCGUGUUGAUCUUUGCGAAUGCGGUUCGUCCGAGCAGGGCAUGAUAGCCACUGCGAAACGGUACUAUAUCGAAGAUUAACUCUUCGCUUCGGAAAUUGUCCGGGGAUCGGAAGACCACAUCAAGUGUUACUGAGCAUGUACUGUUGGCUUCUACACCUGGUAUAACGCCUUUAAAGGUCGUUCUUGUGGGCUUAAUCCUUGAGGGAUCUAUGCCCAUUUUCUGCACUGUAUCCUGAUAAAGCAGGUUCAGGCUACUGCCGCCGUCCAUGAGGACUCUUGUGAGAUGAAAUCCGUCGAUGAUCGGGUCGAGAACCAAUGCGGCGAAGCCGCCAUGACGGAUGCUAGUGGGAUGGUCCCUUCGAUCGAAAGUGAUCGGGCAGGAGGGCCAUGGGUUGAACUUUGGGGCGACUGGCUCCAUCGCAUAUACGUCCCGUAGCGCAUGCUUCCGCUCCCGCAUGGGAAUGUGGGUUGCGUAUAUCAUGUUCACCGUCCACACUUGUGGGGGAAAGCCCUUCUGUCCAUUGUUGUUCGGCGGCUUGGGCUCCUCGUCGUCGCUGUGCAGCCCCUUGUCUCUGUUUUCGGCCCUUAACUUGCCUGCCUGCUUGAACACCCAACAAUCCCUGUUAGUGUGAUUGGCUAGCCUUUCGGGGGUGCCAUGUAUCUGGCACAAGCGAUCGAGUAUUCGGUCCAAACUGGACGGGCCCUGAGUAUUCUUUUUGAAUGGCAUUUUCCGCUGACCGGAUUUAUAGCCUUUGAAUCCGGCAUUGACUGCCGUGUCUUCAUUGCUGUCGCUGCUAACGCGGCGUUUUUGCUUAUUCCGAUGUGUCCUACCACUUUUGUCCUUGGUAUCCGAAUUACCAGGGUGCUUUGAUAAGUUGUUACUGCGAGCUAGCCAGCUGUCUUCUCCCGCGCAAAAGCGGGUCAUGAGUGUCGUGAGGGCUGCCAUGGAUUUCGGCUUUUCCUGUCCCAGGUGCCAGGCAAGCCACUCGUCGCAGAUGUUGUGCUUCAAGGCUGCCAGGGCCUCUGCGUCCGGACAGUCGACUAUCUGGUUUUUCUUUGUUAGGAACCGUGUCCAAAAUUGUCUGGCCGAUUCCUCUGGCUGCUGAAUUAUGUGGCUUAAGUCGUCGGCAUCCGGUGGUCACACGUAAGUGCCCUGGAAGUUGUCGAGGAAUGCGGCUUCCAGGUCCUCCCAAGAACCGAUUGAGUCUGCUGGCAAGCUGUUAAGCCAAUGCCGGGCCGGUCCUUUAAGUUUGAGCGGGAGGUAUUUGAUGGCGUGUAGAUCAUCGCCGCGUGCCAUGUGGAUGUGAAGGAGACAAUCCUCGAUCCAUACCGCCGGAUCUGUUGUGCCAUCGUAUGAUUCGAUGUUUAUGGGUUUGUAGCCCUCUGGGAUUUUAUGAUCCAUUACUUCAUUCGUGAAGCAUAGCGGGUGUGUGGCGCCUCUGUAUUGGGCUAUAUCACGACGUAGCUCGGAAGAGCUAUGUCUGUUGUGUUCGGCCCGGCCGGAUUUGUUGUAUCCAGAGUGAAGAUCAUUUUCCCGUGCCUUAGUUGAGAGGUGUCGGGGCAUGGCUUGGGUGGAGGGCCGAGACGCCUCUCUGUCGCGGCCGCGAGGUGGCCGGUCUGCCAUGUCAUGCGCUGGUGAUGUAGGUGCUUCCUCCUCUGAUCGGGGUAGCGGCCUAUGCUUCGGGUAACUCUUGGAGGGGCGUUCGAGUUCAUACUCUUCGGCCGCAAGGACUUCAGUCCAUCUGUCAGCUAGCAAAUCUUGGGCAGCUCUAAGUUGUUGCUGCUUUUUCUUGAGGCUGCUUGCCAUGGCUAAAAGCCUGCGUUUAAAAAGCUCUUGUUCGGCGGGGUCUGAUGGUAUGACGAAUUCGUCGUCAUUGAGGCUUGCCUCGUCUUCGGAGGGAGGCGUAUAGUUAUCAUCCUCGACCUUUCCGUCUGCCGCUCUCUCAUCAGGGCUGGCUUCUCCAUCUUCCUGUGCCGAAUCUUGCUGAGGUGGGUGUUCUUCGGCGCUAUCCGGGGUAGUAUUAUCUCUCAUGUCGGAAUCACCGUUUUUGCUUUGGCGGGAUUUAGAGCGGCGCCGCUGGUGCCGGCGCUUUGGCUGUUUCUUGGGGGCGUCAUCCCCCACUGUUCCAUCGCCAUCUCCAUCUUUUGGAGUAUCCACCAUAUAUAUGUCAUAUGAUAAGGUGGCCUUCCAGCGCCCUACAGGUGCUGGUUCCUGUUCGUCUCCUACAUUGUCGUCCAUGCCGUCGAUGUCUUUGGAGCUGAAGUCAACCAUGUAGGUUAGACCGUCGAUAAUGGCUACAAAGUGGGUGGUGGGUGGGCUUUGAAUUUCCUCAUCGUAUGUAUCCCACCCUCGCUGACCGUAGUCCGGCCAGGGCUCUCCUGAUAAAGAGAGAGACUUAAGAGAAUUCAGGAUGUCGCCAAAAGGCGAAUGCUGAAAGAUGUCUGUAGCGGUGAACUCCAUUAUCGGCACCCAAUCGGAUUCGAUUGGCAGGGGCGCGGGGGGUUCGGAGUCCGGGGAGGAGUCCGGAUCCUCGGAGUCACGGGUCGUGCAGAGUGCGGGGCUAGCGUUCGGCUCGAUCGCUUUCGGGAUCGCAGCCCCCGAGGUGACGUCCAACCGCUCAUCCUCGAUUGGCGCAAUAGGUUCCGAGUUAGGGGUCGGAACCGAUGCGUGUGCGGCCUCCAGGACACUGGCCGGGGGCAGAGCUAGAUCAUGCCCCUCGGGAUAGUGCGGCGUGCUUGGCCGUGGCUCGAGCCCGUCGAAGAUCAAGUCUCCGUGGAUGUCAGCCGUGUAGUUUAAGCUUCCAAACCUGACUUGAUGGCCAGGGGCGUAGCUUUCGAUCUGCUACAGGUGGCCGAGCGAAUUGGCUCAUAGAGCGAUGCCGCCGAAGACGAAGAUCUGUCCGGGGAGAAAAGUCUCACCCUGGACCGCAUCGUUGUUGAUGAUCAAAGGAGCCAUCGGGCCUAAAGGCGACGAGACAGAGGAACUCUCAAUGAAAGCACCAAUGUCAGUGUCAAAACCGGUGGAUCUCGAGUAGUGGGUCCCGAACUGUGCGUCUAGGCCGGAUGGUAAUAGGAGGCAGGGAACACGAUGUUUUAUCCAGGUUCGGGCCCUCUUGAUGGAGGUAAAACCCUACGUCCUGCUUGAUUAAUAUUGAUGAUAUGGGUAGUACAAGAGUAGAUCUACCACGAGAUCAAGGAGGCUAAACCCUAGAAGCUAGCCUAUGGUAUGAUUGUUGUAUAUGGAGUUGAUUGCCUACGGACAACAACCCUCCGGUUUAUAUAGACACCGGAUAGGGUUAGGGUUACAUAGAGUCGGUUACAAUGGUAGGAUAUCUUGAAUAUCCACAUCGCCAAGCUUGCCUUCCACGCCAAGGAAAGUCCCGUCCGGACACGGGAUGAAGUCUUCAAUCUUGUAUCUUCAUAGCCCAGGAGUCCGGCUGAAGGUAUAGUCCGGCUACCUGAACACCCCCUAAUCCAGGACUCCCUCAGGUAGCAAGAUGGAUUUCUGGCGCCAUUGCCGGGGAGAUUCGCGCCAAGUCAAGACAUACCAAGUACCCAUCACAAACCCUUAUCCCUCGCAUUACAUUAUUUUCCAUUUGCCUCUUGUUUUCCUCUCCCCCACUUCACCCUUGCCAUUUUAUGCGCCCUCUCUUUUUCCGUUCCCCUCUUUUCCACUUGCUUUGUCGUUAUGGCUAGUCCUUUAUCUACUCCUUUGUCUCCCGAGAAUGAAGUUCUUAAUUUUAAACAAAGGGAGGGAGAAAAUCUAAAAGAUGCUUGGUACAGAAUUUGCAACACACAAAUUAGAUCUACUAGGAAACAAUCUACUUUUGUUCUUCUUCACGAUUUUUAUGUAGGCAUCACACCUUGGAAUAGAUAUAUUCUUGAUGCCAUUACCGGAGGGAAUUUCUUGGGUAGCCAUACUUUUGAUUCUUAUAAUGCUAUGAUAGAUCUGUUUGGCCCACCACCUCUUUUGGUUAAUGGAACUAUUUUAACUUUGGAACAUGUGAUGCAAUGGCUUGAAAUUAGUGAAAAUAAAGUUGCCACCAUAGAGUUAAUUGAAAAUUUGGAUAGAAAGAUCCAUAACCAAAUUACCCAAUACGGAUCUAAGUUAGGAGUUGCUCUUAAAAGUUUUAAAGAAAAGGGACCUAUGGUUAAUGAAAAGAUAGAAAAGGAUUCCACUAGAAUUGAUAAAAUUGAGGAUAUUAUUACCAACCUUGGGUCUUCCUUUUCUUCUAUUAUAAAUACUCCGCCUAAUGCUAAGAUUGCCAAACUAAUGUAUGUUACAAAAAAUAAGGGUGAAACUUCUAAUAAGGAAAAUGCGGAUCUCAAAUCCAUAAGUGUUCACCCCAAUUUUCUCACUAUCCUUAAGGAACCUUUUGCUACAAAUGAUUUUCUUGAUUUCAUACCUAGGAGUUUGAUAAUUAAUAAAAACAAAGAAACUCCUAAAAGUUAUUGGUGUGUUAUUGAAGAAUCACCUUCCAAAGACGGCAAUACCUAGGUCUAUCUUCGCUUUUAUGCCUAGCUAGGGGCGUUAAACGAUAGCGCUUGUUGGGAGGCAACCCAGUUUUACUUUUAUUCCUUGAUGUUUGCUCCUAUUUAGUAAUAAAUAAUUUAUGUAGCCUAUGUUUUGGUUGUGUUUUUUGUGUUUAAUUUGUGUUUGUGCCAUGUAGAACCAUUGGGUAGACUUGGGGAAAGUCUUUUUGAUCUUGCUGUAAAAAACAGAAACGUUAGCGCUCACGAGAAUCGCUGACAUUUUUAUUUGGAAAGUGAUAUUUAGAUAAUUCUUUUUGCGGAUGAUUAAUAGAUAAAUUCCUCACGUCCAGCAAUUUAUUUUAUAAUUUUUGGGGUUACAGAAGUUCGCGUUAGGUACAGAUUACUACAGACUGUUCUGUUUUUGACAGAUUCUGUUUUUCGUGUAUUGUUUGCUUAUUUUGAUGAAUCUAUGGCUAGUCAAAGAGGUUAUAAACCGUAGAGAAGUUGGAAUACAGUAGGUUUAACACCAAUAUAAAUCAAGAUUGAGUUCAUAACAGUACCUUGAAGUGGUGUUUUGUUUUCUUUCGCUAACGGAGCUCACGAGAUUUUCUGUUUGAGUUUUUUGUUGUGAAGUUUUCAAGUUUUGGGUAAAGAUUUGAUGGAUUAUGGAACAAGGAGUGGCAAGAGCCUAAGCUUGGGGAUUCCCAUGGCACACCAAGGUAAAAUUAAAGGACACCAAAAAGCCUAAGCUUGGGGAUGCCCCGAAAGGCAUCCCCUCUUUCGUCUUCGUCUAUUGGUAACUUUACUUGGAGCUAUAUUUUUAUUCACCACAUGAUAUGUGUUUUGCUUGGAGCGUCUUGUAUGAUUUGAUUAUUUGAUUUUUAGUUUACCAAAAUCAUCCUUGCUGUACACACCUUUUGAGAGAGACUCACAUGAUUGGGAAUUUAUGAGAAUACUCUAUGUGCUUCACUUAUAUCUUUUGAGCUAUAUGGUUUUUGUUCUAGUUCUUCGCUUAUAUAUUUUAGAGAAUGGCGGUGGUUUUAUUUUAUAGAAAUAAUUGUUCUCUCAUGCUUCACUUAUAUUAUUUUGAUAGUCCUUUAGAACAACAUGGCAAUAAUAAAACUGUCAUACAAGUGCAUUGAAUACUAUGAGAAGUUUGAUACUUGAUAAUUGUUUUGAGAUAUGGAGAUGGUGAUAUUAGAGUCAUGCUAGUUGUGUAGUUGUGAAUUUGAGAAAUACUUGUGUUGAAGUUUGUGAUUCCCGUAGCAUGCACGUAUGGUGAACCGUUAUGUGACGAAGUCAGAUCAUGAUUUAUUUGUUGAUUGUCUUCCUUAUGAGUGGCGGUCGGGGAUGAGCAAUGGUCUUUUACUACCAAUCUAUCUCCCUAGGAGCAUGGGCAUAAUACUUUGCUUUGAUAACUUAUAGAUUUUUGCAAUAAGUAUGUGAGUUCUUUCUGAGCAAUGUUGAGUCCAUGGAUCAUACGCACUCUCACCCUUCCACCAUUGCUAGCCUCUCUAAUACCGUGCACUUCUCGCCGAUAUCAUACACCCACCAUAUACCAUCCUCAAAACAGCCACCAUACCUACCUAUUAUCACUAGUGCAGAACCGGGCAAUAGCACCGGUUCGUAAGGCCCUUUAGUGCCGGUUUAGGAACCGGCACUAUUAUUUCGGCACUAAACCCCCCCCCCUUUAGUACCGGUUCAGCACGAACCGGUGCUAAAGGGGUACCACGUGGCACGAGCCAGCUCCGGGGGCCGGGAGCCCUUUAGUACCGGUUGGUAAAACCAACCGGUACUAAAUGGUUGUGGGUUUUUGUUUUAUUUUGUAUUUUUCAAUUAAAUUUGUGUUAUCAAUUUAAAUUAGGAUUGUUUUACGUUAUAAUGAGUUGUAGUCGUCAUCAUCAUCAUCAUCAUCGCAUAUUAAUAAAUAAAUAAACUCUAGCUAGCUAAAAAUCAUCGUGGUCGUCUAAUUACCACUAUUUAAUCAUCAUAGUCAUUACCGCUAGCUAUGUAAUCAUCAUCAACGUUGGCUAGCUUAAAGAGGAAACAUUCACUUUGUAACAGAAGCAAAGAGAUAUCAUCAAGUUCAACAUAAUCAUCACCAACAUCGAAGUUCAGGACACGGAUCCAUGAGACGAGUACUAAUUAAGAGCAUGAAGUAGUAGCUACUGAUCCUGCUUCUCCCUCUCAGGUAGAAUAGCACAGAACAUGUAUAGCUCUCCUGAUUCAUCAUACUGAAGCAUGCAGAUGAAUCUGUCUCCUAAUCUUGGGUUGCGCUUCUCCUUACUGCCCCCUAGUACUUCUCUGCGAUCGUUAACAAUUUUGCUCCAAUCUUUCACUAUUAAGCAUUCUUCGCUUUUAGAAAUCCUGAAUGCACUCAUGUGCAAUGUAGGAAAUCUUGGUCGUAAGCUAACCAUUGACAUGCGACCUUUUGUCUCGAUCCACUAAGGCACAACUGUCAUCGGAAGUCCCUGUUGAACAACAUCGUAUAGUAAUUAAUAUACUAAGCAAUGAAAGUUUAGCUUUAAAAAUAAUGUACGCAAAAGAUGCACUAAUUAAGGACAAAUAUUUAAAAUCUUACCAUCUUUUGAUUAUAGAUGUGACCGUAGUUCAAGGCGAUCACCAUUGGUCGCACGUUUUGAGUACUAACAUUUCUAAGUUUAGAAAAAAAAUUGUCUUGACAGUAUUAAGAUCCUCAAGCCAUGAAACACAAUGACUUAUUUCCUCGCAGUUUAGUUGAGCCCCGAGGUAGUAGUAGGUCCUGUCUACCAAGCGCCGGACAUGUUUGCUUGAACCGAAAUAAGCUGACAAUACACAUCAGUUGUCAACUAUUUUUGAAUAAACUGUACGAAAGACAUAAACGUAUAUAUGCAUGCAUGGUUGAGAAAAACUCACCAAAUGGUAGAACUGGAGGCGUUUGCACAUCGACCCAGAUGUCUAUAUUACCUUCAAUAUCAUCUUCCGGACGAAUAUCAAAGGUGAUAACCAUAUCAGGCUCAAAUGCAUAAGCCUUGCAUAGUGCUUGCCAAGUUUUGCAUUCAAAAUGGGUGUAUGUGCCUCCAUUAUAUAAUUUGACGUUGAAAGUAUACCCAUGCUCCGUCUUCAAGUAAACUCUCUUUACCUCCAUAUCAUCUAUAGCACUAAAACCUAUCUUAUAUAAUACAAAAAUUCUUGUAUGGCAGGGGAUGCGCUAGUAGAAUAGUGAAAAUUUAAAAUUAUAAGUUGAAGCAAAUGAAGCAUAAGUUUUGCAUUCAAAUAAUAAUUGACAAAGUGGCUUACUGUAUCAACUUCAAAUGUCUCAUCCAGCUUGAUGUUGAAGCGCCUACCAUCAACAAGGAAAUUUUGGUCGCACAGGCCGCGCUGGUCUUCACAGUGUUCGCACAUAAUAAAAUCUUUUUAGUUGUCAGAUGACAUUUCCUAUGUUCAUAUAGGUGAAACAUUAAACACCUAUAUCUAGCCAAAUAUAUAUUCAUCUAACAUUUGACAUUAAUAUAUCUAACUAUAUAUUCAAUUGACAUUACUAUAUAUUUAACUUUUCUAUCUAAUUCAUCUAACAUUCGACAUUAAUCUAACAUUUAUAUAAACUCAAAAUAUAUAAAAAAUUAAAUAAACAGAAAAACUCAUUAACAAAUAAUAUUUUAAUUAGAUCAUCAAAUCUCAUAUACCUAAAUUUUCUUACUAAAAAUAAACUAGUUAUAUUAAUUAUUCAACUAGUUCUAAUCUNNNNNNNNNNNNNNNNNNNNNNNNNNNNNNNNNNNNNNNNNNNNNNNNNNNNNNNNNNNNNNNNNNNNNNNNNNNNNNNNNNNNNNNNNNNNNNNNNNNNNNNNNNNNNNNNNNNNNNNNNNNNNNNNNNNNNNNNNNNNNNNNNNNNNNNNNNNNNNNNNNNNNNNNNNNNNNNNNNNNNNNNNNNNNNNNNNNNNNNNNNNNNNNNNNNNNNNNNNNNNNNNNNNNNNNNNNNNNNNNNNNNNNNNNNNNNNNNNNNNNNNNNNNNNNNNNNNNNNNNNNNNNNNNNNNNNNNNNNNNNNNNNNNNNNNNNNNNNNNNNNNNNNNNNNNNNNNNNNNNNNNNNNNNNNNNNNNNNNNNNNNNNNNNNNNNNNNNNNNNNNNNNNNNNNNNNNNNNNNNNNNNNNNNNNNNNNNNNNNNNNNNNNNNNNNNNNNNNNNNNNNNNNNNNNNNNNNNNNNNNNNNNNNNNNNNNNNNNNNNNNNNNNNNNNNNNNNNNNNNNNNNNNNNNNNNNNNNNNNNNNNNNNNNNNNNNNNNNNNNNNNNNNNNNNNNNNNNNNNNNNNNNNNNNNNNNNNNNNNNNNNNNNNNNNNNNNNNNNNNNNNNNNNNNNNNNNNNNNNNNNNNNNNNNNNNNNNNNNNNNNNNNNNNNNNNNNNNNNNNNNNNNNNNNNNNNNNNNNNNNNNNNNNNNNNNNNNNNNNNNNNNNNNNNNNNNNNNNNNNNNNNNNNNNNNNNNNNNNNNNNNNNNNNNNNNNNNNNNNNNNNNNNNNNNNNNNNNNNNNNNNNNNNNNNNNNNNNNNNNNNNNNNNNNNNNNNNNNNNNNNNNNNNNNNNNNNNNNNNNNNNNNNNNNNNNNNNNNNNNNNNNNNNNNNNNNNNNNNNNNNNNNNNNNNNNNNNNNNNNNNNNNNNNNNNNNNNNNCGGCGGCGGGGACAGCGACGAUGACGACGGACGACGGUACGGGCGACGGGCGGCGACGACGGGAUCGAGCGGUCCGCGCGGCGGAGGUGGGAGACGAAGUGGGGAGUUGAAACUGAAAUUUUCGUAAGUGCUAUAUAUAUAUAUAUAUAUAUAUAUAUAUAUAUAUAUAUAUAUAUAUAUAUAUGAUUGGCCUUUAGUACCGAAUCGUGGCUCCAACCGGUACUAAAGGCCUAUUUUCGCCAGGCCAAGCGGCGGGAAACGAAGGCUUUUAGUACCGGUUGGAGCCACCAACCGGUACUAAAGGGGGGCCUUUAGUACCGGUUGGAGCCACCAACCGGUACUAAAGGCCUUGCGCUGCCACCCCAAAAUUUAGUCCCACCUCGCCCGGCGAAGGGCAGCCGCACUGGUUUAUAAACCUAGCCGCGGCUACCUCUUCGAACUCCUCUAUAUAGCAGCCUUCUGGGCCUAAUUAAUUAGGGCGCGCUGCCAUGUGAGUCUGCUGGCCCUUCUGGGCCUGCAUUUGCACACCCUAGGUCUGGUAGACCCACAGGGCAGUGCGCCAACAAAUUUUUUAUAUAGUUUUAUCUUUUCUGCAUUACUUAUUUUCUUUUAUUUAUUUUUGAGUAGUUUUUUAUAUAGUUUUUGUUUUCUGCAUUAUUUAUUUUCUUCUAUUUAUUUUUGAGUAAUUUUUUUGUAUAGUUUUUUUAUUUUCUGCAUUACUUAUUUUUGCAUAGUCCGAAACCCUGAUACUCGGAAAGAGUUUGUCCAGUUUGUACACGAAGUGCGUCCAGUUUUUGCCGUGACCCUCUCUACUCUUUCGCGCAUGCUAUGCGGGUGAUACGAUGAUACCAUGCCAAGUUUCAACAUUUUCAGGAUUCAUUUUGUAGUGAUUUUCAAUUUCACGGUCAUUUAGCUCUCUAAACAAUUAGGUAAAUGACUGAAAAACAACAAAUGAUGUCAGAACAUGUUGAAAAUUGAUGACGUCGCUUUAAAUGCUGCAUACUGAACACAAAAGAAGUCCGGAGUACAAAUAAGUUUAAAAAACAUUGAAGUGGCCAUGUAACAGAUGAGUUCUCGUCCGAAACCCUGAUACUCGGAAAGAGUAUGUCCAUUUUGUACACGAAGUGCGUCCAGUUUUUGCCGUGACCCUCUCUACUCUUUCGCGCAUGCUAUGCGGGUGAUAUGAUGAUACCAUGCCAAGUUUCAGCAUUUUCAGGAUUCAUUUUGUAGUGAUUUUCAAUUUCACGGUCAUUUAGCUCUCUAAACAAUUAGGUAAAUGACCGAAAAACAACAAAUGAUGUCAGAAUAGACUGCACUGCACAUAGCUCAGUGUAGACUACACUGCACAUAGCUCAGUGCAAUCUAUGUUAUUCCGCAAGGCUUGAAGCUAAUCAACAUGUAGAUGAGCAUUGCAAUUCUUCGUCAUUGUCUGUGCACUCACGGCUUAUAAACCGCUCAUACUGCCUCUCUCUUGGCGAGGUGGGACUAAAAACAACUUGCCAUAACCUCAUCAAUUUCCUCUUGAAGCUUGUCCUUGCCUUUUUGCUUGUAUUCUUGUGGUGGAAGAUCAUCUUGAGCUUGUGUCCCCUUGAAGGAAGUAGGAUACUUCUCUUGUUGAGGAACAAACUUUGUCUUGGGGUAUUGAUCUUCUUCCCACUCAACUCCAUUGGCAUUGAACUUUCGUUCAAAACCAACACCUUGAUUCUUCCAGUGCCUUCCUUGCUUGCGCACAAUUUCCUCGAAUUGCUUACUCCCGGCAAGGCUUUUGUACAUUCCUUUCUCUAUAAUUCCCUUCAAUAAGCUAUUUUCUUGCUCAAGUGUAACUUGGCUAAGAGAAUCAUUAGUGGAAUCAAGAGAACUACUAGAAGCAACAAUGUUAGAUCUUAUGUCACAAAAAAGAAGUCGUAUCAAACCUUUUAUGUCGGAUCUAGAACAAACCAAUCGGUAUCGCCAUCAUACAGCCCUACCGUGGCUUGUGAUGCAUAUAUAUAUGCAUAUCAAAUGCACGGUUGGGCGUAUGAUGGCGAAUCCGAAUGAUUUGUAUUCAGUCGAUGAACUGGUAGAUGUAUGCAGUCGAUGAACUGGUAGAUGUAUGUAGUCGAUGAACUGAAAGACUUAUGCAGGGAAGGCGAGAGAUGGGCUAUAUAUAGGGUCGUCUGGCUCACAAAGUGAUUGUGGUAGUUUCGAUCCAACGACUCACAUGAGCUAGGAAGAAGCACACCCUUGAUCCAACGACUCGCAAGAGCUAUAAAGAAACACACGAUCCAUGUGAUUCUUCCUGAUUGGUGGGAUGCACAUUAGUAUCGGUUUGUGCCAUGAACUGGUGCUAAAGAUUGGCAAUGAACCGGUACUAAUGGUAGCAGCCCGCCUAGCCGUUGGAAUCGGCACUAAUGGUCACAUUUGUGCCGGCUCAAAUUCAAACCGGCACUAUAAUGUGCUUCACAUUUGACUGUUUUUCUACUAGUCAAUAGAGUUUGCCAAACUUGAGUUUCCCAAGUCACUUACACAAAAAGCUAUGAUUCAUGGUUGUCAAAUCCAUAAUUUACAAACCACAACAACCUUGAGGCAUAACAAGCUUUAAAUGCUGCAUACUGAACACAAAAGAAGUCCAGAGUUUAAAUAAGUUAUUAAAAAUAAAAAAGAGGUGCAAUGCUGGUUAAUUUGCUUCAAGCUAUUCGGAAUAGUGUAGAUUGCACUAAGCCACUGCACAUAGCUCAGUGCAAUCUAUGCUAUUCCGCAAGGCUUGAAGCUAAUCAACAUGUAGGUGAGCAUUGCAACUCUUCGUCAUUGUCUGUGCACUCACGGCUUAUAAACCGCUCAUACUACCUCUCUCUUGGCGAGGUGGGACUAAAAACAUCUUGCCAUAACCUCAUUAGUACUGGUUCAUGGUACGAACCGGCACUAAAUGGUGAUGGUGGGGCCAUAGCCUGACCGCAGGCUGACACAGCCUCUUUAGUACCGGUUCGUGGCAUGAACCGGUACUAAAGGUUCGCCACGAACCGGUACUAUUGAUCGCCGCCACGAACCGGCACUAAUGUACACAUUAGUGCCGGCUCUAAUUCAAACCGGCACUAAUGUGCUUCACAUUUGACCCUUUUUCUACUAGUGUAUGGCAUUUCCAUAGCCAUUCCGAGAUAUAUUGCCAUGCAACUUUCCAUCGUUCCAUUAUUAUGACACACUUCAUCAUUGUCAUAUUUGCUUGCAUGAUCAUGUAGUUGGCAUCGUAUUUGUGCAAAGCCACCAUUCAUAAUUCUUCAUACAUGUCACUCUUGAUUCACUGCAUAUCCCGGUACACCGCCGGAGGCAUUCACAUAGAGUCAUAUUUUGUUCUAAGUAUCGAGUUGUAAUUCUUGAGUUGUAAGUAAAUAAAAGUGUGAUGAUCAUCAUUAUUAGAGAAUUGUCCCAAGUGAGGAAAGGAUGGAGACUAUGAUUCCACAACAAGUCGGCAUGAGACUCCGGACGAAAAUAAAAAAAGAGGGAAAAAAGAGAAAGGCCAUAAAAAAGAAGGCCCAAAAAAUGAGAGAAAAAGAGAGAAGGGGCAAUGUUACUAUCCUUUUUCCACACUUGUGCUUCAAAGUAGCACCAUCAUCUUCAUGAUAGAGAGUCUCCUAUGAUAUCACUUUCAUAUACUAGUGGGAAUUUUUCAUUAUAGAACUUGGCUUGUAUAUUCCAAUGAUGGGCUUCCUCAAAUUGCCCUAGGUCUUCGUGAGCAAGCAAGUUGGAUGCACACCCACUUAGUUUCUUUUGUUGAGCUUUCAUACACUUAUAGCUCUAGUGCAUCCGUUGCAUGGCAAUCCCUACUCAAUCACAUUGAUAUCUAUUAAUGGGCAUCUCCAUAGCCCGUUGAUACGCCUGUUCUGGAGCUCCGCCAGAGGGGGCAUCGAUCACGGAGGGCUUCUACAUCAACAGCAUAGCCUCUCCGAUGAAGUGUGAGUAGUUGACCUCAGACCUACGGGUCCAUAGUUAUUACCUAGAUGGCUUCUUCUCUCUUUUUGGAUCUCAAUACAAUGUUCUCCCCCUCUCUUGUGGAGAACUAUUCGAUGUAAUCUUCUUUUUGCGGUGUGUUUAUUGAGAUCGAUGAAUUGUGGGUUUAUGAUCAAGUCUAUCUAUGAAUAAUAUUUGAAUCUUCUCUGAAUUCUUUUAUGUAUGAUUGUUUAUCUUUGCAAGUCUCCUCGAAUUAUCAGUUUGGUUUGGCCUACUAGAUUGAUCUUUCUUACAAUGGGAGAAGUGCUUAGCUUUGGGUUCAAUCUUGCGGUGUCCUUUCCCAGUGACAGCAGGGGCAGCAAGGCAUGUAUUGUAUUGUUGCUAUCGAGGACAACAAGAUGAGGUUUUCAUCAUAUUGCAUGAGUCUAUCCCUCUACAUCAUGUCAUCUAGCUUAAGGCGUUACUCUGUUUUUAACUUAAUACUCUAGAUGCAUGCUGGAUAGCGGUCGAUGAGUGGAGUAAUAGUAGUAGAUGCAGGCAGGAGUCGGUCUACUUGUCUCGGACGUGAUGCCUAUAUACAUGAUCAUACCUAGAUAUUCUCAUAAAUAUGCUCAAUUAUGUCAAUUGCUCAACAGUAAUUUGUUCACCCACCAUAGAAUUAUUAUGCUCUCGAGAGAAUCUACUAGUGAAACCUAUGGCCCCCGGGUCUAUCUUUAUCAUAUUAAUCUCCUACUACUUAGUUAUUUCCUUUGCUUUUUCCUUUGCCUUUAUUUUACUUUUCAUCUUUAUCACAAAAAUACCAAACAUAUUAUCUUUAUCAUAUCUAUCAGAUCUCACUCUCAUAAGUGGCCGUGUAGGGAUUGACAACCCCUAUUCGCGUUGGUUGCGAGGAUUUAUUUGUUUUGUGCAAGUACGAGGGACUCGCGCGUAGCCUCCUACUGGAUUGAUACCCUUGGUUCUCAAACUGAGGGAAAUACUUACGCUACUUUGCUACAUCAUCCCUUCCUCUUCGGGGAAAACCAACGCAGUGCUCAAGAGGUAGCAAGAAGGAUUUCUGGUGCCAAUGCCGGGGAGGUCUACGCAAAAGUCAACAUACCAAGUACCCGUCACAUACCCUUAUCUCCCGCAUUACAUUAUUUGCCAUUUGCCUCUCGUUUUCACCUCCCCCACUUCACCCUUGCCAUUUUAUUCGCCCUCUCUCUCUCUCUAUCCUCCCUCUCUUUCUCUAUUUGCCUCUUUUUUCCCGCUUGCUUUCUGUUUGCUUGUGUGUUAGUUGCUUGCUUGUCACGAUGGCUCAAGAUAAUACUAAAUUAUGUGACUUCACCAAUACCAACAACAAUCAUUUUAUUAGCACUCCGAUUGCUCCUCUUACCGAUGCUGAAUCUUGUGAAAUUAAUACUGCUUUGCUGAAUCUUGUCAUGAAAGAUCUGUUUUCCGGCCUUCCUAGUGAACAUGCCGGUACCCACCUAAAUAGAUUCAUUGAUUUGUGUGACAUGCAAAAAAAAGAAAGGUGUGGAUAAUGAUAUUGUUAAAUUGAAGCUAUUUCCUUUUUUGCUUAGAGAUCGUGCUAAAGCUUGGUUUUCGUCUUUGCCUAAAAAUAGUAUUGAUUCAUGGAAUAAGUGCAAAGAUGCUAUUAUCUCUAAGUAUUUUCCUCCUACUAAGAUCAUCUCUCUUAGAAACAAUAUUAUGAAUUUUAAGCAACUUGAUCAUGAACAUGUUGCACAAGCUUGGGAGAGAAUGAAACUAAUGGUACGUAAUUGCCCUGCCCAUGAUUUAAAUUUGUGGAUGAUUAUACAAAAAUGUUAUGCCGGAUUGAAUUUUGCUUCUAGAAAUCUUUUAGAUUCGGCCGCGGGAGGCACUUUUAUGGAAAUCACUUUAGAAGAAUCUACUAAACUCCUAGAUAAUAUUAUGGUUAAUUAUGCUCAACGGCAUAGUAAAAUAUCUAAUAAUAAAAAGGUGCAUGCGAUACAAGAAAUUAAUGUUUUGAGUGGAAAGAUGGAUGAACUUCUGAAAUUAUUUGCUAAUAAGAGUGUUUCUUCUGAUCCUAAUGAUAUACCCUUGUCUACUUUGAUUGAGAAUAGUAAUGAAUCUAUGGAUGUGGAUUUUGUUGGUAGGAACAAUUUUGGUAACAACGCGUAUAGAGGAAAUUUCAACCCUAGGCCUUAUCCUAGUAAUCUCUCUAAUAAUUAUGGUAAUUCCUACAACAAUUCUUAUGGAAAUUAUAAUAAGAUGCCCUCUAAUUUUGAAUCUAAUAUUAAAGAAUUUAUUACUUUGCAAAAGAAUUUCAAUACCUUGAUUGAAGAAGAACCGCUAGGAUGCGUGCUAAGAAAGAUGCCUUUAUAAGAGCGUGUUCUUCUAGUUCCUAUGAAAAUAAUGAUGAAGAUCUAAAAGUUAUUGAUGUGUUCCCUAUUAAAUCUUUGUUUUUCAACAUGGAUCUUGAUAAUGAUGGGAUUGAAUAUGAUCCACCUUUACCUAUAAGGCGUUCCAAGAAUUCAGAAUUUGUUGAUCUUGAUGCUAAAAUUGAUAAAGGUGGGAUUGAAGAAAUUAAAACCCUAGAUGUUGCUAAACCCACUAUUAUGGAUUUCAAGGAAUUUAACUAUGAAAAUUGCUCUUUUAUUGAUUGUAUAUCCUUUUUACAAUCCGUGCUAAAUUCUCCUCAUGCUUAUAGUCAAAAUAAAGCGUUUACUAAACAUAUCGUUGAUGCCUUGAUGCAAUCUUAUGAAGAAAAACUUGAAUUGGAAGUUUCUAUCCCUAGAAAGCUUUAUGAUGAGUGGGAACCAACUAUUAAAAUUAAAAUUAAAUAUCAUUAAUGCUAUGCUUUAUGUGAUUUGGGUGCUAGUGUUUCCACGAUUUCAAAGACUUUGUGUGAUUUGUUAGGUUUCCGUGAUUUUGAUGAUUGCUCUUUAAACUUGCGCCUUGUGGAUUCCACUAUUAAGAAACCUAUGGGAAGAAUUAAUGAUGUUCUUAUUGAUGCAAAUAGGAAUUAUGUGCCUGUAGAUUUUAUUGUUCUUGACAUAGAUUGCAAUCUUUCAUGUCCUAUUAUUCUUGGUAGACCUUUCCUUAGAACGAUUGGUGCAAUUAUUGAUAUGAAGGAAGGAAAUAUUAGAUUCCAAUUUCCAUUAAGGAAAGUCAUGGAACACUUUACUAGAAAGUAAAUUAAAUUACCUUAUGAAUCUAUUAUGAUAGCCACUUAUGGAUUGCCUACCAAAGAUGGCAAUACCUAGAUCUAUCCUUGCUUGUUAUGCCUAGCUAGGGGCGUUAAACGAUAGCGCUUGUUGGGAGGCAACGCAAUUUUGUUUUUAUUCCUUGAUUUUUGCUCCUGUUUAGUAAUAAAUAAUUUAUCUAGCCUCUGUUUUGGUUGUGUCCUUUGUGUUUAAUUAGUGUUGGUGCCAAGUAGAACCGUUAGGAAGACUUGGGGAAAGUCUUGUUACACUUGCUGUAAAAAACAGAAACUUCAGCGCUCACGAGAACUACUGCCAUUUUUAUUUGGAAAGUUCUAUUUAGUUAAUUAUUUCUGCAGAUGAUUAAUAGAUAAAUUCCUCACGUCCAGAAAUUUAUUUUAGAAUUUUUGGGGUUCCAGCUCUUGAGCUAGGUACAGAUUACUACAGACUGUUCUGUUUUUGAAAGAUUUUGUUUUUCAUGUGUUGUUUGCUUAUUUUGAUGAACCUAUGGCUAGUAAAAUAGUUGAUAGACCAUAGAUAAGUUGGAAUACAGUAGGUAUAACACCAAUAUAAAUAAAUAAUGAGUUCAUUAUAGUACCUUGAAGUGGUCUUUUAUUUUCUUUCGCUAACGGAGCUCACGAGAUUUUCUACUUUAAGUUUUGUGUUGUGAAGUUUUCGAGUUUUGGGUAAAGAUUUGAUGGUUUAUGGAACAAGGAGUGACAAGAGCCUAAGCUUGGGGAUGCCCAUGGCACCCCCAAGAUAAUCUAAGUACACCUAAAAGCCAAAGCUUGGGGAUGCCCCGGAAGUCAUCCCCUCUUUCGUCUACUUCUAUCGGUAACUUUACUUGGAGCUAUAUUUUUAUUCGCCACAUGAUAUGUGUUUUGCUUGGAGCAUCUUGUAUUAUUUGACUCUUUAUUUGUUAGUUUACCACAAUCAUCCUUCCUGUACACACCUUUUUUAGAAUACUCUAUGUGCUUCGCUUAUAUCUUUUGAGUUAUAUAGUUUUGCUCUAGUACUUCACUUAUAUCUUUUAGAGCACGGUGGUGGAUUUGUUUUAUAAAAACUAUUGAUCUCUCAUGCUUCACUUAGAUUAUUUUGAGAUGCUUAAUAGCAUGGUAAUUUGCUUAAAAUCCUAAUAUGCUAGGUAUUCAAAGUUAGUAUAAUUUUCUUAAGAGUGUUUUGAAUACUAAGAGAAGUUUGAUGCUUGAUGAUUGUUUUGAGAUAUGGAGGUAAUAAUAUCAAAGUCGUGCUAGUUGAGUAGUUGUGAAAUUGAGAAAUACUUGUGUUGAAAUUUGCAUGUCCCGUAGCAUGCACAUAUGGUAAACGUUGUGUAACAAAUUUGAAACAUCAGGUGUUAUUUGAUUGUCUUCCUUAUGAGUGGCGGUCGGGGACGAGCGAUGGUCUUUUCCUACCAAUCUAUCCCCCUAGGAGCAUGCGCGUAGUACCGAGGUUUUUGAUCACUUGUAGAUUUUUGCAAUAAGUAUGUGAGUUCUUUAUGACUAAUGUUGAGUCCAUGAAUUAUACGCACUCUCACCCUUCCAUCCUUGCUAGCCUCUUCGGUACCGUGCAUUGCCCUUUCCCACAUUGAGUGUUGGAGCAAACUUCGCCGGUGCAUCCAAACCCCGUGAUAUGAUACGCUCUUUCACACAUAAACCUCCUUAUAUCUUCCUCAAAACAGCCACCAUACCUACCUAUUAUGGCAUUUCCAUAGCCAUUCCGACAUAUAUUGCCAUGCAACUUUCCACCAUUCCGUUCAUCAUGACACAUUCAUCAUUGUCAUAUUGCUUAGCAUAAUCAUGUUGUUGACAUAGUAUUUGUGGCAAGGCCACUGUUCAUAAUUCUUUCAUACAUGUCACUCUUGGUCCAUUGCAUAUCCCGGUACACCGCUGGAGGCAUUCAUAUAGAGUCAUACUUUGUUCUAGUAUCGAGUAGUAAUUAUUGAGUUGUAAAUAAAUAGAAGUGUGAUGAUCAUCAUUAAUAGAGCAUGGUCCCAAAGAGAGAAAAAAGGAAGGGCCAAAAAAGGCCAAAUAAAAAAUAUAAAAAAGGGGGGCAAUGCUACUAUCCUUUUUUCCACACUUGUGAUUCAAAGUAGCACUGUAAUCUUCAUGAUAGAGAGUAUCUUGAUUUGUCACUUUCAUAUACUAGUGGGAAUUUUUCAUUAUAGAACUUGGCUUGUAUAUUCCAACAAUGGGCCUCCUUAAGUGCCCUAGGUCUUCGUGAGCAAGCAAGUUGGAUGCACACCCACUUAGUUUCUUUUGUUGAGCUUUCAUACAUUUAUAGCUCUAGUGCAUCCGUUGCAUGGCAAUCCCUACUCCUUGCAUUAACAUCAAUCGAUGGGCAUCUCCAUAGCCCAUUGAUUAGCCUCGUUGAUGUGAGACUUUCUCCUUUUUGUCUUCUCCACAUAACUCCACUCAUUAUAUUCUAUUCCACCCAUAGUGUUAUGUCCAUGGCUUGCAAUCAUAUAUUGCGUGGAAGUUUAUAGGUUUGAGAUCACUAAAGUAUGAAACAAUUGCUUAGCUUGUCAUCGGGGUUGUGCAUGAUGAGAGCGUUGUUGUGUGACAAAAAUGAAGCAUGACUAAACUAUAUGAUUUUGUAGGGAUGAACUUUCUUUGGCCAUGUUAUUUUGAGAAGACAUAAUUGCUCAGUUAGUAUGCUUGAAGUAUUAUUAUUUUUAUGUCAAUAUGAACUUUUGUCUUGAAUCUUUCGGAUCUGAAUAUUCAUAUCACAAUUAAGAAGAAUUACAUUAAAAUCAUGCUAAGUAGCACUCUGCAUCAAAAAUUCUGUUUUUAUCAUUUACCUACUCGAGGACGAGCAGGAAUUAAGCUUGGGGAUGCUUGAUACGUCUCCAACGUAUCUAUAAUUUUUGAUUGCUCCAUGCUAUAUUAUCUACUGUUUUGGACAAUAUUGGGCUUUAUUAUCCACUUUUAUAUUAUUUUUGGGACUAACCUAUUAACCGGAGGCCCAGCCCAGGAUUGCUGUUUUUUGCCUAUUUUAGGGUUUCGAAGAAAAGGAAUAUCAAACGGAGUCCAAACGGAAUGAAACCUUCGGGAACGUGAUUUUCUCAACGAACAAGACCCAGGAGACUUGGACCCUCCGUCAAGACACAAAAGAGGAGGCCACGAGGUAGGGGGCGUGCCUACCCCCCGGGCGCGCCCUCCACCCUCGUGGGCCCCCUGUUGCUCCACCGACGUACUCCUUCCUCCUAUAUAUACCUACGUACCCCCAAAUGAUCAUAUACGGAGCCAAAACCCUAAUUACACCGCCGCAACAUUUUGUAUCCACGAGAUCCCAUCUUGGCGCCUGUUCCGGAGCUCCGCCGGAGGGGGCAUCGAUCAUGGAGGGCUUCUACAUCAACACCAUAGCCUCUCCGAUGAAGUGUGAGUAGUUGACCUCAGACCUACGGGUCCAUAGUUAUUACCUAGAUGGCUUCUUCUCUCUUUUUGGAUCUCAAUACAAUGUGCUCCCCCUCUCUUGUGGAGAACUAUUCGAUGUAAUCUUCUUUUUGUGGUGUGUUUGUUGAGACCGAUGAAUUUUGGGUUUAUGAUCAAGUCUAUCUAUGAAUAAUAUUUGAAUCUUCUCUGAAUUCUUUUAUGUAUGAUUGGUUAUCUUUGCAAGUCUCUUCGAAUUACCCGUUUGGUUUGGCCUACUAGAUUGAUCUUUCUUGCAAUGGGAGAAGUGCUUAGCUUUGGGUUCAAUCUUGCGGUGUCCUUUCCCAGUGACAGUAGGGGCAGCAAGGUACGUAUUGUAUUGUUGCCAUCGAGGACAACAAGAUGGGGUUUUCAUCAUAUUUUAUGAGUCUAUCCCUCUACAUCAUGUCAUCUUACUUAAGGCAUUAAUCUGUUUUUAACUUAAUACUCUAGAUGCAUGCUGGAUAGCGGUCGAUGAGUGGAGUAAUAGUAGUAGAUGCAGGCAGGAGUCGGUCUACUUGUCUCGGACGUGAUGCCUAUAUACAUGAUCAUACCUAGAUAAUCUCAUAACUAUGCUCAGUUCUGUCAAUUGCUCAAUAGUAAUUUGUUCACCCACCGUAGAAUACUUAUGCUCUUGAGAGAAGCCACUAGUGAAACCUAUGGCCCCCGGGUCUAUCUUUAUCAUAUUAAUCUCCUACUACUUAGUUAUUUCCUUUGCUUUUUUACUUUGCCUUUAUUUUACUUUGCAUCUUUAUCACAAAAAUAAAAAUAUCUUUAUCAUAUCUAUCAAAUCUCACUCUCGUAAGUGGCCGUGUAGGGAUUGACAACCCCUAUUCACGUUGGUUGCGAGGAUUUAUUUGUUUUGUGCAGGUACGAGGGACUGGCGCAUAGCCUCCUACUGGAUUGAUACCUUGGUUCUCAAAACCUAAGGGAAAUACUUACGCUACAUUGCUGCAUCAUCCCUCACUCUUCGGGGAAAACCAACGCAGUGCGCAAGAGGUAGCAAGGGUUCCUUUUUGUCGACGAUCUGAUGUUUCAACCUUGUUUUCCAGGCGGCCAACGCAUCGCUCAACUUGGUCAUGGCGUGUUUGUUUAUCUUCGUCAUUGCCAGGUCCUUAUCUGGAUCUUUAUUAUCCUUUUCAUUACGGUCCGGGAACAAGAAUAUCUGGUGCAGCUUCUUUAGGAGGGAGGGCCUCUGGUGCAGCUUCUAUAGUUUCCCAUCGUUGAUCAUGGCAGUUGUCCGUACAAUGCAACCUAUUUGAUUGCCGUAGCACGAUUGCGCUUCCUCGGGUGCUAUUGUCUCAAAAAUACCGUCGUCCAUCUCCGUGACCACCAGUCUAGUACUCAUGAGCUGGUUUAGGCGUCGUGGCCUCUUUGCUUUCGGUUCUAGACUAACUCCGCUAGUCUCGGCGCUGGUCUCAGUCUCAUCGCCGGUCUGCAUGUCGGUAUCAGUCCCUGAUGCGACAACACAGUCGCUGCAACAUGGGUAAGGGAGACCACAUCAGUGCUGGGGGGUCCGAAAAUCGGGACACACUUUCGCGCGUCGCGGGCCGCCUCUCAGACAGCUACUGGGGAGGCGGCGGAGUACCUGGGUGCGCCGCGAAUCCCCGGGAACUCGGUGACCAACUUCCUUCCCGUGUGGCGCAUGGAGACGACAGCGACCCCGGCGAAGAGUAGCUUAGCCGCGAGCUGCACAGCCUCGUCCACCUCCUAAGUUGGGACCUCCGCGCAAGCGUUGCGGGGCCGCCGCUCGGGUGGCUUCUGGAAGGCGGUUGUACAUGGGCACAGGGUGAAUCCCGACUAGAGCUGGCCAUUGGCGCGCGCAAGUAGACGACGACGUCCCCGACGAAGAGCUGCCCGGCCAGCUCGCCUCACUCUCCUUUGAUUAGAAAUGAAAGAUUGGGAAGAAGCAGACUUGAGCCUGCAGAGAAAGGAUAAGGUGACGAUGCAGUCUCCACUCGUUCGGGGCGACACGCGUACUGAAUGUAUGAGAAACGUGACGUGGCAGAGACCCCAAGAUACUCCCUCCAUUUAUUUUUAGUCUGCAUAUAAAGUUUGGUCAAAGUCAAGAUUUGUAAAUUUUAACUAACUUUAUAAUAAAAAAAUAUCAAUAUUCACAAUAUGAAAUCAAUAUUACCAGAUGCGUCAUGAAAUGUAUUUCCAUACUAUAAAGUUUUGGUAUUGUAGAGGCACUCUUCCAUAUAAUGAAGUUUAUAAUAUAUGUGCUUAUAUUGUACUACAAUUGUUUGAAUAGCUUAGCAUAUGUUCAGAUGUAUGAUAUCUGUAAUUUAAGCGCUUGAAUUUUACAUAUAAAUAUUUAUUAAUAAAUAUGUACCCCUAUAAUAGCUAGGCCGUGCAGUUGCACGGGUAGAUGACUAGUGAUUACAAUCUUGUUUGUGUGCAAGUCAAGCUUAUCUAGUUUACACGUAACAACUUGUAGAACAUUACAAAAUUUAUGCUUGCUAAUAACUUCUAGAACACUACAACACUUGACAUGUAAAAGGAAUUUGACGAGUCAUGGCCUACUAAAGCAAGUUACAUUACUAGUCUUAUCUAUCUUAACAGACCACACAAGAUUACAAACUAAGUACCGUGACAGCCAUACUUAUCUAGUUUAUGCGUAACAAUUUGCAGAAAAUUAGAAACUUAGUUUCAGAAAAAUACGCAAUCUAGAUUAGUGUUUGAGCUGUAAAGUGAAUAAGAUGAGUCAUGCAUGUUAUCACACCUUUUUGGUGGUGGAAUGAUAGUGCAACAACAAGGAACUUUAAUGACCAGUCCAAGAAUACACUUGUAAGUAGUGCCACCAAACAGAACAUUCCAAAUGAUGAUUUUUAGAAGCAUCCAAGCACUUUCCACACAAACAAAUGCCAAUUGUGAAAGAGAUCAUUCCAUGGCAGCUAUAAAUAGCCCCAUAGCAUGACGAUCAUCCUUCCUCAUCCAUCAUUCUCAUUAGUAGAGCGCAUCAUUUAAGCCAAGCAAGCUGUGGUCAAUACAAAUCCACCAUGAAGACCUUUCUCAUCCUUGCCCUCCUUGCUAUCGUGGCGACCACCGCCACAACUGCAGUUAGAGUUCCAGUGCCACAAUUGCAGCCACAAAAUCCAUCUCAGCAACAGCCACAAGAGCAAGUUCCAUUGGUACAACAACAACAAUUUCUAGGGCAGCAACAACCAUUUCCACCACAACAACCAUAUCCACAGCCGCAACCAUUUCCAUCACAACAACCAUAUCUGCAGCUGCAACCAUUUCCGCAGCCGCAACUACCAUAUUCGCAGCCACAACCAUUUCGACCACAACAACCAUAUCCACAACCGCAACCACAGUAUUCGCAACCACAAGAACCAAUUUCACAGCAGCAGCAACAACAACAACAACAACAACAAAUCCUUCAACAAAUUUUGCAACAACAACUGAUUCCAUGCAUGGAUGUUGUAUUGCAGCAACACAACAUAGCGCAUGGAAGAUCACAAGUUUUGCAACAAAGUACUUACCAGCUAUUGCAAGAAUUGUGUUGUCAGCACCUAUGGCAGAUCCCUGAGCAGUCGCAGUGCCAGGCCAUCCAAAAUGUUGUUCAUGCUAUUAUUCUGCAUCAACAACAAAAACAACAACAACAACCAUCGAGCCAGGUCUCCUUCCAACAGCCUCUGCAACAAUAUCCAUUAGGCCAGGGCUCCUUCCGGCCAUCUCAGCAAAACCCACAGGACCAGGGCUCUGUCCAGCCUCAACAACUGCCCCAGUUCGAGGAAAUAAGGAACCUAGCGCUACAGACGCUACCUGCAAUGUGCAAUGUCUACAUCCCUCCAUAUUGCACCAUCGCGCCAUUUGGCAUCUUCGGUACUAACUGAGAAGAAAAUAACUCUAGUACUAGAUAUAU